rnacentral:lncRNA from 1 species
ACAGAACUGGAUGGGUGAAAGAACAUAGCAUCCACCCUCAAUAGCGACGUGUCUCAUUGUAGCUACCCAUGUAUCCCCGGAAUCGGCAGUAGGAGCACAAUAUAUCUCAAUACCUAUAUAGAUGUACAUUCGUAUUUUGUGAUCAAUCAAUCCCAUAUCAAAGCCAUAAUGUAUUUCAAGCCAAAUCAUAUUAGUUAGUGAAGAAAAAGAAAUGGUAAAAGACAUACCUUUGCCAUACAUUGCUGUCCUGAAAAGUGGCAUUCUAUUUUCCCAACAAAUGACCGAACCAAGUUUUCCAUAUGGAGUGUCAUAAACUGGAGUUGUCGAGCAAUCUCCGAAACCCCAGAACAGCCGCUCCCAAUAUGUUGGCAUGAGUUUCCUAUGUUUUCCAAGGUAAUUACCUUCAGGAUCAAAGAAGAGAACUGUGGAAUACAAUGUGUAUCCAUCUCUCUCAACAACGCCUGUCACUAAGUAGACUUUGUAUUUCGCAGCCAUUGAUGCCAAUCUAUCCGCUUCAGGUCCUGAAAAUACAUUAAUAUGAGAUCAAAGAUGAAACAUGUAAGCUGAUCGUUCAUCACAAAGCAUAAGUAUAAUUUUUUUCUUGGUUCAUUCAUCAAACGUGUCUUGUUUCAAUAACUAAUUAAGUGGUUCAGUUCUUUAGCUAUUUAAGGGAGAAAGAGAGAGAUAACUGACCCGGCACAUUAAUGGCAGAAGCAUGGUACUUGCGGAAACUUUCUUUCCCUCUUGGCGACUGGUCGGCAAAGUUGUAUCCCCGGGGAUACCCACCGAUAAAUGCUUCAGGAAACACAACCAGUUGGGAUCCUAGUGCAGCUGCUUCUUUCAAAAACCUCUCAGCCUUAUCUGCUCUCAAAAUCACAUUGCAAGAAUUAAUAAUCCACGACUUAGAAAGUAAAUGAAUUGGUUGAAUGGAGAGAAUGAAAAUUAACUUCAAGGGAUCCCGAAUGACUUUUUGGUUGCUGAGAAAACUCAAGGAAAAAGAGACCUAGAUGAAACUUGAAACUCUCAUAUUUUCAGCUGUUUUGUAACUAAGAAAAGAGAAACCACCUCAACCCAACUCAUUAAAAUAAUUGUAAAAGCAGUAAUUCCUUGAUUGGCAGCUGAAAAUAUGAUCAGGGUUCAAUCAUCCUUUUCUUUUUUUCAGUCUCUGACCAACCAAUUAGAUCACAUAUUCCAUUACACAAGUUGCACAAUUGAAAGAAAUGGUACGUUACCUAGAGUGGCAGGAGUAUCAUAAAAGAUACUAGAAGCUUGAACAACGGUGGCUCUAACAGUUGAAGACAUUGCAGAAAUCGUAUGCUUUUUCGUUUCCCUUUUGUUUGAGGAUUCCUUACACAACGUUCAGUAUAUAUAUUGCCCAUGAACAUGAGGUUCUUCUGCCAUUACUUGAACGAGACGAAGAGGCUGUGAAAAGUCUGCCUUGGUUUUCUAUAUUUAUUGUGAGCUUUUCUCCUCAUCACAAAUUUUGAAGUUAUCCGCAGACAUUGUGGACCAGCGACAUGACUUGUACAAAUUGAAAAUGACUGUGAUCUGUGAAAAGUAAUUUAAGAUAAAAUUCAAUUCAUGGUUUGAUAGUUUUAGACAAACAAAACACAAAGGUGAACACAUACCCAAAUUAUUAGGCUUUUAUUUUCAUUUCUUUUAUAUGUAUAUAUAUAAUGUAUAAGUUGCUAUGAUUAUUUGAAUUAAAGAAGGGACCCGCCCACGUGCAUAGUGGUGGCUGAGGCCUUUUGUGACCUCAAAAUAAAAGAAAAAAAGAAUAGUCAUUAAAAGCACAAGAUAGUCAUUAAAAGUACAUAGUGUUAUAGUUUUAGACGCCCAAAAGAAGUCUUUUUGUGCCUUGUAAGAAUCAAAAUAAGUUUUAUCGCUUUCUUUUUUUUCUACAGGUACGAUGAUUAUCUUUGAACGAAAAGAGGGAGCCGCCCACAUGCAUGGAUUCCAUCCAUCUAGCACACAGAUAAAUUGUCAUUUGUGGCUUGAGGCUUUCUAUGACUUGUACUAUAUAUCUAUAAAACCCAGCAUAUAGCUAACAACUGGGUCCGACCUCAUGUAUUGGUCCCUACCAAAAAUUAAUGAGUGAUUCAAUGGCAGCUAUGGUAGAAAAAUAAAAAGGGAGAACUAUGCUUACCCUCACGUUGAUUCAAGCAAAUAUAUUUUUUAGGAAUUCUAAUUUUCAUAUUUCACCCAAAACGCAUAAUCAAUAAAUUUAUCCUUCAAAUAUGUAUUUUAAUAACAACCAAAAUGAGAAUUCUAUAGUUAUCCCUUAUAAAAUCUUUAAUAUGACAAGUCAUCAUUUGAUCUGUUUGAUAUCCUCUCCAUAUCAUGUAUUUGAUAUCCUAACUUUGACAUUUUUUUAUUUAUAUACGCUGAAGUGAAUACACUUUCAUAUUUCUUUUCGUUCUUUUAAUAUUUUCAUAUUUAUUAACUUAGUCAUUUUUUUGAAACAUUAACAUAAAAUUAUAAUAUAUGAUCAAUAACUAAUGAGAACAAAUUAAACAUAAAUAUAAGUAUGAAAUGGACAGAAAAUAAAAAUUUUAUCCUACAAACAAUACACUAAAUAGUUUAAAAUAUUAAUUAUAAUAAUAUAUUUGAUACUUUAGGGUUUAGAUUAAAAAAUUAUGUUUUACUUUUUAGAGGCUAGGAUAUAGGAUUUCCAUUAACCAAAGAUUUUUUGUAUGAAUCCUAAAUAAAAUGUGCAUUUAUUUUGCAAAUUCUUAUCAUAUAUAAUUAAAAUAAAAUAAAUAUAUUUUUAUCAUAUUAUUUUUAAUUUUUAUUAUUUUGUGUCAAAAUCAUAGUCAAUGAUGGUGGUUUUUGUUAUGAUAUAGCUCUUAAAAGGAUGUUAUGAUGUAAUAAAUAUGAAGUUUAUUAUUUAUUUAAUGGUAUUUUGAUUUCACUUUUAUUAAUCUUUAUUUCAUGCAUUUUACCUUAUGAGUAUUCUAGCCUGACAUUUCUUGCACUAUACAUAACUUGGGUGCAUUAAAAAUUGCAAGAAAGAUCCAAGUUAUAGGUUCCUUGCAAGUAAAUGAUUUGUUCACAACUGCUUUGUGAACUUAAGUGAUCCAUUUGAUGUCAUAGUUCACUACCUCUUCAUUAGAGGAAUGAUUGAUCUUGACUAUCGAGAUAGAGUUCUCAUGGUGAGUACACUAGUAUGAUGAGUUAUGAUGUAAAGUUGUUGGAUAGUCAUAACUUCACUAAGUUGUUAUAUUGUAUUGUUUUCUCAACCUUGAGAGAAUAUUGAACUUGUGCCAAAGUUUGUAAUUAUUUGACCUAUGGGUGAGAUCCUAAAGUGAUAAUAUAUUCCUUACGAAUUGGGUCACAGUAGAUAGAAGUCGGUAGUAAUAAGUAUUCUCAAUAGAGACAUCAUGAAAUCUCAUGGAAUUUGAGAUAGUGUUGGGUGAUAAUAAGGACAUGUAAUCAUGAAAUCUAUGGUUGUAUUAAUUCUUUAAAUGAAAUUUGAUAUAUGCUUUUGUGAGUUAGAGUAUGUUAGUUGAUCAUAUAAUAAGAGAAUAUAUAACUCAAGGAUGGUAAGGUAAUAUUGAAAGGCAAAUAACUUUCACCUUAUUAGAUUAUAAACACCAAUUCAUGGGGAGACUAUAUGCAAUAGAUAGCAGGUCAUGAAGUUAAGCAUUUUGUGUCUUUUUGUAAUACACAUAGGGCAUUGAAAUGUAAUUGACUUUCUAUAGUAAGAUGUUGAGCCAACUUUAAAAUUGGAUUAUAAAGGAGCCAAUACUAUCUUAUGGGUCUUAGCGGUCCUCGCUCAAGUUUAUAUAUCUCAAUGACAUGGUUUGUGAGGGUUGGAUUGACUCAUGAUUCACUUAUGUGCAAAAAGGCGUUUUGGCAAGUAUGCAUGAAUGCAUAAGAGUUUGUUGGGAUAAAACCUUAUAAAUCAUGAGAUGAUGUAAUAGAUUUAGUUUCAUUAAUAAAUUUAUUUAUUUACUAUUCUAGUUCCCUCAUAUUAUCCCAUUGUCAUUAAUUGGUUAUCGGAGUAUUUACACCCAUAUCACUUGCAUUGUACAUGACUUAGGUGUAUUAGGAGUUGAACAAAAAAUCCAAGUCAUGGGUUUUUUGCAAGGUGAUAAGUAGUUUAUAGUGGGUUCAUGGAUUUGAGCAAUUUAGUAGAGACUAUAGUAUACUACCUCCUAAUUGGAAAGAUAAAUUGUCUUAGUCACCGAGAUGACUUUCCCAUGAUGAGUGAAACAAUGUGUAUGGUUACACAUUGGACAUGACCUAUGGUGAAUUAUGACAUUAAUUUUUGGGUAGUCAUGAUUUACCAUGAUACUAUAUUAUAUAAACUCUCAACCUUGAGAAGAUAUUGAGUUUGUGCUGAAAUCAAUAGGAAACUUCGAUCUAUGGGUGAGAUCCUAGUGUGGUCAUAUAUUCCUUAUAAAUUGGGUCACGGUUGAUGAAGAUUGGUGGCAACAAGUGUUCUUAAUAGAGAUACCAUAAUAUCUUAUGAGAUUAAGAGAACGUGUCUCUUGGGUGAUCCUAAAGACAUGUGAUUAAGAUGACUACGACCAUAACAAUUCCUUUAGUAGAAUUUGACAUAUGCUCUUUGUAAGCUAGAAUAUGUCAAUUGAUCACUUAACAGGAGGAUUUGUAACUCAAGGAUUGGAGAGAUAAUUUUGAAAGGUUGGGAUCAUUACCUUGUUAGAUUACAAACACUAGUUCAUGGGGAGUUUACAUGCAGUGGAUAGUAGGUCAUAGACCUAAACUUUGCCUUGUUGUAAUUAUAUAGCAUAUUAGAGUGUAGUUGACUCUCUUUAGUAGGGUGUUAAGUUAACCUUAGAAUUGGAUUCAAAGUGAGAUAGUAUUUUCCUAUAGGUUCCAAUGGUCCCUACUCAAUUUGGUGUCACAUUUGUUUGAGGGAUUUUAGGUUUGUAGUUAACAAGUGUGCAUAAGGGGGAAUUUAAUAAAAAUACAAGGUUGGACUAGAUCUUGUGAAUAGACUUUCUAGAUUGGCAUAAUUUAUUAAUUGGAUUCUAAUAGGGCUAAUUAAUUAAUUAGGACCUAAGUGAGCUAAAUUAGGUAACCUAAGCCCAAUUUGGGCUCAAGUCACUAAAGUUCACAAGGAAGCUUAUAAAUAAUUAUUUAAAGCCCAUUGGGUUUUAUGAGUGACUUAAGCUUGCCUUGGGUUUGGGUAACUUAUUAUAGCCUAAAAAGGUUCUUAAUUGAGGGCUUAGAUUAAUCAAUUAGCUUAGUCCAAAAGUAACAUUCACCAAAUUUAUUGGAAACUUUGAAUUACUCCAUUUCAUGAUCCAGGAUCAUAUAGGGUGCAUGCAACUAUCCUUAGGCUUCUCUAGAUCUAAUGCAAUGGAAAAUAUGGAUAUAAAAUCCAUAAAAUGUACUAGAUUUAUAGAUUAGAACUCAUACCUAUGAUUUGAAUGUUUCUAAAUUAAAUCUAAUCCCUAAAAAACAUCAAAGAUGUUUUAAAAGUCAUUUAUUUCCACCCAAUCUCUCCUUUCACAAAUAGACCCUAGCAUAAAAGAAGGGUAGGCUUUUGUCUAUCUUUUUUGAAGGUAGCUAGGGUUUUCUCAUUCUUUUAUGGCAUCAAACUCUUAGACUUUUACUUUUUCCAUUCUCUCCCACAUGUCUAGAGAGAAUCUAGUCCCCACUCUUCUAGAUAUCUAACAUUGGAGUUCGUAGCUUCAAUGAGGAGCCAUCAAAUAGAAAACCAAUAGGUUUGUGAGAUUUUCGAUGACCCCUACACAUUUAAUAACCUCCUUGACUGCAAAAAUUUGAUUUGGGAACAUCUAGAUCUUGGUAAAUACUUCUAAUCUAUAGAUCUAGAUCUAAUUUCUAUUUUAAAGGUGAUUUUUCUUUCAUUGCUAGGGUCUAGAUAAGCCUAGGAAAGUCUGCAUGCACUUAACGAGAUCUAGGGAUAGGGAACUUAGUGAUUUAUGCUUUCUUGUAGUUGGAGCUUUUUGCUUUUGAUUUUAACUUGAGUGUACUUUUGGCAUUUUCUUGCUUAAGCUUUUAAUUUUUUUGAAUGAUGUACAAUGCAUUUAUUUUUUUAGAGGAAUGUAUUUAUUUUUCUUAAUGAUGUACUUCCUUUUUUGAAGGAUAUACUUAAUUUUAUAACAAAUGUAUUUAAUUUUUCUAAAGAAUGCACUUAUUUUUCUAAGGGAUCUAGUUGUAUGGCAUAAGAUGUCCUCUCAAGCAGAGGUGGAGGUACUAUAGAUUUUGUAAUAGGCACAAUGAUUACUAAGGUGGUAUGUGAUGGAGGGAUUGGCAUAAAAGCCUGAAGUAAGGGUGUGUCUAAUAAUAUAAAUGGCUCGAGUAAGUAAAGAGCAAAUGGUGUGGAAAUUCAAGUAGGGAAGAAAGGGUUGGUAUGGAUUCAUCGGGGGAAGGAAAUGUAGGUUCCAUGAUACAGAUGCCUGAAGUAAGGGAAGAGUAGAUAAUGUGUAAGCCCUAAGUGGGGGUUGUUGAUGCCAGGUUAACUAAGGAUGGAAUCCCUUGGUUGUGGUAGCAAAAAGGUUCUGUCCAAAAGUCGGAGACUAGGCUUUCGCCUUCCCUGCACAAAGAUGUCCUGACACACUCUCCAAAACCUAAGUCAGACUUUGAAGUGGGUAGGAACCCUUAGAGAGAGAGAGAGAAGAUGAGAAAGUCCUUAGUAUUGCGUACUUGGGUUCUGGUUCCAGGAGGGUUUUUAUAGUGUCUAGGAUGGAGUCACUAUUGUGUUGAGUUAACAUCUUGACUUUUGCCGUCAGAUGGCAUCACAGUGGAUGGUAGGGUAAUCAUCACCAUUUAGGCGGCUGGCAGGGGUUUCUAGUGGGUACGUUAUGAUGGUUUACCUGUCACCUCAACCUAUUGGAGGUAUGGGGCAGUGUGUGAUAGUCGUUUGAUAUGAACGUGGAGACAAGGUAAGAUCCCAUCACCCAUACUUUUGUUAGAAAAAAAUGAUUUCCUGCAGCAAGGAAAUAGAGCAACCAGCCGGAAUGCACUGACAAUUUAAGGGAGCCUAGUAUUGCCGAUUGCUGGCAUGUAUAGUCCAGACUAGGACCUUCGAGUUUGAUGAUGAUCGUCCGAACAACAUUGAGAUGAGCGCCAUGUGGGCCAGUAGUGGUCUACCACGUGGGGGAAGAUCUCCACAGGGGUGACAAGGUUGGAAUGAAGGUAUUAUGGAAGAUGAAAUAUAAGUCUAUGACAGCUUUGAUUUGGUCUGGACUUCUAUUCCCUUUUGUGUGACCAUGAAUCCCAGGAAUUUGCCUGCGCUGACCUCAAAGGCACAUUUGGCCGGGAUCAACUUCCUAUUGUAAUUUCUCAUUAAGCGAAAGGUCUCUUCUAAAUGUUGGGCAUGUUUUGACCUGGUUUUGCUUUUUACCACAAUGUCAUCAAUGUAUACUUCCACUAUGUGGCCGACUAGUGGCUUAAAGAUCUUCUUCAUCAGCCUUUGGUAGGUGGCUCCCGCGUUCUUGAGCCCAAACGACAUGACUUUAUAGUAGUACAAUUCGUGAGGCAUUACAAAGGCGGGUUUUUUUUUCAUCCGACUAGAACAUCGAAAUCUGAUGAUAGCCAAAGAAAGCAUCUAUGAAAGAAAACAUCGUGUGUCCAGCAGUAGACUCGAAUAUCUGAUCUAUCCGGGGUAACGAAAAACUAUCUUUUGGACAUGCGUCAUUCAGGUUGGUAUAAUCAACACAAACUCGUCAUUUACCUCCAUUUUUUUGGGACCACCAUCACGUUUUCCAGCCAUUCCAGAUACUCUACUUCCCUUAUAAACCCAUCCGUGACCAACUUCUCUAUUUUACGUUGGAUAAUCUUCUGUCUAUCCGGAUGGAAGCAUCGGACUUUCUGUCGAACACGUCACGAGGAAGGCAUAACAUUGAGCUUGUGAGAGGCUACCGAUGGAUGGAUUCCGGGCAUAUCAGAAUAAGUCCAUGCAAAAACUUCUUUAUUCUGUUGAAACACUCCUUGGACUGCUUUAAGCUCUUUAAGUGCUGGUAAGGAGCUGACAUAGGUAACACGGUAGUUAUCCUGAGAGAGAACCAACGGUAGGAGUGGGUCAGCCGCCGACGGAUCUCUUUCUGUCGGGCUCUGUAAUUGCUAUUGUUCCUCCGUGUCAGUUCGUUUCGUAAGUGGCUUAAAAACACUUAUGGAUCCGGAUUCUUGCGCCACUUGAUGACAUUGUCGUGCUGCUAGCUGGCUUCCAAAGAGGUUGAUCGGUGCCUUCUCGAUUAAAUAGCUCACCAUUUGGUGAUACAUAGAGGGGAUGACCUUCAUACUGUGCAGCCAUGUGCGCCCCAUGAUGGCAUUGAAAAUGGACAAGUCUUCCACUACUAAGAAUUGCACAUUCUAGACCAUUGACUCGACUUGGACGAGUAGCACAAUGUCUCCUAGAGAAAUUGUUGAGGCCCCAUUGAAACCUGAUAGUACAUGUCCGGGAUUCUCUAAGGUGGAUGAAGAGAAUCCCAUCUGUUUGAACGCGAACAUCUAUAACAGGUCAUCCGAAUUGCCCGGAUCAACUAAAAUCCAUCUUACGUCAAAAUCAUUGAUCCCCAACAUCAGGAUGAGGGCAUCUUCAUACGAUUGUAACACUCGGUUGGGGUCCAUUGGAGGGAAGGUGAUUACCCCAUUUAUUAGGCACGUGUCCUCAUCGGGCAAGCCAGGUUGGAUGGAGCUAACCUGCUUUCUUACAGAGGCUGGUUGAAGUAAUCUUUGCCUCUUCUGUUUAGAGUUGUAUUUUUCAUCAAUGGAUACCCAAUGAAUGUAGUUGAUUAUGGCUCUAGGAGUUGCUGAAGUUGUGAGGGUCGUGGUGGCUGGACUUCAGGUUCCAUCCCCACGUCUCCCAUUUGAGUGGACGUACUAUUUCAGAUGGCCAACUCUUAUUAAUUUUUCCAGUAAGUAGUCGAGGCUUCUGCAUUGUUAUGUGGUGUGACCAUGGUCUUUAUGGUAAGCGCAAUUUCUAUUCUGAUCCCAUUUCACCGGAUCUGUCUUAAUUGGCUCGGGCCAUUUGAAAUUGGACAAAUCCUUGAUCAUGGGGAGGAGUUUGUUGUAUGAGAUAUUGAGGGGAGUGAGACUAGCUUGGGUUGCCUGUUGUCCAUCCUACCACUUACCAGUUUGUAUGCAUUGUUUGCAGGCUUAGAGCUCUCGACUGAGUUGUUCCUAGCAUUUUGAUUGGUGACCAGGACCUAUUGGGUAGCUGUGUGGACAUCGUUUCAAGCAUGGAGUACUUGUUUGCUCGUUUGAACAAAUCGUCCAUCGUUGCUGGAGGUUUUUUGGCAACAGAUUCAAAAAAGGGUGUACCCGGGCAGAUGCUUCUUUUGAAAAUUUGAAGGACGAUGUCUAUGCUACAAGGUUCUACUUGAAGCACAACAUGUCCGAACCUCUUUACAAACUCUCUCAAUAACUCAUUCUCCUGCAUCUUUAUGAUUUGCAAAGUACUGAUGUUCUGCUUAUGCCGUGCUAAGCACAGAUACUGUCCCACAAAGGCCUCCAACAAAUUCUGAAAAUUAUUCACGGAAUUCAUCAGAAGGCGAUGGAACCAUGAAAGAGACUAGCCAUGGAGGUUAGCUUGGAAGACCUUGCACAACAACGCAUCAUUCCCUAUGUCAAGGGUCAUGAGUUGCCUAUAAUGCAUGAUGUGGUCAAAUGGAUCGUUGGUUCCAUCGUAGGUAGAGAAUUUUGGAACCAUGAACCCUCUUGGAGAGUUGUAGUUGAUGAUGUAAGGGUUGAAAGGUGUGGAGAGCAUGUCAUUCGGUCGCCUACUGACAGAGCAGGGGGAACCCUUGUUGACCGGAUCCCCCACUAGUUGUUGUGCUAGUAGAUGGAUAAGCGAGUCUUUUAUAUCUAGUACAGCUGAGGGUCCAGGACAUGCCUCCUGAGCCGUCGCUACAUGCGGUUUCCCCUCCAUAUUGGGCAUCUAAGGCCCUAACCUUGCGAGCAUUGCAUCCGAUAGCUAGGACUUCUUAUCGUGUUUCCUUUUUGCUGAGAGACGAGUGGAGUCGAAGCUUUCAUCCUACGGUGCGUGACAAGCUGGUGGGGAUCGUUUCUUAGGCUGCAUUUCUUGUUCAUUAGAGGGGAACUCUGCAUACCCAGGAUAUGUCACCUCAUCGUUUUGCCUGGAGUUCGUUUGCUGACUUCUAGGUUGUAGGCUCCGAGGAGGGUCUGAUGAAGACACCUAAAUGCGCAACACUUCGUUCUCUUCCUUGAGUCUCCUCGUCUCAUGGAGCAGGGCUUGCAGUUAUCUCUUGUUCUCGUGCUAGUGUCUUUCCAUACUUUCGCACCAAUUGAAGUAGCCCUCGCUACCCAUGGCUGACGAUCGACUUUUAGAGGGUGUUGACAUCUUUAUUUCAUUCCCAUAGACGACGCCAAUGUUGACGCUAGGUCAACUAAGGAUGGAAUCCCUUGGUUGUGGCAGAAAAAAGGUUCUGUCCAAAUGCUGGAGACUGGGCUUUCGCCUUCCUUACACAAAGAUGUCCGGACAGGUUGUCCGAACACUCUUCGAAGCCUAAGUUAGAGUUUGAAGUGGGUAGGAACCCUUAGAGAGAGAGAGAGAGAGAAAAGAUGGGAAAGUCUUUAGUAUUGCAUACCUGGGUUCUGGUUCCAAAAGGGUUUUUAUAGUGUAUAGGAUGGAGUCACUGUUGUUCUGAGUUGGCAUCUUGGCUUUUGCCAUCAUGAUGGCAGCACAGUAGAUAGAUGGCAGGGUAAUCAUCACCAUUUAGGCAGUUGGUAGGGGUUGCUAGUGGGUACGUCAUGAUGGUUUGCCUAUCACCUCAACCUGUUGGAGGUAUGGGGCAGUGUGUGAUAGUCGUCUAAUAUGGACGUGGAGACAGGGUAAGAUCCCAUCGUUCAUACUUUUGUUAGAAGGAAAUGAUUGCUUGCAGUCGGGAGACAAAGUAACCAUCCGGAAUGCACUGGCAAUUUAAGGAAGCCUAGUACUACCGGUUGUUGGCAUGUAUAGUCUAGACGAGGACCUCUGAGUCUGAUGAUGAUCGUUCGAACAACAUUGAGAGGAGUGCCAUAUGGGUCAGUAGUGGUCUCCCAUGUGUGGGAAGGGUCCCAUAGGGGUGACAAGGUUGGUUGAAGGUAUCAUGGAGGAGGAAAUAUGAGUCCAAUGAUGUUGGUGACUCAACUCUUGUGUGGUUGGGAGGAGGGUGGUGUAGAUGAUAUGAAUCUCAUGUAAGGGUAAAAGAGGGAUAAGUCUAAUGAUAUAGAUGAUCGAAGCAAGAGAAGUACAAAUAACUACAAUUUUUAAUUUUUUUUAUUUAUCUUAAAGGAAAGAGAACAUUUUAUUUAAAAUUAAUAUACAAAAUCACAUGGUUGUAUCAUAUUUUAAUUUUUUUUUCAUUUAUCAUAUAACCAAUUUUUAAUUUAGUAUUUCUUUUCUAACUAUUUAAAAAUGUUAUUGAUAUAAAAAAUUUUAAAAGUCAAAAUUUAGUAUGAACUAAAAAAAAUUAAGUCCAAAUAAAAUUAGUAUUAAAUAUUUAAUACAAAUUUAUAUGAAAAAAUAGAUUUUCUUCUUUAUUUUUAUACACAAAAAUUUAAAAAUUUUAACUAAGCAAAGAUUUAGAACCAUAAUCAAGUUAAAACCAUAAGUAAAAAGCUAAAAUUAUCAUCAUAAAUUAUAAUUUUAACAUGAAAAAUUAAAAAUUAAAAAUAAUAUAAACAUAAAAAUAAUAUCAUAAAGAUAUUUUUACUUUAUUUAGAUGUACUAAAAUUUACAAAAUAAAUAAACAUUCUUUUAGCAUUUAUAUAUAUAUAAAAAAUCUAUCAGACAUAUCUUUUAUCUUAAAUCUCUAAAUAAUAAAAAUCUAAUUUUUAAAUCUUAACCCUACAUUGUGAAAUGUAUUUUUAUAAUUAAUAUUUUAAAUAAUCGAGCAUAUUAUUUGUAGGAUAGCAUUUGUCUUUUUAGUUCAUUUUAUAUUUAAUUUAUUCUCAUUAAUGAUUAUUAUAUAUUAUCAUUUUGUGUCUAAUGUGUUCAAAAAAUGAUUACAAUUAAUGAAUAUAAAAAGAUGAAUAAGUGAAAAGAAUAUGAAAUUAAAGAGCUUUCAUAGGAGAAAGUGUGUCCACUUGAUCAUAUUAAAAAAAAAAAGGUUGAAAUGAAAAGAUAUCAAACACUUCAAAUUAUGAUUUAUCAUACCACAUAUUAAAAUAAAAAAAAACAAUUCAUUUAGCUGUUAUUCAAUUGCAUAUUUUAGAAAUAAUUUUAUACGUUGUUUUUUGGGAUGAAUGACAUUUGAAAGUUGGAAUUCCUAAAAAAAAUAUACAUAUAUUUUUUUGAGUUAAUGUAUGUAAGCAUAAUUCUCCCAAAAACUGGUCAUGCUUCAUCAUAUUGUAUGUUUGUUUUUAUAAUGUGUGGUUAUUCAUCUUUAUAUUUGUGUAACGAAUUGAUAUUUUUAAAUUAAGAGUAUCAAUUGACAAGUAGAUGAAUCAAUUGAUUGGGCAUCUAAGAGACUUAUGUGUAGAAGACUAAAAUUAUAAAUGGGGAGUUAGAAAAUUUUCAUUUAUAUGAAGGUGUUACAACUUUUGUAAUCCUAUUAUUAUGAGAUUUAAUUUGUACAUAAAGUUUAUUAGUAAUGGAAGAAGAUGAAAAAGUAUAACCUAUGCAAUUACAUAAAUGCAUUCAAGUUGGUAAUCCACAAUUAUCCAUUAAUUUGUACAUAAUGUUUAUAAAUAAUGAGUAUAACUCCCAUAUAAUCUUUGAUGCAUGCAAAGACUAAGAGAUAUAAAUCUCUUUUAUAAGAUUAAGGUUCCAAGUCAUACUCUUAUUCUUAUGUCUUUUUGUUGUUUUACUUAGAACAACAUAUGACACAUAAGUGACUUGUCUACUAUAUGACAAUAAUGAGUUGAAGAUCUUAACCAAAACAAUUCAUAAGAUGACUUAGGCUCACUUCGAAAGUAUUAUCGAUAUCAUGGAUGAAGGUAAGAAUAUGGUCAUUAUUUUAUCAUUGCUUUAGCAUUUAUAUCUAUUAUGUUUUAUGCAUCCAAAAUUGAUUUUUCAAAAUAAUUAUUUUCACAUAAAGUUUAGUUAACACAUGCUUUUUUUUAAAAAAAAAAAAUUUAAAAGUUUAAAAAUAAAUUUGCACAAAUCACUUUUAAAUGUUUUUUUAUAGAAAAAAAUUAAAAUAUGAAAGAAUCACAUAUUUUUUCAACUUUGAAAAAUAGAACUAGUAAACAUAUUUAACAUUUAUAGAAAUAAAAAAUUUAUUAAUAUUUUAAAAAUAAAUAAAUAAAAGCAAUGGUGUAUACGAAUAAUACCUUAUUCACCCAAUUUAAUUAUCAUAUGCCCUAAGGACCAAAGUGCCUAACUAAAUUUUUGCUCAAGGUACAAUAAUGCUAAAAAAUCUUUAAUCAAAACAUGGAUCUCACUCUUACUUCUUCCCACCACUUUAAUUUUACCUAACCUCACCCGCAGAAGUUCGUUCAUGUCUUAACUUGAAUCAAGUAUAACUUGUUUGUCUAGUUUGAACCUCAUGUUGCUUAAGUCCCAAAAGGAUAAAAUUUCUUUCAGAAUAUAAUUAUGCACAAAAUCCUCAUUAGGGUUAGAGUUUGCUCCUUCAUUAAUUAUUUAUAAUGGUUUAGGGUCAUAAUAACAUACUUUAUUAUGUUAAAGCGAAGAAUGAUCAAGAGUCCAAGUACUAACAAAUGGCACUUAUGAACCAUAGGUUGAGGAAGUGGCUUGAGCCCAAGCUUGGGGCUUAGGUUAUUUUUUGUUUAGGCAAUACUUAAAUCCAAACUUAAGGGUGACAUUAGAAACAUAUUUCAAUCUCAUAUUUUAUCAUCUUAACUAUUGGACCUAAUUGCACUCAGCAUGGAACUUGUUUAUGCAUUUUGGGAAUCGCAUGCAUUUUAGUACCAAAAUAGCUAUGCAACUUUUUUUUCCACCUAAUUAAGUUCAAAAUUAAGGGGGUGUUUGGUAAAACUUAAUACAUUUUACUAAUGACUUAAAUUGACUUUAAGUUAAAUUAUAUUUAAGUUGUUAACUUAAAAUUUAUUAUUUAAUUCUUACUUUAAGUAUUAAGGUUGUUUAAUAAAAUUAACUUAAAACAUAUUUUAAAUUAUCAAAUUAACAUAUUUAUCAUCAUAAAUUAUAACUAGGGUAUGAAAGGUUGAGUAACAAUGGAGGUGGUGGAGUAGCAAAGGAAAUUGUGGAGGUAACUAGGACAAAGGAGGAUAAAAAAGUAACAUGAAGACAUAAAUUUCAAAAUAAGUUAAUUGUUUUUACUUAUUUCUUAAAAUUAUUUUUGGCUUUAAGUCACAUCAUUAAAUUAUUUUAGUAAAUAUACUUAAUAACCAAAAUUAAGUUAUUAAGUCACUUUAAGUUAUUAAGUUAAUUUACCAAACACCUACUAAUUUUCAAAUUCUAAGUUUAGCUUUGCUUUGUAGUGAAUGCAUUUAGGAUUAUCAAAGAGGUCAUCAAGGGUUUCAAACAUAUUCUAUUGCUCAACUUCUCUAAGAGGGACUUCAGAAGAGAAGAUCCCACAAUUCUAGUUUUGUAUUCGAUUAUAUGUAUCCUACCAUAUGGAGACGGUUCCUCAGCAUGCUGACUUAUUAUUAAGGGUUUCAUGUGAAUUACGUACGCAUAAUAUAACAUAUACAGUUGGAAGAUAUCUCGAGAUUCUGAUUUUAUAUCUGGCCCUCAAAAUUCCCUUGGCAUGCUGAUAUGUCAACUAUUGAAAAGCCUACAUGACUUGUAUAAUUUGAAAAUGACUUCAGUCAUGUGUAAAAAAUAAUAAGAGAUAAGUUUUGAUUAAGGCAGCGAAAAGUAAUUGUGGACUAAUUGUGGACUAACUACUGACUUGUACAAUUUGAAAAUGACUUCAGUCAUGUGUAAAAAAUAAUAAGAGAUAACAUUCAUACAUAGUUUUGAUUAAGGCAGCGAAAAGUAAUCACUGUCAGGUUGUGGACAUUCCACCUAGCUAUUGGAAAGUCUGCACCCAUUUUCUAUAUUCAUGAGCUUUUCUCCUGUUCGAAUUAGUUUUGAAGUUAUCUACAGACAUUAAUUGUGGACUAACUACAUGACUUGUACAAAUUGAAAAUGACUUCAGUCAUGUGUAAAAAAUAAUAAGAGAUAACAUUCAUUAAUUGUGGAUAAAUUGUCUAUAUGACUUUAAAGAAAAAAAGGUCAUAUAAAAACUGAUUGCCUUGUGGAUACGCCUACCAGUAGAUAGCUGAGAACAAGGUCUAACUCUCAACCUUUUGCACUGCCUCUACAAAGGAACACAAAAUUGAGAGAUUCAAAGGCAGCUAUGGUAUAAAUACUGUUUCAUAAAUUACUUUUCAAAUUUAAUUUGGUAGCAAAAAUAAAAAAUAUAAAAGCAUAAAAAAUUUCUUUCAUUCCCAAAAUUUUUGCAAAUAAAAUUUUAAAGUAAUAAAUUAAGACCUUGACUCUUUUCACAUCUUAUUCUCAUUUCUAAAAAAGCAAUGAUAGUAAUAAUCUUAUCUAUAAAUUUUAAAUGAUGUAAGAUCAUUGAAUUUUUAUUUUCUUUUAUCUUCUUGUUAUGUAAUUAUCAAACAUAUUUUUUUUAAGACAAGAAAAAAAUUAGACCAAACAAAUAUAUUUGAUAUUUAUAACAAUUGAAAACAUAAUUCGUAUUUUUCAUUUUAAAAAAUAAUAAAAGCAAAGGUGUAUCAAAACAAUACCUCAUUUGCUUAAUUAGUUAUCACAUUUCCUAAGUACAAAAGUAGGCAAGUAAAUUUUUGCUCAAGUUACAAUAGUGCUCAAAAUCCUUAUCCAAGACUUAGAUCCUAUUUCACAAUUGUUUUUUAAAAUAGUUUUUUUUCUUCCUUAAAACAAAAAAACAAGAAAAUAUGUUUGACAACUGGAAAAUAAGGUUGUGGACCCCGUAUUUCCCUCGAUGUGUUCCCAUUCAAUGGCGAAACUCGUUUUUUUUUAUUUAUUUGGUGAAAAAUCGAUUUUUAGAAAAAAGACUUGGAGUCGCCACUUAUUUUUGUUUUGUUUUUAAAGAGUAAACAAAAUAAGAAAGAAAGCUCUGAGUGUGACUCCUUAUUUUGGAAAAGGUGGUAUGUGAAAAACCAAAUAUGGACUCAGGGGUCAGAUUACUUUUCGGGAAGGUGCGGUAAAAACCGUAACACCCCUCUAAGUCCCUAAAAACAGGUCUCUACUAAUAAAAUGAAACAAGUGUGAAAAAAGAUUGAUCAAUUGUGGAUACCAUACAGUAAUCGAGAGUGUGAAAGCAAGACACGCGUGAUAACAAAUAAAUAAAUAAGCAUAAUCGAGUACGAAGCAUACCUUAAUCGCAAACCGAGAGCUAUUAUAAGAGACAAGAUUAAUGCACAAAUAUGGGAUAAUCACAUGCAUGUCAUAGAGUGAGGCAAGCCAAUCAAGUAUAACAAUCAAUCGAUCAAUGGAAAAUCUCAUAUGUUGGGCCCCACCAAAGCCCGAUUUAUCUUAGCAUAGAUUAACUCCAUAAAUUUCUUUAUUUGAAAUUAUAGAAUUAUUUAUGCUUAUUAAAAAUGUGAAAAUCAGAAAACUAUUAAAAAUCAAGGAGAAUUUAUGAAAAAUGUUUGUCGGAAAGAUAUGUGGCGACCAAUUUUAUUAAAAAUGGAAAAUAUUUAAAAUCAAGAAAAAAAGAAAAAGAAAAAAAGAAAAAAAAAGAAAUGAAUAAAAUAUAAGAAAAUAAAAAAUAAAAAAUAAGAAUGAAAAUAAAAAUAAUAAUAAUAAUAAACAAAUAAAAUAAAAGAUGCAUGACCAGUGGAAAGUGGUAGAGAUUGACUUAUUAGAAUUGGAUUUAUUUAAAACCAAGAGAGAAAAAUUGAAGAAUUAAAACCAUUUGAAAAACAAGAUUUUUUAUUUUUUUUUAUAAAAUUGAUUUUUGAAGGCGUGUAUGAAACUAUAGGAGAUGAGACACGUGUCUUAAGGAUGACCUAUCAAAGGUGGAUGCAAGGGGUCUUGUGCAGUACUGGUGGUCGAAUAUGGGAUACCAACAACUGAGAGGGCCCAGAUGACUACUGUGGGUCCGGAUGGUACAGAAUGUCUCUUUCCUUGUGGACCCCUGCAUCCCUUUCCAGCCUAAGUCAACCCCCGAAGCUAUCCAAUUCAGCCAUUUGGGUCCGAAAAUCCUCCUUAGUUUUGAUGUUGAUAUCACCAUCUUCUUCAACCUCAACUCUUCCAACAUCAGGUAAGCCAUAGCCAUGGCAGUGACCUACGGAUAAACGUUACCUCCCCACCCAUCCGGCACCAGAUUAAAGCCUGCAGAAUGCGGCUUCCCCUUCAGCCCUACUGACCGGAGCUCCGAGAGCCGCCUGAUCACUAUCCCAAGGCUCACAGCGUAGUAGUACCCGAUGAAGAUCUGUCACGGGCUCCACCGUUCCACCUCAUACCACGAUUUGCACACCACAAAUAUCACGUUUCGGUCCUUAUCGAUAGGAAUGAAAGAAAACACAUUCUCCAAAACCUCUUCCGGAAACGAGUACGCCAUUAAAAAUUUUUUCUUGGAGUCCCGAAUUCACAAACAAACCCUAAACCGGACUUUUCGAAGUCUCAAAUCUGAGAUGCCAUUAACAAGCUCAGUUGCAUAAUACAUCUUUCCGUUCAUUUCCCCAUUGGCUUUGUCCCUGAAGUAUUUGCAGCCCGACAGCUUGUAGGGGAACCUCACUGACAUAUCGUGUUCGGUCUUCUCACUCACCACGACAAGGCGAUAAAGAUAGAGUUGGAAAGGCGAAUCAAGAGGCAGCUUUAAGUGAUCGAUUUUAGAGAAAGAACCCGCUUCCUCCAUUCCCUCAUUGGAUGAAAUUUUGGAUAAUCGUUCACCAAUUCUAACUUUCAUCUUCACCAAGUCUCGAUGCUUCUUCUUUAAUAAGUGCAACGAAUCUGCAUGUCGGGAGACCAAAUUCUCACGACGCAUAAUAAAAGAAUUUGCACCCGCCGUUACCGAUCCUUCUCCUUUGAUACCAACUCAUCCAUAACUAUGUCAUUUAAUCACUUCUCCAUUUGACCAUCCAUUCCGAACAUGCCCAGAAAAUCAUUGCUACUUGUUAAGAUAUUAGGAAUGCUUUCCUUAUAUCAUUUUUUCCUUAUGUCAUUCAGUGUUAGGAUAUUAGGAAUGUUUAGAUAUUAGGAAAGUUAAGAUAUUAGGAAUAUUGACAUAUUAAGAAAAUUGAGAUAUUAAGAAUAUUGAGAUAUUAGGAAAGUUGAGAUAUUAGGAUAUUAGUUGUUAUUUCCUUAUAUUAUUCUUUCCUUGUAAUUCUUUCCCAUUCUUAGAAUGGUGAUUACCCUCUAUAUAUACUCUGUACAUGAACGAAUGAAAGUAUGAAUGAAAAACUACCAUUCAUCAAUUUGAAGAUGGUAUCAGAGCCAUGGAACUGAAAUCUUGGAUAUUUUGUUGGUAAGGCCAACCAUCGUCCCUCCUUUGCGAGAGAAAAAAGAAAAAAAUGAGUGAAAAAAAUACUAUUGUUUUUCAAUCUGAAGGUACUUUCAAUCCAGGAAUUAUUUUGAAUGAAUCAAACUAUGACGUUUGGUCACAACUCGUGGAGAUGCAUAUUGCCGAACGGGAAAAACUUUCCUACAUUCGAGGUAAGAUAAAUCUACCAAAAGAGUCAAAAGAUGGAUAUGAAAAAUGGUAUGCUGAGAAUCAAAAGGUGAAAAGAUGGUUGUUAAUGUCCAUGAGUCCAGAAAUUAUGAAGCAUUACUUACACUUACCCACCGCUCAAGAAAUUUGGAGUGCAUUAUCAAAGGCCUUCUAUGAUGGAAGUGAUGAAUUACAAGUUUUCACUUUGAAUCAAAAAGCCUUCACUGCCAAACAAAACAGCAGGUCUCUUUUUGAAUAUUAUGGGGAGUUAACUGAAAUUUUUUGCGAAUUGGAUCAUUGGGAUAAGGUAGUCAUGAAAGACCCUGAGGACAUUGCAGCAUACCGGAAAUCCAUUGAACGACAACGGGUGCACAUCUUUCUUGCUGGAUUUGGUGGUGACUUUGAGCAAGUUCGAGGAGAGAUUCUACGCAAAGAUCCUCUUCCCGAUUUGGAAGAAUGCUAUGCAUUGAUUCGACGAGAGGCAGUGCGUCAUGCUAGUAUGAAAGCAGAAUCUGACAACCCUGACACCUCAGCUAUGGUAGUCCGACAACAAUCAACCCGAAAUUGGCAGGACCAAUCCAAGACCAACUAUCCUAAGACAAACCCUAAUAUUGAUAAGUCAACCUUCAAAUGCACUCACUACAAUAAGGCUGGUCAUACCAAGAGUCGUUGCUUUGAAAUUGUGGGAUAUCCAGACUAGUGGGAUCACAAUCGUGAUCAAUGGAAGAAGGAUUCCAAGAAAACCUCAACUGCAGCUGUUGCUAAAAUAAAAACAGAGGCUAAUGUUGAUGAGAAAGCCUCUGCAUUGGUAGCCGCUACAGAUUAUGGUGGUAAGUUUUUAAAUACUUCUACACAUGUCAUUAAUAGUGCAUGGAUAAUUGAUUCUGGUGCUAUAGAUCAUAUGACUUUUGAUUCUAGACAAGUCUCACCCCUUAGACCUUCCUCACAAAAAAUUGUUUACACAGCCAAUGGUAACAUAACCCCAGUCAUUGGGGAAGGAUCCUUAACUCUUACUGAUACUUUGAAUUUGGAUUCUAUUUUAGUUGUUCCAUCCUUAAAUUACAAUCUUUUGUCAGUUUAUCAAAUCACUGCAGCCUUAUCUUGUAUUAUCAUUUUUUGGCCUGAAUGUUGUGUUUUUAAGGACAUCCAAACAAGACAGACGAUUGGUUGUGGUAUUAAGCGGGGAAAACUCUAUUAUUUGGACUUGCAGUAAAAGGAUUCAAAUAAGUUGUGACAAACCUUGAUGGCAGAUGGAUCUGAGGGGGAGAAGAAAAAGUCUGAAAUUUGGUUGUGGCAUCGACAUCUAGGAUAUGCUUCCUUUGGUUAUUUAAAAAAAUUGUUUCCUAGUUUGUUUGCAAAGAGUGAUAUUUUUGGUUUCGGUUGUGAUAUUUUUGAAUUGGCUAAAAGCCAUCGUGCUUCGUUUCCAUUAAUUUUGAAUAAAAGUCCGUCUCCUUUUAUGGUUAUACAUUCUGAUGUUUGGGGCCCAUCCAAAGUCCCAACUUUGAGUGGUUCGCGUUGGUUUGUUACUUUUAUUGAUGAUUGUACCAGAAUGACAUGGUUAUGCUUGAUGAAGACCAAAGAUGAAGUGAACUUGUUGUUUCAAAAUUUUCAUAAAAUGAUUUAAACUCAGUACAAUGCAAAGGUUCGGGUUCUGCGUAGUGAUAAUGGUGGAGAAUAUCAGAGUUUUGAUCUUCAAAAGUAUUUGGAAGGACAUGGCAGCAUUCAUCAAACUACUUGUUCCAAUACACCCCAGCAAAAUGGAGUCGCUGAACGAGAAAAUCGGCAGUUGUUAGAGGUUGUUCAUGCUUCCUUGAUAGCAGCAAAAAUACUGAUAUCUUAUUGGGGAGAAGCAAUCAGAUCUACCGCAUACUUGAUCAAUCGGGUACCUUCUAGCUCAAUUAACUUCCAAACACCUUUCCAAGCUCUUACUAAUGCCAUAGUUGCCCCAACCAUCCCAAAUCUACCUCCUCAUGUUUUUAGUUACGUUGCAUUUGUGCAUCUACACAAACACCAACGCACCAAGUUAACUUCUCAUGCAUUGCAAUGUGUGUUUGUUGGAUAUGCAUUGCACAAAAAGGGAUAUUGAUGUUACCAUCCUCCAACUCGACAAAUGUUUAUUACAAUGGAUGUGGUGUUUCAUGAAGAUUCGAUGUAUUUUUCAUCUAAGUCUGAACUUCAGGGGGAGUACCAUAAGGAAAUUCAGACUCUCAAUUAUGAUUAUCAUAUCUCUGAGGAUGAGGAAUCUGGAAAUCUGAACUAGUGAACAAGGAAGCGGGUGAGUUGGAUAUGAGUGGUCAACAAUUUGGGUCCGAAGAUGUUUUCACUGAAAUACCAAACCAAUCGUCGUCUGUUGAGGGUGUUCUUAAUUUGGAACCCGAUCCAUUCAUGAAACGGUUACCACACCAUCAUAAUAAAGGUAUUCCUAAACCCACAUAUGAACCUGAAUUGUCUACCAAAGUCAAAUAUCCCAUGAGCAACUAUGUGUCUAACCAUCGUUUGUCAGAAUCAAAUAAGUCAUUUGUAAAUCAAUUAUCUACUGUAGCAUAUUCCUAACAGUNNNNNNNNNNNNNNNNNNNNNNNNNNNNNNNNNNNNNNNNNNNNNNNNNNNNNNNNNNNNNNNNNNNNNNNNNNNNNNNNNNNNNNNNNNNNNNNNNNNNGCAACCAAUUCGAUUGUUUUGUGAAAAUAAAGCCGCAUGUGACAUUGCUAAUAAUCUAGUACAACAUGAUCGUACAAAGCAUGUCGAGGUGGAUAGAUUCUUUAUUAAGGAAAAGUUGGAUGACAAGAUUGUGGAAUUGCCUAAGAUUCGAUCAGAAGAUCAAUUGGCCGAUAUCCUCACCAAAGCUGUCUCAAGUCAAGUAUUCUAAAAAAUUUUAGACAAGUUGGGCAUGUGUGACAUCUAUGCACCAACUUGAGGGGGAGUGUUGAGAUAUUAGGAAUGCUUUCCUUAUAUCAUUCUUUCCUUAUGUCAUUCAGUGUUGGGAUAUUAGGAAUGUUUAGAUAUUAGGAAAGUUGAGAUAUUAGGAAUAUUGAGAUAUUAGGAAAGUUGAGAUAUUAGGAUAUUAGUUGUUAUUUCCUUAUAUUAUUCUUUCCUUGUAUCAUUAUUUCUCAUUCUUAGAAUGGUGAUUACCCUCUAUAUAUACUCUGUACAUGAAAAAAUGAAAGUAUGAAUGAAAAACUACCAUUCAUCAAUUUGAAGACUACUUCAUGUUCAACACUUUAAAAAAAAUGACGAUGUCAGGUGUGGUGUUGAAUACAGGAUGAAAAUGAGGAGCACGAUGGUGAGAUAAGUGGAUUGACGGGCAUUAAAAAGAAUGGUGACAUGUAUGGGUAUGGAAAAUGUGGAUCAUGAGUGGUUGAAGGAAAUGGUGAAAACGGUGGGAAAGAUAAAGUUGUGUGCAUAGUAAGGGUGUUGGCUGCUUGCAGUGGGUAAGAUUGAUGAAGAAAAUGGGCAUGAUGAGUAGGAGGUGCAGAGCAAUGAAGAUGACCUUGCAUAGGGGAAAAAGUGUGGUGGAGAAAUGGGAAGAAUGAAAACAGGUAGUGAGAGAAACAGAAAUGAAAGGUGAUCAUGCAUGCAUGAGGAUAGAUGGGUAGCGAAGGAAGUGGGUUUACAGGGUGCUGAAAGAAAUGGGUGUGUAGGUUGAAUGGAAGGUGGAGAUGUGGGGCGUGGUGACGGGUAUGAUUGACGGGCUCGGUGGGUAUGAGAAGAAGGAAGAUUGGAUAAUAGGAGAAAUGGGUAUGGAAGAUGGCCAUGUUUGCAUGAUUCCCAUGCAUGUGUGGAGCUUCAGGCGUGCACGUGAGAAAUGAUAGAAAUGAGGUAAAGGUUGGUUGGAUGAAUGAUGAGGGNNNNNNNNNNNNNNNNNNNNNNNNNNNNNNNNNNNNNNNNNNNNNNNNNNNNNNNNNNNNNNNNNNNNNNNNNNNNNNNNNNNNNNNNNNNNNNNNNNNNNNNNNNNNNNNNNNNNNNNNNNNNNNNNNNNNNNNNNNNNNNNNNNNNNNNNNNNNNNNNNNNNNNNNNNNNNNNNNNNNNNNNNNNNNNNNNNNNNNNNNNNNNNNNNNNNNNNAUGGUAUAGGAGAAACGAGCAUGGGGUUGGUAAGAUGGGUUAGUGUGGCCAUGUAUGGCCAUGCAAAGGUGGGAAGCAAUGAGAUUGAGAAGAGUGAAAACGGGUAGAGAGAAAAAUGGGUAUGAAAGAUGAGUAUGUGAGGAUUGAAAAUGGAAUGAGGUGUGAAAGUUUUAGAAACUAGGUUUCAGAAAACCAAUAUUUCUCAUUGUCUAUUACGAAAAGAUGAUAAGUGCUUGUACACUGAUGUUUUUUAUAUUUAUAUCUACAACAACCUAACUAACUAACUUCCUACUUCAAGACGUUCUUAACCAGCUUUUGUUUGUUGCAGUUGACCCUGGUUUGUUGCAGCUGAUCUCGGUUUGUUGUAGCUGACCCUGGACAGUUACUUUCUUGUUGAUUAGCUAGGUAUUGUCUAUCAUCCCCCCGCAAGCUCAUAGGGGAGGGAACAACAGAAAGCUUCGUUCUAAAACUAAGGAACUGGGAGCUUGAAAUAUUUUUAGUGAAAAUGUCAGCAACCUAUUCAGAGGAAGGAAGAUACUGAAUGAUGAGCUGUUUACGAAGAACGUGAUCCCAUAUAAAGUGAAGAUCCAUUUCAAUGUGUUUGGUCCUAGCAUAGAACAUGGGAUUUGCAGCCAAGUGAGCUGCACUUUUAUUAUCACACCAAAGUAGAGGUGGAGAGGAGGAAAGAGACAAAGUUCCUAUAAAACAUAUUGAAUCCAAAUAAUCUCCGAAGUAGCAGACGUAAGAGCACGAUACUCAGAUUCUGCACUGCUGCGAGACACAACCUUUUGUUUCUUGGAAGACCAUGACACUAAAUUCGGACCAAGGAAGAUGCCAUAGCCACCAGUGCUUCUUUGUCAUCUGAACAAGAUGCCCAGUCGACAUCAGUAUAUCCAUGAAUAUCCAACGAGGUGGACUACUGCAUUUGAAUGACAUAGGAUAAAGUGCCUUUGAGAUAUCGCAAAAUCCGUUUCACAGAAAGUUAGUGAGUAGUAGUGGGCGUAGCCAUGAAUUGACAAGCUUUAUUAACGACAAAAGAAAUGUCCAGUCUGGUAAGGAUAAGAUACUAAAGCGCACCAACCGUGUUGCGAUAUAAGGCGGCAUCCGAGAGAGGUUCACCAUUAAGAUGAGAUAACAUUUGUCCUAACAAUCCCGGAGUAGUAGCAGGGUUGGGGUCUAACAUGGCUAUGCGAGUUAAAAGGUCUUGUAUGUACUUGUGCUGACUGAGAUGAAACAUAGUACCAUAACGAACGACUUCAAUGCCCAGAAAAUAAUUGACAUAGCCCAGGUCACGAAGAGCAAAAGAAGAAUUGAGUUGAGUAAUAAAUGAGGAAACCUAAGCUGAAUUGCUACCAGUUACUAGUAUGUCGUCUACAUAAAUGAGUAAAAUAAGGACAUCAUGUGUUGAAUGAUGAAUAAAUAUCGAGCUGUCAGCUCGAGAAGCUUGAAAUCCCCAGCCAAGAAGUGAAGUGUUGAGUUUGGUAUACUAUGCCCGGGGGGCCUGCUUAAGGCCAUAUAAAGCCUUGUUAAGCUUGCAAACAUGAGAAGGAAAUUGAGAAUUGAUAAAGCUUGGGGGUUGAUGCAUAAACACAUGCUCUUCAAGAUCUCCAUGGAGAAAGGCAUUCUAAACAUCAAGUUGGUGAACUGACCAUUUAAAUGAGAGUGCAACUGCAAGUAUAAUACGGAUAGUAGAAGCCUUGACAACUGGACUAAAAGUCUCAAAAUAAUCGAGAACCAGAGUUUAAGUAAAUCCUUGUGCAACUAUCCGGGCCUUAUAACGAUCAACUGUUCCAUCGGGUUUAUAUUUGAGUUUGUAGACCCAUUUGCAACCAAUUAUAUUGCCAUUGGAGGGUGGUGGAACAAGAUGCCAUGUGAUGUUUCUUUGGAGAGAAAAAAACUCUUUUUCCAUGGCAAGAACCCAAUUUGAAUCUUUAACAGCCUAUGUGAAUGUAGUAGGUUCAGAAAUGUGAGAUGAGAAGUAGGCCUUCUUCUUGCUAAUGCCAUUCUUUGCAUGUGUGACCAUGGGAUGCUGAUUAGUAGGGUGAGGUUCAAAAGUGGAGAUGUUAGCAAAAGGAACUUGUAUCAGGUUUGGUAAAGAAGUAGUGGAGGAAGGCAUAUUAGUUAAUGGUGGGCUUGAAGUGGAAGGAGUUGUAUGGGAAGGUAGUGAGGACAUGGGAGGAGAUGAGCAAGGAAGAAGGGCUGGAGUGGGGAAAAUAACUACAUAUGAGAUUGAUCCAGAGUAGACUGAAAUGGGAACACCGUUUCAUGAAACACAACAUGCCUAGUAACAUAGAGACGGACUGACAAGGGGUCAAGACACAUAUAGCCUUUGUGAUCGAAACUAUAGCCAAGGAAGACGCAUUGAUUGGAGCGAUAGGAGAGUUUAUUUUUGUUGUAUGGUCGAAUAUAAGGGUAGCAUAAGCAACCGAAAAUUUUAAAGAUGUGAUAAUUUGGUGAUUUGAUAAAAAGAAUUUGAAAAUGAGAUUGAUAAUUGAGAACCUUAGUAGGUAGCUGAUUUAUAAGGAAAAUAGUUGUAUGAAAUGCAUAUAGCCAAAACUUGAAAGGUAAUGAUGCGGUGGCUAAUAAAGCAAGACCAAUUUCAAUUAUAUGUCGUAAUUUGCGCUUUGCUCGACCAUUCUGUUCAGGUGUGUAUGGACAAGAAAACUGACUUUUAAUACCAUGCAUAGCAAGAUAUGAAGAGAAGGCUUUAAAUUCACCACAAUAAUCAGACUGUAAACAUUGUAUCCGAGAAUUAAACUGAUUUUCAACUAGACUUUUGAACUUUAUGAAUACAGAUAAUGCUUGAUCUUUGUUGUGCAAUGGAUAAAUCCAAGAGAAACGAGAGAAAUCAUCAACAAACAAAAUGAAGUAGCGUGCACCAGUUGUGGACGGAAUGGAAGCAAGGCCCCAAAGAUCAGCAUGAAGUAAAGCUAAAGGAUGAGAAGCUCUAGAAACAGACACAUUGAAAGGCAAUUUAUGACUUUUUGCAAAUUGACAAGCACAAUAGACGUUGUUUUUAUGGCAUUUAUGUGAAAUAUUACAAGAGGUAAGAAUGUGUAAAGAGAUUUGCAUCCCCUCAAGUGUUGAGGUGAGAUUCAUUGGAAGGACACGAGAUGCUACAUCAUGGAUGUAGAAUGCAAUGUAAGCAAGCAUUGGAGAGUAAGUCUUAAGGUAAUGUUUUGCAAGUAAAUCUACUUAUUACAUUAGCAUAUAAUGGAAUAUAGAUUUAAAGUCUCUAACCUAACUCAUUGGUUUUUUUUUUUUUUUUUUUUUUUAUCUCUACACAUUGUGAGAAGGUUUUCUACAUAAAAAACUCUUUUUCAAUCUUAUGUUUGAUUGUUUUUUAGGCUUCUCUAAUUUAGAAUUGAGAUAGUUUAAUAAUUAAAUAUAUUUAAUUUAAGGCUUAAAAGGGUUAAACACCUAUUCACCCCUAGGUGUCAUACUAUAUCAAAUAACUUUCAAUGUUGGUGAAGUUUCUUCUUCAAAAGAGCUUUAACACGUGAUUGUUCUUCAAGGGAGCUUCCAAAGAGCUCAAGGGGCCUUUUUCUUAUCCAAUGUUUUAAUCUCACUCUCAACCAAUGGUAAAAGAAUAAACUUAAUCAUUAAAGAUUAAAGCUAACCAUGAAAGUAUCCAACUCACCUCGACAUAUGUUUUGGAUUUUUUUCAAGAAAGAAUGCAAGAGAGAUGAUUGAGAUGCUUCUAAGAGGAGAGUGUGAGGACAUAUAAAGGACAUUUUGUGCAAGUAAAGAAUCAUUUAUUUUCCAAGGAGAUAUACUUGCUUCUUCACUGAACUGGGAAUGGAUUUAAAUAGCUCCAUUGGGAAUGUAAAUGAAUAAAUAAAAGAAAAGAAAAAUGUGUCCAACAAUUUAUUGAAACCGUAAAGUGGAAGUAAUACAAGACCAUAAUGGGAAAUCCCACAUAUGUAGUAGUAUUUGGGCUUUGUAGUAUUGAAACUUUGGUAUAAGAAAUUUGAAAAUACUUCUAUAUAAUUAUUUUUUUUAAAAAAGUAGAAUAAGUUAGUCCUUUCGACAUAAUUGAGGCAUUAAAUUUUAAGCACUCUAAAAUUAUAAUCUUUACAAAUAAUAAAGAAGUUUUUGUAUCGAGACCAACUGAAUAUGAUUUGUAUGUUCUUAAUUUUCAUUUUCUUAUCUUUUGUCUUCCUAUACCUACAAGCCUAUUUAGAGAAAGACCUUUUAUCAAAAAAUGAGAGCUUAGAGUUAUUUCCCUCUGAAAAGAGAGUGGAUCAGAAGAUCUUUAUUGAAUAUAGGGUUUCUUCUAAAAUGAGAUGAAGUAAAUUAGCAACUCUGAACAAUCUAAAGGAAAAGGAAUUUGAGUUAAGUUGAUGGGGCGUAUGACACUUUAUUGGGACUUUAAAAGAUAUUUUCUCUUUCACGCUAUCCUUUGAAAUUGAGUUGUGUCCGCUUUCAACUUAAUUUUUUUCUCUCUGUUUUUCUAAUGAAAAUAUAUCUUUUGUUGGGGGAAAUAUUUUGUUGAAUAUAUAUAUUCAAAUGGAAGGUAAACGAAAAAAAAGUGAUAAAAAAUGGGUGUGAUGAAAUUUCAAAUUAUUAAUCAUCAUAUGUAUUUAACCUAAAUCCUAAAAAAGUGAAUGAAAUUAACUCAUUAAAUUUGUUAAAUACCACUUUUUAUAAAUAAAUUUUGAAUCAUGUAGCAUUCAAAACAAAAAUUUUGUAAAAGAUAUAAUUAACGAUAACAUGAAAUUAUUAAAAUAUUUAAAAUUAAAUAAUAUAAAGAAACAAUAAAAUGGUUCAUUUAUGUUGUUAGAACCUUUGUUUUAAAAACUGGUCGCUCCGAUCAGUCGGAUGGUCCAUCAAUGCCCUUUCCAGUCCGAUCUAGGGAAAUGGACAUAGACAACUGACAAUCAGACCAUCAACCAUUCUUCAUGGACCGGUCAAGGUCAAAACCUAAAUGGGUUUGCCCAAAUCCAUUCAUUCCUAACCUAUGUGCUUGUUCCCAAGGUUUGCAAGUAUAAAUACCCAUCUAUUGGCCUAAAUUCAUUCAUUUCAAGCCCAUUUGCUUGUUCUCAAGGUCUACAGGUAUAAAUACCCUAUAAGUGGUUUAUAGAUUUCCGAUGUGGGAUGAGUUUUGAUAAUAAUGAAAGGAGCUUUGCAUGGUAGGGAAUUGAACCUAGGACUUAUUUUUAACAAAAUGAUAGCACACCACUAUGCUACAAAGCUAUUUGAUUAAUAAUUUGAUAAAUAUCUAUAUCUCUGUUUUUUAAUUUCUAUCAUAUAAAACAUUUAAACAAAUAUAAAUAUUUAUAUCUACUAUUACUUUUAUAAUAAUUAUUAAUUAUAAACAUGAAAAUAAUAUAAAUUAAUCAAUAUAAUAAUUUUUAAAAUUUUAAAAUAACAAAAUACAUAGAUAUAUAAUUAAAUUAAAUAUUAUAAUUUUCUUUUCAUAUUUAAAUAUUAUACAGAUUCUAUUUAAUAAAAUUUAAUAUAUUAAUACAUUUAUAUUUAUAUUUAUCAUUUAAUUUGACAUAUUGAACAUAAAAAAUAAAAUAUUAUUAAAAAAAUUUAAUAAAAUAUAUUUUAAUUUAUUAUAAUUUUAUUAAAAUAUAAAUUAUAUAUUUAUAAUGUCAUUGAUUCGAUCGCGGUUUGACCAUUGGUUCAACUAGUGAAUCGUGAACUAGUAACUUUUUCGGUUCAAUAUUCGGUCCGAUUUUGAAAACAUUAGUUAAAACUUUUUUAUUUAUAGAAAAUGCUAAUUAUGCUUUAAAGUUGUAGGAUGUUAAAAGCCCAAAUACAUACCUACAUAUUUUCUUAUUUAUCUCCUAGUAUCUUUACCAAGUGAUAGAUAUAUUGGUGGCCAAGCAUUGUCAUCAUCAUUAUUUAUCUCCUAACAUCUUUAUGAAGUGAUUGGUGUAGGAAGAGUGUAAAUAAUUUUUAUUUUUACUUUAUUUUAUUCAAUUAGUUUUAUAUUUUCUGGGAAGAUUCCUAUUGGGAAUUAUUUUUAUUUUAUUUUAUUCUAUUAGUCUUAUAUUUUUGGGAAGAGUCCUAUUGGGAUUGUGCUAGUGGAGUCCCAUUCCUUUUAUAAGUAGAAUCCCCUUCCACUUUGAGUCAUGUUUUGAUUACAAGUAGAUUCCCAUUAGGACUGUGUUAGUGGCCUAUAAAAGCAGGUCACCUUUCACUCUCUAUAUACCAAUACCAAUUUUUCAAAGAAUUUUUCAUAGAGUUUUUCAAAGAGUCUUUUCAUACAUCUAUCUAGAUGAUUUUUUUCAAAAACCCGAGUUGUAUACAUCUCGCUUACAGAGUGCACCCAAGGCGAGAUCUGGGUGUUGAAUCCCGGAGAUAGACCAUUGGUACCUUAGUGUACCGAAUUUGUCUUCGAGGAGGGUGGAUCUAUUUCAAGGAUAGUGUUUGUCAUGCCUCAGUCAAUAAGUUUUUCUUAUUAAUUAUGUUCUUUGUUUGUGUCUUUUGGGCUAGUCAUUUGUUUCCAUACCCUUAAUCCAACAAUCUUGAAAUAUAUCCAAAUGUAAGCUUCUCUAGUUCACACCUGUCCUGACACCUCUAAAAUUGAUCCCUUCAAUGGCAUAUUCUUUAAGAGAUGGCAACAAAAGGUUUUAUCUGCAAUUGAUGUAGUGAACUUGGAACACAUUUUGAUUGACCCAAUACCAGAAGAUGGUUAUCAUUUGUUACCAACCUGGGAAUCCGGAAAUAAACAAGUUAGCAUGCUAUUCUAAGUACCCUUUCUAAUGAACUUUUUGAUAUUUAUUGUCAAUUUAAAGUUGCAAAAGAAAUUUGGGAUGCAAUAAAUAAAAAAUAUAGUUUGAAAAAUGCAGGAACUCAGAAAUAUGCCAUAGGGAAUUUUAAAAUUUUCCAAAUGACUGAGGAUAGAGAUGUAUCAUCUCAAAUCCAUGACUACCACUUGUUGAUUAAUGACUUAGCUAUUGAAGACAUUAAAUUACCCGAACCUUUUGUAGCUGGUUAUUUAGUAGAGACUUUUCUAGAGUCUUGGAAAAACUAUAAAAAUAACAUGAAACAUAAAAGGAAACAAAUGUCUCUAGAGGAUGUCAUAAUCCAUAUUAAGAUUGAGGAACAAAACCGAAAUAGGGACAAUGCUGAGAAAGUUAAGGAAUUGUCUUCUAAGGCUAAUGUAGUAGAAGAAAAACCUAAACCCAAAAACAAUAGGUUCAGGAAACAAAACUCUAGGAACAUCCCAUGCAUCAAACAAGAUCCAAAACCCAACUAUUAAAAAAAAAAGAAAAAAGAGUAAGGAUCUUGUUUGACUUUAAUAAAAUAGUUUUAACCAAGAAUGAUGCAUUUGUGGGGAAGGGCUAUUGUAAUAAGGGUUUAUUUAUGUUGAAUGUUUCUAAUAUUAUCAAUAAUAAUGCAUCUUCUUCUUUUUCUGCUUACGUAGUUGAUUCUUGUGAUAUUUGGCAUGGUAGACUAGGACAUGUGAACUUUUCAUAUCUGAAGAAAAUGGUUGAAUUGAGUUUAAUCCCUAAAUUGUCCUUAGAAAACCAUGGAAAAUGUGAAUCUUGUGUAGAAUCUAAAACCACAAAGAAAUCUUGUAAAUCAGUUAAAAGAGAAUCAGAUCUACUAAGUUUAAUACACAGUGACUUAGAAAACCUAAAAAAUACAAUGACUAGAGGUGGUAAACAAUUCUACAUAACUUUCAUAGAUGACUACUCAAGGUAUACAAGGGUAUAUUUUUUGAGAAACAAAGAUGAAGCAAGAUAUGCUUUCAUCAAGUACAAAAAUGAAGUGGAAAAUCAACUAAGUAAGAAAAUUAAAAGACUUAGAACUGAUAGGGGAAGAGAGUAUGAGUCCAACCCCUUUAAUUCUUUUUGUGAAGAUCAUGAGAUCAUUCACAAAACUACUCCUUCUUAUUCCCUUGAGUCUAAUGGAGUAGCAAAAAGGAAAAAUAGGACCUUAAAAGAAAUGAUGAAUGCAAUGUUGGUAAGUUCAGGAGCACCCUUGAAUUUGGGGGGGGGGGGGGGGGGGGGGNNNNNNNNNNNNNNNNNNNNNNNNNNNNNNNNNNNNNNNNNNNNNNNNNNNNNNNNNNNNNNNNNNNNNNNNNNNNNNNNNNNNNNNNNNNNNNNNNNNNAUAUUCAAUAUAGAAUACCUUAUAAGAAAACUGGAAAAACUCCUUAUGAGUUGUGGAAGGGUUAUGUACCUAAUAUAGCAUACCUGAAAGUGUGGGGGUGUUUAGCUAAAGUUCUUUUCCCUAAACCUAAAAAAUGAAAACUAGGUCCUAAAACCUUUGAUGCAAUGUUCAUUGGCUAUGUUGAGAAUAGUGCGACAUAUAGGUUUCUUGUUACUAAGUCAGAAAACAGUCUUGUAGAUGUCAAUACUAUAAUGGAAACAAGGAGUGCAGAUUUCUUUGAAAACAUCUUUCCUAUGAAACUAAAUGGUGAACAACAAGUUUAGAAAACAAGUAGAGACAAGUCUAUUGAACUUUCUGAAUUUGAACCUAGAAGGAGUCAAAGUGAUAGGAAAGAAACAAACCUUGGAGAUGGUUUCUACACCUUCCUAAUAGAUGAGGACCUUGAUCCUAUAAAGAAGCUACAACUUUUCCUGAUGCACCAUUCUGGAAUGAGGCCAUUAAUAAUGAAAUCGAAUCAAUCAUGUAUAACCAUACAUGGGAGUUAGUAGAUUUACCUCCUGGUGCAAAGACUGUUGGCUGUAAGUGGAUCUUUAAAAGAAAGUUAAAACAUGAUGGGUCCAUAGAGAAGUAUAGAGCUCAUUUAGUUGCCAAAGGCUUUAAACAAAGGAAGGAUGUAGAUUACUUUGACAACUUUGCCCCUGUGACUAGAAUAACAUCAAGUAGAGUAUUGAUCGCUUUAGCUUCCAUUCAUAAUUUGGUUAUACACCAAAUGGAUGUCAAGACUAUAUUCUUGAAUGGGGAUUUGGAAGAGGAAAUUUAUAUGGAACAACCUGAGGGUCGUGUAGUUCCAAGGAAGAAGAAAAAGGUGUGUAAGUUGGUUAAAUCACUAUAUGGGUUAAAACAAGCUCCCAAACAGUGGCGCAACAAGUUUGAUCAUGUGUUAGUAACUAAUGGAUAUUCCAUUAAUGAUGUUGAUAAGUGUAUCUAUAGUAAGUAUGAGGAUAACACAUGUGUAGUCAUCUACCUUUAUGUUGAUGACAUGUUGAUCUUUGGAACUAGCUUAGAGGUGGUGUGUGAGACCAAGAAAUUCCUAGGUCCUAUGUUUGAUAUGAAAGACCUAGAAAAGGCAAAGGUGAUUCUAGGAAUUAAAAUAACUAGACCACUAAUGAGCUUAAACUUUCUCAAGAGCACUAUGUUGAAAAAAUCCUAAGGAAGUUUGAACACUUUUAUUGUAAACUAGUGUCAACUCCUUAUGAUCCCAUCUCACUGCUGAAGAAAAAUAGAGAACAUAGUGUUGCCAAAUAGAACAUGCUCAGAUCAUAGGGAGCCUAAUGUACUUUAUGAACUAUACCAGACCUGACAUUGCUUAUGCAGUAGGUAGAUUGAGUCGAUACACCCAAAGUCCUAAUCAGGACCAUUGGACUUUUGUUCGUAGAGUCCUUAAGUAUUUGAGAGGCACUAUUAACUAUGGUUUGUGCUUUGUGGAUUUCCAAGUGUCCUUGAAGGAUUUAGUGAUGCAAAUUGGAUCUCAGAUUCAGAUGUGAUGAAAUCCACUAAUGGAUAUGUUUUCAUCUUUGGUGGAAGUAUAGUUUCUUGGAAGUCUACCAAUCAAACUUGCAUUACUCGGUGUACUAUGGAGGCUAAGUUUAUUGUCUUAGAAAAUGCAAGUUUUGAGGCUGAGUGGCUUAGAAACCUCUUAGCAUAUAUCCCUUUAUGGACAAGACCAACCCUAUCUGUGUCUAUGCGUUGUGAUAGCCAAGCUACAAUUGCUAAGGCUAAGAGUAAAAAUAUUUAAUGGGAAUAAUAGGCAUAUACGGCUAAGGCACAAUAUUGUGCGGUAGCUUCUUGAAACAGAGGUUAUAUCCCUAGAAUUUGUGAGGUCAGAGUUGAAUUUGGUUGAUCCUUUUACCAAACCACUAAAUAAGAAACUAGUAGAAGAAACAUCAAGGGGGAUGAGGCUUAUGCCUAUUACAGAAUUCAAGAGUGGUGGUAACCCAACCUAUUAGAAUGGAAAUUCCAUGAAGUAGGUUCAUAUGGGUAAUAACAAAUCACUUGUUGACUUGAGGUGCUAUAUCAACUCUAAUUGUAUGAGAGUCUAUCCAUAUGGUGUAGAUAGAUUGUAUUCUAUAUUGAUUAAGGUUGAGUGUUUACUCUUAAUGAAUACCAUAUUCCUUAUGGAUGGUAUGUUUAAAUGCAUAACAUACUUGAUGGAUUCACCUAUAUGAGAGUGGAGGUGGGGCCCCUUCCUAUGAGAACUUAGGUAGUUUCUCUAAAACUCUCAUGAAUAUCCAGGUAGGGCGCAUGGCCUAUUUGUGCCAACCUGUUUUGUACAACUCGUAGUGUAGUUGAGAAAACCAAUGUAGAUAAAAGUCCAUUGAGUUACAUCAAGAAACAUUGGUUCAUAGAAAUUUAUUUUCACCCUAUUUUGUGAUUCAAUACUUAUUUGUCCUAAGACUAGUUCAUAGCCUUUGGGCACCAGUACUGAUGCAUUGGAUUAUUUUUUCCUCAAAUAAAUAAAUAAUCACGUUUACACUUUGUGGGGGAUUGUAGGAAAAGUGUAAAUAAUUUUUAUUUUUAUUUUAUUUUAUUUUAUUAGUCUUAUAUUUUUGGGAAAAGUCCUAUUGGGAUUGUACUAGUGGAGUCCCAUUCCUUUUAUAAGUAGAAUCCCCUUCCACUCUGAGUCAUGUUCUGAUUACAAGUAGAUUCUCAUUGGGACUGUGUUAGUGUCCUAUAAAAGCAGGUCACCCCUCACUCUUUAUAUAUCAAUACCAUUUUUCCAGAGAAUUUUUUAGAGAGUUUUUCAAAUAUUCUUUUCAUACAUCUAUCUAGAAGAAUUUUUUCAAAACCCCGAGUUGUACACAUCUCGCAUACAGAGUGCACCCAAGGCAAGAUCUCGGUGUUGAAUCCUAGAGGUAGACCACUGGUACCCUAGUGCACCGAAUUCGUCUUUGAGGAGGGUGGAUCUAUUUUAAGGACAGUGUUUGUCACGCCUCAGCCGAUAAGUUUUUCUUCUUAUUAAUUAUGUUCUUUGUUUGUCUUUGGGGCUAGUAAUUUGUUUCCAUACCCUUAAUCCAACAAUAGGUAUAUGGGUGGCCCAAUCAUCAUCAUCAUUAUCAUCAUCUUUAAGAAGUGUAAGAUAAAUUUCCACAAUAUUAUAACUAUUCAAGCUAUACACUACAAUCUAACAUAUUACAUUAAAAAAAAAAAAAUCAUAAGUAGCUAGAUUCAAGAGGUAGUGUAAAACAUACCAUGUUUUAACCAAGUGUAGCUUCCAAUUCUUAUGUAAAAGUCUAUUUAUUACAAGAAAUUAAAAAAGGAAAAGGAUUAAAAUCUUAAAAACAUGGCAAUAAUAAAACCUUAGCAAAUAUCUAUUUGAAACUAUGUCAAAAUUUGCCUCAAAUUAACUUUUGAAUUAACUUUACUAUUAUUAUUGUUGGUGCAUAACCUUUUCGGAUGUGAUGAUCUAGUGACUAUCCAAGUCGCUAGCCAAUCUUCUAAUGUCACCUCCUCUGUUGGUGGAUGUCUUGGCUCUCUAGGAAAAUGAUCCCAUUUUUUCCAUGUUCUUUUUCCUCCUUUAUAGGCUUGAGUUAGAUGUUGGAGGUUGCGUGACAUACACGAUUAGCUUAGUAGGUUUGUGUCAGGCGGCGUGUGGCCAACUAGCCCUAAUGCUUCCUAUUGAUGUGAUAAGAUGAGGUUUUCCUUUGAGAUUUCUUCAUCAUACACAUCUUGUUGUUGCCUUCAGUAUUUGUGCUACGUGAUCAAUUUUGGUGGUGCGACAACUUCUUCCUAGUGACCAAUUUUUAAUUUUUCUAAGAUCGAUUGGGGUAGGCUCUCAUAUCAUUGUCUCAGAUCAUUGUAGGUUUAAAUGGAGUUAUGAUGGCUUCUCAACCUCAAGAUAAUAUUCAACUGAUAUAACAUCAGGGUACCCCUUCUCGCAAAAAUUCGGCACCCUCGAGAGGCAGCUUUUGUAGCAAUAUUCGUCAUCCCCAACCUAAACAAGUAGGUAGACCCACAAGUUGGUUGACUUCUAUAGUUGGUACCUUUAAUGCCCCAUUUCUUCGCGACCAAGUAGAUUUGGGACGACGUGCGUCGAGAGCUACUUGGGUUUGAAACCUCUGUGUUGCGGUCCUAGGAAGAUGGUAGGUCAUACAUGCAUCACCUUGAGGAGUGGCAACACUAGGGGAUUUUCACAAGACGGCACAACGUGCACAACCAUUUUUUGAUUUUUCUUUGGGAAUUUUGCUUUGUUUAGGAACUUUGCUAAAAUGGGCACUUAACCUUGAUGAACAUUUUUCCUAGAUGGACACUCAGCCUUGGUGGGCAUUUCGCCUAGAUGGGCGCUUGGCCUUGAUGGACAUUUUGCCUGGAUAGGCACUUGGCCUUGAUAGGUAUUUGCCUAGAUGGGCAUGUCACCUUGUUGGGCACUUGGCCUUGAUAGACAUAUCAUCUAGAUGGGUGUUUUGCCUUGAUGGGCACUUGGCUCUGAUGAGCAUUUUGCCUAGAUGGGUAUUUUGCCUUCUUUGAUAUUUCGUAGGUUGGAACUCUAUAGGUUGUAGGGUUGUGUUUUGGGUUCUAUUUUCCAGGCACACAUGUGUAGGGGUAGGGAAAUGCUGCCUUUCCGCCUGGUUUUAGCUCCAGAUGUGCUUAUUGCCAUGCCACAAUUUUUUUCUCGGGACUUGAGUAUGCUUGUAAGUAUUGUUUUGCUUCUUCUUGUUGUGUUUAAGGGUAAGUUGAGUUUUUUUUCGUACUCUUACAUUUUCUCUCCAUCUUUCUUUGUCUUUAUUCUGUUGUGCAGAUGAAGUGUUGCAUCAAGGAUUUUAGUAGGUGAAAGGGUGAGUUUCACUACCACAUUGCUGAAACUGACUAACUGAGGCAAGUCGGGUACUUCUUUUGCACCUAAGGCUUUUGGUCGAGUGCUUCUUGGAACCUAAGGCUAUGGUCGGGUGCUGUUUAGCACCUAAGGCUUUUUGGUUGAGUGCUUCUUUGGCACUUAAGACUUUGUUGGGUACUAUGCUUGGUUGGGUACUACUUGGGCACCCUAGGCUUUGUUGGGCACUAGGCCCAGUUGGAUGCCACUUGGGCACCUUAGGCUUUAUUGGGCUUUAAGCCUGGUUGGGUGCUACUUGGGCACCUUAGGCUUUGUUGGGCACUAGGCCUAGCCAGGUGCUACUUGGGCACCCUAGGCUUUAUUGGGCUCUAAGGUUGGUCGGGUGCUACUUGGGCACCUUAGGCUUUGUUGUGCUCUAGGCCCAGCUAGGUGCCACUUUAGCACCUUAGGCUUUAUUGGGCUCUAAGCCUGGUCAAGUGCUACUUGGGCACCUUAGGCUUUAUUGGGCAGCCUAGGCUUUAUUGGGCUCUAAGCUUGGUCGGGUGCUAUUGGGCACCUUAGGCUUUAUUGGGCUUUGAACUUGGCCAGGUGGUAAUUGGGCACCUUAGGCUUUGUUGGGCUUUAGGCCUGGGUGGGUGGUAAUUGGGCACCCUAGGCUUUAUUAGGCUUUAGCCUUGGGUGGGUGGUAAUUGGGCACCUUUGACUUUGUUAUGCUUUGGCCCUAGUUGGGUGGUAAUUGGGCACUUUAGGCUUUGUUAAGCUUUAGGCCUGGUUGGGUGGUAUUUAGACACCUUAGGCUUUUUGGGUUUAAUGGUUUUUCAUACCUAAAAGUUUUUUUUUUUUUUUUUUUUUUUUUUUUUUUUUUUUUUUUUUUNNNNNNNNNNNNNNNNNNNNNNNNNNNNNNNNNNNNNNNNNNNNNNNNNNNNNNNNNNNNNNNNNNNNNNNNNNNNNNNNNNNNNNNNNNNNNNNNNNNNUUGCUUCCCCAUUUGGGGAUCUUUGCUUUUAGAUGGAUUAGGCCAUUUGGUAAGACUGGGAAGUUCUUCUUUGGUAGUGUCACCAGCGCCUCUUUGUCCACUGAUAGCGUUUGGGCAGUUGCAUCGAGUCAGGCCACCAAGAUCUAGUUCUCCCUUUUGAUUCAUUUAACAGUUCUUCUUAGUUUGUCCAGCUACCUCGAUACUUUGUUAGCUACAAUUCAGUUGUUUGUUGUGGCCACUCAUAAGUUGUUGGGGUGACACACUCACCAUCAAUGUAGUUAGCUGCCAAUGUAGUCACCAUGGUUGGCUUUUGUUUCAUUCCCAUAGACAAUGCCAAUUGUUGGUGCACAACCUUUCUGGAUGUGAUGAUUUGGUGACUAUCUAGGUUGCUAGCCAAUCUUCUAUUGUCACCUCCUUUAUUGGUGGGUGUCUUGGUUCUCUAGGAAAAUGAUAUAUAUAUUUUUUUCUUGUUCUUCUUCCUCCUUUCUAGGCUAGAGUUAGACGUUGGAGGUUGUGUGGAGUACAUGAUUAGCUUGGCAGGUUUGUGUUAGGCAGUGUGUGGCCGACUAUCCCUGACGCUUCCUGUUGAUGUGACAAGAUUAUGUUUUCCUUAGAGAUUUGUUCCUCAUACAUGUCUUAUGGUUGCCUUUGGUAUUCAUGCCACAUGAUCCAUGUUGGCAGCCUAAAAACUUCUUCCCAGUGACCAAUUUUUUAGUUCUUCUAGGAUCAAUUGGGGUGGGCUCUCAGAUCACUGUAGGUUUAAACAAAGUCAGGAUGACUUCUCGAUCGGGAGACAAUAUUCAGCCGAUACAACAUCCGGGUACCCCUUCUCGGCAAAAUUCGGCACCCUUAGGAGGCAGCUUUUAUAGCGAAAUCUGCCACCCUCAACCCGAGUAAGCAGGUAAACCCACAGGUUGGUUGGCUUCUAUGGUUUGUACCUCCAAUUAUAAUGGAAGUAUAAAUUUUAAAAAGAUUCAGUGAUUGUAGGAUUCAAUUCUAAUGCUCUUAUAGUAGCCAAGGGUCCUCGAACUCAUGGUAGCACGCAGACAUGUCNNNNNNNNNNNNNNNNNNNNNNNNNNNNNNNNNNNNNNNNNNNNNNNNNNNNNNNNNNNNNNNNNNNNNNNNNNNNNNNNNNNNNNNNNNNNNNNNNNNNNNNNNNNNNNNNNNNNNNNNNNNNNNNNNNNNNNNNNNNNNNNNNNNNNNNNNNNNNNNNNNNNNNNNNNNNNNNNNNNNNNNNNNNNNNNNNNNNNNNNNNNNNNNNNNNNNNNNNNNNNNNNNNNNNNNNNNNNNNNNNNNNNNNNNNNNNNNNNNNNNNNNNNNNNNNNNNNNNNNNNNNNNNNNNNNNNNNNNNNNNNNNNNNNNNNNNNNNNNNNNNNNNNNNNNNNNNNNNNNNNNNNNNNNNNNNNNNNNNNNNNNNNNNNNNNNNNNNNNNNNNNNNNNNNNNNNNNNNNNNNNNNNNNNNNNNNNNNNNNNNNNNNNNNNNNNNNNNNNNNNNNNNNNNNNNNNNNNNNNNNNNNNNNNNNNNNNNNNNNNNNNNNNNNNNNNNNNNNNNNNNNNNNNNNNNNNNNNNNNNNNNNNNNNNNNNNNNNNNNNNNNNNNNNNNNNNNNNNNNNNNNNNNNNNNNNNNNNNNNNNNNNNNNNNNNNNNNNNNNNNNNNNNNNNNNNNNNNNNNNNNNNNNNNNNNNNNNNNNNNNNNNNNNNNNNNNNNNNNNNNNNNNNNNNNNNNNNNNNNNNNNNNNNNNNNNNNNNNNNNNNNNNNNNNNNNNNNNNNNNNNNNNNNNNNNNNNNNNNNNNNNNNNNNNNNNNNNNNNNNNNNNNNNNNNNNNNNNNUUCUAUCUAUGAAAAUAGUCAAGCCAAAAAUACAAAUUAUUCCCUCAUACAUUCUAUAGUUUUACCAUGUAUACGGAAUUUAAAUUAUUGUACUAGUGAGUAGAAAGUGAGUUAAGGUCUUCGACAACAAGGUCUCCAAGCAACCAUAUUUCCCCAUUUUAACCUCGCUACUGCCAUUGAUGCGGUAGUAGAGUAUAACUGGCACAUAUAGAUAUGUCGGAAGAGCAAUCGAGAGCAGAUAGCUUCAAAUUCUGAAUGUGAGGUUCAGUUGGAGACUGGUUUUAUUAGCCUUUUAGAUAUGAUUUGAACCUCUAUUUUAGACAAGAACUUGGAGCUUCUUAAUAUAUGUAGUACAACUCCUUUGGUCAUGUAUAUAUGUGCAUAUUGCCUUGAAUUCAUUCAAUAAUUCAGCCAUUGGGAUAGACAACAUACAAUUACUUGGCAACACAAUAUUAAAACUUUCAGAAUAUCACAAAAUUUGAUUGAUGUCAAAGACUCAUUCUGGACAUUUAGGAUAGGAGGUUACAAUAAAGCCAUUAACUGUACACAUAAGUUCAUUUGCAAGAAUUGGGAACCAAUUUAUAAGGUCAAGUAUAUUCGCUGUCAACAAGAAUGACGCCCUCCGAUUUAAGAUCUCUACUUAGGAGGAGCCCUGUUUGAUCAAGAUUCUAGGAUCAAGCAACAGAGUCAAAGUCAAAUCAAGAGCAACGUUCCAACUUGUCAUGAAGACCAAGAGUAGUAAUUGCUUCAGAGCAAGCAGUGAAAUUAUUUGCAAUCAGACAAUCAUCUUCUUCUUCAAGAAAUGCUGUAAUGAAAUUCUUACCAGUUGUGUCUGAUUCUUCAAAACACGAAGUUAGCAAACAGAUUGUUCAUAUAUAAUGUCAGUUGGCAUAAAUGUAGUGUUCAAUCACCAAGCCACAAAGAUGAUACAACCGAACAGUUGCAGCAGGAAAACUUGGUUGUUUAUUCAAAAUCAAGUAAAUCUCUAGGUCCCUCAUACCACGAUUGCUCCCAAUCUUUAGGUCUUGGCGUAGACAAUUCCUUCCUUGUCUAUGUGGACAGAACAAUGCUUGCUUUUCUAGCUGUUGUCUUUCACCAUGGUCUGUAGAAAAAAUGUCCAGAAAAACAACUAAUGAUCAGUAGAAGUGUAAAAGGGAAGAAAGAAAACUACUGAUAGAUUGGAUCAGUCAUCUUCUUCAUUAGAUCAUUACAAACAGUUGGCUUCGAAAAAUUUGAAGUUAAUCAACUUCAAUCAUGACAGAUAUUUAUUUUUCCUAAAAGAAUGUAAAUGUAUGGUUUCUCUUUGAGUACAGCUCUCUACAGCACAAAAAUAAACAAAUACUGUGGUCAAAGCUGUCAAUCAAAAUCCCGCUAUCCAGAAUGCAUGGCAAUGGCUGAUCCAAAUGGCCAUGUACUAGUACACUUACUAAGAUUUCCUUCAAGAAUCAUGUACAAGUGACCACCACUGUUCUCAGUGUCCAGAGGCAGUUUCCAUACUCAUCUCCUUCUCCAUGAGGCUCAUGUAGUUAUUGGAAGGAUUCAAUAAAUAAUCUCGAAACCCAUGAGCGUUUUUGGCCCAAAGAAAUUCAGCAUAUGACAUAAUUUUUUGUACAUAUAAGUUUAUGAAAUAACCAUGAUUACUAGAUGGGAAAAGUGUGUUUUCAUCCGCUGAUACGACUAUAUCAGUAAAAUGAGAACCAACUUUUCCUAUUUCAAAUUAAGUCACAUCAAAUUAAGCAGACUCUGAAAAAUACUGAUCUCCAUCUCAUAGUUUGUGAAUGGAUCAUAGACUGAAAAUGAAUUAUAUGUAAUCUACUUAAUUUACCAAAGGUAAUGAAAUCUAAUUUACAAUCAAAUUAAUUAAGACACUAAGAUACUAAUCACUACUAUACGUACAUAAAUCAUAUUACAUUUCUGUAACAUUACUUUUCUUCAAUACUUCCCCUGAUCAAGUUACAUAUCAAGAACUGAAAAAAUUGUAAGGCAAUCAAAUGAAACAAACCAAGAAAACAACAAUAUUAAAAGAGUUAUGAAAUAUCACCAGAUGAGAUCCAACAGUAAAUUAAGAAACUUUAUAUAAUCUUGCUUACCUUAGGGCCAUGUCUGGAGGAGUUCCAAUUGUAGGCCUAGGGCCAAUGUUGAUAGGCAGAUGCCCAGAUCUUAGACACCCUCAAGAUGAACAGUAGCAGCUACUCUAGGCGCUCCUACUGCACAGGCAAAAAACAAGUUAGUCAAUGUUUCUUGGCUAUUGGCUUUGGCUUGGACCUUGGUGGUUGUCAAUUUUAGAUAAAUAUGUUAAUAAUCCAAUGAAUAUAUUCCAAGAUUGAUGAUAUAUAUGCAAUAUAUCAAUUUGGAAAUGUCGAUAUAAACAUUUAAGGAAUUUAAAUUAGUCAAUUUUCAACAAUCUAGCACUCAAAAGUGUACAAAAUGAUUAUAACUUGAAAGUUUGAAUAUAAACUGAGGUACAAUAUUCCUAGAGGCUCAAGUCUCCCUAGAAGAAGGCAUCACAUCACAUAUUUAUGUGGCCUUAUGUUUGAGGUAAGCACCUUAUCUAUUGGCGAGUUCAUCAAUAAUAAGCUUUUUGCAAGAAAUUGGAGACCUAAAAUUACUCUAAUACUCCUUUUCUUGAAUAUUAAAUUUUCUUAAAAGUGUUAUCGAUUAUCAAACAUUUUUUUCAAUGGUGGAAACUAGUUUGCUACCAAAGUGAAGGUCAAAGUCCUAAUUAUCAUUUCGCUAAACAAUGUAAUAUAUUAUUAUACAAUUAUUGCUUUUAAAAGAAAAUUUACAAGCCAACCAGCAAAAUUUAUGAUUAUACCUUUUUCCGACUUCACUCACGCCAUUGAGCUUUAUAAUUUGAUGAAACAAGCCUAAAUCAAAAUUAUACAAAAAAAAAAAAAAAAGAAUCGGAGAAAACAAACUUGUAAGCACUAAAUUUUGUACUUGAAAAGAGGAAAUAGGAUGCCAAUUGUAGGUUUAAUUUAAAGAAACCUUAAAAAUAUUUUUAAAAUUAUAGGAAAACCCCUGUACCUUAGAAAGAUUGGGGCGAACAGUCUACCUUUUGGCGAUGUUCACAUCUUGAGAGGAAUGACUUCUUUCUUAGUAGAUCUGAUGAUGGUGUUGAUCUUUGGGAAGAGAUGAUUAGAAGGCUGCGUUGAAUUUUAGUGAGUGAGAGAGAAAAGAACACCCAAAACCCUAAAGCAAAAAAGGAAUUAAUAACUUAAAUAGAUUCCAUUUUUUCCUUAUGACGUGUCUACCUUAGUAAGGUUUUUAUGGCAGUGAUACCAUUUGGAUAAUUAAGUCAUUGAUUUUGAUGGAUCUUUUCCAUUUGAAUUUUUAAUAUAUAAACUUAAUCUUUUUACUUGGGGUAAUAUAUUUGGUAUUUUAUUAUUUACUUUUUAAUAAUAUGCUUUUAGUAGAUUGUUUAACUAUGUCCUAGUGUAAUAAGUAGUCUUGCAUUACAUUAUCUACUAUGGAGUAGGAGUGUGUUGCUUGUUCAAGGGAUGUAUGGGAAGUUGUUUAUUUGAUGAUAUACUUUAACACUUAGAGUCACGACUUGAGCUAAUAAGUUUAUCAAGAUCUAAGCAUUGAUGGUGUUGCUACUCUAUUGUAUAGCAAGGAUCCAAUUAGUCACAUUGUAGGACAAAACACUUAUAGACAAUUGAUUCUACUACAUUCAAGAUAUUGUUGCUUAAGGGGAGGUAGAGUCAAAACAAGUAGACAAUUGAUACAACUACACACACAACAUAGAGACAAAACACAUGAAUAAUACUAUGGUUGAAUAAAUUAAUUGGAUGACAUCAAGCUAACAUUGAUCUAGUAUAAUUAUUUUGGAGCCUAAAUGAGGAGUAUGAUGAUGAGAUGAUAAUUAUUUUGUCAUCAACAUAGUGAACAACAUAAAUUAAAAUCUUGAAAUGUCACCUUAGCCAACCUAGUAGAAAUGAUUCAUCAAAAUAUUUGAAUGUGAGAUCUUAAAUUGGUGUUUGACCAAUAAAUAUGGUAAUAAACAUAUAUUAAGUAUAUAUGAAGUGACCAAGCUAAGAUUUGUAUCAUGUUAUUGUAGGGAAUCCCGAAUCUCUUUGUUCCUUAUCCUAUGAUUAGGCUAGGUACAUGCGAUUCUUUCUAAGUUUUUCUAAAUCGUAUGAACAAUGGAAAAAUCGUGUUUUAAAAUAAUAACAAGAUUUAGAAUUUGCAUUAGAAAACAUUACAUUACAUUUGGAUGUUCCCAAAUCUAAUUCACGUAGUAAAGGAGAAGAUCGAAGUUGUCAGAGGUCUUGAACACCCAAGAUCUUCCACCAGAUGACUUUUCCUUGAUUUUAGAUCUUAAUUGGUGAGAAGGAAGGAAGACUAAAAAGGCUAUGGUUCUCUCUCUCUUUGAAUAGUGAAAGAUGGCUCACUUCAAAAAAGUAAUAAAAACCUUAUCAUUUAAGGGGUAUUUAUAGGGUUCCCUAAUUGGGUGUAAGUGACUUAAGCGUACUAAAGGCUUGAAUCAUUUAAUUUAGCUCAAAAUGAGUCUUAAUUGAUUAAUUAACCUAACAUAGUUAUCUAAUUAAUUAAUUAGCUAAAUCUGGAGACUUUGUUCACUUACCCCUAUGCAACCUUGCAUAAUUACCAAAACACCCUUAUACGCAAAAGUGAACUAAGAGUUGUGUCAUCAAGGUAUAUGAGCUUAGGUGGAGACCAUUGAGACCUAUAGGACAGUACUAGCUAUCCCAAAAUCUAAUUUUGAAGUUGAUUUAACAUUCCACUAUAGAGAAUCAAUUGCACUAUAAUACCUUAUGUAAAUAACAAUGAGAUGCUAAGUGGUCGAGCCCAUGACUUAUUAUCCAUUGCAUUCAGUCUCCCUAUGAACUGGUGUUUGUAGUCUAAUAAGGUGAAAACUAUCAACCUUUCAAGACUACUUCUACUAUCUUUGAAUUACAAAUCCUCUUAUUAUGUAUUUAAUUGAUAUAUCUUAACUCUCCAAGAGUCUAUGUUAAGUUCCAUUUAAGAAACUACUAUGACCAUAGUUUACAUGAACAUACCUCCUUAAGAUCACUUAAGGGGACACUCUGUCUCAAUCCUAUUAGAUUUCAUGGUACUUCUAUUACAAAUACUCAUUGUUACAGACUUGCAUCAAUAGUGAACCAAUCCAUAAGGAACAUAUGAUUAGCUUACGAUUUCAUUAGUAGGUCAAAGUCACUACUAACUUUAACACAAAAUCUAUAUUCUCUCAAGGUUAAGAGAUAAAACAAUGAAGCAACUUGGUGAAAUCAUGACUAUUUGAUACCUUUAUGUCAUGAUUCACCAUAAGUCUUGUCUAAUGUGUAACCAUACACACUAGUAUACUCACCAUGGAAAACCCAUCCUUAUAACCAAGACCACCCAUUCCUCUAAUUAUGAAGUAGCGUACUAUAACCUCUAAAGGGUUACCUAAGCCUAUGAAUUGGUUGUGAACAAGUCAUCUACUUACAAUGAAUCCAUUACUUAAAUUUUUUUUGCAACUCCUAAUGCACUCAAGUCAUGUACAAUACAAGAUAUGUAUAUCAAAAUGCUUACAAGGUAUAAUGUAUAGGAUUGGGAUAAACAAAAGUGAACUAAAAGUUAAUUAAUAAAUAAUAAAAUUUUAAAUUUAUUACAUCAUGUCAUGCUUUUAUGAAAUCUUUAAAAUAAUAAGAGCGCCCUUUCAUAAUCAUGAAUUAAACUUUAGUUUCAACUUCUAUCAAAGGCUAAAUGAGAAAAGCUAUCAUAGAGGAGGCCUCAGCCAAUGGGUAAGAUGCACUAUUAUACCAAACAAUAAGUGAAAAAUACAAUUUUAUUAAUACUUGAGACAAAAAAAAAAAGAAAAAAAGAAAUAAAAGGAUGAUUUUACACUCAAACCAAGCAUUUAUUUAUAAUGAAGUGCAGUCUCCAAACGCACAUGUGGACUUAUUGGAAAAUCAUACAAAUUAUUGAAGGACGACCUUAGCUAGGCUAACAGUCUCCUAAAUAGGCCAUCUUUUAUAUAUCUUUGCAUUCAUCCAUCUCCUCAUUGUCUUUGAUUUUAGAUGGUGAGGAUGUGAAAGUAACAGGAAGCAGUGGACGAUUGUUCACAGUGAGGCUUAGCACAUCAGCUCUCGAAUAAUGUCCUACCACAUCGAACUGGAACUUUGCUUUAGGAAUCUCUCCACGAACAUCUACAUAUCAAGUGAUCAUAAAAAUAUUUCAUCAGUCCAUGAUAAAUAUCAUAGAAUAUCAAGCCUUCGAUAAAACUAAGUUUGCAGUCCUCUUAAACCUAAAGAAUCGACUCAUUUGCCUUAUCUGCAUACUGAAAUAUUUGGAUAUAUAAUUGGAGAACUUAGGGCCAUACCAAGAUCAGCUGUGAAGAGGCCUUCUCCUUCAUAAUUCGGUCCUGCUAGAAUUUCGCCAUGGGGCGAAAUGAUGACACUACCUCCAGCCCAAACAAUAGAAUCUGGAGUGACAUCUUCUUCUGUAGGACUGUAAAGAUACUCAGGUGGAGGUGGGUAAUCUUUCCUCCGACAGAACUGGAUGGGUGAAAGAACAUAGCAUCCACCCUCAAUAGCGACGUGUCUCAUUGUAGCUACCCAUGUAUCCCCGGAAUCGGCAGUAGGAGCACAAUAUAUCUCAAUACCUAUAUAGAUGUACAUUCGUAUUUUGUGAUCAAUCAAUCCCAUAUCAAAGCCAUAAUGUAUUUCAAGCCAAAUCAUAUUAGUUAGUGAAGAAAAAGAAAUGGUAAAAGACAUACCUUUGCCAUACAUUGCUGUCCUGAAAAGUGGCAUUCUAUUUUCCCAACAAAUGACCGAACCAAGUUUUCCAUAUGGAGUGUCAUAAACUGGAGUUGUAGAGCAAUCUCCGAAACCCCAGAAGAGCCGCUCCCAAUAUGUUGGCAUGAGUUUCCUAUGUUUUCCAAGGUAAUUACCUUCAGGAUCAAAGAAGAGAACUGUGCAAUACAAUGUGUAUCCAUCUCUCUCAACAACACCUGUCACUAAGUAGACUUUGUAUUUCGCAGCCAUUGAUGCCAAUCUAUCCACUUCAGGUCCUGAAAAUACAUUAAUAUGAGAUCAAAGAUGAAACAUGUAAGCUGAUGGUUCAUCACAAAGCAUAAGUAUAAUUUUUUUCUUGGUUCAUUCAUCAAACGUGUCUUGUUUCAAUAACUAAUUAAGUGGUUCAGUUCUUUAGCUAUUUAAGGGAGAAAGAGAGAGAUAACUGACCCGGCACAUUAAUGGCAGAAGCAUGGUACUUGCGGAAACUUUCUUUCCCUCUUGGCGACUGGUCGGCGAAGUUGUAUCCCCGGGGAUACCCACCGAUAAAUGCUUCAGGAAACACAACCAGUUGGGAUCCUAGUGCAGCUGCUUCUUUCAAAAACCUCUCAGCCUUAUCUGCUCUCAAAAUCACAUUGCAAGAAUUAAUAAUCCACGACUUAGAAAGUAAAUUAAUUGGUUGAAUGGAGAGAAUGAAAAUUAACUUUAAGAGAUCCCGAAUGACUUUUUGGUUGCUGAGAAAACUCAAGGAAAAACAGACCUAGAUGAAACUUGAAACUCUCAUAUUUUCAGCUGUUUUGUAACUAAGAAAAGAGAAACCACCUCAACCCAACUCAUCAAAAUAAUUGUAAAAGCAGUAAUUCCUUGAUUGGCAGCUGAAAAUAUGAUCAGGGUUCAAUCAUCCUUUUCUUUUUUUCAGUCUCUGAGAAACCAAUUAGAUCACAUAUUCCAUUACACAAGUUGCACAAUUGAAAUUAAUGGUACGUUACCUAGAGUGGCAGGAGUAUCAUAAAAGAUACUAGAAGCUUGAACAACGGUGGCUCUGACAGUUGAAGACAUUGCAGAAAUCGUAUGCUUUUUCGUUUCCCUUUUGUUUGAGGAUGCCUUACACAAAGUUCAGUAUAUAUAUUGCCCAUGAACAUGAGGUUCCUCUGCCAUUACUUGAACGAGACGAAGAGGCUGUGAAAAGUCUGCCUUGGUUUUCUAUAUUCAUUAUGAGCUUUUCUCCUCAUCACAAAUUUUUAAGUUAUCCGCAGACAUUGUGGACCAGCGACAUGACUUGUACAAAUUGAAAAUGACUGUCAUCUGUGAAAAGUAAUUUAAGAUAAAAUUCAAUUCAUGGUUUGAUAGUUUUAGACAAACAAAACAAGUCUUUUUUGCCUUAGAAAAAGGCCUCAACCAAUUAACACACAUACCCAAAUUAUUAGGCUUUUAUUUUCAUUUCUUUUAUAUAUAUAAUGCACAAAGAUAAAUUGUCUUUAGUGUUAAAGCUGAGGCCUUUUAUGACCUCAGCCAUAAAAGAAAAAAAGAAUAGUCAUUAAAAGCACAAGAUAUUUGUCAUUUUUUUUUACAAAAACGACUGAGUCGUACAUAGUGUUAUAGUUUUAGACGCCCAAAAGAAGUCUUUUUGUGCCUUGUAAGAAAACCUCAGCCAAUUCAAGAUGAUCAUCUUUGAACGAAAAGAGGGAGCCGCCCACAUGCAUGGAUUCCAUCCAUGACGUGUACUAUAUAUCUAUAAAACCCAGCAUAUAGCUAAAAACUGGGUCUGACCUUAUGUAUUGGUCCCUACCAAAAAUUAAUGAGUGAUUCCGUCACCCCAGAAUGAAAGGGGUGAUCUCAUAGUUCUUGGUCUGUGAAGAUGCGUUGUUAGGUGCUCCAUUUUAUUUUCCCAUUGAGGCAGAACCUAAACGUUACUAACAUGUUUACUUUCAUUGUGGGUAAUGUGUUUGGGUUCAAAGGCAGCUAUGGUAGAAAAAUAAAAAGGAAGAACUAUGCUUACCCUCACGUUGAUUCAAGCAAAUAUAUUUUUUAGGAAUUCUAAUUUUCAUAUUUCACCCCAAACACAUAAUAAAUAAAUUUAUUCUUCAAAUAUGUAUUUUAAUAACAACCAAAAUGAGAAUUCUAUAGUUAUCCCUUUUAAAAUCUUUAAUAUGACAAGUCAUCAUUUGAUCUAUUUGAUAGCUCUCCCACUUUUUUUUUUUCUCCUCUUCAUCACUUUCUCCAUAUAAUGUCUUUGAUAUCCUUUCCAUAUCAUGUCUUUGAUAUCCUAACUUUGACAUUUUUUUAUUUAUAUACGCUGAAGUGAAUACACUUUCAUAUUUCUUUUCAUUCUUUUAAUAUUUUCAUAUUUAUUAACUUAGUCAUUUUUUUGAAACAUUAACAUAAAAUUAUAAUAUAUGAUCAAUAACUAAUGAGAACAAAUUAAACAUAAAUAUAAGUAUGGAAUGGAGAGAAAAUAAAAUUUUAUCCUACAAAUAAUACAUAAAUAGUUUAAAAUAUUAAUUAUAGUAAUAUAUUUGAUACUUUAGGGUUUAGAUUAAAAAAUUAUGUUUUAUUUUUUAGAGGCUAGGAUAUAGGAUUUCCAUUAACCAAAGAUUUUUUGUAUGAAUCCUAAAUAAAAUGUGUAUUUAUUUUGCAAAUUCUUAUCAUAUAUAAAUAAAAUAAAAUAAAUAUAUUUUUAUCAUAUUAUUUUUAAUUUUUAUUAUUUUGUGUCAAAAUCAUAGUCAAUGAUAUUGGUUUUUGUUAUGAUAUUAGCUCUUAAAAGGAUGUUAUGAUGUAAUAAAUAUGAAGUUUAUUAUUUAUUUAAUGGUAUUUUGAUUUCACUUUUAUUAAUCUUUAUUUCAUUCAUUUUACCUUAUGAGUAUUCUAGCCUGACAUUUCUUGCACUAUACAUAACUUGGGUGCAUUAAAAAUUGCAUGAAAGAUCCAAGUUAUAGGUUCCUUGCAAGUGAAUGAUUUGUUCACAACUGCUUUGUGAACUUAAGCAAUCCAUUUGAUGUUGUAGUUCACUAUCUCUUCAUUAGAGGAAUGAUUGAUCUUGACUAUCGAGAUAGAGUUCUCAUGGUGAGUACACUAGUAUGAUGAGUUAUGAUGUAAACUUGUUGGAUAGUCAUAACUUCACUAAGUUGUUAUAUUGUAUUGUUUUCUCAACCUUGAGAGAAUAUUGAACUUGUGCCAAAGUUUGUAAUUAUUUAACCUAUGGGUGAGAUCAUAAAGUGAUUAUAUAUUCCUUACGAAUUGGGACAUAGUAGAUAGAAGUCGGUAGUAAUAAGUAUUUUCAAUAGAGACAUCAUGAUAUCUCAUGGAAUUUGAGAUAGUGUUGGGUGAUAAUAAGGACAUGUAAUCAUGAAGUCUAUGGUUGCAUUAAUUCUUUAAAUGAAGUUUGAUAUAUGCUUUUGUGAGUUAGAGUAUGUUAGUUGAUCAUAUAAUAAGAGAAUAUGUAACUCAAGGAUGGUAUAGGUAAUAUUGAAAGGCAAAUAACUUUCACCUUAUUAGAUUAUAAACACCAAUUCAUGGGGAGACUAUAUGCAAUAGAUAGCAGGUCAUGAAGUUAAGCAUUUUGUGUCUUGUUGUAAUACACAUAGGGCAUUGAAAUGUAAUUGACUUUCUAUAGUAAGAUGUUGAGCCAACUUUAAAAUUGGAUUAUAAAGGAGCCAAUACUAUCUUAUGGGUCUUAGCAGUCCUCGCUCAAGUUCAUUUAUCUCAAUGACAUGGUUUGUGAGGGUUGGAUUGACUCAUGAUUCACUUAUGUGCAAAAAGGCAUUUUGGCAAGUAUGCAUGAAUGCAUAAGAGUUUGUUGGGAUAAAACCUUAUAAAUCAUGACAUGAUGUAAUAGAUUUAGUUUCAUUAAUAAAUAUAUUUAUUUACUAUUCUAGUUCCCUUAUAUUAUCCCAUUGGCAUUAAUUGGUUAUCAAAGUAUUUGCGUCCAUAUCACUUGCAUUGUACAUGACUUAGGUGUAUUAGGAGUUGAACAAAAAAUCCAAGUCAUGGGUUCUUUGCAAGGUGAUAAGUAGUUUAUAGUGGGUUCAUGGAUUUAAGCAAUUUAGUAGAGACUAUAGUGUACUACCUCCUAAUUGGAAAGAUGACUUGUCUUAGUCACCGAGAUGACUUUCCCAUGAUGAGUGAAACAAUGUGUAUGGUUACACAUUGGACAUGACCUAUGAUGAAUUAUGACAUUAAUUGUUGGGUAGUCAUGAUUUACCAUGAUACUAUAUUGUAUAAACUCUCAACCUUGAGAGGAUAUUGAGUUUGUGCUGAAAUCAAUAGGAAACUUUGAUCUAUGGGUGAGAUCCUUGUGUGGUCAUGUAUUCCUUACAAAUUGGGUCACGGUUGAUGAAGAUUGGUGGCAACAAGUAUUCUUAAUAGAGAUACCAUAAUAUCUUAUGAGAUUAAGACAACGUGUCUCUUGGGUGAUCCUAAAGACAUGUGAUUAAGAUGACUACAACCAUAACAAUCCCUUAGUAGAAUUUGACAUAUGCUCUUUGUAAGCUAGAAUAUGUCAAUUGAUCACUUAAUAGGAGGAUUUGUAACUCAAGGAUUGGAGAGAUAAUUUUGAAAGGUUGGCAUCAUUACCUUGUUAUAUUACAAACACCGGUUCAUGGGGAGUCUACAUGCAGUGGAUAGUAGGUCAUAGACCUAAACUUUGCCUUGUUGUAAUUAUAUAGCAUAUUAGAGUGUAGUUGACUCUCUUUAGUAGGGUGUUAAGUUAACCUUAGAAUUGGAUUCAAAGUGAGAUAGUAUUUUCCUAUAGGUUCCAAUGGUCCCUGCUCAAUCUGGUGUCACAUUUGUUUGAGGGAUUUUAGGUUUGUAGUUAACAAGUGUGCAUAAGGGGGAAUUUAAUAAAAAUACAAGGUUGGACUAGAUCUUGUGAAUAGACUUUCUAGAUUGGCAUAAUUUAUUAAUUGGAUUCUAAUAGGGCUAAUUAAUUAAUUAGGACCUAAGUGAGCUAAACCAGGUAACCUAAGCCCAAUUUGGGCUCAAGUCACUAAAGUUCACAAGGAAGCUUAUAAAUAACUAUUUAAAGCCCAUUGGGUUUUAUGAGUAACUUAAGCUUGCCUUGGGUUUGGGUAACUUAUUAUAACCUAAAAAGGUUCUUAAUUGAGGGCUUAGAUUAAUCAAUUAACUUAGUCUAAAAGUACAAUUCACCAAAUUUAUUGGAAACUUUGAAUUACUCCAUUUCAUGACCCAGGAUCAUAUAGGGUGCAUGCAACUAUCCUUACGCUUCUCUAGAUCUAAUGCAAUGGAAAAAUAUGGAUAUAAAAUCCAUAAAAUGUACUAGAUUUAUAGAUUAGAACUCAUACCUAUGAUUUGAAUGUUUCUAAAUUAAAUCCAAUCCCUAAAAGACAUCAAAGAUGUUUUAAAAGUCAUUUAUUGAACAAUUUUCCACCCAAUCUCUCCUUUCACAGAUAGACCCUAGCAUAAAAGAAGGGUAGGCUUAUGUCCCUUCUUUUUUAAGGUAGCUAGGGUUUGCUCAUUCUUUUAGGGCAUCAAACUCUUAGACUUUUACUUUUUCCAUUCUCUCCCACGUGUCUAGAGAGAAUCUAGUCCCCACUCUUCUAAAUAUCUAACAUUUGAGUUCGUAGCUUUAAUGAUGAGCCAUCAAAUAGAAAACCAAUAGGUUUGCAAGAUUUUCGAUGACCCCUACACAUUUGAUAACCUCCUUGACUGCAAAAAUUUGAUUUGGGAAUAUCUAGAUCUUGGUAAAUACUUCUAAUCUAUAGAUUUAGAUCUAAUUUCUAUUUUAAAGGUGAUUUUUUUUUCAUUGCUAGGGUCUAGAUAAGCCUAGGAAAGUUUGCAUGCACUUAACGAGAUCUAGGGAUAGGGAACUUAGUGAUCUAUGCUUUCUUGUAGUUGUAGCUUUUUGCUUUUAAUUUUAACUUGAGUGUACUUUUGGCUUUUUCUUGCUUAAGCUUUUAAUUUUUUUUGAAUGAUGUACAAUGCAUUUAUUUUUUUAGAGGAAUGUAUUUAUUUUUCUUAAUGAUGUACUUUCUUUUUUGAAGGAUAUACUUAAUUUUAUAACAAAUGUAUUUAAUUUUUUCUAAAGAAUGCACUUAUUUUUCUAAGGGAUCUAGUUGUAUGGCAUAAGAUGUCCUCUCAAGCAGAGGUGGAGGUACUAUAGAUUUUGUAAUAGGCACAAUGAUUGCUAAGGUGGUAUGUGAUGGAGGGACUAGUAUAAAAGCCUGAAGUAAGGGUGUGUCCAAUGAUAUAAAUGGCUCAAGUAAGUAAAGAGAAAAUGGUGUGGAAAUUCAAGUAGGGAAGAAAGGGUUGGUAUGGAUUCAUCGGGGGAAGGAAAUGUAGGUUCCAUGAUACAGAUACCUAAAGUAAGGGAAUAGUAGAUAAUGUGUAAGCCCUAAGUGGGGGUUGUUGAUGCUAGGUCAACUGAAGAUGGAAUCCCUUGGUCGUGGCAGCAAAAAGGUUCUGUCCAAAAGUUGGAGACUGGGCUUUCACCUUCCCUGCACAAAGAUGUCUGGACACACUCUCCAAAACCUAAGUCAGACUUUGAAGUGGGCAGGAACCCUUAGAGAUAGAGAGAGAGAGAAGAUGAGAAAGUCCUUAGUAUUGCGUACCUAGGUUCUGGUUCCAAGAGGGUUUUUAUAGUGUCUAGGAUGGAGUCACUAUUGUGCUGAGUUAACAUCUUGACUUUUGUCGUCAUGAUGGCAGCACAGUGGAUGGCAGGGUAAUCAUCACCAUUUAAGCGGUUGGCAGGGGUUGCUGUGGGUAUGUUAUGAUGGUUUGCCUGUCACCUCAACCUAUUGGAGGUAUGAGGCAGUGUGUGAUAGUCGUCUGAUAUGAACGUGGAGACAAGGUAAGAUCCCAUCCCCCAUACUUUUUUUAGAAAAAAAUGAUUUCCUGCAGCAGAGAGAUAGAGUAACCAUCCGGAAUGCGCUGGCAAUUUAAGGGAGCCUAGUACUGCCGGUUGGUAGCAUGUAUAGUCCAGACUAGGACCUUCGAGUCUGAUGAUGAUCGUCCGGACAACAUUGAGAUGAACACCACAUGGGCCAGUAGUGGUUUGCCACAUGGGGGAAGAUCUCCACAGGGGUGACAAGGUUGGAAUGAAGGUAUCAUGGAAGAGGAAAUAUGAGUCUCUGACAGCUUUGACUUAUUUCUUAAAAUGAAGAUAUAAAUUGUUUUUAACUUUAAGUUACAUCAUUAAGUUCUUUUAAUAAAUAUACUUUACUUAAUAACUAAAAUUAAGUUAUUAAGUCACUUUAAGUUAUUAAGUUAAUUUACCAAACGCCUACUAAUUUUCAAAUUCUAAGUUUAGCUUUGCUUUGUAGUGAAUGCAUUUAGGAUUAUCAAAGAGGUCAUCAAGGGUUUCAAACAUAUUCUAUUGCUCAACUUCUCAAAGAGGGACUUCAGAAGAGAAGAUUCCAUAAUUCUAGUUUUGUAUUCGAUUGUAUGUAUCCUACCACAUGGAGACGAUUCCUCAGCAUGCUGAUUUAUUAUUAAGUGCAUGUGAAUUACGUACGGAAUUCCAAUUGAUAUGAACAUAAAAUUAAUUGAAUUAUGUGACAUUUUUUUUACGCAUAAUAAAACAUAUACAGUUGGAAGAUAUCUCGAGAUUCUGAUUUUAUAUCUGGCCCUCAAAAUUCUAUUUCACUGUCAGGUUGUGGAGCAUAUCCCUUGGCAUGCUGAUAUGUCAACUAUUGAAAAAUCUGCAACCAUUUUCUAUAUUCAUGAGCUUUUCUCCUGUUCGAAUUAGUUUUGAAGUUAUCUACAGACAUUGAUUGUGGACUAACUACAUGACUUGUACAAAUUGAAAAUUACUUCAGUCAUGUGUAAAAAAUAAUAAGAGAUAACAUUCAUUAAUUGUGGAUAAAUUGUCUAUAUGACUUUAAAGAAAAAAAGGUCAUAAAAAAACUGAUUGCCUUGUGGAUACGCCUACCAGUAGAUAGCUGAGAACAAGGUCUAACUCUCAACCUUUUGUACUGCCUCUACAAAGGAACACAAAUUUGAGAGAUUCAAAGGCAGCUAUGGUAUAAAUACUGUUUCAUAAAUUACUUUUCAAAUUUAAUUUGGUAGCAAAAAUAAAAAAUAUAAAAGCUUAAAAAAUUUGUUUCAUUCCCAAAAUUUUUGCAAAUAAAAUUUUAAAUAAAUUAAGACCUUGACUCUUUUCACAUCUUAUUCUCAUUUCUAUCAAAGCAAUGAUAGUAAUAAUAUCUUAUGUAUAAAUUUUAAAUGAUGUAAGAUCAUUGAAUUUUUAUUUUCUUUUAACUUCUUGUUAUGUAGUUAUCAAACAUAUUUUUUUUUAAGACAAGAAAAAAAUUAGACCAAACAAAUAUAUUUGAUAUUUAUAACAAUUGAAAACAUAAUUCGUAUCAUUUUAAAAAAUAAUAAAAGCAAAGGUGUAUCAAAACAAUACCUCAUUUGCGUAAUUAGUUAUCACAUUUCCUAAGUACAAAAGUAGGCAAGUAAAUUUUUGCUCAAGUUACAAUAGUGCUCAAAAUCCUUACCCAAGACUUAGAUCCUAUUUCACUUUUUUUCUUCCUUAGAACAAAAAACAAGAAAAUGUGUUUGACAACCGGAAAAUAAGGUUGUGGACCCCGCAUUUUGCUUGAUGCGUUCCCACUCGAUGGUGAAACUCGUUUUUUUUAUUUAUUUGGUGAAAAAUCGAUUUUUAGAAAAAGACUUGAAGUCGCCACUUAUUUUUGUUUUGUUUUUAAAGAGUAAAUAAAAUAAGAAAGAAAACCCUAAGUGUGACUCCUUAUUUUGGAAAAGAUGGUCUGUGAAAAACCAAAUAUGAGCUUGGGGGUCAGGUUACUUAUUGGGAAGGUACGGUAAAAACUGUAACACCCUUCUAAGUCCCUAAAAAUGGAUCUCUACUAAUAAAAUGAAGCAAGUGUGGAAAAUGAUUGAUCAAUUGUGGAUACCAUACAGUAAUCGAGAGUGUGAAAGCAAGACACGCGUGAUAACAAAUAAAUAAAUAAGCACAAUCGGGUACAAAGCGUACCUUAAUCGCAAGCCAAGAGUUAUCAUAAGAGACAAGAUUAGUGCACAAAUAUGGGAUAAUCGCAUGCAUGUCAUAGAGUGAGGCAAACCAAUCAAACAUAGCAAUCAAUCGAUCAAUGGAAAAUCUCAUGUGUUGGGCCCCACGAAAGCCCGAUUUAUCUUAGUGUAGAUUAACUCCGUAAAUUUCAUUAUUCGAAAUUAUAGAAUUAUUCAUGCUUAUUAAAAAUGUGAAAAUUAGAAAACUAUUAAAAAUCAAGGAGAAUUUAUGAAAAAUGUUUACCGGAAAAAAAUGUGGUGACCAAUUUUAUUAAAGAAUGGAAAAUAUUUAAAAUCAAGAAAAAAAAAAAAGAAAAAUAAAAUAAAAUAAAAUAAAAUAAAAAAUAAAAAUAAAAAUAAAAAUAAAAAUAAAUAAAUGAAUAAAAUAAAAGAAAAUAAAAAAUAAAAAAUAAAAAAUAAGAAUGAAAAUAAAAAAAUAAUAAUAAUAAACAAAUAAAAUAAAAGAUGCAUGACCAGUGGAAAGUGGUAGAGAUUGACUUAUUAGAAUUGGAUUUAUUUAAAACCAUGAGAGAAAAAUUGAAGAAUUAAAACCAUUUGAAAAACAAGAUUUUUUUUUUUUUUGAAAAUUGAUUUUUGAAGGCGUGUAUUUUCCUAUAGGAGAUGAGACAUGUGUCUUAAGGAUGGCCUAUCAAAGGUGGCCAUGCAAGGAUCUUGUGCACUGGUGGUCGAAUAUGGGAUACCAACAACUGAGAUGGCCCAGAUGACUACUGUGGGUCCGGAUGGUUCAGAAUGUCUCUUUCCUUGUGAACCCCUGCAUCCCUUUCCAGCCUAAGUCAACCCCCGAAGCUAUGCAAUUCAGCCAUUUGGGUCCCAAAAUCCUCCUUCUUAGUUCUGAUGCUGACAUCACCAUCUUCUUCAACCUCAACUCUUCCAACAUUGGGUAAACCAUAGCCAUGGCAGCGACCUACGGAUAAACGUUACCUCCCCACCCAUCCGGCACCAGAUUAAAGUCUGUAGAAUGCGGCUUCCCCUUCAGCGCCACUGACCGGAGCUCCGGGAGCCGCCUGAUCACUAUCCCAGGGCUCACAGCGUAGUAGUCCUCGACUCCUCGAUGAAGAUCCGUCAUCGGCUCCACCGCUCCACCUCAUACCACGAUUUGCACACCACAGAUAUCACGUUUCGGUCCUUAUCGGUAUGAAUGAAAGAAAAGACAUGCUCCAAAACCUCUUCCGGAAACGAGUACGCCAUUGAAAAUUCUUUCUUGGAGUUCCGAAUUCACAAACAAACCCUAAAUCGAACUUUUCGAAGUCUCAAAUCCGAGAUGUCAUUAACAAGCUCAGUUGCAGAAUACAUCUUUCCGUUCAUUUCCCCACUGGCUUUGUCCCUGAAGUAUUUGUAGUCCGACAGAUUGUAGGGGAACCUCACUGACAUAUUGUGUUCGGUCUUCUCACUCACCACGACAAGGCUAUAAAGAUAGAGUUGAAACGGCGAAUCAAGAGGCAGCUUUAAGUGAUCGAUUUUACAGAAAGAACCCGCUUCCUCCAUUCCUUCAUUGGAUGAAAUUUUGGAUAAUCAUUCACCAAUUCUAACUUUCAUCUUCACCAAGUCUCGAUGCUUCUUCUUUAAUGAGUGCAACGAAUCUGCAUGUCGGGAGACCAAAUUCUCACGACGCAUAAGAAAAGAAUUUGCACCCGCCGUUACCGAUCCUUCUCCUUUGAUACCAACUCAUCCAUAACUAUGUCAUUUAAUCACUUCUCCAUUUGACCAUCCAUUCCGAACAUGCCCAGAAAAUCAUUGCUACUUCCUGUCCAACACUUAAAAGAAAAAUGACGAUGCCGGGUGUGGUGUUGAAUACAGGACGAAAAUGAGGAGCACGAUGGUGAAAGUGACCAUGCAUAGGGGAAAAAGUGUGGUGGAGAAAUGGGAAGAAUGAAAACAGGUAGUGAGAGAAACGGUGUAACAUAAUGUGCCUAUGCUGUGUUAGGUUAUAUAUGUAAAAACAACUUUUUUGUUUUUGUUUUGAGUGGUUGUCAUGCUUCCACGUGGAGAGAUUUACACAAGUUAAAUCUCUUUGCAUCUGGUUUAAAUUCUGGUGUCUGUACAACAAAAAAGUGAAGAACCGAGAAUACAAAGUGAAAAGAAAUAGGGUCCUCUGUUUUUUUGGGACUGUCUUAACUCCUCUGUUCCAGGUCUGUUACAAGGUGUCACUCUUCCAUUUUUUCUUUCUAUAGCCUUUCUCUGUUUUAGGCUGAAACUGCAGCCAACAUAAUUGGUAUUAGAGCAACCCAUUUCACGAAUCCACCUCUCAAUCUAAUCUUCGAUCCACCUUGCUGUUUCCAAUAUGAUCUAAUCCACUUCUUCUUUUCAAGCCCUUUUAUUUCUUAAAACAUGCCUCUUGUGUAUGGAAUUUUAAGAAAUUUCCUCUGUUUUGGAAAGAGAGGAUACUAGGGUUUCUUUUAAUCUGAAGACCAAAAUCCGAACCUACAAUGUAGCUGAAUUGGUGAUGUUGCUGUGCAAUCAGAUUCUGUCUAGAAACCCUCAAUCCUGAAGCAGACGGACCAAGGACUUGAAGGGUAGAUCAAUGGCCAGCACAAGUGUUACAAGUAUGAGUUCUCAACCUUCUUCUAUUCCAUUAUUUGAAGGAGAAAAUUAUGACUUUUGGUGCGUAAAAAUGAAAACUUUAUUUGUCUCAAGAUGUUUGGGAUUUGGUUGAAAAUGGUUUUGAUGAACCUCCGGUUGAAAAAGAUCAGUUGAAAGAAUUGAAAAAAAUGGAUGCAAAAGCUCUCUUAUUUAUUCAACAAGGUGUUGGUAAUAACAUCUUUCCAAGAAUUAUGAGAGCUUCAAAAGCUAAAGAAGCAUGGGACAUCCUUCAACAGGAGUUCCAAGGAGACAAAAGAACCCAGUCAGUAAAGCUUCAAGCUUUAAGAAGAGAGCUGGAAAAUAUGAAAAUGAAGGAGAAUGAAACUCUAAAUGAGUUUUCUUCCAAAUUUAUGGAGUUAGUAAAUCAGAUGAAGUCAUAUGGUGAAGAAAUUAGUGAUAAAAGAAUCGUUGAGAAACUUUUAAUCAGUCUACCUGGCAAAUUUGACCCAAUUGUGGCUAUGAUUGAAGAAACAAAAGAUCUCUCACUGCUCAGUGUACAAGAGCUAUUUGGGUCUUUAAAAACUUAUGAAUAGAGAUUGUUGAGGCAUUCUGAAAAAUCAGUAGAAAGUGCAUUCCAAUAAAAAAUAAGCCUUAACUCCAGAAAUGUUGAAAGGAAACCUAUAAGCAAUGAAAAUAAAAGUGAUUCAUCUAGAGGUGGUAGAACUGGAUGAGGAAGAGCAAAAGGAAGAGAUGGAAGAGGUAGAGGAAGAUUCAGCUAUGGAAGAAAGUUUACUAACGAGGAAGGCUCAUCAUUCUCAAAGUGUAAUAUUUGUAAAAGAAGUAGUCAUGUUGAAAAAGAUUGUUGGUUCAAAGGGAAGCCUCGAUGCUUCAAUUGUAAAAAAUUUGGGCAUGUUAAAAAAGAUUGCAGAUUUAAGAACAAUCAACAAGCAAGUUGUGCUGAGGAGAAAGAGGCUGAUGAAAACAUGUUUUAUGCUUGUCAAAGUGUUGCUGAGCAAAAGAAUAAUGUGUGGUUCCUUGACAGCGGCUGCACAAACCACAUGACUGGUAACAAAAAUAUUUUCCUUGACAUGGAUACAACCAUCAAAUCAUAAGUCAAAAUGGGUAAUGGUGAUUUAGUGAAUGUUAAAGGGAAAGGCACAGUUGGUAUCCAAACUAAAGUGGGAACCAAGUACAUCAGAGACGUUCUUCUUGUACCAGCCUUAGAGCAAAAUUUGUUAAGUGUGGGACAGCUAGUAGAGCAUGGGUAUAAACUUCACUUUGAAAAUAAUGAGUGCACCAUUUAUGAUAAGGAGCAAAGAAGAAAUUUAGUGAAGAAGAUAAAGAUGGAGAAAAAUAGAAGUUUUCCAAUUGUCUUCAAAUAUGUUGAAAAUGUGGCUUUGAGAAUGGAAGAUGUUGAAGAAGCUUGGUUGUGGCAUAGAAGAUUUGGGCAUUUGAACUUCAAUAGCUUGAAGAUGCUUUGUCAAAGGAAGAUGGUACAAGGAUUGCCAAACGCCAUUGAAGAAAAGAAUGAAGUAUGUGACGGUUGUGCUCUUGGGAAGCAUCAUAGACAAUCAUUUCCAAAGGGAGUCGCUUGGAGAGCAAAGAAGGUAUUGGAGUUAGUUCACACUGAUAUAUGUGGACCCAUGUCUACACCUUCUCAAGGCAACAACAAGUACUUUGUAUUGUUUAUUGAUGAUUUUACAAGAAUGACUUGGGUGUUCUUCAUGAAGCAAAAAUCAGAAGUGUUCUCUAUCUUUAAAAAAUUCAAGAGUUUUGUUGAAAAGCAAAGUGGUUGCUACAUAAAGACCUUGAGAAGUGACAAAGGAAUGGAAUAUACUUCAAGCCAAUUUGGUAAUUUUUGUGAAGAUGAAGGGGUUGAGAGACAGCUUACUGUUGCAUAUACUCCUCAACAAAAUGGAGUAGUUGAAAGGAAAAAUCAAACGGUUAUGGAAAUGGCCAAAGCUAUGUUAUAUGAGAAGGGUUUGCCUAAAAUUUUUUGGGCUGAAGCAGUUAACACUGCUGUGUAUCUUUUGAAUAGAUGCCCAACAAAAGCAUUAUUGAACAAAACUCUGAUUGGAGUAUGGAGUGGAAGAAAACCAUCUGUUAGACACUUCAAAGUGUUUGGGUGCUUAUGUUAUUCACAAGUUCCAAAGGAAAGAAGGAGCAAGCUGGAUGAAACAAGUGAAAAGUGCAUCUUCAUGGGUUAUAGUUCACAGUCAAAGGGUUAUAGGUUGUAUAAUUUGAAAACCAACAAGCUGAUCAUAAGUAGAGAUGUUAUUUUUGAUGAAAAAGCUGCUUGGAAUUGGGAAGAAGGUAAAAUUCUGAAGAAAACAAUUCUUGUUGAUGAACUUCAAACAAAAGCACCAGUUGAAACUGGAAAUGGCAGCACUUCAACUUCAUCACCUCAAGAAUCUCCAAGAUCAGUUCCAUUAUCUCCCUCAAUUGAGUCUCCAACUUCAAGCUCGUCGUCACCAUCCUCAACUCCAAGAAAAAUGAGAAGUUUGACUGAUGUUUAUGAGAGAUGCAAUUUGUGCAUUGUUGAACCUCAAAGUUUUGAAGAGGCAAUAAAAGAUGAAGAUUGGAGGAAAGCAAUGGAAAAAAAAAUUGAUGUCAUUGAGAAAAAUGAAACAUGGCAGCUGGUUGAAAAGCCAAAAGACAAAGAAAUCAUUGGGGUGAAAUGGAUUUUUAGGGUGAAAUGGAUUUUUAGGGUGAAAUACCAUUCUGAUGGUAGAGUUCAAAGGCUUAAAGCUAGAUUGGUUGCAAAAGGCUAUUCACAACAGCCGGGUGUUGAUUUCCAUGAGACCUUUGCUCCAGUUGCUCGCCUUGAUACUAUUAGAACUAUUAUUGCAGUGGUUGCUCAAAAAGGUUGGUUGUUGUACCAACUUGACAUAAAAUCUGCAUUUUUGAAUGGAAAGCUGGAAGAAGAGAUCUAUGUUGAACAACCUCAAGGAUUUGUUGUUGAUGGAGAAGAAAACAAAGUUUACAAGUUAAAGAAAGCCUUAUAUGGUUUGAAACAAGCUCCCCGUGCCUGGUACACUCAAAUUGACAGCUACUUCAUUGAAAAUGGUUUCAUUAGAAGCAAAAGUGAGCCUACCCUCUAUGUGAAGAGCAAAGAUAAUUCCCAAAUCCUUAUUGUUGCUCUUUAUGUUGAUGAUUUGAUUUUUACUGGAAAUGGUGAGAAGAUGGUUGAAAAAUUUAGAAAUGAAAUGAUGAAAAAAUAUGAAAUGAGUGAUAUGGGAUUGUUGCAUUAUUUUUUGGGAAUUGAAGUCUAUCAAGAAGAAGAUGGUGUGUUUAUUUGUCAAAAGAGGUAUGUUGAACAUAUCCUCAAAAAGUUUGGCAUGGCUGGUUGUAAUCCUGUAUCUACUCCUUUAGUUGUGAAUGAAAAGUUGAGGAAAGAAGAUGGAGGGAAGAUGGUUGAUGAAACUCACUUUAGAAGUCUUGUUGGAAAUCUGUUGUAUCUCACUGCAACUAGACCUGACAUCAUGUUUGCAGCAAGCUUGCUGUCAAGAUUCAUGCAUUAUCCUAGUCAUUUACAUCUUGGAGCAGCAAAAAGAGUCUUGAGAUAUUUGCAAGGCACGGUUGAACUUGGAAUAAAAUAUUUCAGGAAUAUUGAAGUGAAGCUAAUUGGCCAUUGUGAUAGUGAUUGGGGUGGCUGUAUUGAUGACAUGAAAAGCACAUCAGGCUAUGCAUUCUCCCUUGGUUCAGGUGUUAUGUCUUGGGUCUCAAAAAAGCAAGGUUUAGUGGCUCAAUCCUCUGCUGAAGCAGAGUACAUUUCAGCUUCAUUGGCAACUUCUCAAGCAAUAUGGUUAAGAAGAAUUUUAGAAGACAUUAAGGAGAAGCAAAAUGAAGCAACACAUCUACUUUGUGACAACAAAUCUGCUAUAGCCAUUGCAAAAAACUAUGUUUUUCAUAGUAGGACUAGGCAUAUUGCAGUGAAGUAUCAUUUUAUUAAAGAAGCUAUUUCAGAUGGUGAGGUUCAAUUGAUGUACUGUAAAUCAGAGGAGCAGGUUGCUGAUAUCUUCACUAAAGCAUUGCCUUUGGAGAAGCUUGUUCACUUCCGAAAGCUUUUGGGAGUAGAGGAACAUCACAUUAGGGGGGAGAAUGUAACAUAAUGUGCCUAUGCUGUGUUAGGUUAUAUAUGUAAAAACAACUUUUUUGUUUUUGUUUUUGUUUUGAGUGGUUGUCAUGCUUCCACGUGGAGAGAUUUACACAGGUUAAAUCUCUUUGCAUCUGGUUUAAAUUCUGGUGACUGUACACAAAAAAAGUGAAGCCGAGAAUACAAAGUGAAAAGAAAAAGGGUCCUCUGUUUUGUGUGGGGACUGUCUUAACUCCUCUGUUCCCAGGUCUGUUCCAAGCUGUUACUCUUCCAUUUUUUCUUUUUAUAGCCUUUCUCUGUUUCAGGCUGAAACUGCAGCCAACAAGAAAAAAGGUGUUAAAACCCAUUUACAGAUAAUCCUACUUUUUCAAGCAGAGUAGUAGGAAGCCUAGAGAGUAUCGAUAGGAAACAUGCAAGUGAGAUGGGUUCAGUUACAUAUAACUGCUCAUGCCUUCUGCUCAUGUUCUGUCCACAGUAUUUAUGUUUAGUAAGCCAUCNNNNNNNNNNNNNNNNNNNNNNNNNNNNNNNNNNNNNNNNNNNNNNNNNNNNNNNNNNNNNNNNNNNNNNNNNNNNNNNNNNNNNNNNNNNNNNNNNNNNAUGGCUGGUUGUAAUCCUGUAUCUACUCCUUUAGUUGUGAAUGAAAAGUUGAGGAAAGAAGAUGGAGGGAAGAUGGUUGAUGAAACUCACUUUAGAAGUCUUGUUGGAAAUCUGUUGUAUCUCACUGCAACUAGACCUGACAUCAUGUUUGCAGCAAGCUUGCUGUCAAGAUUCAUGCAUUAUCCUAGUCAUUUACAUCUUAGAGCAGCAAAAAGAGUCUUGAGAUAUUUGCAAGGCACGGUUGAACUUGGAAUAAAAUAUUUCAGGAACAUUGAAGUGAAGCUAAUUGGCCAUUGUGAUAGUGAUUGGGGUGGCUGUAUUGAUGACAUGAAAAGCACAUCAGGCUAUGCAUUCUCCCUUGGUUUAGGUGGUAUAUCUUGGGUCUCAAAAAAGCAAGGCUCAGUGGCUCAAUCAUCUGCUGAAGCAGAGUAUAUUUCAGCUUCAUUGGCAACUUCUCAAGCCAUAUGGUUGAGAAGAAUUUUAGAAGACAUCAAGGAGAAGCAAAAUGAAGCAGCAUAUCUACUUUGUGACAACAAAUCUGCUAUAGCCAUUGCAAAAAACUAUGUUUUUCAUAGUAGGACUAGGCAUAUUGCAAUGAAGUAUCAUUUUAUUAAAGAAGCUAUUUCAGAUGGUGAGGUUCAAUUGAUGUACUGUAAAUCAGAGGAGCAGGUUGCUGAUAUCUUCACUAAAGCAUUGCCUUUGGAGAAGCUUGUUCACUUCCGAAAGCUUUUGGGUGUAGAGGAACAUCACAUUAGGGGGGAGAAUGUAACAUAAUGUGCCUAUGCUGUGUUAGGUUAUAUAUGUAAAAACAACUUUUUUGUUUUUGUUUUGAGUGGUUGUCAUGCUUCCACGUGGAGAGAUUUACACAGGUUAAAUCUCUUUGCAUCUAGUUUAAAUUCUGGUGUCUGUACAACAAAAAAGUGAAGAACCGAGAAUACAAAGUGAAAAGAAACAGGGUCCUCUGUUUUUUUGGGACUGUCUUAACUCCUCUGUUCCAGGUCUGUUACAAGGUGUCACUCUUCCAUUUUUUCUUUCUAUAGCCUUUCUCUGUUUCAGGCUGAAACUGCAGCCAACAAAUGGGAAUGAAAUGUGAUCAUGCAUGCAUGAGGAUAGAUGGAUAGCGGAGGAAGUAGGUUUAUAGGUGCUGAAAGAAAUGGGUGUUUAGGUUGAAUGGAAGGUGGAGAUGUGGGGCGUGGUGACGGGUAUGAUUGAUGGGCUCGGUGGGUAUGAGAAGAAGGAAGAUUGGAUAGUGGGAGAAAUGGGUAUCGAAGAUGGUCGUGUUUGCAUGAUUCCCAUGCAUGCGUGGAGCUUCAGGCACGUGAGAAAUGAUAGAAAUGAGGUCAAGGUUGGUUGGAUGAAUGAUGAGGGUGGAUGUGUUGGUUUUGAAACCAGAUAAAUAAAAGAAAAAACGGAAGCCAAAAAAAUUUUCUCAAAAUUUUUUCUCAAUGAUCAAUACUUGUAUUAAUUUAAUGAAAUAACAAAUAUAGGUAAAUUAGAAUUGUACCUUGCGAUUAGGCUGAUAAAUUUGAACUUCACCAAAAGGAUCUUAGAAUUCCAAAUCCUCUAAAGCACCAUGGAUCUUUCUCUAACGUUCUCCAAAUUAUGAUGAACUCAAAACGAGUGGGCGUUUUUCAUUCUUGGGUUUUUUUCUCACACAACUUAAUAUAUAUUGAAAACUUGUAUUCUCUUCCCAUCAUCCGAGAAACAUUGAGAAAAAAAAAAUUUAAUACCACGAAGAAAAAAAAAUAACUGACAUGUUUUGAAUUUUGAAAAACAUGGGAGAGAAUAUCUCUCCCCAUGAUCCCCACUUAAAAAGUGUUUCUUUGAAUUUUGAAAAACAUGGGAGAGAAUAUCUCUCCCCAUGAUCCCCACUCAAAAGGUGUUUCUUAGGGAAUACAAGUAAGUGUGGUUUUCACCACAUUGUAUCAAAAAAUAUUUUAAAUAAUCAAAUUAUAAAAUAAAUAAAUCAAAUCAAGAUUGUGUGAAAUUAAUUUAGAAUUUAAAAUUCCAAAACUAAUAAAAUCAACCCAACAUAAAAAAAUGUUCAUAUAAUUUUAAUGGAGCCGUUGAGAGGAACUAUGGACAUUAUAAUUUUAAGCUCCAAUAAUUUUGACAAUUAAUUAACAACUUAAUUAAAAAAUCAAAAUUAUUAAUUCCAAAAUUACUCCACUAAAAAUUUGGAAUUGCACUCUUAAAAUUAUAAAAUUAAAUAUAUUCAAAGGAUUUGAAUUGCCCAUUGAUAUAGUCACUACAUAUGAGUCAAUCCUCCAUAAACGGUUCAUAAUUAAAGCUAGGUUUUUCCGUUAACCUCUUUAAUUAUAUCUUUCUCCUUAAGUGCCAUUGGUUCUCUAAUGAAUAAUAUAUUUAUGGUCUAAUCAUAAAUUGAGCGCUCUUAUCAUUCAAGGCCCGAACCAAUACUUAUGGGAACCGUCCAUCUGACUUCUUAACGAAGGAAUGGAUUUCAUCUUGUAUAUUAAUAUUCCCGGCUAUUUAUUUUAUUAUACUUCCAAUACACCAAGAAUUUGACACUAUGUAUUUGUGUCAUUACCCGGUAUGUCAAAAAAUACAAUAGAAUAAAUAGGAGUCUAUUAAUCACUCAGAAUUAAGAUCAAUGCAUAUAUGACCAUCAUUGAUUAAUAUUAAAUGCUCUAUAUUAUAAUGGAAUUUAUCAGAGAUUCAUAAUUAAUCGUGUUCCAGUCCUAUAUAAUCAAAUUAUAUAAAGCGCUUUCAAUCUAAUAAUCUCAUUAUUAACAAUCCGGAUAAGAUCAUUUCAUUCAGAAUGUAAUGAACCGCGCUAGUAAUUUUAAAUUAAAGAUCCCAUCUUUAAUUUUUAAUUACGAACAUAUUAGAUUAUUUUACUUUAAAUAUUAUCCUCUUGUAUAUAACACUUAUAUACAAUAUUUAAAGUUUCAAUUAAAUAAUCUAGGGUUUUCGAUAUUUAUAAAGCAUCUAUAACAUGCAUGCAACAAUAAUAUUGAAAUAAUUCCUUAAAAAAAUAUUAAUAAUCAGCAAAAUAAAAAACAUCUCAUUUGUUUAUGGGCACAUAUUCCAACAGGAUGGUAUAGGAGAAACGAGCAUGGGGUUGGUGAGGUGGGUUAGUGUGGCCGUGUAUGGCCAUGCAAAGGUGGGAGGGAAUGAGAUUGAGAAGAGUGAAAAAGGGUAGAGAGAGAAAUGAGUAUGAAAGAUGAGUGAGUAUGUGAGGAUUGAAAAUGGAACGAGGUGAAGGUGGCCAUGUGCAUGAGAUUUUCAUGUACAUAGAAAAAUGAAGGAAAUGGGUAUUAGUGAGAGAAAUGGGUAUGGUGGAGUGAAGGAUGAAAGGGUGGCGGGAUUAGAUGGGCAUGGAUAGUAAGAGGUUAAAGAUGGGGAGGAUGGGUGUAGUGGUGAAACAGUGUGCAUGAAGGGUACGUGGUGUAGAGGGAUAAAUGGGUUCAUACGUUUCAAGGAAAGGGUGAUAUGCAUGGGAGGUUAUGAAAGAUAAGUAUGGAAAUGGGCAUGAGAAGGUGGGCAAUAUGGGUAGGAUGAGUUCGAUGGGUGUGAAGCGAUGGGUUUGAUGGAGGAUAGGACGGAUGAGAGAUGAAGGAUGAAGUGGGUUAGAGAGUAUUAAAGAAGUGGUGGUGCAUAGAAGGUUAGGGAGAAUGAGGGGAUGAGUUUGGGUGUGAGUAUGGUUACGAGCAUGGUGGAGUGAAGGAUGGAGUACAAAAGUUGCAGGAAUGAUGAGAUGAGGUGGCCAUGUGUAGGAAUUCCAUGCAUGUGGGUAGGAAACAAAUAGCUGGGCAGCAAGGUGAGUGACGACCUGAAAACUCUCAUCAUCAAGAGCAUGGGUGGCAGUGGAACAAAUCUUUUCCUCAAACCUUUCAGCAAUUUUCCAUAUCUCACAUAGUUCCUCGGAAUCAGACCUUAACUGAUCUAGCUGGCAACUCUUUGAAGGGAUGAGUCAUAAGGUUACAUACCAAAGAGAUUCUUAUGGUUCCACACCUCAGAGUAUAGUUCCCGUACCUAAGAACGCCUGAACAUCAGGAGCAGAGGGAAAGUAGCAAAGACGGAGCAUAGAUGAAGAAAAUAAGAUUAACCAUCAAAAGCCACACUUCGUGUCCUAGUCAGUGGGCUUAAAGAUAGGUGGAUUAAAAGAGUUUCUAAAUGGCGCGAAGGAGAUAAAAUGGAGUUGAAACAAUUUUUGAACACAAACAGGAGCAAUAGAGGAACUGUCAACUAUGAAGAAAAAAAAACCAUAAAUCAUCCAAAGAUCAACAGCAACACAUCUAAAUAAUAGUAGAUGAAAAGAAAAGAAAUAUACACAGUGGAAGACUUACUUCUGGGAAAAUGUUGGAGGUCCUUCUUCUCUGCUUCUUCUUUUUCUCUUCUCCCACAACUCAUUUUUCCCUCAACUAUUUUAUUUUUCUCUUCCAGAACCCUCCGGAACCAAAGGUGUCCCCCCCUCCAGAUACUACCCCUCAGUUCAAAAAUAUCUCAUGUCUCUCUGAACACACUCCUCUCUCUCUUCGAUUCCCUCUCAAUCUUCUCUGAAAAAAAAACUCUCGGCCCCCCUCCAAAAAACGCCUUUUUUUCUCUUCCCUAAGCUAUCUAUCCCCUUGUUACAACCCACAAAAAUGUCUUUCUUGUCAUGUAGCCCCAUUUUCUGUUCAGUUCUGUCUCCUCUCUUCAAACGGUUGUGUCUCCCCUUUUUGAAACAACUCACCAUCAGCUGCUUUUCUUCCUACUUUCCAUCCCGUCUAGCCACCCAAAAACAACUCAUUCCCAGUCCUCUUUGGCUGCCCAAGAACGGCUCACCCAUCAUCCGCUUUCUUCACCUUCCGUCUUCUUUGGCUGCCCGAGAACGACUCCUUCUCAGGGUGGCCAGAAAAAUAAAAAAAAAUAAUAUGAAACCCCUCCAUCUCAAGGGUCUACAAAGGUGUUUUCAAAAAACAUAUAUUAGUUGUUUUUAGUUUUCUUCAUUAGCUUGGUUGUUUUAAAAAAAUAAUUAUACAAAAAAAAUGAUUAAAAAUAUAAUAUUAUAUACAAAAAUUAUUUAAAAAUUAUAUGCAUGAGUUUUGGAAAGUCUUGCAAAAUAAGCAAAGCUAUAGGAAAAAUAUGCAAACAAAAAUUUGUAUUAAAAUCAUUGGGGGCGGACAAUAUUUGUGGAAAAAUAUUUUUUGCCAAAGAAUAUUUUUUAAAGAUCAAUUGAAAGCCUAAAGCGACUUGUUCCCAAAUGAAUUUAUUGAAUGGUGAAGAGCAUGUAUGUUGCGAUUUUUUGGAUUUGUAGGGGGUAUUUUAUAAAGCUUUUUUUCUCUUUGUGAAACUUCUUUUCAUAUGUGAAAUUGUUUUAUUUUUUUAUCAUUUUCAUUGAAGGAAGUUGCAGAUAUUUAUAGAUGAAAUUAAAAAAUUAAAUUUAGAAUUUCUAAGAUUUGAUUACUUAAUUAAAAAAAUUGGUUUCUUAAUUUUAGCAACUUGUCUUUUUCAUUAAGGAAGUUUGCUAACAAGAGAUUAUUUACUUCUCAUUUUCUUUUGACUUCAAUUGGAAGAUUUGUUUCAUUUGUUUAGAAAAUUUGCCAACGAGAAAAUAUUGAUUUCUAAUUCUUUUUUAUUUCAAUUUUUUGAUUUGAUUUGAUUUUGCAAGACUUUAUUGUAUAGCCUUCCAAAUUUCGCUACAUGCCAUUUUUUGAAUCAAAUGCCACAUGUUCAAUAUAUAUGACUCAUCACUUAUCAAGCCCAAAUUUUGUUGAGCUAAGGAGUUACAAUUUUGAAGACUAAUUUGGUAGUAUUUUAAUCCACUAAAAUUUUUUAUGUUUACAAAUGCCCUGAAGACAGAUCACACACAUACAUUGCCAUGUAUAAGAGGUGAAUCUUGAAGUUAGCCAUUUGAAUCUUCCAUAUCCUUCUUUGAUUUUAUUUUUUUCGAAGAAAUAUUUUAAUAGGAAAUUUCCUAUUCAAAAUACUUUUCUUCAACUUUUUCCAAACACUACUUUAUUUAUUUAUUUAUUUAUUUAUUUAUUUAUUUAUUUAUUUGCCUGGUAUCAAAGAAAGACCUUGUGUUAAUGGGAAAGCUUCUUAUUUGAAUAUCUAUUUUCUUUUCUCAUGGUAUUUUCACUUCCAAUUUGCCAUCCUACAAUAAGUCCUUCACCCUAGCUUGGUCAAUUGCAUCUUAGACUUGUUCACAUGCCUUUAACUUGUAAUUCAAGUUCCAUUUUUUUUUGUUUAAAAAAUAAUACAAUAUAUUUGAGCAAGACCUUAAGCAAGAGAAGAGAGGUGGAGGAUGGAGCACCAGCUAACCUUAGGGCAAGAUCUUGAGCAAGAGAAGUAAGGUGGAGAAUAGAGCACAAACUUCUUUAGAGUAUGGUAGGCAUGUCGUCACAGAGUUAUCUUCCACAUGGAGCAUGGUAGGGCAUUAUAUAUAUGAUAGGGUGUGCCAUCAUGUAACAAUGAAGAACAACAAUCCAUGGUGUACAAUUGGGAACAACAAUUCAUGCUAUCAAGAUUCACCUGUUUUUAUUUAUUUUUUAUUUUUUAUUUUUAUCCCUAUCUCCACCCUCGACUCCAUUUUUUUUUUUUUCAAGUUUCUAGAUCCCUUUUGAUUCUUUCUCAUUUUCUUUUUUCAACUCUUUUUUUCCCUCCUUUUUUAAGCAUUGUUCUUAAGGAAAAAAUAUAAUUUACGAGUACCUGGAUUCUAUUCGAAUAAAAAAGAGCCAUUCACAUGCAUGGAUUAAAUAUAUAUCUCAUGGAUACAUUGUACUUAGCCACGGCUGAAGCUUUCCACUAUGACUUAGAAACAAAAAAAGAAAGAUAUGAUUAAAAAACUGAUUGGCAUGUGGCUGUGCUUGCCAGUAGAUGGCUGAAAAGUAGUUCUGACCUUUUGUUUUGGCCUCUACUAAGGAACCCAUUAUUGAGAGAUUUAAUGGCAACUAUAUAUGGUAUAAAUAAUGUUUCAUAAAGUACUUACACAUCUUAUUCUCAUUUCUAUCAAUGCAAUAAUGUAGACCCCCAUGUGGGGCUUGAUCUGCUGCAGCACAUUUGGCCACGUGUCACUCUCCGAUUGGCCAUCAUGGAUGCUCUUGAAGGCCAAUCUGGGGUCGACACGUGUCAUCAUGGAAUCAGACAAAAAUCUUUUUUUGGCUGUUAUUUGAGGGAGAAAAGCGGCUGCAUGAAGGUGGUGGUCUGGCCGUUUUGAGGAGUGCUUUUGGGAAGGCUGCAGGGUAGUGGUGCAGGGGGUGUCGUCUGGCAGCUGCAUUGAGAGUGAGAGAAAAAGGAGGGGAGAGACUGAGAGGGCAAGUGUUCACUGUCGUUUUGGCAUUGGGAGAGGGGGGUUUUUUUUUUCUAGAGAGAACAGAGAGCUAGAGGGAGAGUAAGAGUUUUGCUGGAAGGGAUUCCUUGAGCUGAGGCUGCCGGAGAGAUAUUUUGAGAGGGAGAGGUUUUUGGUGGCUGUUUUUCUGCAGGUCGUAAGGAAAACAGCCAGAGAGCUAGAAGGAGAAAGGGAAAAGAAAAAGCUAAGAAAAACAAAGCAGAGAGCUUUAGUGAGAGAGAGGAUUCCAGAGAGCACUGAGAGGAGAGGUUGCAGAGAGGAGUCCAGGGAGAGUUUCCAUUAGAGAGAGAAAAACAAAGGAAGAAGAAGAAAGGCAAACUGAGAGAGAGGGAGGAGAGAAACAGAGUAAGCUACAGGAGGUAUGGAGCAGAAAGAGUGAAGUAGAGCAACUCGAUACCCAUCUGGUCUUGCAAGAAAGAGGUGUGUUCAGGAUUUGAGAGAGGAGCAGGUGGGAUUAGAGAGGGUUCUUUGGCAGCUGCAGGGAAGACAAGGGAGGAUCUCCAAGUAAGUUUAUCAUGGUUUUCCAGUCUUUUUCUUAUUAUGAUAAUUGAUCCAUUAUUCUUCCUGCUAUUUCUGGGUAUUGUUUGAUGGCUUGAGCGUGGAUGCCCCCCAUUGUUUGAUUUCUAUUGGUUUCAUGGUAUGAAUGUGGAUUUAUUGUUAUAGUUUUUUUUGUCUCUCUUUCCUCUUGGGUUUUGCUGGAAAAUAACCUCACUCUAUUUCAAUUCCACUGUGAAAUGCUUGAGAAUCAUGACUUGUUCAUAUUGGCAUGAAUUUUCCCACCUAGUUAGCAGGCUCCCUGAUAACCCAUGAAGUGGAGCCUCAUUUGAUGAUAACUUUAUUUUGUUUUUCUUUUAUGUUCUGUUUUCCAUGGCUUCUUCUUUCUUGUGGCUCUUAUCUAAAUGCAUGGGAUGUGAGGAAAAGACCAGGAUCUUCAAGAUCUCCAAGCUGAAGAUGUUAUCAAGGAGCAAGCAAGUCAGACUUCUGUAUAAGUUCCACGACCCUAGGGAAAUGGUCUGAGAAGGUCUCUCGUGAAGCUAUGUAAGGUUGGCCGGAAGAGUCUUUCUAUGUUUCAACAAGCAGUUUCUGUGGACUUAGUUGGGUGCUGGACUUGGGUUUUAAAUGGUGGCCAGUGGAGAGCUUUUCGAAAAUCUCUUUCUAUUCAGGAUAAAGAGGUGCUCAAAGCCCGGGAUUUUGUUUUGAGUGAGGCAAGGAAGUAUGAAAUCGGGUUCAUAUUGUCAUUAAGUAAUAAUUGGGGAGAAUAUGGUGGCAAAGCAUAGACAACAACAGGCUCCCUCUGGUCACGGUACUGCUGAAAAUAAGGAAAGAGUCUUUCCAUGCUGGCAUGAGUGUUGAUGAAACCACCAUUACCCUACUCUCGCAUGGCUAUCUAUUUGCCCAGUUUCUCAUACCCACUUUCAUAUUAGCCUUCUCAAACCUCCCAGCAUGCUGUUUUUUUUUUUUUUUUUUUUUCUUGAAAUCUCACGGAUCAAUUCAUUCUUCUAUGCCCUUUACCCUUCAUGCAUACUAUUUUACCACCACAACCAUUAUCCCCACUUUCAGCAUAAUACCGAAAAUGCCCAUCAAGCAUUUUUUUUUCAUUUCAUAUUAUCCCUUCCACUAAUUUCCCACUCCCUAUUCCACACCAUACCCCCCGUGGUAAAUAUAGUCAAUGUUCUGACCCAAUUUUUUUUUUUUUUCUUUUAUCCCAUGCACGGAUCCACCUUUAAUAGACCCUACACAAUCAUCCCUUGGGACCCGAACUCACAACCCGUUUUCACUAUCAUCCUUCUCGCUCCUCUGUUUGUAAGUCAUUCAUGCCACUUUCCAGUUUUGAUAGAAAUGGAGCAGUUCCAUUGAUGUUUGCAGGGCUGCAAAUAUUCAUACCAGUAGGUAACCAUGCUAUCUCAGGACUGAAGUCUCGGAUCUUGGAAGGGUUCUCGCAGCGGGGUUACAGCGUUUUGCUCUCUUCACGAUCCGUGACUGCAGCAUAGUCGUGGUUUCCAAGUACAAUAUGGCAAUGGAAGUCAUUCAAGGGCUUUUGAAUGCAUAAUCAGUCGAUGGAGAUAUUCGGAAACAUGCAGAAGAGAGUUUAAAACAGUUCCAGGAGCAAAAUCUUCCAAAUUUCCUACUAUCUCUUUGCUUUGGCAAACUUUACCGAUGGUAUGGAGCGUGAUUAUAUCAUGAGAGUUGUCUGUGAAGCAACUCUGUCUCCUGAAGUCAAGAUAUUAAUAAAAGAGGUAGUGAACAUCCAAAGCAAGGAGAUGAUGAAGACGCUGAUGCUUCAGAUGAGAACUACAAUGGUUGAGGCAGAAAUUGAAGAUUGGACAAGGGAUUAUAGCAUCCGUACCUUGCUGAAGUUGCCAUGGAUAAAGGGCCCCUCUUCCAUCAAUUCAAACAGGGAUUACCUUUUGUUCUUUUCUGAGAGUUACAGAUUUUAUGGGAUGCAAUUGGGGCCCGCCAUGCAGCAUUAUUGACGUCAAAUUCACAGCUACAUGCUGAUAGUUUGGAUGAUAACAUGUGCGGCACAACUGUAAUAACAGUAUUGAUUCGUGGUCGGGCUAUAUAUGUUGCUAACUCAGGGGAUCCCAGAGCUGUUACAGUAGAAAGAAAAGGGAAGGAAAUUGUAGCUGUUGAUUUAUCAAAUGAUCGUUACCAUCCAUGCAGACUCUUGGUGGAUGACAUGUCCAGGGAAGCAUUUCCAGAAUCCUGAUGUGUAAAGGUAUAGCAGGAGGGAUGGUUGGAGAGUUGCAAGGGUUACGUCGCCCACUCAUUUGAGGUUUGAACUUGAUGUGCUAGCAUUCUCUGGUGCUACUUUAAUAAGGGUUUGGGUCACUUUGCUCUUCCCCCAGUGAAGCUGUGAACUGCCAUCUGUCACUUCCUCAAGUCAUUAUAACCCCGGUCGUGGUCUUCUCUCCCGUGCUAGGUCUCUCAGACUUCCUCAGGGCAUGCCUUUUUUUCAUUUUGCCUAUUCCCUAUUAUUGUUACUAUUAUUAUUUUCAUUUCUCUUUUUAUUAUAUUAAAUUUAUUUCACCUUUUAUUAUUAUUAUUAUUUUCUUUAUUAUUAUUAUUAUUUUAUCCUUGUUGUUUUCAAAAUAAUCCAUCAAAUUCCAGCUUUCAAAGGGUUUUCCAAAUUCCAUUUUUAUAAAAUUUAUUUACUUUUAAUUUUCAUCUUUAGUUUUUUUAGAAUCCCUCAAAAAUCUCAUUUCAAAUAAAAUUCACCGCCAUUUUUUGUUUUGGCCAGUGACUUUCACAAUUCCUCUGAUUUUCAAAAUGUUUUAAAUAAGCUAGAAUCGAAUUCCGUAAUUCCUAGUGAUGGAAUUUAUGGAAUUAAUUCAUGCAAAAAUGAAUUGGGCUUUGGUGGGGGCCCUACAUAUGAGAUUUCAUGAUUGAUUGACUGAUUGAUUCAUUCAUUAGCUAUAUGUGAUUGAUUUACUCUGUUUCUUGAUAUACACAUUAUCCUUCUGUGUUUGUUCACUAACCCUGUUUCUGAUAGCGCGUUACGGCUCGCGGCCCAGGUACGCACUCUCUAUACCUAUUCUGUUUUUUUUUAUAAGUGUAAGAUGGAUUUGAGUAUCCAUUGAUUUUUCCAUUGAUUGUCAUGUCAGCUUCAUUUUAUUAGUAGAGACCCGACUUUAGGGACUUAGAGGGGUGCUACGGUCUUUACCGUACCUUCCCGAUAAGUAACCUGACCCCCGAACCCGAUCCGGUUUUUCAUAGACCGCCUUUUCCAAAAUGAGGAGUCACACUUAGGGUUUUUCUUUCUUAUUUUGUUUACCCUUUAAAAAUAAAACAAAAAUAAGUGGCGACUCCAAGUCAUUUUCAAAUAAUCAAUAAAAUCAAUUUUUCAAAAUAAAAAUCGAGUUUCACCAUCGAGUGGGAAACACAUCGAGCUCAGAAUCGAAAAUGCGGGGUCCACAAAUAAUCAUAAUCAUCUUAUCUAUAAACAUGGCCUAGAGCCACAGAGCUGCCUUUUCUUUAGUCCUCGAGCCAUUUCAGCUAAAAGUAGUCUUUCCUUAGCAUUUCCGGUUCUAAGCUCCCAUUUCUUUAGGCCUUGAGGCAUUAAUUUUCAGCCCAGAGCUGCUUUUUCUUUCGGCCUAAGCUGCCUUUCUCUAGCAUUUUCAGCCCAGGGCUACCUUUCCUAGGCAUAUUAGCCCAAAGCUUCUAUUUCUUUAGGCCUGGAGCCAUUUCAACCUAGAACAUUUGUUUCUUUAGGCCUUGAGCCCUUUUCAACCCAGAACUGUCAUUUCUUCUAAAUAACUUCUCUUUUAAAAAAACUUCAAUUUUUCUUUCCAAUCACAAAUUUUAAGGCUUUGUUCCAGGUUUCAAGAAGCUGGUAAAAAUCUUCUAUUUAACAUUUCAGCAGUGAAUCGAAUUCACGAAGGAAAAAAAAAAUCUUGACGGCAUAAAGUAGGACAUGGGAUAGUUUGAAAUGCGUAAUUUUCAUCAUUCAAAUGUAAAACAUAUUAACUCUAUUUAGAUACUUUAACCAUUUCAAAUACUACAUACAUGUUCUCUUCAUUUUUUUUCUCUCUCGCAUUUUCCAUCAAAUUUUUCAACAAUCAAACAUAACCUUUAAAAAACAGAUAAUUUUACUUAUUUUGAAAGUGCUUUACAUAUAGCUUCUAUGAAAAGCUGUUUCAUGUUAAUUUAAUGAUGCACUUAUAAUAUUAAGAUUGCCCUUUCAUAAUCAUGAAUUAACCUUUAGUUUCAACUUCUACAAGAGGCUAAAUGAACAAAGCUAUCACAGAGGAGGCCUCAGCCAAUGAGUCAGAUGCACUGUUGUACCAAACCAAGGAUUUAUUUAUAAUGAAGUGCAGUCUCCAUAUGCACAUGAGACUGCAUUUACAGCAAAAAGACAAGGAAAUUAACAAUGUUGGAAUUACUGGAAAAUCACACAAAUUAUUGAAGGAGGACCUUAGCUAGGUUGUCUCCUAAAUUGCCCAUCUUUUUAUAUCUUUGCAUUCAUCUAUCUCAUCAUCGUCUUUGAUUUUAGAUGGUGAGGAUGUGAAAGUAACAGGAAGCAGUGGACGAUUGUUCACAGUGAGGCUUAGCACAUCAGCUCUCGAAUAAUGUCCUACCACGUCAAACUGGAACUUUGCUUUAGGAAUCUCUCCACGAACAUCUGCAUAUCAAGUGAUCAUAAAAAUAUUUGAUCAGCCCAUGAUAAAUAUCAUAGAGUAUCAAGUCUUCCAUAAAACUAUGUUUGCAGUCCCUUUAAACCUAAAGAAUUGACUCAUUUGCCUUAUCUGCAUACUGAAUUAUUUGGAUAUAUAAUCGGAGAAGUUAGGGCCAUACCAAGAUCAGCUGUGAAGAGGCCUUCUCCUUCAUAAUUCGGUCCUGCUAGAAUUUCGCCAUGGGGCGAAAUGAUGACACUACCUCCAGCCCAAACAAUAGAAUCUGGAGUGACAUCUUCUUCUGUAGGACUGUAAAGAUACUCAGGUGGAGGUGGGUAAUCUUUCCUCCGACAGAACUGGAUGGGUGAAAGAACAUAGCAUCCACCCUCCAUAGCGAUGUGUCUCAUUGUAGCUACCCAUGUAUCCCCGGAAUCGGCAGUAGGAGCACAAUAUAUCUCAAUUCCUAUAUAGAAUCGGUGUUUUGUGAUCAAUCAAUCCCAUAUCAGAGCCAUAAUGUAUUUCAAGCCUAUUUAGGCUAAAACCCUAAUAACUUAAAAAAGAGUACUGAAGUAUUUCAAGCCAAACCAUACUAGUUAGUGAAGAGAAAGAAAUGGUAAAAUAUAUACCUUUGCCAUACAUUGCUGUCCUCAGAAGCGGCAUUCUAUUUUCCCAACAAAUGACUGAACCAAGUUUUCCAUAUGGAGUGUCAUAAACUGGAGUUGUCGAGCAAUCUCCGAAACCCCAGACGAGCCGCUCCCAAUAUGUUGGCAUGAGUUUCCUAUGUUUUCCAAGGUAAUUACCUUCAGGAUCAAAGAAGAGAACAGUGCAAUACAAUGUGUAUCCAUCUCUCUCAAUAACACCUAUCACCAAGUAGACUUUGUAUUUCGCAGCCAUUGAUGCCAAUCUAUCAACUUCAGGUCCUGAAAAGAUAUUAAGUGGUUGAUUCAUCAAACGUGUCUUGUUUCAAUAAUUUAUUAAGUGGUUCAGUUCUUUAGCUAUUUAAGGAAAAGAGAGAGAGGUAACUGACCCGGCACAUUAAUGGCAGAAGCAUGGUACUUGCGGAAACUUUCUUUCCCUCUUGGCGACUGGUCGGCGAAGUUGUAUCCACGGGGAUACCCACCGAUAAAUGAUUCAGGAAACACAACCAGUUGGGAUCCCAGUGCAGCUGCUUCUUUCAAAAACCUCUCAGCCUUAUCUGCUCCCAAAAUCACAUUGCAAGAAUUAAUAAUUCACGACUUAGAAAGUAAAUUAAUUGGUUGAAUAGAGAGAAUCAAAAUUAACCUCCAGACAUCCCAAAUGACUUUUUGGUUGCUGAGAAAACUCAUGGAAAAAGAGACCUAGAUAAAACUCGGAACUUUCAUAUUUUCAGCUGUUUUGUAACUAAGAAAAGAGAAACCACCUCAACCCAACUCAUCCAAGUAAUUAUUCCUUGAUUGGCAGCUGAAAAUAUGUUCAAGCUUCAAUAAUCCUUUUCUUUCCUUCAGUUUCUCAGCAACCAAUCAACUCACAGAUUCUCUUACACAAGUUGCAGAAUUGAGAGAAAUGGUACGUUACCUAGAGUGGCAGGAGUAUCAUAAAAGACACUAGAGGCUUGAACAACGGUGGCUCUAACAGUUGAAGACAUUGCAGAAAUCGUAUGCCUUUUCGUUUCCCUUCUGUUUGAGGAUUCCUCACACAGCGUUCAGUAUUUAUAUAUAGCCCAAAAGGUUCUUCUGCCAUUACUUGAACAAGACGAAAAGGCUGGGAAAAGUCUGCCUUGGUUUUCCAUAUUGAUUUAAGUUAUCCGCAGACAUUGUGGACCAGCCACAUGACUUAAAACAAAUUGAAAAUAACUGAGUCAUCUGUGAAAUAUAUAUAUCUGUGAAAUAUAUAUAUAUAUAGAUUUCAUCUUUUAUACUUGAAUCAUCUCCCCCCUCCUUUUUUUUUUCCUAGUUUUGGCCUUAUUUUUUAAAAAUAUAAUAUUUAUUUUACUUUUAAUCAAUGGCUCAUAUUUCGAACAAGUGCGCCAGAUUUUCUGAAGUUGUAUAUAUAAUAAUCUGAUAGUGAUUAUAUUUGGAUAAAAAGAGGGACCCGCCCACUUGCAUGGAUUCUAUAUAGGACACAGACAAAUUGUCUUUAGUGGCGGCUGAGGAGGCUUUCUAUGACUUAAAAAAUAAAUAAAACAAAAAUAGUCAUUAAGAAAUCAGUGCCAUGUAGUUAGUGUCCGCCACUAUCUACACUUUCUUUAAAAGAACAAAAUUGUCAUUUUUUUUAAUCUCAGAAAUCACUGAAUCGUACAAAAUAAUAUAAGAUAAGAUUCAAUUCAGUCUUUUUUGGCCUCAUAAGAAAACCUUAGCCAACUCAAGGUGACCACUCCAGAAUCAAAAUAGGUUUUCUUUUUCUUCAAAAAAAAAAAAUAUAUAUAUAUAUAUAUAUAGUUGGUGAAAGAGGGUAUAAACAAAUAUAUGCAAAAAAAAAUUAUGAUGAUUAUAUUUGAAUAAAACAGAGGGAGCCCCCACAUGCAUGGAUUCCAUCUAGCACCCAGAGGAAUUGUCUUUAGUGGGGGCUGAGGCUUUCCAUGACUUAAACUAUAUAUAUAGGUAAAAACUAGGUCUAACUUUAUGUAUUGGACCCAACCAAAAAUUGAGUGAUUGAAUGGCAGCUCUAGUAAAAAAAUAAAAAAGGGAGAACCAUGCUUACUGUCACAGAAUGCUUGAAAUGAGCCCCCUUAUGGGUUUAUAUAGAGUUCAAGAAGCUUCUAGAGACUCCUAGAGCCAUCUACACUAAGUCAUUGAUGGGAAGAGUGUGGAAGGUUCUAGAGAUGCCUAGAGAUGUCCACACAUCUCUACACUAUAGUGGAAGGCAUGAGAGGAGUCCAAGGUUUUCUAGAGAAUUCUAGAAAUCUCUUAUAUAUUCUUGUACAUAGGUUUGUAUAGGAUAUUCUAGAAUCUUCUUGAGUUCUAAGGAACCCUCCAAGGUUCCAGAGAGUUCCAUUGGUAUCUAUAAAUAGGUGAGACCCUCAUUUGGCCAAUACACCACCCAAGAACCUAAUCAACCAAGCAAGUGAGUUCUCAAAGCACUUGUAAAGGUUUCCUUUGAGCAAUAAAAGCUUUCAUUCUUUAAGAGUUGCCUACUACGCCUUCUAAAGCUUCCAAGUCAUGAGCAUCUUAGCCUAGCAAGCUAAGCAUUGGGAGUAACGCUAACUUAGCAAGAUCAAGUACCUUGACUUGUCUAAGUGCCACAUGAGCUUAGGAAAAGAUUAAGUCUGUGACAAGUGGUAUCAGAACACGACUACGAAGCGGGCAUAGUAAAGGAAGCAUGUCGGGUUCCAAUGUAGAAGAGACUAGUGAGCAAAUCCGUGGGAGGGAGACCGAGCCUGCUGCACGGGGCAGGGGCGGGGAGGAUAAGUCUCGUGAUGUCGUUGCUAACAUGGAGGCAAGCUUAGUUAAGGUGCAUCUAGACAUGGCGGACACUCGGGAGGGGUUGGACUUGAUCGAGCAAGGCAUGAAGAAGGGCUUAGAGGAUCUAAGGGAGUAGAUCCAAGACGUUUGUGAGGGGAUGUUAGUCUCACAAGUUCAGCCAGUGUCACAUGAGGAGUUUGUGUCCUUCCAAGAAAAGGUCUUGAGCAUGCUUGCUAGCAUGGAGUCAAGGAUAGAGGCCUUGGUCAUUUGAAUGGAGUCCCGAGACCAAGUUAGGCAAGAGUUGGCCAUCUACAAGGAUGCUGUGUUGGCACGGGUCAUGGCCAUCCAGGAGGUAUCUAAGGUGGAGGAGUCGAAACCACAAGAGUUUAGUGGCAAGUGGGAUGCCAAGGAGUUGGACAACUUCUUAUGGCAUAUGGAGAGAUACUUUGAGGCUAUCACACUAAUUGAUGAGGUGGUUAAGGUAAGAACUGCAACCCUUUACCUUACUGACACAACUACUCUAUGGUGGCGUCGGAGGUUUGCCGAUAUGGAGAAAGGCAUUUGCACCAUAGUGACAUGGAGGACUUCAAGAGGGAAAUCAAGAGGCAGUUCUACCCCAAGGACGUGGCAUUUGCACCAUAAAAAUAUUACCAUAUUCAUUUUUAUGUUGAAUUUAAAUGUUUAAUAAUUUGUUAAAAAUAAAAUAACGUAAUUAUGAUAUAUGAUGAUUUUUUUUUUUUGUUAAUAAAUAUGUUUUCAAAUUUUAUAUCAUUUUUAUUUUUAUUUUUUUUCCAAUUCUAUUUUUAUCUCAUAUUUAUUUUCUUUAAACCCAAAAUUGUUGAGAAUGGAGGAAGAAAGAAGGCCACAACCGGUUCUUUCCUUAAGUGGUUAAGUUGAAUUUUUAUUUCAAAUUUAAAAUGGAUGGCCAAGAUGUAAUCUUGGACAUCCAAUGGCUUGAAAAACUUUUUCGGUAUGUACCGAAGAGGUACCGUAGAAUUUUCUAUAUAAUAAUCUACAAGUUACGAUAGUGAUUAUAUUUGGAUAAAAUGAGGGACCCGCCCACUUGCAUGGAUUCUAUAUAGGACACAUAAAUUGUCUUUAGUGGCGGCUGAGGCUUUCUAUGACUUGAAAAAAAAAACUAAAAAUAGUCAAUAAGAAAUCAGUGCCAUGUAGUUAGUGUCCGCCACUAUCUAUACUUUCUUUAAAAGAACAAAAUUGUCAAUUUUUUUUUUUUUAUCUAAAAAAUCACUUAAUCGUACAAAAUAAUAUAAGAUAAGAUUCAAUUCAGCCUUUUUUGGCUUCAUAAGAACACCUUAGCCAACUCAAGGUGACCACUACAGAAUCAAUAGAGGUUUUCUUUUUCUUCACAUAUAUAUAUGGUGAAAGAGGGUAUAAACAAAUAUAUGCAAAAAAAUAAUCUACAGGUAUGUUGAUUAUAUUUGAAUAAAACAAAGGGAGGCCCCCACAUGCAUGGAUUCCAUCUAGCACCCAGAGGAAUUGUCUUUUGUGGGGGCUGAGGCUUUCCAUGACCCAAACUAUAUAUAUAGGUAAAAAUUGAGUGAUUGAAUGGCAGCUCUGGUAAAAAAAAUAAAAAAGGGAGAACCAUGCUUACACUCUCGUUCAUUCCAACAAAUAUAUUGUUUAGGAAUUCUAAUUUUAAUAUUUCACCCCAAAUACAUAAUCAAUAAAAUUAUUCUUCAAAUAUGUAUUUUAAUAGCAACCAAAUUGAGAAUUAUAUAGUUAUCCCUUUCUAAAAUCUUUAAUGUAUUUGAUAUCCUCUCCAUAUCACGUCUUUGAUAUCCUACCUUUGACAUUUUUUUAUUUAUAUAUGUCGAAGUGACGAGACUUUCUCUACUCAACCUUUUUCCUUUCAGAUUUCUUUUCACUCUUUUAAUAAUUUCACAUUUAUUAACUUUAAUAAUUUUUUGGACACAUUAAAUAUAAAAUUAUAAUACAUAAUAAAUAACUAAUUAGAAUAAAUUAAAUGUAAAUACAAGUAUGCAAUGGGUAGAAAAUGAAAAUUUUAUCCUAUAAAUAGUACGCUUGAUAGUUUAAAAUAUUAAUUAUAAUAAUACAUUUGAUAAUUUAGGAUUUAGAUUUAAAAAUUAUGUUUUAUGUUUUAGAGGCCAAGAUAUAAGAUUUCCAUUAACCAAAGAUUUUUUUUAUGUGAAUCUUAAAUAAAAUGUUUGUUUAUUUUGCAAAUUCUUAUCAUUUGUAAAUAAGACAAAUAUAUUUUUAUCAUAUUAUUUUUAAUUUUUAAUAUUUUGUGUCAAAAUCAUCAUCAAUGAUGGUAAUCUUUAUUAGGAUAGAACCCUUAAACGUAUGAUAUGAUGUAACAAAUAUAUAGUUUAUUAUUUAUUUAAUAAUAUUCAAGUUUCACUUUUAUCUAUCCUUAUUCCAUGUAUUAUAUCUCAUGAGUAUUCUAGCCAAACAUUUAUUGCAUUAUACAUGACUUGAAUGCAUUAGGUAUAGACCCCCCAUUUUGUUCUCUUAGCACAUGCAUUAUGAGGUGUUCUUUCAAUACUCCACAACAAUUCCCUAGUGUCCCAUUACUACUCAUACUUUUUGAGCCACCUUGGAGACUCUGGUCGAGGGAUUUAUAUGGCUCCUCAUUGUGACCAUUGGUAACCUUGAGUUAGAUUUAGGUUAUUUUUUUCCUUUUUCUCUCAUGUUAGCCCUUUUAGGUGCACUUUCCGUUUUUAGGAUAGCAUAUUAGGCAUUUCCUAGGACACCAUGCCCCACUUAAGCUCUUAGGCACGUUUUACAUUAGUUCACCCAACCCCCUUAGGUUCACUUAGAUAGAUUUUUUAGGCUUAAUGUACUUAGGUUUGUUUUUUGAGUUGUGAUGGCAUGAUUCUGAGUUUAUGUGAGUAUUUAGUUUGAUUUUUUUUUUUUGUUUUUUUAAUUGCUUCAAUAUUUAGUUAUGAGAUUUUGACAUUUCAUUUUGUUUCAUCAUUAAUUACACUAGAUUAACAUUUGAAUUUUGAUUGCAGUAUUUAGCAUCUAUAUUAUUAUUAUGAAUUAUUUAUUUAUUUUUUGUCUAUUUUUUAUAUUUACUUAUCUAUUUAUUUAUUUGUUAAAAAAAUGCAUGAGGUUGCAUUUUAGUUUUUUUUUUUCCAAAAAUUGCAUGAAUUGAUAUUCAAAUUUCCUUAUAGAUGGAUAUGAGUUAUUUUAUUUUAAUUGGGUUUGGGUUGUCAUUUCUCAUUUUUGGGCUUUGUUUGUUUUGCAUGGGCCCAAGAGUUUUCUUAGGGUGGAAGUCUUGAAAGCUAUAUAAAAAGGGCACAGAAGCCCUAGGCAAUAGGGAGGACAAUCAAAGAGAGAAAAGGUGUUGCUACUUUAUUCUUUUUGUGCGUGUGUGUGUGUGGUUUCUUUCUUUCUUGAUUGUAUAUUGUUGGUGAGAGAGAAUUUUUCCUUACUAUGUAUCUACUAUAGGGCAGUUCAUUUGUUUUUUUAUAUUGUAUUCGUAUGUUGGAGUUGCCUUUGGUUCGGAGAGUCUAGAUCGAUUUAGGGUGGCAUUCAAGUAAGUUAUUUCUUCUUCAUCUCUUUAUUUGUAUUAUGUUUUUGUUCUUUUUAGGAUUUCUUAGAUUUAUCUUGUUUUAUAUUUAUUAUAUUUGUAAGCAUUUUGGUAGUUGAAUAUUUUAGCCAUUUCAUUUAUUCAAUUCUUUGCCUAUUUGAGUUAUAUGUUCAUUAUACUCUAUAUUUUGUAUGUAUGCACAUUUGCUAAACUUUUUCUACCCAUCUAUAUGUUUGUCAUGUUUAUUUAUUAUUUUGUUGAUAUGUGUUGACAUGUGUUUCUAUAUGGUCAUGCGAAAUGAAACAAAAUAGGCUUGGUUGCAGCACACAAGGGAAACGUGAAAAGUGAUUUCGCAUGACCAUGCGAAAUUUUCGCACAGUCAUGCGAAACCCUCCAAGAAGAUGAAAAUGAAGCUGAUGGACUUUCCACUUCGCACCAUCAUGCAAAAUUGCUAGGGGCUCGUGCAAAAUGCAUUUUCUCCAUAUGUUGUUUCAAGUUUUCUAUAUUUGUGCAAUUCCUGUCCUAAAUUUUCUAUAAUUUUGUUUAUGUUAGUCUUGUUGCCUCAUUUUUCAUUUUGUCUUAAUUUUUGUAUAAUUCUAUUAAUAUUAGUCUUGUUGCUUCAUAUUUCAUUGUCUUAAAUUUUUUAUAAUUCUAUUUAUGUUAGUAUUUUUGUCUCAUAUUUCAUUUCAUGCCAUAUUUGGGUUUUGAUUUAUUUUUCUGGCUUGAGUUUUCUUUCUUUUUUUCUUUUUUUUUACUAUGCAAUAAAAAUUUCAGAAAAAUCAGUUUUAAUAAAAUUUCUAGAAAAAUAGUUUUUAAUAAAUUCCAAAACGGUUUUCUUUAAUUAAAAAUCUAGAAUUUUGUUUCCCAUAAAAUGCAAAAAAAAAAUUGUUUUAAUAAAAUAAUAUGGAAGAACCAUUUUUACUAAAUUCAGAAUUUUGGUUUAAUAUAAAAUAAUUCAAAAAAUCAUUUUUUUUUAAUAAGUUCAUAAAAUUCAUUUUUUUAAUAAAAUAAUUCAAGAAUUUCAUUUUUUUUAAUAUAUUCGGUAAAUGGUUUUUAAUUUAAUAAUCCAAAUAUUCAUUUUUUAACAAAUCCAGAAAAUUGGUUUUUUAAUAAAAAUCCUCAAAGUUUGUAAAGUCCUAAAAGUUUGUUUGAUGGAAAUUUUGAAAUUUGUGUUUUAAUAAAUGUUCUUUAGAAAAUCAUUUUUUUAAUAAGUUUGAAAAUUCUAAAAUUUGUGUUUUAAUAAAUGUUCCUUAGAAACUCAUUUUUUUAAUAAGUUUGUUAACUGAAAAAUUGUGUUUUAAUAAAUAUUCUUUAGAAAUUUUUUUUUUAUAAAUAAGUUUGUUAAUUGAAAAUUGUGUUUUAAUAAAUGUUCUCUAGAAAAUCACGUUCUAAUAAAAAUUAUGAAAAUUUGUAAUAUCCUAAAAGUUUGUUUAUUGAAAAUUCUGAAAAUUCUAUCUUAAUAAAUGUUCUUUGGAAAGUCGUUCUUUAAUAAAAUUAUACAUUAUGAAAAUUGUGUUUUAAUAAAUGUUCUUUAAGAAAUCGUUUUUUAAUAAAUUUGUAAAUUCUAAAAAUUGUGUUGUAAUAAAUGUCCCUUAGAAAAUCGUUUUUUUUAAUAAGGUUGAAAUUUUUGAAAUUUGUGUUUCAAUAAAUAUUCUUUAGAAAAUAAUUUUUUUAAUAAGUUUGUUUACUAAAAAUUGCGUUCUAAUAAAUAUUCUUUAGAAAACCAUUUUUUUUAGUAAGUUUAUUUACUAAAAAUUAUAUUUUAAUAAAUGUUCCUUUAAAAAAAAUCAUUUUUUUUAAUAAGGCAUAUUUAAUGAAAAUGCUUAAAAUAAGUGUUUAAAUAAAUAUUUUCAAAGUUUUUCUUCAUAAAAGUCGUGAAAGUCAUAAAAGUCAUAAAAGUUCUCAAAUUUGAUUUAAUUAAAAUUUUCAAAAUAAAUGUUUUAAUAAUUGUUCUCAAAGUUGUGUCUUUUAAAUUUACUUAAAGUUUGUCUCAGUAAAAGUUUUAAAAGUUUUAAUAAGUGUCUUAAUAAAUUCUCAAAAUAAGUGUUUUAAUCCUAAAAAUUCUCAAAUUUUGUUUUUAAUAAAUUCCCAAAGUUUGCCUUAUUAAAUUCUAAAAGUUGCUUAAUAAAAACCCUCAAAGUUAGUCUAAAAAUCCACAAAGUUGUUUUCUCGAAGUUAGUGUUUUAAUCAAUGUCUCUCUUUUCAAAUAAAUUUGAUUUAUAAAUAUUUUUUUCACAAAUAAAAGUUGAAAAAUUUUGUUUUCUUAAUGAAUUGAAAUUUGGUUCCUGUCAUUAAAAUAAAUAAACCAUUUUUCCUUGUAAAAAUAUUUUUUUUCCAAAAGUAGAACUGAUGUUUCUUUAUAAUUAUCGAAUCUUCCUUUUUUUUAAAAAAAAAAAUAAAGUCGAAGCCAAUAUCAUUUCUUUGUAAAUAGAAGAUCAAAUUGAGCUUUUCUUUUUAAUAUAUUUGAAUUCAAUCAAAAUUAUUUUAAUAAAAUCAAGAAAAGUCUUCUUUUUUUUUAAUUAAUUUUGGAUGUGAAUAAAAAUCGAGUCUUUUGUAAAUAAAUUGAAACUUUGUGAGUAAAUAAGUUUGAAAUCUUUAAUUUGGAAUUGUUCCCAAUAUAAAUAAAUUUCUUUUGAACUUCCUUUGAAAUGUUGCAACUUGAACAAAUAAUUAAAUUAUAUUUUGUGCUCUUCACAUUCAUUAAUUGUGUACAUUCUUGUGUAAUCUUUUUCUCAUCUCAUGACUUAUAUGUAUCUUGUUGUCCUGUUAUCAGUAUCCUCAAUAAAUUAAUCAAUUCAUACUGACUCGUUUUGAUUUAUGUUUGCAAUUUUUCAAGAUGAUUGACAUAAUGUGUUUCAAAGGAAAAUCAAAUCCUUCUCACCAAGUAUGUCUUAAAAUAAUUUUUUUUUUUUUAUAACUUCAAAUUAGAAAUGUCUUCUUAGCUUUGAUAAUGAUCUUUUGUAUUUUUUUUUUUAAAUUGCAACGAUUUGAAAACAUUAUAGAAUAGAGUUAUUUAUAAACUUAUUUUUAUGUACAAAUAAAUUAUACAAAUAUGUGAAAUUAAUUUAUUAAUUUAUUAAAUUAAAAUUUAUUUCUUAUUUUUCUAAUUUUUUUUCUUCAAAUGAACUCAAAAUUGUAGCUUUUAACAUGUGAAGCUAGAAAUGUUUGGAAGGUAUAUAAUAAUGAUAAAAUAGGCAAUCAUCAUUUUCCACUUGCAAGAAAAUCAUAAAAUAGGCAAUGGUCAUUUCAAGAUUUGUAUCAUUCAUCAAACUAGUAAAUUUGGAAAUGGAACUCCAUUAGAUUGUGAAAAAAAACUACUAUAAACCAAAAAAUAUAACAAAGAAUAAAGAAAUUAGAAUAUAACUUCCACUUUGAAACUAUUGCUUGUAUGAACUAUUAUCCACUUGCCAACUUAACAGAAUUGACAUAGCCAUAAACCUAAUAUAAAAUAAUCAUUUUAGCAAUCUAGAAUAAUCAAGCAUAAUUUCAAAAUGCGUCUCUCAUGCUUACAAUGUUAUAGACCAAACAAACUAAAACAAUGAUUUUUCUCCACUGAUACAAUCUUAAAUAAAUUUAUUUUAGAAACAACAUAACCUAAUUGCCUAAUGAAACAUCAUUGAUCCAUAGACCAGUAGACAUUUUUCCUGAUUUCAUUUUUUGGCGACAUUAUCAUUUGUGUUAGGAGUUUUUCCUUGUACUUCAUGACCUUGUCCUAUACAAAAGAGUAUAUAAUAGAAUAUUAACGAAAAUUCAUGUUAUUUUAUUGAACAUAAAAAAUAAAAAAUAUUGUAUUCAACACAAUAUAAUACAUUUGCAAUUGUAUGAAAAAAUCCAUUGUUAUCCCAUAAUUGCAUAAACUUGAUUACAAAUAUGCCACAAUCUGUUCUACAAGUAGCAAUUAAGGAAAUUAAAAAUAAAUUAUGCAUCAAAUCAAUAAAUUUAGAACCUCAUUUGCUUUCCAUAGGUAAAGAGGAAUAAAAUUCUUGCAACUUAUGAAUUCAAUUGUUGCAAAACUUCUAAAACAACGAAUUUGAAUUUAGUCAUGUCCAUUGAUGGUCUUCUUUCUUGAAUCCCAAUGACAAUUGAUAGAACGCUUACCUUAACACAAUAUAAAAUUAUAAAUAUGGACAUCCUUAAAAAAUAAUGACAACAAGUCACAUAAGUAAUUGGAUAAUAACUAUAUUUACUAGUUUCUCUGUGAAGACAUCCAUUUGCUUUUUCCUUUCGUCAAUCAAUGAAUCCAACAACUCGAUUCUUUUUCUAAUGAAUAUUCAAAAUGUUUAAAUACCAAUGAUUUCUCCUGCAUAUUGGUAUGAACAGCUGAAAAAGAAAAAUAAAUAAUGAUUUUAUCAAGUUAAUUGUGUUCAUGUAUUUCCUGCACUAUACUUAAAAAUAUCCAACUAUAUAUGACUUUCAUUAAAUUAAAUAAAACAUGUUCAUAUGUGUACAACCGAGUGUUUUUAAAAUAUUUUCAUAAAUUGUCACAUGUAUUUUGGAGAAAAUGUACCCCUCUUAUUUUCCACAUCAAAUUGUAAUAAUAAAAAAAAUACAAAACAUACAUUAGAUUAAAACAAUCUACUUAAAACAAGAAAACCAAUCUAUAAUUCUUACAACAUAUCUUACCUCAAAAUGGGGAGAUAAGAAAUGCUCCCUAUUUCCUUUAUCCUUACCAUUCAAAAUUCGACAAAACAUGGUUACAACCUUCAUGUAAAUGAAUGAAAAUUAGAAAUAUAGUUUUAGAGUAAUUUUAUCUUAACUUCAUAUAACUAAAUAUGAAUACCUUAUUGUUAACUAAUUUGUCGGGUCCCAAGCAUUUUAAGUCGAAUCUUAUCAAGAAGAAAUCGUACAUGGAACACAAUAUUUGGCUACAUAGAAAUAAUUAUGAUGUUAUGAAUUAAAACUAAAUCUUUUAAAUGGUUGUCUUAAUUGUACUUGUUUAUACUGAAUCAAGUUCAACCUGACCUUUCAUCACGUGUAUCGUCCAAUGCAUAUGCUAAAACUUACUUUGCUACAAUGAAGACGUUGAAAAUUUGAUUGAUUGUUGUACCACAUAUGGUGAUUGUAGGGCAGUAGCACAUCGACGUAGCCGACAUAAACAUAAUGGAGGAUGUUCAGUCUAGUAAGGAAUAAUAACAUUCGACUUAACUUCAUCCUCAACUAUAUGUAUAGAAAAUAAGAAAAAAAAUUCAUUAACGAAAAUAACACACAGAGGAAAGACUAGCCAUUAUUAUGAACUCAUUAAUAUUUUGAUAUUAAAAAUUACUAUAAAAAAAUAAAGAUGCAGAAAGUAUAAUGCUAUGUUGCGCUACUGGCUGUGAGGUCGAUGGCCCUGCAUUAUCUUCACCAUGAGCGGAACGAUCAUUCAAUGGUGAUCCAUAUGCUAAUUUAAAAAUGGAUAACAACCAAAUUUUAAAAAAAAAUUAUAGAACAUUUGCAAUUCAAUUAAAAGUAAAAAAAAAAUUUAACAGCUAAUGCUAUAAAAACCUUAUUACCAUGUGGUGGUGAUGGGAAAGAUUCAUUGAUGUCAGGUUGGUUAUGACUUCCGCUUUGAUGAGAAGGUGAUGGGGUUUUGUUUUUAUUAUGCCGCUUUGCUAGUUUAUCAAUUGCUUCUUUCAUUGUUCGAAGCAAUUGGUGAAUUUGUUCCUCCACUACAUUAUACUCUGCUAUAAUUUCCUACAAAAUGGUACAAAGUGUAAAAGAUGUAUAUUAUUAUGCAUAACAUGUUUGGUUUACUCUUUAAAUAAAGGAAUAGAUGUAAAAGGUUCUCACAUCACUAGUCUCUUCUUCAACUUCAUCUACUGGAUUAGUAGGGUCUUCAUGUGCAUCUUCCCCCCUUUCAUCUUCCUGAACCUACAAUAAUAAAAAGAAUAUAUAAUUUUUUUAAAAUUAUUUUUCAAAUAUUAAAAUAAAAAGAAAAUGUAGAAAUAAAAUUUUGUUCCUUACAUCGACUAGUCCAAGGUCAUCAUAAUCCUGCAACUCUACAUGCACCAUUUUCUUCAUCAGGUCAUCACUCUACAAUGCACAUAUGGGGAUGGUGUGUGGCACCAACAUAAUUGGAAUGUAGAAUUUAUUUACAUAAAAAAGCUCAUACACAAAUAUUCCACACAUCAAUACGUUAUUUAGAGAACACUGUUUAAACAUAGAAAAUGAUAUGGAAACCUUGAGCAUUUAAUAAAAAAAGAUAUUUACCUACAAAAAAAAAAAGGUAACCUGUAAACCAUGAGCCUUUACCCAAUCGAAAAUGCCUAAUUCGAGCAACCAAUGUGUCAAGUACAAAUUGGUCCCAAUUAACAUUGAUGUCAAAGUUUCUAGCAAGCAAAGUACACCGCAACUCAUGACUACCAUCCAACUUCAAUGUUGGAGCAAGUAAUGUAGCACAUGAGAAGAAGAUAAACAAUUUUUUAAAGUCACCCAUGUCUUCCAUUGAGAUCAGCCUAUCUCUAAGGAUAGAUAGGUUUUCCAUCCUAUUAUUCCUAUUGGUAGGUGUAGACACUCCAUUUUGUAUAUCUAGUACUUGUCCUAUUAUGUGUUCGUUUGGUACUUUACAACAAUUCCCUGGUAACCCAUUAUUACUCAUGUAACUUAUCUUUUAUGAGCCACCUUGGAGACUCUGAUUGAGAGAUUUAUCUAACCUCAUUACAACCCUUAGCAACCCUAAUUUAGACUUAGGUAGUCAAUACAUGUCUAGCAUAAUACCCUAAGCUCCCAUUUUUACAACUUGGAGGGCUAAAUUGGGUAAAAUAUAAGAAUGUCAAAUAACAUGUAUAUGUGAAAUAUGGACAAAAAAAAAGGAAUAGAUAAAGGUAAUGAUUAAUUAUAUUUAUUAAGAAUAGUGAUUAACUUAAAAAAAAAAAUAGUUAACUUUUGUGAAAAUAUCCCUUAGAAAAGAUCAUGACUUUUAUGACUUCAUUAAGGUAAAUCAAUCAAGCUUCAAGAGCAAUUAUCGAUAAUAUAUUUGGAAAUAUGUAGUAUUAGCAUCCUUUUACAUCUCAUAGAUUGACAUUAUAGAAGAGAAAUGCAAUUAGUAAUUAUAAGGAAUAAAUGUUUUACAUAUGAACAAUUUGAUUAAAGAUGGAUAAAAGAGUAAAGAGUUUAGAUUAGAGAGAGAGAGAGAGAGAGAGAGAGAGAGAGAGAGAGAGGUUGUGCCUUACAAGAAAUGUCUAAACUAAAUAUAGGAUGUAUAUAAGACAUACUAAGGCCAAAAGAAAGAUAUAAAGAACAACUCACACCUAAGUAACAUGAUCAAAGCUAUUUAAAUGAAUCCUCAUUGCUUCCUUACCUAUACAUACAUCUAAAUUGUUGUAAAGGAUUGUAAAUAUUAUGAGUUUGUUCUUUUUUAGUACUACUUCAUUACUAGUGGAAUAAUGGACAAAUGAGUACAUUGUAUUCAUAGCAAUUUAGAUUAUAUUUUCAUAAGGUGGUGAAACAAACAUAUAUGGUAUCCUUCUCAACUCAACUUAGGAAUAGGAAAUAAUAACAAAAACAAUUAUAAGCUAACAAAAUUCAUAUAUAUAGGUAUAUAUUCAUGUGAGAGGAAGCCAUAUAGAAUCUUUACAUUUCAAAAAUCAAGUAAACUUUAAUUCAAGAAAGCAACUUAAAUGUAGGUAAGUCUUCAAAAAGUUUAGAAGAAGAAAAAAAUGUAACCUCAAUAACUAUCCACUUGAGCUAUUUUUUAGAUCAUUUCUUCUUUUGAGAUACAAAAAUUCGAAACCCCCUGCAAAAAAGAAGAUUACAUUAGUGUUUAUUUUGAAACAUGAAAACUAAAAUUAUGGUAGACUUACAUGUUCACAAUAUCUUUUAUAUCUUGGUAUGGUUGUUGUAAUAGCAAGUCUAAAUAGUAAACUGUUUGUAAUUUGAGGUCAAUUACAGCCAAAACCCAAUGAAACCUACAAUAUAUUAACAUAUAAUUUAGAUAAAUAGCAUUUAUAAGGCUAAGAAAUUAAAAACAAUUAUAAUUAACAACUUACCUUGGGUUAUACGGAAGAAAAAUCAGAUCUGCCAAUUUGGAGUCAAUUAGGCGAUCAACAAUGAUCUUUGCUCUUUUUUCAAUUUUUGGGGCUAUUGUUCUAGCCUUAGACACCAGUCCUGGAUGAACAGAUAUAAUUUUCUCAUGUAGUGUAUCAUCUAGAUGUUCAUGCAACCACCUAAUGAAAUAUCACCCAGUUUAGAAUUACUUAAAAAAUAAAAAAAAUAAACGGUUUCUACUUAUUUAUAUCAUGAAUAUAACAUAAAGAUUUACAACAAAAUCUCACCAAAUAUAGAAACAUAUACAAUUCAUAGUCAACUCUUUUGCAAAAAUUACAUCAUUCAUUUCAGUUGUCAAGAGGAAGAUUUGAAAUUUCAUCCCAAAAACAUUGAUUGGAAAGUCAACUUUGGGUGCCAGUUUACCCUCCAACAUUGUUGAAACUGUUUUAAAAAAUAAUUGUAUAUCUCUUGGAUUCUCAUAUUUGAUUUUCUUUGGGGAUGCUUGUAUCUUAUUCAUUUUAUUCUUCCUCUUGCCAAAAUCCUAAACACAUAAAUAGAUGCAUGACAUUAAAAUGAAAAAUAAAUAAACCAAGAGUGUAGGAAAAUAUAACUCAACUUUGAAAGUUUGGGUAUAACGUUAUUCCCCUCAACAUUUUCAUCAUUUAUCACAAAUGCAACAGGCCACAAAACCUCAUAUCCAACACCCUCCCUUAUUGUACUAAUGUUUUCAGAAAGUGGGAAUGAAAGAAGUGCAUUAGGUUGAAGAGGGUAAAGAAUGACCACUAAUAUAUCAGUUCUAUCAAUGGAAAUGUUUGAAUCUCACAAAUAAGUUCCAUAUGCAACAAUGUUUUCUUCAGUUUCAAGAGCUAAUUUGCAUUUAUAAACCUGUAAAAACAUAUUUUCUAAUCCUUCGUCUUUCAUUAUAGUUAUUUUAUAUAUUGUUUUUAUAAAUUUAACUUAGGAAAAGCCAUAUAUACCUGAGUUAGUGGAGAAGCUUUUUGAGUCCUUUCUGCUGAUAGGUUCUCCACAUGAGCACUAUAAUGAGUCUUCUCUCGUAUUUCUUCAUGUUCCAACAAUUGUUUCCUUAUGUUUGUGCUGCUCACUUCAGAGUGGGGUGUGAGGGGUUCUUUUUUUUUUCAGCUUUCAAAGAAAUGAUCUCUUCUUCCAAGCUUUUUACUUUCUCCCUUAGCAUCCUUUGACAUUCCUCUUCUUCAAGAGUUUUUAUGGGUUUUAGUGUGUUGAAUAAUUGUUUGGGAUUUUUUUUCCCACCUUUUCCUCUAACCCGUCCAGGAUGCUCGGAUGUACCCAAUGCUAAAGUGAGGAUAUCCUUUUGGCCAACACAUGUGAUCUUCCCUUCCUCAACAGCCUUUGCCAACUCAUCCUCCAAAAAUAUAUAAGAUGCUUCAAGAGUCAUAUUUAAUAAAAUAAAAAAACAAAUGAAAUUGACUAAAACUAAGUAUAGGUUUGACAACUUACAAUCUUUUCCGCUACAGGCCUCGUAACAUCAUCAUAUUCACCUUUUUUCAAUCUUUCUAGCUUCCACAAGACCCAUCUAUCAAUAGGUUUCCUUGAACCUGUCUUUUGCAUCUAUCAAAAAACAAAAAAGUGAAGCAAUUAAACUUUACAAAAGUAAAUGUCCAACAAAAUAAAAUACACUAAUUCAACUUACCAAUUCUUCUUGAAGUCUUGCAUAUCAUUUCCUACUCACUCAAUGAAUAUAAACGUAUUUUGCCCUCCUUUCUUUUCCUUUUUUUGGUUUAACUUGAAACUCUAUUGACAACCUAUUAGCCACUAACUUUCUCCAGUCUUCAAUUGGAAUGUAAUUAUAUUCAAUUGGUGGCUACAAAAGGUACUCGGGCUUAUCCUUAUAAGGCAGGUGUGGACCCCGCAUUUCGAUGGCUCGAAUGCGUUCCCCACUCGAUGGCGAGCUCGAUUUUUAUUUUGAAAAAUUGAUUUUUAUUGAUUAUUUGAAAAUGACUUGGAGUCGCCACUUAUUUUUGUUUUAUUUUUAAAGGGUAAACAAAAUAAGAAAGAAAAACCCUAAGUGUGACUCCUUAUUUUGGAAAAGGUGAUCUACGAAAAACCGGAUCGGGUUCGGGGGUCAGGUUACUUAUCGGGAAGGUACGGUAAAGACCGUAGCACCCCUCUAAGUCCCUAAAGUCGGGUCUCUACUACUAAAAUGAAGCUGACAUGGCAAUCAAUGAGAAAAUCAAUGAAUACUCAAAUCAAUCAUGCACAUAUAAGUAUCAAAACAUGCGUAUAGCAAGACCAGAAUAAGGACAGAUGCGUACCUGGGCAACGAUCUUCAAUGCGCUAUCAAGAAGUGAGAUUAGUGCACAAUUAAAGGAUGGUCACAUGCAUAUCAUAGAGCAGAAUAAAUCAUGUAUGGCACCCAAAUCAACCAAACAAUCCAUCAAUCAUAAAAUCUCAUAUGUUGGGCCCCCACCAAAGCCCGAUUGAUUUUUGCAUGAAUUAAUUCCAUAAAUUCCCUUGCUUGGAAUUACGGAAUUUUAUUCUAGCUUAUUUUAAAACAUUUUGAAAAUCUGAGGAGUUGUGAAAAUUGCUUGUCAGGGAGAAAAGUGACAGCAAAUUUUUAUUAUAAAGUGGAAACUUUUGGGAACCUAAAGAUUCCAAUGAGGAAACAUGAGAGAAUUGGAAUUAUUUGAAAAACCAGAUUUUUGAGAAAAUGCUUGCAAAAUGGGAUUAGGAACAGUUAUUAAAACAGAGAAUGAGGAAGUAAAAGGUGGUGGCACAUGGUCAAAGGCUGCAUGUCCUAGGUGGUCAUGCAAAGAAGCGGUCUCCUGUAGCUUUUGUAGGGUCCAUUCUCUCCCCACUUCUCAUCCCAUGAGUUCUUUACGAUCCAGUAAGGCCUGCCCUUCAUCCGGAUGGGAUCAUGGCCUGUUGAACCAUGCCCCACCAGUAACACUCCAUGAGCCAUCAUCUCAGAGCAUAUGUAUGGGCGUGACACUUCCCCAAUAUGUGUCUGCAUGAACACUGUAUUGAUGCCCACUACCAUUUGACCAUUUUUCACAAGAUUAGCAGCCAUCUGAUCUUCAUCAAGGAAUGAACCAAAAGCUUUGGCUGCAUCGGGCUUCUGGAGAAGAACUGUUUUGAUUGCAUUCAAUAUCUCAUCCACGGAUCUUCCUGUGCUAAUGUAUUCUGAAAUAACCUCCCAUCUUCAAGACAUUCCUCUGGGAUAUUUCAGCAUCCCUUUUAUCAAGAGCCCAACUUCUUCUCUAUCCCAAGGUUUCUCCUUAUAGUGUGAUCAAAAGAAUGAAGUUGGGGUCACUGAAUUCACCUUCCACUGAAGAGUAGAAAGCAUCAGAAGCCCUAUCCUCUGAAACGUCUUCACUUCAAGCACAUAUUUUAUCUCCUCCACCUGCAGGUCCAAGAGAAGAGGAGCAUCGGUUUUACUGGAGCUUGACUUUCUCUUCUCAGGGGCAUUUUCCUCAUGGGGACUCUCUAUCUGAUCUGUUGAUGCAGCUGCACUUUCUCCCUCAUUCUCAUGGCCAUCUAAUCUGCUUCCGCGGAUGCUGCAUCUGACACCACGGCCUCUUGAACGCGAGUGGAAUCCAGCUGGCAAUGGACCCAAUGGAGGCCUCUCAAUGGGUUUACUUUAAGAGCUUCUUGAGGGCCCAAAGGAUAUUGCAGGACCCGGACUUAGGACGCCAUCUUAUCCGUGUCAUGCUGAGGAAUUCGUUCUUUGUGGUAUCAGAUUGGCUACAGGAGGCCUUAUAGAAGUGAAGCUAGGGAUAUCUUCAGAAAUGGAACUUGGACCCUUCCCUUUGACAGGUUCAUCUCCAUGAGAACCAAAUUUUAUAAGCUCGGUAACUCCAGGUUGUUGAAUGAACUUCCCAGUCUCCUUGUCAUGCAACAAAGCACUUUUUGCUUCAGUUUCAGUCUCCACAGGUGCCGGGGCCGCUUCAAAUCCCACAACCUCCAUGAAUUCACCAUGCUCCUCCAAGAAAUAACCAACAACACUAGGUAGCAUUUCCAAUUCACUUCACGACCUUGGAAUGAGCAGUUGCUUUAUCAGUUUCAUGGCAGAGGGUGAGCACUGGAGCUUUCCUCUUGACAACACUUUACCUGGAAAGCGGAGAGUGGAUACCGGUAAUCCAUGAUAAAUAGAAACUUCCCCACUUUUCCGGACUGGAGGUGAUCUCCUCAUGUUGCUGGCCUAUAGAUCCAUCUUCUGGAGAAAACACCAGUUGAAAAUUAUCCACUGAAGCAACUGUCACUUGUCCACGGAAGUCCGAGCACCAGCAUACCCAGAUUGGUGGUUUUGGAAUAUAGGUUUGAAGAGUUUGAUGGGUGUGCAAGGUGUAGACAUGGGGCAUGAUAGCAAAGUGGUGAGAUGAGGUGAUAAUGAGUGUAAAUAGGCUUAGAGAGAAAGGUGAAUAAAUAUGGUGGGGGAGUAGACUGUUGACAAUGGGUAUGUAUGAGUCCUAUGCCUGUGGGUAUGGUGAGAGAUGAACUGCAAGUGAUGGGCAUGAUGUGGUGUGGGGUGGAUUAGUGGGAUGACAGUAUACAAAGAGAGCGUGGUGUAGAGAGAGAAUGCAAGAUGAUGAGUGCAUGUGUAGAUAUGGGUGUGGGCAUGGUGGUAUGAAGCGUGUGGUGGAUGAUGGACUGAAGGUGAUGGGCAUGACAAUGGGCAUGAACAGGGAUGGAGUCAUGUGGGCACGAGACGAGCAUGAGCGCGGAAUGAGUGUGAUGCAACCAUGCAUGGUAUGAAAAGGGUUUGGUGUAGUGAGAGAAAGUAGAUUAUUGGUGAUGGGUAUGAAUAAUGGCCGGGUUUGCAUGGUCCAUGCACUUGGAUGGGUGAGUUUGGGGAUGCUAGCAGAAGCCUUGGAAGGAAUACGGGCAGCCAUGCACGCGUGGGGUUUCAUGGAUAUCGAGUCAGGGUAUUUUGCUGGAGGAAGAGAGCAUGGGUCUGCACAAUAUGGGGAUUGGGAUCUCCUACGGACUCCCUAGCUAAUGGAGUUGUGAAAGGGAGACCAUCUGCUUUUCCGAUACCAGAUUAUGGGAAGUUCAGUGAUGGCUUCUCAAAAAUGGACCUUGAUGUUAACAAACCACCCUUGGGCAAUUUAGCAAUCCCUUCAUUCUCAGAAGACUCCGUCUCCAACAGACCAUAAUGAUACUGAACUAAUCCAUGUGAAACGGACAAGAAAGGCUCUGCUCGUGAAUGUUCCCUGGCAUAACCUCCUCUAGAAUGUCAUCAGACGAAACAAAACUAGAGAACCAGGUAUCUAGAACAAGUAAGUCUUCUCACUGGGCCAAACCCUCAACAAGCCUGUUGCAUUUCUCUGAUUUCUCCCACUGUUCUGCCAAAGUCUUUAUUUAUAAUAUAAUGGUUUAGAAAUAUCCUCCAUUAAUCACUCUGCCUUUGACCAACCCUGGUUAAGGAUCCAUACAUCAAAUCUGAUUACCACUUCUGGCCCACAACCGCUCGAGUUGAUAAUGAUUUUCCUCCAUAUCUACUCCUGUUCAUCUUCAUAAAAUUCCUUGGAAUCAUCAGUAUACUCACUGCAAUCUGUGGUAAAGACCACCACAUCCUCAUCGACAUCUUACUUUUUUCCUCUACGAAUGGCGCCUCACACUACUCACUAUUCUUUGGAUCUGAACCACUUUUUUUUUUUUUUUUUUUUUUUCAAAUAUUGGAUGUCAAGCCUCAACAGCAUAUAGUAGUCAAUUUGUACCAUCCCCAAUGUAUGGUAUGCAUGAUGCCCCGUGCUCAAAUUGCUCAAAAAGAACAGAGGAAUAUAGCUAAGAAAACAGGGCAUAGGAGAAAGGAACAAAAAAUAAAUCAAGGGCAACUGCAUUUCAGGACAUAUCAAUGUGUUCCCACUGGUGGAUGAAAGAUAUGAACAAAUUCAAAACAAAAAAUACGCCACAUAUGUUCAGGUGCCUAGCAACGAAAUAUGAUGCAAGUCCUCACCCAUUUUCUUAAACCAGGUUAAUGAAACAGCGAAAGGAUUAACAUCACAGAUGGAAACAUGACAAAUACAAACAACAUAUACACCCAGUGAAAUGAUAUUCAGAAUAAUGAAAUCAUACGGCUAAAUAUAAGCAUACCUGAAUGUGAUAGAUGUCCUACCCAGCUUUUCUUACUUUCUCUCUGUUUUCCUUGCCUUUCUAGCUCCGACAAUCGAAUCACCUUCUCUCUUACUCUUCUUUUCUCCCGCUUGAAAAACCUCCCUCUGGAAAUAUAUCUCUCCCCCAGCCAGACGACACCCACCUGCCUUGCAGUUGCAAGCCUCCAUUACCUUCAGAUUUUUCUGCCACCUUCCUCUUCUAGGCCCAUUUCCCCACUACUCUGCACCACUACCUUGCUAAUAACAGAAGACGCUCCUCAAUACAACGGCCUGCAGAUCCUCAUGCCACCUGUCAACCUUCCAUUGGCACUUCAAAAACAACAUACGAUUCUGCAUUGCCCUCUCAAAAGGAGACACGUGAUUGAGCAAGGCUCUUCCACGUGGCCAAAACGGGUAGCUGCAUGAAAGGCCCCAAAUGGGGGUCUACAAAUAUGCCCCUCUUUGGUAGAGUUCAUGAGUGUAAAGAACAUGAACACUGGAGUGAAAAGUAAGUGUGAGUAGUGAGUGAAAUGAAGUGAACUCUACCGAAGAAUCAAAGAGACCCCCAUAGGGAUAUUGGUGAAACGCGAAGUCACCCAGGCUAGUAGACGAACACAAAGGCUCUAAUCCUAAAAGAGAAAGAUGUCACAAAAUGCCUCUGCGGCCAUACUAAGGAUCCAAGCUCCCUCUAAGAUGUCUCCCGAAAGUGACUCGAAAAACCAAAUGCUAGAGGUGAGUAACGGUCGAGUCACCCUAGGGUACGGACAAGAAUGCGUCUAAAGGAGACUGCCCUAUGUGGACUACAUGAUGAAUACACGAUAAGCACAAAGUAACGAAGUGAGGAGGACGAUAAUAAGUGCAAAUCCAAUGAAGGUGAGACACGCAAUGCCACUGAAUAGGAAUGCUAGGAGCUGUGACUCUACAUGACAAGAUUGACUCUAAACACUAAACUAGGAAACAACGGCUCUGGAAGCCAACCAAAAACUAACUCUAAAAACUAAACUGAGAAUAACAGCUCUGGAAGCAAACCAAAAACUAACUCUAAAAACUAAACUAGAAAACAACAGCUCUGGAAGCCAACCAAAAACUAACUCUAAAUGCUAAACUGAGAAUAACAGCUCUGGAAGCAAACCAAAAACUAACUCUAAAAACUAAGCUAGAAAAUAACAGCUUUGUAAGCAAACCAAAAAAACUAACUCUAAAAGCUAAACUAGGAAACAACAGCUCUGGAAGCCAACAAAAACAAAAAAAAAACAAAAAAAAAAAAAAAAAAAAAAAAACUAACUCUAAAAGCUAAACUAGGAAACAACAGCUCUGGAAGCCACACAAAAAAAAAAACUAACUCUAAAAGCUAAACUAGAAAAUAACAGCUCUGGGAGCCUAAACAAGACGACAGUAAUGGCUCUGGAAGCCUAAACAAGAUGACAGUAAUGACUCUGGAAGCCUAAACGAGAUGACGGUAAUGACUCUGGAAGCCUAAACAAGAUGACAGUAAUGACUCUGGAAGCCUAAACGAGAUGACGGUAAUGACUCUGGAAGCCUAAACAAGAUGACAGUAAUGGCUCUGGAAGCCUAAACAAGAUGACAGUAAUGGCUCUGGAAGCCUAAACGAGAUGACGGUAAUGACUCUGGAAGCCUAAACAAGAUGACAGUAACGGCUCUAGAAGCCUAAGCAAGAUGAUAAUAACGACUUUGGAAGCCUAAACAAGAUGACGGUAAUGACUCUGGACGUCGAAACUAAAAAGUGAUGAUGAUGACUCUGAACGUCAAACUGAGAAGUGAUAAUGAUUCUGAACGCCGAAACCGAGGAUGUGACUCUGAAUGUUGAUCUGAAAAUCGAUGAUAGCUCUGAACGCCGAAACUGAGAAGUGAUGAUGAUGACUCUGAACGUCAAACUGAGAAGUGAUAAUGAUUCUGAACGCCGAAACCGAGAACGCGACUCUGAACGUCGAUCUGAAAACCAAUGACGGCUCUGAACGCCGAAACUGAGAGAAGUAGUGAUGAUGGCUCUGAACACCGAAGCUGAGAAGUGAUAACGACUCUGAACGCCGAAACCGAGAACGCGACUCUGAACGUCGAUCUGAAAACCGAUGACGGCUCUGAACGCCGAAACUGAGAGAAGUAGUGAUGAUGGCUCUGAACACCGAAGCUGAGAAGUGAUGAUGAUGACUCUGAACGUCAAACUGAGAAGUGAUAACGACUCUGAACGCCGAAAUCGAGGAUGUGACUCUGAAUGUCGAUCUGAAAACCAAUGAUAGCUCUGAACGCCGAAACUGAGAAGUGAUGAUGAUGACUCUGAACGUCAAACUGAGAAGUGAUAACGACUCUAAACGCCGAAACCGAGGAUGUGACUCUGAAUGUCGAUCUGAAAACUGAUGAUAGCUCUGAACGCCGAAACUGAGAAAUGAUGAUGAUGACUCUGAACGUCAAACUGAGAAGUGAUAACGACUCUGAACGCCGAAACCGAGGAUAUGACUCUGAAUGUCGAUCUGAAAAUCGAUGAUGGCUCUGAACGCCGAAAACGAGGAUGUGACUCUGAAUGUCGAUCUAAAACCCGAUGAUGGCUCUGAACGCUGAAACUAAGAAGCGGUGAUGGCUCUGAACGCCGAAACUAAAAGGUGAUGGUGUCUCUGAACGACGACAAAUGGAAAAGUGGCUCUGAACGCCGAACUGAAAAAUGUGACAUGAUGACUCUAAAUGUCGUAAACCGUGAAUGAACGGCAGCUCUGAACGCUAGACUGCAAGGAAACAAUGAGGGGGAAAUAUGCCCCAGUGUGGCAUGCCGCUGCAAACCUCAAACUACUAGAAAUGGCUAAAAGGGACUCUACGAGUCUCGAACGACGCACCACUGAGAGCUCAUGUCAACGAAGAGCUUAGGAACAAUGGUCAGUGAGGCGAAUACAAUAUAUCUCGGCUGAGUGAUGGAAACUGCGAUGGACAUGUGAGAGAACGAUCGGCUCCAUGGCUAAAUGAGGGAAAUAUGCCCCAGUAUGGCAUCAGAUGUAUCCGAUCUAUCCUGAUAACCCGAGAAUAGCACCGAUGGGACGCGUAACAGAUCUGAUAUGUACCCCACUGAAAUGAUGACGCGGGAAAUCCAGGCACCUAAGAUAACCCCAUCCAGGAAUCACGACUAUAUCAAAGAGUAUGAAUCUGGCUGAACGAAGUCAAGAGAGGCUCCUCGGAGUAUCCGGACAAAAUGAAAUCAAUCAUCAACCUGGCGUGUAUCUCAUGGCCGUGGAUGAUCAUGUAAACCAGUGGGGAUCUAUAAAUCUCGAUCAAGAUGGGGAAUAUGCCCCAGUGUGGCAUCGAAAAUGUAACAUGUCAAAAAAAAUCAGAUGAACUCAAAUCAUCUAUGCCUGCAACUGGCUAGAUGGCUCUCGAUAGACUCCACUAAGGAAUCAUCGUGAGGAUUGCGAAUAUAUCAUCAUCCCUGCAUACAUCUCGCAAAUAAGGAUAAGCACGCAACUCCCUCAUGAUCUGUAAAUCUCAUCCGAACGGAAAUAUGCCCCUGUAUGGCAUCGAAAUGCAGGAUAGGUCGGAGAUCAGAUAGCAUGGAAUCAUCUAUCCUAUAACAUGUGACCUCUGCGAAGAUCCAUAAAAAUCCUCCGAAACGGAAUAUGCCCCAGUAUGGCAUCUGACGUGCGACAAAUCAGGAAAAAACAGGUGACAUCGAAUCAUCCCUCAUCAAACACGUGAUCCUGGUAAUCCAAACACGGUCGAAACGGAUCUAAACAUCUGAGAAGUGUCUCCCAGAAGAAGAUGCAUGGCAAAUAUCUGGAUGUCGACUGAAUCUCAAACACCUGUCCACAUAGAAGCCGUAGAAGACGAUAUCUGAUCCCAUGGCCUCAGGGUGGUCUUAAGACACGGGACGUAAUGUAGGCUAGGGUGAUAGGGUGAUAGAAACGAAGGGAAACUAAGCUCAAAUACCCAAUGAUCAAAACCCAUGCCCUCGUGUGUGAAAUGCAACAUGUACAGAAAAUCCUGUGAGCCCUGGACCUGAGGGUGUCUAAUGUGAAUAUGAUGUCAAUGAGGAAACAAGUGAAGCAAAUCAAACUGAUAAUGAGAUAUGUAAUGGUGAUACGAAGGGAAUAUCAAACCCGAGAUGGGUCGUGGUAAGAAAAGAAUAAGAAGUGAAGUGAGAAUGACGAAUCAGAAGCGAAAACGAGGACGAUGAUAAUGAAGCGAAUAACAUCAAAAGGAGUGAUGAUCAACUCUGAUCAGACAUGGAAUGAUGUCACAUCAACUACGAACAUAAUGAUGGAACGGACAAUAACCCAGAGCUCCCAAAAGAAAGUCACUCAUCUCGCUCACAAAAUAUGCAACAAAAUGAAUACAAAGCCUGAGGGAUCCCGGGAAGCUCACAUACGAACUCCCGUCAACAAACAUACUCGAUCAAGUGGCCCUCGAAUAUCAAUACAUACACUCAGUGAUGGAUAACAAUACAUACCUGGUUUUUAUUUCUUUUUCCAUUUUUUUUUUUCUUUUUUUUUUUUUUUUUUUUUUUUUUUUACCCCCAAAGAUGACAUCAAAAAAGGAUAACAUACUCUCAAAUGUCAAUGUAACAUGAACUCUCUCUGAUGAUGUGACUUUCUCAAACUAAGGAUCCCUGGACCAACGUCCGUAUGAUAGAUAGUGGAAAUGACAUGACUACCCUCCAUGUAGUGAACUGAGGAAGAUCACCCCUCGGGGUGAAAGAAGAUGACGUGAAACGAACAGUAGAUAAGAUAAAGAAAAUAUGAUGAAUAACACGAACAGUGAGAUGAGAUGAAAUGCAAUGAUGUAGUGGCGAGCACAGAUAAUGAGAAGAACGUGCCCCUAGGUCCAAGGCUCAAUGAAACUCUCAAACAAUGCAUGCAUACACUAAAGGGCCCCAAUCCCGGUGUGAAAAUGUGAGCAAGGCUAUAAGAAAUGAAGGUUAUGAUGCGCGUGCGAGGCUCAAAUGGGCUAGCAAUGGACUAUAUAUAUCAGAAACGGGAUAAAGGGAUAUAGCUAACCGAAAUGAUAGCCACCCAUCCUGCGACCAUGGUCUCAAACAUAGUACCUCUUUAGCUGAUCCACAUUAGUCGGCUCUGAGAACUGGUUUCCAUCCAAAUCCAUCAACCAUGCGGCGCCCUCUGGGGACAACUCUCUGAUGAAGUAAGGCCCGCUCCAACUGGGUCUGAACUUCCCUCUAGGAUCUCUGAUCAAUCCUCUGAUGACUCUCAAAACUAAGUCACCUACAUGCAGUGGUCUGGGCUUGACCCGCUUUUUGAAAGCGCGGGCCAUCUUCCUCUGAUAUGCACGAACAUGGUCUGCUGCUCUCAAUCUCCUCUCAUCUAGGAGAUUGAGCUGAUCAAAUCGAGCCUGAGCCCAAUCCGUCUCGGGAAUCUGCUGCUCCAAGGCUACCCUCAAUGAACCCAUCUCGAUCUCAACUGGUAGCACUGCCUCCAUACCGUACACCAAUGAGUAGGGUGUGGCUCCUGUAGAGGUGCGAAAAGAAGUCCUGUAAGCCCAUAGUGCGAAAGGAAGCUUCUCGGACCAAUCCCGAGAAGUCUCAACCAUCUUCCGCAAUAUCCUCUUAAUAUUCUUAUUCGCGGCCUCUACUGCCCCAUUCGUCUGCGGCCUGUACGCAGACGAUCUAUGAUGCCGGAUGCUGUAUCUCUGUACUAAGGUGUCAACCUCUGCUCUGAAAUGCACCCCUCUGUCUGAAAUAAGCUCGUGAGGGACUCCAUAGCGACAAAUGAUGUGCGAUCUAAUGAAACUGGCAACUCCAGAUGAUGUCAAUCUCGCAUACGAGGCGGCCUCCACCCACUUGGUAAAGUAAUCAAUAGCUACCAGGAUGAACUCAUGACCACUGGAAGAUUUCGGCGAAAUCUUCCCGAUGAUAUCGAUACCCCAUACUGAAAACAGCCAUGGUGAAGUCAAUGCAUGCAACUCUGAGGGCGGCACGUGAAUGAGAUCUCCGUGUAUCUGACACUCAGGACAUCUCUGGACGAACUGACAACAAUCCGUCUCCAUAGUCAACCAGAAAUAGCCGGUCCUCAUGAUCUUACGGGCCAACAUAUGCCCUCCCAUAUGUGGUCCACAAACUCCCGCAUGAACCUCUCUCAUCACUCGAUCGGCAGAGGCACGGUCUAAACACAACAAUAGCAUCCCGUCAGCUGAUCGUCUAUACAGCGUCUCGCCGCAAAUGACGAAUCGGGCAGCCAACUGUCUCAAUGCUCUCUUAUCCUUGGCCGUGGCGACCUCAGGAUAUACGCCGAGUCUCAAAAAGUGAUAUAUGUCGUGAUACCAUGGCAAACCAUCAUUUGGCUCUACAUCAUCAAUCAAACAACAAUACGCAGGAGCAGAUCUCGACUCGAUCAACAAUGGUCGAACAGUGGCAUCGGCGGGAAUGUCGAUCAUGGAAGCUAGAGUAGCUAAAGCAUCAGCAAACUGGUUCUGCGCUCUAGGCAGAUGUGUAUAUCUCAUAUCCUCAAAUCUCGCGACCAGUAGCUCCAAAUACGCGUGGUAAGGCCUAAGCUUCACAUCUCUAGUCUUCCACUCGCCCUGUAUCUGUCUCAAUACCAGAUUGGAGUCACCAAACACCUCCAUCUGUCUAAUCCCAAGCUCGAGGGCUGUCUCUAACCCCAAGAUACAUGCCUCAUACUCAACAAUGUUGUUCGUGGCCAGAUGUUGAUUCGAGAAUGCCAAACGAACAGAUCUGGGAAUGUGAUCACCAUGAGGGGAUAUCAACAAAACGCCUAUCCCGUAUCCAGAAUGGUUGGCUGCACCAUCAAAGUACAUGCGCCAACCCGACAGACUAGUCACAGCUGCGACAUCCUCGUCUGGAAAAUCAUCGUCAAUAGCUCUGGCAUCAGAAACUGGUAAUGAGGCUAAGUGAUCUGCGACAAUGCUCCCUCUGAUGGACUUCUGAGUGACAUAAUGAAUGUCAAACUCAGUCAGAAGUACCAGCCAUCUCAUAAGGCGACCAACUAGGUAUAUCAAGACGAGGAAUCAAAGGUCCGAUCCUACAAAGCACGAAGAACGGAAUAAGGAUAUGGCUCGGGGAAUGUAUAGAAGAAAAGAUAAUCUGAACGGGAACAAGCAAAGCAUCCAAGUGAAGAUGAGCGGUCCGACCGUACUCAAAUUCGUCCUGAUCUCAGUGCACUCUCAUCUGGAGACUAAACAGAGGGAAAAUCGGAUCCAAAACUACGGCUACAGAGGCACGGAAAGCCCUCAGAUGCACCCACGUGUAGGGAGGGAAUCCUAAUCGAAGGAUCUAUGGCUCAACCUACAAGGUCAAGGUGGCUCUAAAUGGAUAAGGGUGGACUUUAAAAUAUCCCUAGCAGAAGCGAUCAUACCCUCCGGCGAUACGCAACCCUCUGCACGCCUCCGAAGAGACGGGGCGCUUCCAUGCAAGGUGGUCAUCACCUCCACACAUGCACUACCUCGCAUUCCAGGGGGUUUCCUAUGGUGAAACCUCUCAAACUCUCAACACUCAAUAGUCUACUAGCGUGCACAGUGAUGGUGUGGGUGCAUCCGAAACCCUAAGAAGCUAAAGCAGGAUAUGAAACACACUGGCCACAUAAAUAUCCAUGAAACCUAGCUCCGGGCUAUACAGGUCUUCAAUGAUCGGACUCCAAUCGACAUCAAAGUGUCGCUCUCCUCCAGAANNNNNNNNNNNNNNNNNNNNNNNNNNNNNNNNNNNNNNNNNNNNNNNNNNNNNNNNNNNNNNNNNNNNNNNNNNNNNNNNNNNNNNNNNNNNNNNNNNNNAGGCAUGUCAAGAAUGGCUCUAAUCUUGUCCGGAUCCACCUCUAUGCCUCGCUCACUGACUAUGUAUCCCAAGAGUUUCCCAGAAGUCACUCCAAAAGUGCACUUCUUGGGAUUCAGUCUCAAUCUGAACUGUCUGAUCCUCUCAAAGAACCUCUCAAGAGCUGCCAAGUGAUCUGAUCUAUCUCGGGAUUUCACUAUCAUGUCGUCUACAUAAACCUCGACAUCCCGAUGCAUCAUGUCAUGGAAGAGUGUGGUCGCUGCCCUCUGAUAGGUGGCUCCUGCGUUCUUCAAUCCGAAUGGCAUGACUCUAUAGCAAUAAGUACCCCACUCGGUAAUGAAGGACGUCUUCUCCAUGUCCUCUGGAGCCAUCAAGAUCUGACUGUACCCGAAAAAUCCGUCCAUAAAGGACAACAUCGAGUGACCUGCUGUACUGUCAACUAGCAUGUCGAUGUGUGGGAGAGGGAAAUCAUCCUUAGGACUGGCCUUGUUGAGAUCUCGGAAAUCAACACAGACUCUCACCUUGCCAUCCUUUUUAGGAACAGGGACGACAUUGGCCAGCCACUCCGGGUACUCGACCACUGAUAGAAACCCCACACUGAGUUGCUUCUGAAUCUCCUCUUUCACCUGCAAGCUCCAACGAGGGUGCAAUCGUCUCAACUUCUGCUUAACCGGUCUGGCAUGGGGCAGAAGUGGCAAACGAUGCUGGACGAUGGAUGGAUCAAGGCCCGGCAUGUCCUCAUAGGACCAUGCGAAAACGUCCAAGUAGGAUCUGAGCAACUGGAUGAGACUAUCUCUCUCAUCUGAGGAUAAAUCUGACCCGAUCCUCAACUCCCUAGGCUGAUCUGCGGUGCCGAAAUCAACAAUCUCUAUGUCUCCUAUAGCAGGUGAAACCCUCUGAUCAACGGGAUCCGAAUCGGAAACAGAAGAUGAGUCAUCAUCUGAGUCGUGCUGUGCAAUCUCAUCAUCAAUAUCAAAAAUCUGUGGUGUGGGUGAAGAUGGUGCAGAUAAAUCAAUAUCCCAAGAGACAGGCAGAUACUCAAAAAUGCUCAAAUCCAUAGAUGAAACAUCGGAAACAAUGUCAGAACAGGAGACGAACCCCGACAGAAUGUCAAAUGAAAGAGGUGGGUCCACAAAGUCGGACGCUCCCUCAACAAUGCCAACAUGGCUAUCAAUCAAAUCAUCAAAAACUAUAGCAUCCUCAACAAUCUCCAGAGUAGGGGUUGUCUGGAUCUCCUCAACGAUCUCGAUGAAAGACACCCCGAAAAGAUCGAAUGGUGAAGUGAGCCCAGGAUGAACUCUCUCCUCGAUCGGGCUCAAGCUCAGGGCGAGCAUCUCGUCGAUGUACUCGUCGUGUGGGACGGCUCCGUCCACUAUGUCUUCGACCCCAGCAAAGGUCCCAUGCUCAUCGGUCUCGUCCGGGAAGCAAAGCGUCAUAAGGCUCGUGCGAUCUGGAGACGAAGGAGCAAUCAACACAGAAGUCGAAGAGCCAGGAGCUCCGUCUCUCAAUCGUAACUGCUGGACAAGGCGCUGAAGCUCGACCUCCUGAGUGGUGCUAAGUCCUCCAAUGAUCAUGUCCGAACGGGUCAAUGGCUCUGAUGCCCUCACAAAAUAAUCAGAUAAGCUCCUGGUGUAUGGACGAAGAGGAUAGUAGAAAGGUGUGUGGGUCAGUCGAGCUCUCACUCUCUCCUUGCGCAAACGCGCCAUGUAGAGAUAAUCGGCCUCAGUGGGGAUGAACCCAAGUCCGAACGGUACGUCGUGAUCAGGGAUGGCUAUGAACUCGCUCGGUCCAUGCUGACGUCGACCCAACCCCAUGCCGGGUAGAUAGGACAUACUCCGCAUGAUAUCGAGCACCACUGUGCUCCCAUGCCGGUCAAAGGACAUGGCCACAAAAUCCCGGCAGAAAUCCUCUAUCUCCACAGUCUGCACCUCAUCGAAGGUGAAUCCAGUCAGAAAAAGAUCGUCAUCAGUGUGACUAAUCUCGAGCACAAGCUCGGCAGCAAUGAACAUGUCUCCCACAGACUGCACCACGACGACCUGACCAUCGUGAAUAAACUUCACCUUCUGAUGAAGGGAAGAAGGAAUGGCCCCGACUCUGUGGAUCCAUGGUCGGCCCAGAAGCAGGUUAAAGGAUGUAGGAAUCCUCAAAACCUGGAAUACAGCGACAAAAGUGGCCGGACCGAUCAGCAACUCGAUCUCCAAUGUACCCAUGACCUCCCUCCGAGUACUGUCAUAUGCGCGAACGGUCUGAGUAGUGGGACCAAAAUCAGAAGGAGCGUAUCCAAGGGCGAUGGCAGUGGCAAGAGGACAUACGUUCAGGGCCGAGCCAUUGUCCAAGAGGACAGAUGGGACUCGGCGGCCUGAACAGCCAACAGAUAUGUAGAGUGGGCGAGUGUGGUCUGAGCCCUCCGGUGGCAAGUCAUCAUCGGAAAAGACGAUACAAGUGGCUCUGCCAACCGUCAUCAUAUGAAUGAGUCCCUCGGGAGUGGUCGUGGUAUCAACUCUGAUCUGGCUCAGAGCUCGAGUCAGUGCAUCCCGAUGAGUACUGGAGGACGCUAAAAGGCUCCAGAUAGAAAUACGAGCCUGAGUGCUCUGCAACUGCCUCAAAAUCUCAUCAUUCUCUGCUCUGACCUCCUCCUGGGAUGACGUAUCCCCUAAGGGUCUAGCGGCAGCGGCUGGAGGUGGCUGUCUCACUACUCUCCCUCCCCGGAGGAUAUACUGAACGUCCGGAGUCUGAGGAUCAUCACUGUGUGGAGCCUGAACCUCCUCAACAUCUGGGAUCAGAAUGUACGGCGCCUGAACGCUAUAGCGCGUGAAUGUCAGAGGCUCGGAAGUGGCUGCCUGUACAGAUGCUGCCUCAGGAACUAAUCGGAAUGGAGCAGGAAUCUGUGGCUCUAGGGUCACCCCACUCGUCUCAUAAAUCCCAGCUGGCAUGAUAGGCUCCGGGUCUGAAUCAUCCCAACUCAACAUAUGGACAUGAUCAUCAGUCUCAUCGAAGUCCAAGAAAUGAAUACCACCGGCUGGUGGAGGAACUGCAUGUGUGGUGUGGGUCGGCAACGGGUUUGUGGUCACACUCGGCUGACCCAAGUGUACCAAACCCUGGUCUAUCAGAUCCUGAAUAGCAUGCCUCAGAGCGGUGCAUCGAUCGGUCUCAUGUCCAGGCCCCUGAUGAUAAGCACAGUGUAAGUCCAUCCUAAACUGAGCUGGAAUCGGCUGAGGUAGUGGUCGAGGAGUGAGAGCAGUCAAUAAACCAGCCUCCGUAAGCUUCCGAAGAGCCUGGCUCAACGGCAUGCCUAUCUGCGAGAACUGCCUCUGCGUCCUCAAAGCGAACGGAGCAGAAGUCUGCUGGGCUCCAGGUCGGGGAUAAGGCGCCGCAGGUCUCGCGGUGAACUGAGCAGCGUAGCAUGGCUGCCCUGUGGCUGUGUAGGAGACCGCGGGUCUCUCAAUGCCCUGAGUGGCAUAAGAAGGUAAAACCAAUGUCUGUGGCAUGUGCGUCUGAUCGUAAGCCGGCCGAGGUGCCCGUGGCCUGUACUGAUGAGAUGCGUAGGAAGAAUGAGGCUCGGAAAACUGUGGGAUCGGCUGAUGGCGUCUGAGAGGCCUCUGACUGGAUGAACUGAUAGCACCAACCUCUGUCGGUCUCGGUCCUACGAAUGGUUUCUUCCCCUUAACAUCACUAGGGGAAGAAUCUGCCCAUAAACCUCUCGUGAUGCCGUCCUCGACAUCAUACAAAGCCAUAACCAGAGACCCAAAAUCUGUGAACGGGACCCCGACCACAUGUCUGGCGAUCCCCGGCUGUAGGCUCCUCAAAACCAUCUGAAUCUGGUCUCUCUCUGAUGGUCUAUCCACUAUCUCAGCUAUCUUCCCGCGCCAGCGGGAAAUGAAAGAAGAAACGGACUCCUCUGUCCUCUGCCUCAGAGCCUCGAGCUCUCUCCUCGAUACGUCUACAACAGUGUUAAACGAAAACUGUCGUAGGAACUCCUGGGCCAAGUCAUCCCAUGUACGGCGUCUCGAGGACUCUAGAGACGCAAACCAGCGCUGAGCCGCCCCACUCAAAGAUAGGGGGAAAAGAGUGAUCAUCUGAGGCUCGUCCAGUCCAUGAGCCCUCAUCACGGUGCUAUAAAGUCUGAGGUGGAGGCGCGGACAACCAAUACCAGUGUACCUCUCAAUAUCUGGCAUCCUGAACUUAGCCGGCAAGCUGGCUACCGGCAUAGCCCCAAAAUCAUCCCAAACAACGGAUCCAUCUGACACUCUCAUCUGUCUCAUACACUGCUCGAUGCGGUUCAUGCGCGCAUGCGUGUCAUCAGCGACAACGGCCUGGGCGACUGCAAGUGGAGCGAUCCCAGAAUGCCCGUGUAAUACAUAUGGUGAUGUCUGAUGCACUGAAGGAACUGGUGGGGGUGGUGGAGGUGGCACCGGGUCAUAGGAUACCUCGUCCUGAGCGAUAUGUGGCCUGCUCUGCUGGUCAUUGAUCUCCUGCCUAAGGCCAGCCAGAGCCUCCUGGAUAGAAGCCAUGGCAGUCGUGAACUGAUCGACCGUGACAACCUGCUGAUCCAUAUCUGGUGUAUCUGAAACCCGAACUAAUCUGCCCUCUACUCUGAUCCACGAAACUAUACCCAGACUGAGAGUAAAAAUCCUGAUCCUGAAAGUACUCCUCCUCUGCUCUGAUCCACAAAAGGUAUAUCAAGACGAGGAAUCAAAGGUCCGAUCCUACAAAGCACGAAGAACGGAAUAAGGAUAUGGCUCGGGGAAUGUAUAGAAGAAAAGAUAAUCUGAACGGGAACAAGCAAAGCAUCCAAGUGAAGAUGAGCGGUCCGACCGUACUCAAAUUCGUCCUGAUCUCAGUGCACUCUCAUCUAGAGACUAAACAGAGGGAAAAUCGGAUCCAAAACUACGGCUACAGAGGCACGGAAAGCCCUCAGAUGCACCCACGUGUAGGGAGGGAAUCCUAAUCGAAGGAUCUAUGGCUCAACCUACAAGGUCAAGGUGGCUCUAAAUGGAUAAGGGUGGACUUUAAAAUAUCCCUAGCAGAAGCGAUCAUACCCUCCGGCGAUACGCAACCCUCUGCACGCCUCCGAAGAGACGGGGCGCUUCCAUGCAAGGUGGUCAUCACCUCCACACAUGCACUACCUCGCAUUCCAGGGGGUUUCCUAUGGUGAAACCUCUCAAACUCUCAACACUCAAUAGUCUACUAGCGUGCACAGUGAUGGUGUGGGUGCAUCCGAAACCCUAAGAAGCUAAAGCAGGAUAUGAAACACACUGGCCACAUAAAUAUCCAUGAAACCUAGCUCCGGGCUAUACAGGUCUUCAAUGAUCGGACUCCAAUCGACAUCAAAGUGUCGCUCUCCUCCAGAAUGCUCCCGUACAUCGAUAUAGCCCGUUGCUAGACCCUACUCCUAAUCUCUGGCUCGGUCAGAGAGCAAACACACAGAAGGUCUCACACUUGCAAUAGUGAGAACCGGGAUGAAAGGAAUGACCGAAACCAAGAGAGUUGGAGGUAAGGGGAUAUAUGUGCGGCCCACAUAGACAGGCAACAUGCAAUCAUGCAGAAGGAAGGCAGUCACGUGUCAUACAGUCAAGCAAAGUACAGGAUAUAUCACUCAUGUCCACACAAAAAGCUACAACUAUCAGGAUGAAUAGCUAUAUGAACAUCAUGCUCAAAAGACGAUCAAGAUAAUAUGCAAGUCAGAGAAAACAACACAGCAAGUCAAAUGAUAUACACCAGUGAAUCCAUGCAUGUGAGGUGAGCAGAAUAAUCAGGAAGAAACAGAAUCGCUAUACCAAGCAAAACAAGGUGAGCAACCUAUGAUAAUCGGCAUGUCAAUGUACCAAACUAAUAUAGCAAUGAAGUACAGAAAAAACGACAUCCGAAGCCCCAAAUCAAGAUGAUCAAUCAUAUCAAUGUCACAACACAAUAUCCAAGCAUACAUCAAAAACUCCCAAUGUGCAAUCAAGAGACAAGUACUCGCUGAUCGACUCAUCAAAUGCCAUGUUUGCUUCAUCUUAAGUUCAAGUUUGACCCUCUAUAGUUCCCCAGCGGAGUCGCCAUUUUGUGGACCCCGCAUUUCGAUGGCUCGAAUGCGUUCCCCACUCGAUGGCGAGCUCGAUUUUUAUUUUGAAAAAUUGAUUUUUAUUGAUUAUUUGAAAAUGACUUGGAGUCGCCACUUAUUUUUGUUUUAUUUUUAAAGGGUAAACAAAAUAAGAAAGAAAAACCCUAAGUGUGACUCCUUAUUUUGGAAAAGGUGAUCUACGAAAAACCGGAUCGGGUUCGGGGGUCAGGUUACUUAUCGGGAAGGUACGGUAAAGACCGUAGCACCCCUCUAAGUCCCUAAAGUCGGGUCUCUACUACUAAAAUGAAGCUGACAUGGCAAUCAAUGAGAAAAUCAAUGAAUACUCAAAUCAAUCAUGCACAUAUAAGUAUCAAAACAUGCGUAUAGCAAGACCAGAAUAAGGACAGAUGCGUACCUGGGCAACGAUCUUCAAUGCGCUAUCAAGAAGUGAGAUUAGUGCACAAUUAAAGGAUGGUCACAUGCAUAUCAUAGAGCAGAAUAAAUCAUGUAUGGCACCCAAAUCAACCAAACAAUCCAUCAAUCAUAAAAUCUCAUAUGUUGGGCCCCCACCAAAGCCCGAUUGAUUUUUGCAUGAAUUAAUUCCAUAAAUUCCCUUGCUUGGAAUUACGGAAUUUUAUUCUAGCUUAUUUUAAAACAUUUUGAAAAUCUGAGGAGUUGUGAAAAUUGCUUGUCAGGGAGAAAAGUGACAGCAAAUUUUUAUUAUNNNNNNNNNNNNNNNNNNNNNNNNNNNNNNNNNNNNNNNNNNNNNNNNNNNNNNNNNNNNNNNNNNNNNNNNNNNNNNNNNNNNNNNNNNNNNNNNNNNNNNNNNNNNNNNNNNNNNNNNNNNNNNNNNNNNNNNNNNNNNNNNNNNNNNNNNNNNNNNNNNNNNNNNNNNNNNNNNNNNNNNNNNNNNNNNNNNNNNNNNNNNNNNNNNNNNNNNNNNNNNNNNNNNNNNNNNNNNNNNNNNNNNNNNNNNNNNNNNNNNNNNNNNNNNNNNNNNNNNNNNNNNNNNNNNNNNNNNNNNNNNNNNNNNNNNNNNNNNNNNNNNNNNNNNNNNNNNNNNNNNNNNNNNNNNNNNNNNNNNNNNNNNNNNNNNNNNNNNNNNNNNNNNNNNNNNNNNNNNNNNNNNNNNNNNNNNNNNNNNNNNNNNNNNNNNNNNNNNNNNNNNNNNNNNNNNNNNNNNNNNNNNNNNNNNNNNNNNNNNNNNNNNNNNNNNNNNNNNNNNNNNNNNNNNNNNNNNNNNNNNNNNNNNNNNNNNNNNNNNNNNNNNNNNNNNNNNNNNNNNNNNNNNNNNNNNNNNNNNNNNNNNNNNNNNNNNNNNNNNNNNNNNNNNNNNNNNNNNNNNNNNNNNNNNNNNNNNNNNNNNNNNNNNNNNNNNNNNNNNNNNNNNNNNNNNNNNNNNNNNNNNNNNNNNNNNNNNNNNNNNNNNNNNNNNNNNNNNNNNNNNNNNNNNNNNNNNNNNNNNNNNNNNNNNNNNNNNNNNNNNNNNNNNNNNNNNNNNNNNNNNNNNNNNNNNNNNNNNNNNNNNNNNNNNNNNNNNNNNNNNNNNNNNNNNNNNNNNNNNNNNNNNNNNNNNNNNNNNNNNNNNNNNNNNNNNNNNNNNNNNNNNNNNNNNNNNNNNNNNNNNNNNNNNNNNNNNNNNNNNNNNNNNNNNNNNNNNNNNNNNNNNNNNNNNNNNNNNNNNNNNNNNNNNNNNNNNNNNNNNNNNNNNNNNNNNNNNNNNNNNNNNNNNNNNNNNNNNNNNNNNNNNNNNNNNNNNNNNNNNNNNNNNNNNNNNNNNNNNNNNNNNNNNNNNNNNNNNNNNNNNNNNNNNNNNNNNNNNNNNNNNNNNNNNNNNNNNNNNNNNNNNNNNNNNNNNNNNNNNNNNNNNNNNNNNNNNNNNNNNNNNNNNNNNAGAAAGGUGAAUAAAUAUGGUGGGGGAGUAGACUGUUGACAAUGGGUAUGUAUGAGUCAUAUGCCUGGGGGUAUGGUGAGAGAUGAACUGCAAGUGAUGGGCAUGAUGUGGUGUGGGGUGGAUUAGUGGGAUGACAGUAUACAAAGAGAGCGUGGUGUAGAGAGAGAAUGCAAGAUGAUGAGUGCAUGUGUAGAUAUGGGUGUGGGCAUGGUGGUAUGAAGCGUGUGGUGGAUGAUGGACUGAAGGUGAUGGGCAUGACAAUGGGCAUGAACAGGGAUGGAGUCAUGUGGGCACGAGACGAGCAUGAGCGCGGAAUGAGUGUGAUGCAACCAUGCAUGGUAUGAAAAGGGUUUGGUGUAGUGAGAGAAAGUAGAUUAUUGGUGAUGGGUAUGAAUAAUGGCCGGGUUUGCAUGGUCCAUGCACUUGGAUGGGUGAGUUUGGGGAUGCUAGCAGAAGCCUUGGAAGGAAUACGGGCAGCCAUGCACGCGUGGGGUUUCAUGGAUAUCGAGUCAGGGUAUUUUGUUGGAGGAAGAGAGCAUGGGUCUGCACAAUAUGGGGAUUGGGAUCUCCUACGGACUCCCUAGCUAAUGGAGUUGUGAAAGGGAGACCAUCUGCUUUUCCGAUACCAGAUUAUGGGAAGUUCAGUGAUGGCUUCUCAAAAAAUAUUGGUCCACCUUGAUGUUAACAAACCACCCUUGGGCAAUUUAGCAAUCCCUUCAUUCUCAGAAGACUCCGUCUCCAACAGACCAUAAUGAUACUGAACUAAUCCAUGUGAAACGGACAAGAAAGGCUCUGCUCGUGAAUGUUCCCUGGCAUAACCUCCUCUAGAAUGUCAUCAGACGAAACAAAACUAGAGAACCAGGUAUCUGGAACAAGUAAGUCUUCUCUCUGGGCCAAACCCUCAACAAGCCUGUUGCAUUUCUCUGAUUUCUCCCACUGUUCUGCCAAAGUCUUUAUUUAUAAUAUAAUGGUUUAGAAAUAUCCUCCAUUAAUCACUCUACCUUUGACCAACCCUGGUUAAGGAUCCAUACAUCAAAUCUGAUUACCACUUCUGGCCCACAACCGCUCGAGUUGAUAAUGAUUUUCCUCCAUAUCUACUCCUGUUCAUCUUCAUAAAAUUCCUUGGAAUCAUCAGUAUACUCACUGCAAUCUGUGGUAAAGACCACCACAUCCUCAUCGACAUCUUACUUUUUUCCUCUACGAAUGGCGCCUCACACUACUCACUAUUCUUUGGAUCUGAACCACUUUUUUUUUUUUUUUGUUUUUUCAAAUAUUGGAUGUCAAGCCUCAACAGCAUAUAGUAGUCAAUUUGUACCAUCCCCAAUGUAUGGUAUGCAUGAUGCCCCGUGCUCAAAUUGCUCAAAAAGAACAGAGGAAUAUAGCCAAGAAAACAGGGCAUAGGAGAAAGGAACAAAAAAUAAAUCAAGGGCAACUGCAUUUCAGGACAUAUCAAUGUGUUCCCACUGGUGGAUGAAAGAUAUGAACAAAUUCAAAACAAAAAAUACGCCACAUAUGUUCAGGUGCCUAGCAACAAAAUAUGAUGCAAGUCCUCACCCAUUUUCUUAAACCAGGUUAAUGAAACAGCGAAAGGAUUAACAUCACAGAUGGAAACAUGACAAAUACAAACAACAUAUACACCCAGUGAAAUGAUAUUCAGAAUAAUGAAAUCAUACGGCUAAAUAUAAGCAUACCUGAAUGUGAUAGAUGUCCUACCCAGCUUUUCUUACUUUCUCUCUGUUUUCCUUGCCUUUCUAGCUCCGACAAUCGAAUCACCUUCUCUCUUACUCUUCUUUUCUCCCGCUUGAAAAACCUCCCUCUGGAAAUAUAUCUCUCCCCCAGCCAGACGACACCCACCUGCCUUGCAGUUGCAAGCCUCCAUUACCUUCAGAUUUUUCUGCCACCUUCCUCUUCUAGGCCCAUUUCCCCACUACUCUGCACCACUACCUUGCUAAUAACAGAAGACGCUCCUCAAUACAACGGCCUGCAGAUCCUCAUGCCACCUGUCAACCUUCCAUUGGCACUUCAAAAACAACAUACGAUUCUGCAUUGCCCUCUCAAAAGGAGACACGUGAUUGAGCAAGGCUCUUCCACGUGGCCAAAACGGGUAGCUGCAUGAAAGGCCCCAAAUGGGGGUCUACAGCAGGAUAUACUUUUUCGUCAAUGUGUGCCUGAAUGACCUAAAACUAGUCCCAAUUAAUGAUAUGACAUUGUAUUUGCUAUUCUCAUCAACCAAGAAUACACCCGAAAAUAUAAGAUCUUGAUUAUUUAAUAAGCAUGUAAGGUAUACACAAAAUAUAGGAAAAUAAUUUAAGUACAUUACUAUAUACCUUAUAAGAAGAUCUUGAUUAUUUAAUAAUCAUGUAAGGUCUACACAAAAUAUAGGAAAAUAAUUUCAAUAGAUUACUAUAUACCUUAAUGCAAUCCCAUAAUUUCUCCUUCAAUUCCACAGGCAUUACUCUCCAAUCAAUAUGAUAUACUGGCACCAUGGUUUGUGUUAGCACCCCCAAGUAUGAUACAAGUUGUACAUAUCCCUCACCCACUCCCUCACCAUCAUCAUUAUAUUGAAUGUCAAUUUUCACUCAUUCACUUCUCUUUUUAGCAAUUUCAGGUUUUACAGUUGGGCCUCUAAACAUUUUUGGUGAAGUAAUCUUCUGUUUUCCUUCCUUUCCAUCCAUCUACAUGACAAUCAAAAGAAUAUGAUCAAUCUCAUAAUACAUAUAUAUAUAUAUCUUACAUUCAAAAGUAAAGCAUGAUAUUUUAAUAGUUACCUACUCUUUAUCUCUUCUUGGUUGAGACAUCUGUAAAGAUGUUGCACUUUUUGGCCAAGUUCCAAAUAAUUAAGAAUUAUGCACUACUAAACAACACUUGAAAAUGUAUCUCAACUAAAUCUAAAGAAAUUAGUUACAAAAUGAUUUCAUAAGUAGGAAUAAAUCAUUGUUGUACAAAACUUGCAAUACAUGAAAAUUAAUCUUAAAUCUCAAUAUAUAUAAAUAUGAUACUAACUGAAUUUAUUUAAAAUAGCUUAGCAAGUAUAUAAUAGUAAAAAUAUAUUUGAGAAUAAUAAAAUAAAAACAUAACAUUGUUGAGCAUCACAUUGUAGAUUAACAAUAACUCAAAAAUCACAUAAUACACUUAGUAGUCACAAAGCAUAACCCCAAAAAACAAAAACAAAAAACAAGAAAAUUGUAGACCCUCAAUUUUGUCCCUUUAGCACAUGUCUUUAAGUUCACUUCCAAUGCUCCAUAGUAAUUCCUUGGUGGCCCAUUGCUACUCAUACUACUUACCUUUUUUUUAGCCACCUUGGAGACCUUGGUUGAGGGGUUUAUCCAACUCCACAUUAUGACCUUGGCAGCCCUAAUUUAGACUUAGCCACUUUCCUGAACGCCUUAGGCCCACUUAGGUACACUUGGCCCACUAGGCGUCACCUUAAGCCCACUUAAGCACUUUUAAACCCAUUUUUUAUAUGACUUGCAUGAUUGCAUGGCCUACAUGACUUGUGUGGCUUAUAUGGAUUUCUUUAUUAUUUAAUUUCAUUUUAUUUUAUUUUAUUAUAAGUUUUCUUGGCUUUUUGGGCAUGAGGAAAGGGUCUGUCAUCUAUUUUGAAGGAGAAUCAACAGAAUUUUGAAAAAGAGGAGAUUUUGUUUUUAUAGGGAUAGCACAUAUAUUAUUUUCAUGGGGAAAUCGGUUACAAAAGGGAAAAAACUAAGAAAGGAAAGUGGAUUUCCUUUUUGGAUCACAAAAGUUUUUUUGGAGGGAGAUUUUUUUAUUGUCUUUGUAGAGAGACACAAAAAGGAAAAAAGGAGGGGAUUUUCCUCUAACAUAUUUGGGGGGGUUCUUUGGGAAGGCUGAUCUACGCAAAAAAUGAGAGGAAAAAAAAGCCACAGAUUAAGGGGGAAGGGACUCACGGAUUUGGAGGAGGAUUUUCUCCAUGGAUGAAGGGGGAAGGGACUCCCGGAGGAUUUUCUCCAUGGAUGAAGAGGGAAGGGACUCACAGAUUUGAUGAGGAGGAUUUUCUCCAUGGAUGGAGGGGAUGGGUAGCAGAAGAUGAGAGGCUGCUUCGAUAGUGUGAAUUUUUCUGGAAAGGGCCAAGGACCAUAGGAGAGGAUCAGGGACAGAGGCACUAUUACUUUGAGAAGCCCAUGAGUUCUUGAAGUCUCCAACAUAUCCCUUGAGGUAAGCUCUUUAGUGUGAAAUCCAAUUUAUUUUAUUUUCUCUGUUUCUUUUCCUCUUUCUUCUAUUGUCAUUAAGAUUUGCUACUGUUGAUUUUAAGUGUUUCAUAAAUUUGCCUGACUUCUGAUCCCAUUGUUGCUUCUUUGUUUGUGUUCAAGAAUCGUUCAAUUCUUCUUUGUGAUAUUUCAAAACCCUUUUAUUCCACCUGCAUUUAAGCCCACCGAUUCAGACAUGAAGUGUGGCUUUUUGAUAGUUCUUAUUUUCUUCAUUUAUGUUCUUUCUUUCUUUAUUAUUUUUUUGGCUAUUUUCUCCUUGCUCUUGGUGUUUGCACAUUCUUGGGCAUGGGACUACACACUUGGACGUCAAACCAUGGGAUGAUGAAACUGACAUGAAAGAGCUUGAGGCAACAUUAAUCAAAUCAAGAUUCGUGGCAAGACUAUGGCUGCUAUAUUGAGUUAGAUGUUUUCCAUAUGGGUUUGGUUCUCUUUCAUGAAUUUGCGGUUGGUUUAAAGUCUCCAAUUUUCUAUAUGGGAGAAGCAAUAUUAAGUAUUUUGGAUAUCUAAGUUUGUCUCUACUUCUGCAUUGAUUAUAUGUUGUGAGCAUGGUGGGUUUGUGAGGAAGGAAAUGUGUAUCAUUGGGGAAUUUUAAUCUUCAUAGAAUUACCACCACAGAGGACUACAGUGGACUAGGACAUGGUUAUAAAGAAUCCAGGCUAGUUCCCCAGUCUGUAAUUGCAUUGAUCAAUGAUAUUUUUGUCCAGUGGUUCAGUCAUCAGUAGUCACAAUUGCUUGUCCAAUGGUUCAGUCAUCAGUAGUCACGGCCGCUAAAAGGGGGAGGUUAACAACCAAAAAAAAAGAAGUGGCAAUUCCUGAACUAGAGCCUCCGAGAUGGUUUGUUAUAGACCUGCACUAUGUGAACUGGGGAACUGUUGUCUUUCUUCUGUUUAGUGUGGAAGUUGUACUACUUAAGCAAAUGAGAAAAAAGGGGUUUGAUAAUGGGUGUAUGGAAUGCUCCUACAUCGGUAAGAAUAUUUCAGGGUCUUCUCUCGCUGCUGAUGUUCUGGACUAAGGCAAGGAAGAGUGUUUUCUCAUCUAUGAUACUAUUCCCAAUGGAAGCUUGCUGCAAUAUCUGGAUGUGAUUGAUAACAAUGGGAAGGUCCUUGAAUAGUCUACUAGAGUUUCUAUCAUCAACGACAUUGCCAAAGGUGCCAGGUAUUUACAUGAGAAGAAAGUGAUUUAUCAAACACAACAUGGGCCCUACAAAUACUAGAAUGAAGAUGCAUCCAGAAUGAAGACCUCCUAGAAUCCAUACAAUGUUCCAUUGAAACAGUCGAAGUCCACUCCUUCAUUGAUGUUGGUAACACAACACGCAAAGCCUGUACUCAAGCUUCUCUAGUCUCUCCUCAAAUCCUAAUGCCCAACCUCAGUGGCUUAAUACAUCUGAAACUGAUGCCAAACGGAUCCCUGAUGAAGGAAAUUAUGGAUACAUACAAAAGAUUUAAGAAUCAGCUUCAUCAGUACAAGCCCCAGAAGCAGUUUGCUGGAAAUGUACUUAAGCUCCAUGAGCAGACCCGUAAGUUGCAGUCGUGUCUUUGAUCGAGUUAGUAAGCUGCUCUCCCUCAAGGUUCGAACCAGAUAAAGGCAACUGGAGUUACUGCUGGUUACACUUUAACUUCUUCAUGGCCUAUACAGUUGGAAUUGCAGAUGAUAUGCAAGUGCUCAUAUUGAUGGUAUCGCUACAAAAUACUCCGAAAUUGUCGAAACAAAAGUUAUUCAAGCAAAGAUGGCAAACUGCAAUGAGAGUCUAUUGAAGAUCUCAGAGAUGAGAGGUUUGCUGAGUUCAAUAAAGAUGGCAAGUAACUUGAUGCCGAUGUUCACCUCAAGCACGUUCCGCGAUGGUCAUGCUGCUGCAUAUGUAGUGAUUUUGAUGGAAGACAGUAAGCCCAUUGGUGAGAAAUCGUUUUAUAACUUCCCAGAAUGCUUGGGAAGCAUCCCUGCUGUUUAAAUGAACUUCCCGAGAAGUGCUUGUGUAACUUGCUAAGCUGGCUACCUGAGUUGAACCACUGUGAUAUCAGUGGGGGAAAGAAACAACAAAGGCUCAACGAAGAGAUUGUACCCCGGGAGUUCAGAACUGGUGGUUAUGCGUGACGUUAUUCGGGAUUUAUAAUCGAAAAGGCUUCCUACAUGGCCAGAAUACAGAGGAUGAUUGGUUUGGGAUUGAAAAGAAGAUGAUCAUUAUUCAUCAGCUUCAUCCAAUUUUGGAGACUUUCAUGACAAGAUUGUGGGUUGAAGCUGGUCAUGUCUUUUCUUCAAAACAAAUCUUGUUGCCUGCCAAAAGAGGGCUCAUUUCUCAUGUCAUAAAAAAUGCUCAUGUCCUUGGAGAAAUUUGUGAGAUAAAAUGCGAUUAUAGUUUGCUAGCUAAAACUCAUUUCCAAGGUGCCAAUUAAAUCAACUGCCAAAAAGUUCACAGAGCACUACUCUUUGGGAUUUCAAUUCCUAGUGAUAUUGGAUAUAGGGAGUUUGUUUGUGAUAUUUUGUUCGAGAUAGAGUCUAAAAACGCAGGUUCUUCUGACAUGAAAGCCAUUGAAAACUGACGUGAGCCACCGAACAUUUCUGCUCAUGACAAGAAGAGUUGUAGGAAAAGUUGGCCAGGUUGUCUGAUGACCAUUGAUGUCCAAUCAGUUCAACAUUUUCGGCUACAGUAGCACCAGUUGUGAGUGGCUUUCUCAAGACAUCGUUCCUGAUUCCUGAAAGCAUUUCAGAUCAGUAUGAGACUUCAAGAUGGAAAUUAAAGAAUUUCCCAUGACUGCCAGAUUCGGUAGUUUGAUUUGAACAGAAUGGCGUCUCGUGAUUUUUGGAAUCAUGCAAACGAAUACACCCAACAUUGCAAAUGGAUCAAUUUCCUAUGACCUGGAAUCUCAACUAACUCUCUGGGUUAGAGAAUUCCAGUCGUAGCCAUGUCAUGAUACUACAAGACACCAGAAUUUAAAUUCAAGCAGCCAUACAAGGUUUCUUCCAAGCUGAUAGCACCACCUAGCACAGGUUUUGAUACCUUAACCUGUGGACAGAGUUUGCUUUUGGGAACAUUCCAUAUACUCGAAAUGGCAUCAAUGUCUUCUAAGUCACUACUUUUGGAUCAGUAUUUAGAGCUAGAUCUUAAUAUCGUCAUGCUAAAUUGUUGCUUUUGGUUUCAGAGACAUGAAUUGCUUGGAUAAUGCAUCCGGCUUGGCAAUUAUAAUUGUAAUGUCAGUCAUCACCUGCCUAAUGUCUCUAGUUACUGGAUUGUGUUGGCACCAGAACAUCUCCUCUAUAAUUGGCUUCAUAUUCUUCUCUGGCGUAAUUGAAGCUUUCUACUUCUUGGCUUUUCUCAUCAAGUUCCUGGAAGGAGCAUGGAUUUCUAAGCCACUCCUGAACAUGCAUAUAGGAAUGGAUGACGAGUCCAAUAAUCGUGACAUGGUGAAUUCUAGUUUAGAAAUCCCUAAUGCAGGUGAUGGUCAUGCUAAUGCCUUUCAUGCUAGCGUUGAUAUUGAUAUGAAUGGUGCCAGCGCUGAAGAUCAAACUGAGUAAAUUGGGUCUACUGCUGAAUAUGGUACGGAUGAACGACAAUCAAGGCAAAACACUAGUUUUCUUGCUACUGAGAUCCACUACUCAUCAAAAAAACCUAUCCCAAAUCAGUCCAACAAAAGGUGGGAUCUCUUUUUCCUUAAUUUUGCCUUUUUUUAAUAGGCAAAAUGAGCAUAAACAAUACUUUAUAAGGUGUCAAUGAAAAUAAACGUUCUUUGCCAUCUCAAAACCUUUUUAUAAGAUGAAAAUUAAUGUAUCCAUCUAACCUCUUAAGUUGUUCCUUCAUUGCAGGAUCUAAAUCAUCAUCAAUAUCUCCAUCUUCCAAACUAUGAUUAUGGUGGUUUUGAAAAGUGUGAACCUGAACAAUGUUCGAUUCCCCAAUUGCAUGAGCUAUGACUUUCCAAGGACAUUCAUUAACUGUGCAAACAACUGUCAUGUGUUUCCUACUAUUCCUCUUGAAGCAAUAACGGAAUCUACCAGUAAUUAACAUCAAAUAAACGGCAUCACGGAACUCGACAGCAUUGGGGAAGGUAUGUCCACUACCCAUAAUGGAAUUUUCAAACCGCCUUGAGUCACGUUCGAGUAUAUUUGAUUCCGCACAUCUUUGGGAAAACCCAUAUGACUCAAUUGUAAGAGAGUUAUUACAGAUAUCAAUUGGCGGAUCACCACCGGAGGAAAGUAGGUGUGCCAAAUUCGAACCAACAAUAGGAGUAGGGGCACUACAAAUUUAAAAAAAAAAAAAAUAUAUAUAUAUAUAUAUAUAUAUAUUCAUCUGUCUACAUAUAUUUCAAAAGUUGAUAGACAAAGUGAAUGUGAUGUUGGUAAGGCUAUAAGUACCUAUUCGAUACUAUACAGGCUUCAACAACUUCACUUGAUGAUGAGACAUAGGCUCGACAAAACAUUUCGUUGAAUUGAAUAGUGCAGGCAUGUGAUAUUCUAUAUAGGAUUGGUGAAUAGUCUCAUAGUCUAAGAUCAUGUUUGGUAGAGAGACAAAUGGAACACAGAUUUAUGAGAGGACAAGAUUGAAAGUUUGCAUAAAGCAAUUCUCUAAAUUAAGGACAUUUUGAAUAGUUCACUAGGAGAUUACAAGAGGAAAGAGAGAAGUAUGGCUUACAAGCCCACCAUGCUUAUCUCGAUGUAUUUGGAAGUGAAGCAAUAAAAGAAUCUUUGAUGAUGUUGAUCAAUCAGAAUUGUAGCUGAACAAUGUUUUCCUAAAUUUUUUGUUGAAUGGUCUGCUAGAUCAAUAGGAAAUAGAAGCCUUUCUUUUGUAGAUUUCAUUUGAUAUUUCAGCUAGUACUUUAAGGAUCAAGGAGUUUUAUUUUCCCCCUUUUUUUUCUUUUAAAAUCCUUAUGAACAUCACAAGUACAAAGGAAGUGCCCUCUUCUUAGCAAUUGUUUCACAACAUUUUACGUAUCAAAACAUUUUUUUUCAUUCUCCAAAAUGCCAAAAAAAUAAUGUCCAAAACAUUGAUUUUUAUUUUUUUAUUAAUCAAUUAAAUAUAAUUUAAAAUAAAAUAAUUAGAAUUAUAUUUUUUUAAUGAUGAACCUUAACUAAUUUAAAUUAAAUAUAUAUUAUCAAAGAGUACCAUAGUCCAAUGGUAGCAGGGAUUGAACCCAAGCCACAAUUUUGAUUUAAUAAAAAUUAAGAUGGCUAAUUAAUAAUUAAUAAUUAUUUAUAUGGAGCAAAUUGUUCUCAUGAUUUGUUUCCCCUUUUGUUUUUUUUAUCAUACUAAAUCUAAAGCUCAAAAGGGUCAUCCACUUCUCUCACUCGGGCAUCAAGGAGCCCUUUUCUGAAGUUGCCCUCCAAACGAGAGAAUCCCUAAAAAGGCCCUAUUUUCCUCUGCAACUCUCAAUCCUUGUAGGUACUAAUCUAAUCACAUUAUUAAUUUUUUUUUAAACCCUCAUUUGAUUCCCAAGAAAAUCCAUCCCCCAUUUGAUUUCCGGGAAAAUUCAUCCUUGUUUGAUUUUCGAGAAAAUCCAUGCAAAACCCCAAGGAAAACAAAAAAAAAAUGCUUUUUUUUCCUCCCUAUGUUUUCUAGAUCUGUUCUAGGGGUCUCUUUGCUUUUGUGCCAUUGGGUUUAAAUUUCACAAACCCUAAAUCCACGAUUUUUGAGCUAGGUUGAAAAAUAUAACCUUUGCCUGCAAAUCGUGAUCAGAUUACCAAAUAGCAUCUUAUGUUUUUUUUUAUAUAUAAAAAAAAAAUUUGGAUAGAUUUUGCAUCAUGCAUGGGCUAUGCUGGUAGGAAAUAUCGGGAAAUUUCCCGAAAAUACGAUAAAAAAUACCGAUAAAUACCAAAAUAUUUCUCGAUAUUUCAAACACUAGUGGUUCUCAAAUUUUUUUUCCUCAAUGAUUCCCCACAAACAACCGUCUUGUAAACAUAAAUAUUUAAGAUAUAACAAAAAAAAAUCCCCAAAUAUUCUAAAUCACGGGGUCGUGAACAAUGCAAAACAACCUUCAGCCCAAAUAUUUUCUCAACAGCCAAACAAAUCCUUAAAUGGAAAACUCACAUGCGAUUAAUCCAAAAGAAAGAGGAAACUCCACUUCGGUUUCCAGAAACCUGAAAAAUAUUCACCUUUGAUGAAGAAAUAUGAAGAUAUGACUCAACUUUGGCUUCGUUGAAGGUUUUUGGAAGAUGGCUAUUGGGUUUGGGUGGUCAGCUCGUGAAGAGAGACACUAGGGUUAGGCCAAAAUGAGACGAAAUGAGAGGAAGUGAAGAGUCAUGAAAAUGCAGAGCAAACGAGCCAUGAAAAUGUAGAUUGGGUUAGGGCAAAAUGAGAGGAAGUGACAGAGAGUUUCCCCAAAUUUCAAAGUUUAUCGAGUCGGGUGUUCUAUGGGUUUUGCAAAUUUGAUAACUUUUAAGUUUUUGAUUUUCGUGUUUAUUAAAGGCACAACUCUCGGGUGACAUGGACACGAGUGAUGGUUGCUGAUAGGGAUGCAUGGAGGGGUAAUUUCGAAAAUCCAAUUAUAAAUUGUAUAUAAUGCAUGAAAAGGAAAAAAUUUCUUGAAAUAGUGGACAUAUCUUGGGUUAUGCAAACUUGGGUUUUGAAAACAAUAUUAUUAGGAAAUGGGGCUCUCGAAACACAACUUUCCCUAUUUUUUAUAUUCCAAAUAUAAUAGUUCAUGUUAAUUAAACUAAUUAAAUAAUUUAAUUAAGUUAAUUUUUUGAAUCUAAAUCUAACGAGAUUGAAAUUAACUAGUUGAAUCUAAUUCUUACUAGUUUGAAUGUGAAAAUAAAAUUAAAUAAUCAUCUAAAAUAUAACAUAUCCAUCUAUAAUUAAAUAAUCAAAUUAACCUAAGCUUAUUCAAUAAAAAUAUACAAAUUAAUUACAAUUGAAUGUAAAAAUAAUAUUAAAUCAUCCAUAUUGAAAAUAUACUAAUUAAUUGAAAAUACAUUAAUUAAUUACAAUUGAAAACAAAAUUAAUUACAAUUUAAAACAAACAUACCUUAAAAUAAUUGAAUAAUUGAGCAACCUUAGAAAAUUUUUGAGCAAUAAGAGAUCAAAUAAAGAAUGAAAUUAAAUGUGGAUGAAAUGGAUGCAAAAUGAGUUAUUUAUAGGAAAAUUUUGGGCCAAAAUAGCUAUUGAUAGAUGAUUUCACUAUUGAAAAACAGUUUUGGCCGUUGGAUCAAAAUCAGGGCGACAUAUGACCAUUGGAUCAUGAAAUAACCAUUGGAAUAUCAUCCCAACGUUGGACCAAACCCAAAUUCAAUCUGGGGAGUUAGAUCAAUGCAGGCAUGAUGUAGGCCGUUAGAUCACGCUGAAAAGAGGAGGCAAAUUUUCUUUAAAAAAUCGACGAUUUAUCACCGAUAUAUAGACGUUUUUCCAACAUCAGUGAUGAUUGAUUGAUAAAACCGUCAAUUUAUCGCUGAUCAGCGAUAUAUCGACUAGAUUUUGGCAAUUUUUUGUUUUUUUGCCUCUUCGAUAAAUCCCCACAAAAUAUCGUGUUGAAACUCUCCGAUACACGAUAUAUCGAUGACAUACCGCCGAUAUAUCUUUGUGUUCCUAGUGAGGUUGAUGAUUUACUAAUAUGUUUCAAGUGCACAAUGAGGGAUUAAUUCUUAUUGCACACUAGGGCAUAGCCAUUUUAAAUAUCUUUAUCAAAGUUAGUGGUUUGAUUUUUAGAGAACACUUCUUAUUUGUUGAUAUUGCUAUCACCUACAAAGUAUGGUUUUAUACAUCCCUAAUUCGAAACAACAACUAUCCAUUGCAUUUGAGCAAGGUGGAGAUGUUGUUGGUUAUUAUUGCAUGCUAGGGCAUAGCCAUCAUCAUGGUUUUCUAAUCAAGUUAAUGAUGCAUUGACAUUAUGACGGAUUGAUCUAGUUUGGUUGUCUUCAUAGUUUAUUUUUGUCAAUGAAUGGCAUUGUCAUGGAUGAUUUAAAUACAUUAAUUCGAACACAUUCAUUUUGAAAACAAUCCAUGAACACAUUCCAAAAAAAGAAAAAGGGUAUCUAGGGAAUGGAUCAAUGCAUGUAUACUGAUUAUGUUCUAUAUCAUUGCACUGAGAAUAAUGAAUAGGUCUCUUAUGACUGCAUUAUGAUUCGAUAAGACAUUGUCAUAGUCUCCUAAUAGAUGUUUUACUUUAGGGCUUUAAGAGAAGGAAAUGAUCAAGCUUCUUUAUCAUGCAUGCAUGCUCUCAUCAACACAAAGUUGAGGCAUGUCAUUCAUCAAUAUAGAUCAGAAUGAGCCUAAAUAAAUCAAAGUUCUAAGUGGAAAAUGUUCAAUAUAGGGUUAUACAUCUAAGUGUAACAUGAUCGAAUUUUAUUCAAAUGUAUAAACUAUAAAUGAUUACAUACCUUUUUUUUUUUCCGAAUUCGCUCAUACCAUUAAGAUUUUUCAUCCACAAGAUACAACCUAUAUUGCAAAAAAUUAAAAAUUAAAAUAAAAGUGAAAAAAAAUUGUAUUAGAAUAUUAAGAAAACUCUACUUAUAAAUAUAAAAGAAUCCAAUUGUUUAAUAUUAAAAAAUCUCAAAUUUAAAAUCUAAAUAUUGAGGGUAAUUUUCUAUUUUUCCAUCUCAUAAUGAAUGAAACUCUAAUAUCUCCCUGCUAACUUACUAAAAGGGUCAUUAUCAACAUUUUUCACCUUAGAGCGAAUGUAAAAUUAUAAAAUUAUUAUCUGAGAACACCCACUUUACAAAUUAGAGAAAAAAACCUAAAAUAAAAAGGAAAAGUAUACCAUAAGGAAUAUUUAUUUCAAGCUCUUUAAAGUACUGAGAGCACCCAUUUUACAAAAUUGUACUCAAGUCAUGUAACAUUUGAAUCCAACUCAUUGAAACUCAUCAUUUUGUCUCAAAAAAGGUUUUUCAUUUUUUUAUUAUUAAAAAAAACCAUAAGCAGCUGAUUGUAUUCAAGUAAUUCAAUGGAUAGCCCUCAAAGGUAGGCAUCAAUUUAUCAGACAUUCAAACUAAACCACGGCAUCAAAAGAUUAUAACGAUAAGAAUAUAUAUACCUCCAGGCGAAGGAGCCAUUGAUGCUAUUAAAAGUUUGUUCUUCAAAAGAGCUUUAAGAAGUGAUCGAUUGUUCUUCAAGAGAGCUUCCAAAGAGCUUAGGGGGCUUUUUCUGUAUCCAAUUUGUUGAUCUCACUCUCAACCAACAGUAAAAGAAUAAACCUAAUCAGGAAAGAUUAAAGCUAACCAUAAAAGAACCAAACUCACCUCAGUAUAUAUGAGUUGGAUUUUUUUCAAGAGACAAUGAAAUAGAGAUGCUUCUGAGAGGAGAGGGUGAGGACAUGCAAAUGAGGAUUUGUGUGAAGAAAGAAUCGUUUACUUUCCAAAGGGACAUGCGGGCUUCUUCACUAGGAGGAUUUAAGUCAACUGGGAAUGGAUUUAAACAGCUCCAUGGUAACAAAAAUAAAUAAAAAAAUAAAGAAAAAUGUGUCCUCCAACAGUUUAUUGAUACAGUAAAGUGGACAUAUUACACUACCAUUAUGAGAAAUGACACAUUUGAAGGAGAGAGUCUUUUGAUAUAAUUGAGGCAUUAAAGUUUAAGCACUCUAUCUAACUUAUAAUCUUUAUAAAAAAGAAUUUCACGGAGACCAACUCAAAUGUAUAAAUAGCUUAUACAUUCCAACAUAAAGCAACAGCUGAUGGGAAACUGUGACUUCAAGGAGUUUUGGGCUGAAAGAAGGGGAAAGUCCCAUUAUGGUUUUUAGUCGAAUAAACAUGUUGACAGAUUCACACAAAAUCGGGCGGUUCGUCUGAUUCGACGGUCUAACUCUCUGGUUAGAUGAUUCAAUGGCGAUUCAAACUCAGAACAGUCCAUUCCGGCGAAUCAGACCGAAGGUCGGACCGAUUUUAAAACUAUGCAUUCACCAACGAAUCUGAGAAAAUCAAAAUUAAUUUUUACAAGCCGAAUUCAUAAGAAGACGAGAAAGGGAGUCAUCUCUGAACAGUAGACACAGAAGAACUUUAUUGAAAUUGGUGUUGCUUUUUGAAAGAGACGAAGUCGGCCAGCUACUUGGAAAGUUUGACUGGACAAGACUUUGAGUUGAUUUGAUGGGAGGUGGAGCAGUUUAUUGGGACUUCAAAAAUAUUUUUCUCUUCCAACCGUCCUUAGAUUUAAAAUAUUUUUUAUCAAAAUAUUUAUUUAGAAUUUUUUUCUUAAUGGAAUCACUUAUUAAAUACUUAAAAAAAAUUAAUAAAAUUUCCUUAAAAGUUUAAACAUCAUAAGAUAUUUAAAUUUUUGAAUGACCAUGUUUCGUAUUUAUGCCCAUAAUAAUUUCAUAUUAAAUUAAAAUAAAAUAUUUUUAUUUUAGUUAUUAAAUAAUAAAUGAUAUUUAAAUUGAAUUUAUAAUUAAAUGAUUAGUAUCAAAUUUAUUUCUUUUUAAGAUAAACAAAACAAACUCUACUAAUACUAAUAGUAUUUUGAUCAAACCUGAAGCAAUGGUCAUUGUAAGUAUAUUUCCCACCAAAAUAAUAUAAAAGUAAACAAUAAUACCCUUAUUAACUAAGGACAAAAUAAAUUGGAGUUCAACUAUUUUUUUAUUUUAUCCAAAUUUACCAAAAGACAUAAUAACUCCAUUUUUUUUUCGAAUUUAAAGAUUCAAAUAUGACAAAUAUAUAAGAAUUUAUAUAAUUUAAAAUAAGAUAUAAAAAACAAUUUUUAAAAUUUUCUAUUAAUUUUUUUUACCUCAAAUAAGCACUUAAUUUUUUUUUAGAGCAUUUACUAUAAAAGAAUUUAAUUCUCACCUAAAUAGAAGUAAAAAAUAAUUAUUAUUAUUAUAAAUUAUUUAUCUAAAAUUAUAGUAUGAAAAUCUUAAUAAUUUUUUAUAUUGAUAUUAUUAUUUUAAAUUUUUAUUAUUAUUAUUAUUAUUAUUAUUAUUAUUAUUAUUAUUAUUAAUUUUAAUUCAAUUAAUUAAUUUAUAAAUUCCUAACUUAUGUGAAACUUUUAUUUUCUAAAUUUAUUUUUACGAAUCUUCUAUUUUCUUUAUUUAAUUAAACUAAAUUUCUUGGAAACCUAUUUCUUUUAUUAGUAGAACUAAACUUAUUACUAUUAUAAAUUUUAUUACAAUCAUUCAACAUGCUUAAUCCUAUUAGUAUUUUUAUUAUUCUUUAUUAUUACUAUUUCUAACACAUUCUUACUCACGCACAUUAUCAUGUAUCAAUCACUUUCCAUCCACUGUAAUUACGUAUCUCUUUCACUUUUCCUAUAGCUAUUUUUUUUUCUUUUUACUUUUUUUUUCUUAUUUUCAUAUUAAAUCCACCGCCAUUUUUUUGUCUAAACACCUACAAGCACGCGCAGAGUGGCCACCCAACCCAACUCAUUCCUUGCAUCAUCAUAUCAUAUGCACAUAAUGCAACGUCUCCUCAGAGGAUGAUGUUAAUUGUCAGUUGUCACUCAUCAUUUCAUACUUAAAUGCCAUUACAAAUAGAAUUAGUCCAAGAUCUUAUUGAAAAUCUAGUCUCUUCUAAAAGGGAGAAUUGUGUUUUGGGUCCAGCUGAGCCCAAAAAUUAAGAUAAGGUCUAUGUAAUUGACCUAAUUAAUGAUAAGGAUAUUAGAUGUUAACAGACGAAAAGACCCUUUACUUUUUCAACUCAAAUGGUUGUAAAUUAAUGGGUUUCACAACUGGUAAACUUGAAAUGUCAUGUCACCAGAGUGAAAAUUUUGAAUCUUCCUACCCCUUUCUCUCCCUUCGUAAACAACAUAUGCACAAACGAUGUCGACUAUGACUGUCCCCCAAUCGCUUUCUUCAACAGCCGAGGAUUGUGAGCAUUUCAGAAAAGCUUUUGUAAGUAUUUUAUCAUGAUCAUUCCCAAAUCCAAAUGACGGGGGUCUGAAUUAUUUGCUGAUAUUUUGAUUUGAUUAGGUUGAGGCGUUUAUAGGUAUUUUAUCAUCAUCGUCCAGAGUGAAUAAAUGGGUUUCGUCCAAACGGUGAGCUUUGGGGAAGAAUAUUGUUCGGUGAUGAUGCAAUUAAUCUGGAAUAGCUAUCCUUCGGAUCAAAAAUAUUUUGAAAGCAAAGAAGUUGGUCAACCUAACGAAACAGAGAAAAUGAAGAACUCCAAUGAAGAUAUAAACCGGCCACAACUGUGGUCGUGAUGAUGGCAGUGGCCCAACAACCUCGUGUGAAUAUGGAAAUAUGUUAAAUAGGGUAUAUGCCUUAUUGUUGGGUAAGUUUCCAUUUUAUAAAUUGAUGGCUUCCACCAACUGCUAUGUCCACCAAUUGACUACUCAUUGUUAGCAUAUCAAACAUCUAUGUAGUCCAUCAGCUUCAGUUUUAGUGGGUUGUGGGCCAUAUGGUGCACCAGUUGGACAAUGCAAAACCUCCGUUCUCUUUGAUGAGUCCAGACCUCUAAAAAGCCUCGAAUGUAACUAUUGUUCUGUGGCUGACAAACACUGGGCAAGGUGUAUAUGCAUAAGGUGUUGUGUUCCUUUGGAACAUUCUAGGUUAUUCCAUUUUUUACAUUUUUCCUUUUCGUUUUGUAUACCUUGACCUGGUUACAUGAUGCAUGCACAGUUAAUGCUACUUUUGGUCUUAUUGUCUUUCUAUGUGGCUGGAGACUUUUGUAAUCAGGCUUUAUAAGCUCUAGAGGCUUGGGGCUCAUAGAAACUAAUAUCAUGAGAUUAAUUUAGGAUCCACUCUCUCAGAAUCUCUCUUGCUCUUUGUGUUAGCUGUAAGUUCAUGACUAUUUCACAUUCUAUUAAAAAUUCUAUUAGCUAUCUUGAUUUUAUCAAAAUCAUUCUGCUUGAAUUCCUAAAUUUUCUUUUUGAAGAUUUUUCUUGUCUUAGCCCACUCCACCCAACUUUUCCUUUCUUGUUCUUUUGAUUAGUAUCUGAAACAAUUUUUAUUUCGUUGAUCAAUGUAUAUUCUUGCAACAAAUGAAUUAAAAAUUUAAUUUGUGCCCAAUUAGUUUGGUGUAAAUUUCAUCCACAUUUAUCUCAUGUAAUUUUAAUUGGAAAUAUUUGGUGUUUAUGGGAAUAAACAGGAAGCUUGAAAUUGCUAAUCAUUGGCAUUAAAUUGAAGCAGGUUUAGAAAUGAAAGUUCUGGAUCAGGAAAGAAUGGAUGAGAAGGAGAAUUGCGGACAGAAGAAAAUAAUGUCUCCCUGUUUGGCUCUGAAGAAUUGCUUGGAGGAGAAAAGGGUGACUACUCUAAAAGUCAGCCACAGUUAGAAGCAUUUUGGUCUUCUUUAGAGUUUCCUCGUAAAUUAUAGACAAUUGUUAAGCCUGGUGCCACAUGUGAUGUUUAAAAAGUUGUUCACUAGUUGAAUGGAACCCAUCUUUAGGCAUGUUUUUUAUUGAAUAAAAUAUAUGUUUGAAUAAUAAUUUGCCAUGCUUAACAUAUAAUCUUCUUCUGAAUUCUAGUUGGAAAGUUGGAAUUAGCUUCGAAUAGUUUCACAUUAAUGGACAAAUUGCUGUUUUUUUAAUUUUCUUGUAUUGUUAAAAAAGUAUAGGGAACAAAUUGAUACUUCAAUUUUUCCUUAUUUUAUUAACCAAAAGAUUGCAAACAUGAUUAACCUAUGCAUGAGCAGACAUUCAAUAGUGGUUGUAUGGAAUUUUUGUCUGUGUACAAGACAUUUACACUAAGUGUACAAGAUAUAUGUGCUUAAUGUACAAGGGUGUACAAAGGUACCUAUGUUGAAGUAUUUGCAAUCGUUUUAAAAUCAUGUCCAUUUUGAAAGGAUGAGGAACAUUCCCUCACACACAUUCCUUGAUCACGCACUCAUCCUGUUCAAUUUUAUUACUUCAUACAUGUUGAUUGGAUGACCAACCACAGUAAUGAUGAAUAGGAACCUAUAUUGGGUUUUACUUCCCCCUUUUCCCUUAGGCAUCACAUUGGAACAUGAUAGCUCACCCAUAUGCACGCUUUUAGUUUUAGGUAUGUCAAAUUUUUUCCAUUGUAUAAGACAUUUAAACUAAGUGUACAAUGCAAAUGUGCUAACUGUACAAGUGUGUACAAUGCUACCUAUGUUGAAGGAUUUCAAAUGGUUUUGAAUAAAUUGCUUGCUCAUUUAUUUUUUUUAAGGGGGACAUUCCUCAUAGUCAUUCCUCAUUUCCCUUCGUACACAUUCAUUGGAUGAGAUAACACACUUAUGAUGAAUAGGAACCUAAAUUGGGUUUCAUUUUCCCCCUUUUAAUUGAGCCAUGACAUUGGAAUGUGGUUAACCCGCCAAUAUGCACUAGUUCUAUUCUAGCUAGGUUGAAUUUUUGCAAUUGUACAAGGCAGUUACACCAAGUGUACAAGACCAAUUUACUAAAUGUACAUAGGUAUACAAGGGUGUCUAUCUUAGGGGAUUUCAAGUGAUUCUGAAGAACUUCCUAUCUUACUAUUUCCAAUCGUGGGGGACAUUUCUCGCACAUAUUGCUUGACAACACACUUAGUGCAUGCAUUUUAUUUGAUGUCUACUAUGUUAAUUCCUUCUAUUAGCUUCCCUAGUAAUGAUGAAUAUGAACCGAAAUUAGGGUAAAGUUUUUUUUCAUUUUCCUUAAUCCAUGAGAAUGGAAACAUUGGUUACCCACCCAUAUGCACUCGUUCGGUUGUGCCUAUGUGGGAUUUUGUGACUGUACAAGGCAUUUACACUAAGUGUACAGUGCAAAUGUGCUAACUGUACAACUGUGUACAAUGCUACCUAUGUUGAAGGAUUUCAAAUGCUUUUGAAAAAAUUGUUUGCUCAUUUUUUUUUCUAAGGGGGACAUUCCUCAUUUCCAUUUCUACACAUUCAUUGGAUGAGAUAGCGCGCUUGUGAUGAAUAGGAACCUAAAUUGUGUGUCAUUUUUCCCCUUUUCAAUGAGCCAUGACAUUGGAACGUGCUUAACCUGGCCAUAUGCACUAGUUCUGUUGUAUCUAGGUGGAAUUUCUGCAACUGUACAAGGCAUUUACACUAAGUGUACAAGGCCAAUGUACUAAAAGUACAAGGGUGUACAAAGGUGUCUAUCUUACUUUUUCAAAUCGUGGGGAACAUUUCUCACACAUAUUGCUUGAUAACACAUUCAUUACAUGCAUUUUAUUUGAUGUCUACCAUGUUAAUUCAUUCUAUUAGCUUCCUUAGUGAUGAUGAAUAUGAACCGAAAUUAGGGUAAACUUUUUUUGUCAUUUUCCCUAGUCCAUAGUAAUGGAAACAUUGGUUACCCACCCAUAUUCACUUGAAAAUAUGUACCUAUUAGGGAUUUGGUGACUGGACAAGGCAUUUACACUAAGUGUACAAAGCAAAUGUGCUAACUGUACAAGUGUGUACAAGGCUGCCUAUCUUGAAGGAUUUGAAAUGCUUUUGAAAAAAUUGCUUGCUCAUUUAUUUUUUCUAAGGGGGACAUUCCUCAUUUUCCUUUGUACACAUUCGUUGGAUGAGAUAGCACGCUUAUGAUGAAUAGGAACCUAAAUUUGGUGUCAUUUUUCCCCAACUCAGUGAGCCAUGACAUUGGAACGUGGUUAACUCGGCCAUAUGCACUAGUUCUGUUGUAUCGAGGUCAAAUUUCUACAACUGUACAAGGCAUUUACACUAAGUGUACAAGGUCAAUGUACUAAAAGUACAAGGGUGUACAUGGGUGUCUAUCUUACUUUUUCCAAUCGUGGGGAACAAUCCUCACACAUGUUGCUUGAUAACACACAAUUGCAUGCAUUUUAUUUAAUGUCUACCAUGUUCAUUCAUCCUAUUAGCUUCCCUAGUAAUGAUGCAUAUGAACCGAAAUUAGGGUAAAAUUUUUUUUCAUUUUCCCUAGUCCAUGGUAAUGGAAACAUUGGUUACCCACCCAUAUUCACUUGAAAAUAUGUACCUAUUAGGGAUUUGGUGAUUGGACAAGGCAUUUACACUAAGUGUACAAAGCAAAUGUGCUAACUGUACAAGUGUGUACAAGGCUGCCUAUCUUGAAGGAUUUGAAAUGCUUUUGAAAAAAUUGCUUGCUCAUUCCUCAACUGAAAUGAUAAUAACCUUUCAUUGAUUGAUAUCCACGUGGGCCCUCCUCAUGAUUGUCUUCAACCUGAUAAAGGGUAUGUGUUUUUUUUUUCCCUUAGUGAGAAAGCAAAUAAAGGCAUAAUAGAUAUAUGAGUGUGUUGGCUACUAAGUAGGUACUGGUUGGUGUUUGAUGAUGUUAAAAGCCUUUAUAAAGCAGCCUCUAGUAAGCACUGAUUUUGAGAUUUAAGUUCUUUUGAAUUUGAUCAUUUUUCCCUUUCUUUUCCAAGGUUUUUCUUUCCACCUUGGUUUUGUGAAGAAAGCUUGCAUUAUUGGAAUGAUUGUUAUUUAAUGUCGUUGCAGUUGCAAAUGACACAGCUAUUCACCAAAUCCCAACCUCUGUUUUGAAUCUGAGACAAGGUUAACAAUUCGUAUAGUUCAAGUUCUUCAUGGCCUUCUAGAGAGUGAGCAUGCAGCACAUGCAUAAGCAAACAAUAGGGCAAAAGCUCUUUCUGUUCAACUACAAUCCACACAAGGAAAACUUGAUUUACUUCAGCAACAAUUAACAUCAGUUUCUUUGAAUAAAACAGCAAUGGACGGUAAGCUCAACACUGCUUCCCAUGGAAAAUGUUUGAGAGUAGAUGACUUUGACCUGACUAUUGAAUCUGUUGAAGAUAUGGAUGGUAAUGAAAGAAUAACAAGAGAAAAUAAGAUGUCAACGAUCACAACUAGCCCUCUGAAGUUCACGCAGUCAGAAGAUGGUGUUUAAAUAUUUAAGGCCAACGAGGACAACAACAGCCAACAUACGAACCUAGAGGACUAUACAAAAUUCAUUGUGCUGAAACUUAUGAAAGAACUCACAAAACAUCAUUAUGGGGCUGAGCUGCUUCAGUUCAGGAAUCCCAACAAGAGAAACAUCUUGCUUUGUAUGAGAAACACGUGCUUUAAAAAUUGUAACCUGUCUAUAAUCUAACAAGAAUUGACUUGAUAGAUUAGCUUUUUAACCAAGUACUUAGUGCUGAAGAAGGUGUUUUGUGCUUGAACGGUGUCAUUCCCAUUAGUCCAAAAUUUUGGGAUGAUGAUCGCCAUUUUUCGAUGUGCUGAAUGAUUACUUUUAAGGUGUGGAGCUACUGCAUUCUGAGAAUGGUUAAUAAUAAUUUUUAAAAUCAUACAUAAUAAAUUUGAAAAUAAAGACUAAUAAUUUUCAAGUGAUUAUGGAUUAUUCUUGAGUUCCCCUUUUCUCUUGUCUGAACUUGCUAGUUCCCAAUACUAAAGUAGGAGUCCAGGGAUAAUUUCAACACAAAUAUUAACUAUAAGUCUCUGACAAACCUUAUUCUUAUUACCACCCAACUAACCUAAGGGCAAAGUGGGUUCUUAUUACCAAGCCAUGAGCAAUUUUGCCCACCAAAAAACCUAGGACAAAAAAGGGAAAAAGCCACACCAACAUGUAUGAUAACAAAUAAGAGCAACCAUACACUCUAUUAGGCAUAGACAUCUAGGUUAGUGUGGAGGUACUCUUCCACAACCUUGUACAUCCCCAUGGCCUUGUCUUUGCCGGUCUUGAUGUCCUCGUCCUUGAGCUCAAUAUUUGAGUGAUAAUGGCUAGUCAUCUUGCACAUAGAGCCUGAGCCCGAUGCCUUGAACUUUACCUCGUUUGAAAUGGCCUUGUUUUUACACUCUUAAUUGCCUAAAUUUCCUUUCUAAGAGGCUUCAUUUUCCAAUUCUAUUUCCUUUCACACCUUCAAUGGGAAUUUAGGAGACAACUUUUAGUAUUGUGUCUUAGUUUGAUUGAAGGUAAAAUUGAAACCCAUAACAACCCUGACUUGUUUGAACCCCAUGUCAGAAAAAGUAAAAAGAAAAACAACAAAGUGUAUAGAUUCUUCAAAUAGAUGUAUCUGUAAUUGAAACAAAACAGGUGGAACACACCCGUGAACUCACCAUUAACAUUACAAGCAACUAGAAUUAUUGCUGCCUUGAACUAGAUAUCAUAGAGAACACCAAAAGAAAAUAUCUAUAUAUAAAACAUAAAAUCUUUGAGUAAUCACAAUGCUACUUUCUAUUCCUAAUUUUCCGCUUCCCAUCUGUGGGAACUGGGUGCCUUCCAUUCCUGUGCUGUAGGGUCCCAACCCCAUUUGAUAGUUUCCAUGAUGGUGAAGGGCCCACGGUAGAAUUCAAAUUCCUGCAGGAAAAUUUUGAGAACAUUUUGUCAGUAUACAUGGGAACUUACUAGGUAACAAUAGUUGAAAUGAGAAAUAAAUCAGUUUGCAUUACCUUAGUUCUGGACUAUUUGCUGGCUUUGUAUUAGGUUUCUUGAUUUUUGACUCAAUCCCAUUAAUCAUGCAAAUUAUAUUUGCAUUAUUGAAUUGCCAAAGCAAAACGGCAUCAGAAGAAGCACUGAUGGCAGCAUCCUCAUGCAAAUCAUCAUUAUUAGCAAUGUCAUAACGAUUGUUUUCCAUGAAUAUGUUAUAUGAUUGAUCCGGGAAUAGCUUUGAAGAAUUUGAAAUAAGUUUUUGGUAGAAAGCAUCAGGCAAGUUCCUAUUCUCUGUUUCCCAACAUCCUAAAGGGUUUGGAACUCUAGGUACAACAUCUUGCUUAUUCACCAUAACCAUAUAUACCCACUAACUAGAGCCAAUGUCUUUGUCGUCCUCCAAAUAAUUUUGCACAUUACUAUUGACUGGAGGCCAAGGAGGUGAUUUCCCUAGUAACUCCUUAAGAUCAAAGCUUUGGUUCUUUUGCCUCAUCAUGGAAUUGCUGCGUGCCUACAUAAUCAGAACAUCAAACUUGAAUUCUGGUUUCACAAAGACUUGGAUGCAUAAUAAUCAGUCAACUAAAAUAAAGCCAUUGUUUGACAUCUACCUAGACCACAUCUAUGUGGAACCUAAUCAUACAUGAACUAGAAAUUACUUUUUAUGAAAAUUUCCAAUGAAUGUGAUAUAAUACAUAGUUUAUGAUCAUCUUCAAACUUAGGCAUGGCGUGUCAUGAUUAUCAAGAAAUAAAGGUUCCCUCACCAUCAUCAAUUUGCUAUCAUUCAAGUUUAAAUACACUUAUGUUAUUAUUCAAAGCUAAAUAUCAAUGAUUGGGGUAAAGAAAGAGGAAUAUCUCAUCAUGAUUAAAAAAAUAUUUACCUCGAUGUUGCUUGCAUCCCACAUUGGUUGCCUGCAACUAUUUUGAUCAUCUAACAUAUCUCCAGCCCGCUUGUUACAAUGAAAAGGUGAUAAAUCACUGGUUUUUGUUAUGUAUCUUUCAGAACUGUUUGUUUUGGUUCUCCUUUUUCCUUGCCAGAGCUGCCUUUAGAGUAGCAAUCUGAAAUAAUAGUUCAAAGUUUUCAGAAGAAUAAAUAAGAAUUGAGAAGAAUGAUAAAUAAUGAGAGCAUUCAGAACCUGUUCUUUCAGCUCUUUCACAUCUACACUAUCCUUGUUUACACGAGUAGCACUAAGUUCUACCGUGGCAAAUUGCUCUGCAAAUUUAACUGUGCUAAUUGUUUCUCCAUCCGCAUCCAGUUCAGGGCUAAUGUGAACAAACAUUAGUGUCUUAGCUUGCCCCCUUAAAGAGAAUUACAAUCUAAAAGCCAUAUUAUAAUUUUAAAAAUAAAAUUAAAGAAAACAGAAUCAAAUAUGAAGUUCAUACUCUGAAAAUACAUUAGUUUAUUCUUACCAAGUGAGUCUUGAAGAAGUUCUGUUAGUUUACUAUUCCUAUAAGGGACAUGUGGACUCUUCUGGGCAAGGGAAGAGAUGACAUCCCCUAGAGCAGAGAGAGAUCUGUUAAUAUGAUGUUCCUCCUUUAGUCUAUCUCCAGUGACCUCAGAUUUGUCUACUCUCCCACUGUCGGCCAGAUCAACAAGAUGCAUACAGCCAUGAAGAAUAGUUCCUGACAUCAAGUCUCUUCCCUGAACAUGAACAGUUAGGCAUAUGCAAGUUGAUUGAAAAUCAAGUGAGCAAAACCAAUAGAGAUUACUAAAAGAGUAUUCCUAGAUAAAUAUAUAAAGGAAUAUGAUCAUACCUAUGAGAGCAACUAUUAUGGUUUCAUAUGUUCACAAGUGGUAGAGAACCAGGGUUUUAAUUUCUAUGCAAUUUUGAAAAUUCAUUCUAAUAAUAUUUAAUUCUCCCUGUUUACUUACAAUGCAAUGACAAUCAACUUAAGUCAAAAAGCAGUCAAACUCCUACUAAUCCCAUAAUCCCAGUGUUCAUUUCCGCAUGUGGCACCAUAAAAAAACAUUUAAAGAAGUACGUUUGUCCACCAUAAAUUACAUACAAAUGUGCUAACUUUAUACAGUCUCGUCACAAAUUACAAUCCCCAUUAAUCCAUUCAGACACGGUCUUGGUGUGCAUUUUGUGCUGAAAACAACAUACUCCCCAUAAUCUUCAACCUAUAAUGUUUCAAUUUCCCCUGCAUUCAUUCAAGUUGAUAGCAACAAAUCAGCAAAUUAAUUAAUUAGGCUUUUGUAACUAUUUUAACAUUAAUGAGAUAGUCAUAGAUAAUUCCUCCUAUGUACCACAUCGAUUGAUUUGGAGAACCUGCCCAUUGACCACAACUCCAUGAAUUUCAUUACAAAAACUCCGCAAUCGUGCCUACGUCAAUAUCAUUAUCAAAACGUUAUUAAGUAUGGAAUUAUAAAUAAGAGAGGAACUUAAAAUAAGUUGCAAUCCAUUUUAACAUCAUCCCGGACUGCAAGGUCAAUACUCACUCAUUAGGUUGGAGAGGUACAUCAGGUGUUAGGAAAUUGAAUGUCCUCAAAUCAUAAGGUGAUACCUCUUUUUUUUUUGUGCAGCCAACCAUAGGACAACCUUAGCCUGAAACAUUUAUUAACACAACAAUUGAAAUUUUUAUGGGAAGACAUACUUAACAAAUUAUUAGUUGUUACUUGUUACUUUACCAAAUUUUGUUGAAUUCCACUCAAAGUUGUCUUCUUCCUACCAGGACAAGAAUCUAGCAAUUGGAUUCUCUUGUUUGAUAGGUCAUAUAUGCACAGUGUCCAAUGGUUCUUUAUGAGAACCGGUAAGAAGACCUACACCAAUAGACUGCCAUUAAACAUACAUUUAAAUAUUGUACCUUCAUGCAAUAAAAAUACAAAUCCAAGCAUUAAACACAGGAAUCCACCUUGUUAACAUUGACAUAUGGAAUAUCCAUCUGAUACACAUGUGGUUCAAAGCGUCCUAUAACUGCCUCCCUCACUAAGUGUUUUGCCUAGGAGUGGAUUACCAUUUCCUGCAUAUCAAAUAGGGGAUAACAUCAGGUUUGUCAUUGUAGGUAAUGCCUGGUUCAAGACAUGAAAUAAAGUUAAGCAAUGAUUUAAUGGAAUAGUCAUCAUUACAGCUAUGUAGGGGGAUAGAAACAGUUUCGUCUUCGGUUUAUGUUCAUACUGCAACAAUCUACAGUAGGCAUCGACGACCUGAUUUUGUAGAUCAUAAAAGUGUAAGCAACUAAUUAUAUUAAAGCCACACUUUCACUUUCAAACUUAAAAUAAUGCAUAAAGAGGGAUAAGAAGUCAUAUGCACGUCGUUCCCUAUCCAACCAUUCCCUUCGAAACAGCCCAAAUUGCCUCUGGUUAGGAUAGUGUCAUGCAUAGACACUAGUUCCUCACUAUUGCAAACACAUACAAUUUAGUUUUUGUGUUAUCACUAUCAUACAAUGAGAUGAGUGUCUCUGAAGUAUGUUACCUAGCAUCCAAAUCCUCUCUAAAUACCAGUGCAGCUGCUUGUUUUAAGUCCAUUCUGAUGGCAGAUUGUUUAGUUUGUGGUUGGGAUAUGUAUGGGGACAACAGGUUUGGAGCCAUUCAACGCACUCGUCGUCUCUAGACGUUCCUAUUUGUGGGGACAACAUUACCUUUUGGUUCUUCUUCACCAUCUGCAAUACGAGAUUUAGAACUAGUCAGCAAAGGUAUACAUUAUGAUUGAGUACUUGAGUUGUUAACCAUAUGGGUGUUUGCAUAAAUUUUAUCACUUACCGCUUACUACAUUAAUGGGUACACUGGGCUGCAACUCAAACUCAGGGGCAACAACGCGAUCUGGUGUGUCUAUCACAUGGUCUGCAGCAUGUGAAGCCAUGUACUCAUCACCAAGAAAUGCAUGGUCAUCGACUGUGGGAGUGUUGGCUGGUGCAUCGCCAGAGUGACCACCAGCAUCUGAAUUUACCCCACUAUGUCUUCGAGCCCCUAACUUAUGCAUAAGGCCACGCAUUAUUCUCAGCUGCUACUGAAUGCCCCAUUGAUAUUGGUCGAUUGCUCGUUCCGCAUCAUGAUAUUGAUGUCAUUUUUCCUAUCACAUGAUAUUGAUGUCAAUCUUUGAGCACAAAAUAUCACAACAACAUAUUUCUUUAUAGUUAAGAAUCAAAAAUAAAUUACAAUGACAAUGAAAUGAACAUUUAUUAAUUUUUUUAAAAAUUAACAGCUUACAUCACUAUUUUCAGCAUCAACAUUUGUGUCAUGGUCCACAUUAGUCUCUACCUCCAUAGUUCUUUCUACAGUUGGAGAUCUCUAGGACGCCUAUAAUUAGCAUUGAAGAUUAGUAAUUAAAUAAUGAGUGUUAUGCUAGUAAUGACAAUAUAUUUAUGCAUGCAUCACUUACAAAAUCAACCUCAGCAUGUCCGAAUGCUCCAAACUCCUUUAUCUUAACGACUAGUCGCCGCUUAAUCAAAUCAUCAGUCCAUGUCAAUGCUAGGGGCACUAUAAUGGGGACUUGAACUGAAGGAAUUUGGAAUUUAAUGACAUAAUGCAGCUGCAUAAUAAAUACAAACAUCAGUAGGCAAAUGUUACUUAGUUGUGCAAUAAAAUUAUAUAAAAAAAUGGAAGACAAAUACUGAAUAAGUUCAUUACCUGUAGAAAUAAAACACAGCCAUGUACCCAAGAGGUGUUAGACUGUUGGUAUCGCCUAAUUCCCUUAACCAGUUGGUCAAGCACAAACUAGGCCCAAUUAACGUCAUUUCAGAAUCCAUCCUCAUGGAUGGUAUGCCACAAGUUACGGCAACCAUUGAGCCUAGACGUGGGGGCCAACAAUGUGGCACAUGCGUAGUAAAUGAAUGCUCUACGAAACUCCUCGCCUACAGGUAAGUUCAGGAGUUUCUCCUUGCAUGCCCGAAUAGUCCUAAAUGGAUGCUCUGAUGAUGUAAAGGUCACCUGCAGAAUCCGCCCUUCUGUUGGGAGGCCGAAAAUGAGGCCAACAUUGAUGGCUGUAACAGGAUAGUGUUUCUAAGCUGAGAACUCUAUCCGUCUAAAUCCAACAUUGAAAUGUUGGAUUAGAAAGAUACAGAUGUUGUGGCGCACCUCUGUGCAAUUUAAGUUUAAGAGACCUCCAAAUUGGAGGUCUCUUAUGGCUUGUAUUUUUUCCUCUGGUAAACGGUUGCAGAGUUUCUUAAAUCGUGCAGUUGAGCAUCGUGUAAACAUUGAUGGGCCCUGCAUGCAAUGUUUGACAACAUGGCCAUGUUAGGAAUAGCAACAUCAUUGCAGUUGGUAAUGCAAAAAAUAAGUGAAAAAGUAAAGAUGUCAUUUCUCAUAGUUACAAAGACUUGUUUGCUUGUAUUUAGAAAUAAUAUACAGCAGGGUAAGACAUGAGAUGGGGUUAGGUGCUAUUGACAGUGAGAUAUCCUAUAAGAGAGAGGAUUGUUAGUUUAUGAAUAAGCUUAUAUAGAAUAGACAAUAACAGUAAAACUGUACAGAAUAGACUAUAAAAGUACAAAAAUAAAUAUGGGAAUAUUACAUGAUAUAUAAAAGAAGGAAAUCAAGUCAAUUUAUGGAAAUAAAUUGACUAAUUCUAUUAGAGAAAGAAACCAUAAACAAAUCAAUGAAUAAUCCUAUUUAAUUCCCAUUUAGAUUGUAAGACAACUUGAUAGAACCAAAAUCAUUGGUAAUGAAUUUGUGAUCUUCAACAACAAUGAACAAAUGGAGUAAACAGAAAAUGCUAUGGAAAAGUAGAUUUCUUUCAUUGCCUUAACAUGGUUACAAUAAAAUGCUUGAGAAGGUGGAAAUAAAAGCUCACUAACUCAAAGGCCUUUUCUUCGUAUUCCCUCGCACACACUAGGUUUUGUGUCAGGAAUAAUCUUUGCAAUAAUUGUAUUCCCCCAAGUGUUUUCCACUAUACCUAACAACAUACUGGUUGCUAAGGGCCUUGCAUUCAUGGAUGUGAGCAAGGAAAAAAACUUAAAGAGAUCUCUUUGUUUUCCCUGUUCUUUUCAUUCUUCUGGCUAUUUAAAAGGGGUCUAACCUGCUCCUUUUGAUACUUCUGACAGACACAAAAUCUUGAGGAACUACUAGAGCAAGCACUUUGCUAUUGCCAUUGAACAUGGACAAGGUUUGGAAUCCAAGCUUCCGUUGAGAGUAUUCCCACAUGGUAAUUACUAUCAUUGAAUAAUUGUACACUAUCUUCUAAUACCAUGAAUCAUGUGUUCGGCCGAAGUUAAUUCAUACCUAAGUUGUUAGCUGAGUGAGGAUCCAUGGGAAAAUAAAUGAAAACUAGGACUCUAAAUCUAAACUUCUGAAAGUUUUGAGGCUUGAAUCUGAUUCACUGGGCAUAAUAAUCUAAAAUUUGCAAAAUAGAGGAAGUGGUCAUUUCAAAUUAGGUACUGAUACAAUAUGAACUGCUACUACAUAAUUUUUUGUAGAAUAGUAAACAAAGAGUAUCUUUGCCCUUGAAAACAAGAAUAAAUAAGGUGAAUCCAUGAGUCUUGGAGAAUUAAAUGAAUGAAGAGGAGUUUGGAAACCAUAAACUCCAACUGGUAGAUGGCCAAUACAACAAGAACAUCAACUAAGGUAAUAAACAUCAAACAUAGUUUCAAGUAGAGGUUAUGACACUGCUUGUUACACUUGAAACUUCAUCAGCAGUUCUCCUUCAUUACCACAACAGUUUAACUAGCAUUAAGUUAUGUUUUAUGCCAAUGCAUCAGUCUUAAAACCAAAACAUAGUUCACAACAUACACUUAUAAUAUCCUGCUUAAUUACAAGUUUUUUGUUUGCCUAAGAAAUCAAAAUUUUAAUAUCAGGCAGGACUCGACUAGAGUUUCAACAGCUUGGUUGCAUACCCAUUUACAGAUGCCAAAUUAUUAGAUAUUUGAGAAUAUUCUGAGGCUUUAAUUUCAAGACUUAAACUUCAAGAAUUACAAAAAUCUUUAGAGAGAGAGGACUUAAUUAUUUGGACAAUAUUUACAACAACAAUAAUAAUCAUCAUCAUCAUGAAGAUUGAUGUUUCAGUUCUAAUGUUUCAGUCAGUUCAUGCACCAAAUCUUCUAUCAAUUUCACAUGGAGCCGACCUAUUCAUCCACAUUCACAUUUGGUUGAGCGAGAUAUUGGUCCAACACAUUAAAAUACUGCCCCAAAAGGAGAAUUUCUGCCUUAUCGCCCUGGAAUCCCAACUAUUUAAUUGAAUUUUUUUUGAGGUACAAGUCAAGAAAACUUCUGCAAGGGAUUACAAUCAUAUGUGCCAGAUUUUCACAGAGAGCACCAUUUCAUAUGUUUUAAAGGCUGGAUAUACAGUUGAGAGAAUUAGAGUGCGUUUGGAAAUGUUUUUUCUCGAAGUGUAAUUAAAUAAAAAGUUUUCCUUUCUCAUAGAUUAAAAACAUAAAAUAUGAAAUUUUUGAUAAAAUGGAAACCACUAUUUGGGGUGGGUAAGAAUAGCUAAGAGAUUGUAUGCAACAAAAAUCAUGAAGUUAGCUCAAAAUGGGAAUGAAAUUUUUAUUCCAUUAUAGAGUAUUAAGUGCAACCAAAUAUUGAAAUGAAUCUUUGUUAAGAUUUUCUAGAUACCAUUCCAUUCUUAGCAAAGGAACAGUCUUAUUAAUUCUAAAGUAAGUGUUAAGUACCUAAAGGAGAACAAAAAUAAUAUAAAAGAAAAAAAUUUUAAGAAAAUAAAUUGUAAACAUUUAUUUAUCUUCUUUUCCUUGAUUUUCUUAGCAAUCAAAUAAGAAAACAAUUUUAUAAAGUUAGAAAUAGAAAAUAUGAAAUUAAUAAAAUUGAAAACAUUAUUUAGAGGUGGAAUGAGAAAAACUUAGAGAUGUUGAUGAAAUAAAAAUAAUGAAUUAAAUUAACAUAAAAUUGGAAUGAAAUGUUCAUUGCAAUUCAACUUAUUAAAGUACAACAAAUAUUAGAAUGAAUAUUCAUUACCAUUCUAUAACUAGGAAACAAACACAAGACGAACUGAAUGCCUCAAGCAACAUCAACUAUCCAUUAGUUUGAUUUCCAGAAACUAGAAAUCCAAGAUUCACCUAGGAAAGUGUAAGAAGUGAUCUGAAGUAAAUAGAAAUCUUUAGUGCCAGUUAGAAAGUGAGGCUACUAGAUUAGCAGUAAUCUCUAUAUCUGAGCAGCUCUUGACAGUGAACCGAAGUUGAGCGUAAAAAAUAACUCUUGGUCCGUAUAGAAAAUCAAAUUUCAUUUUUUCACUCAAAUAAGCUAAACAAAGGCCAAAGAGGAAAAUAAACACAAUCAAAUUUCAUUCAUUUGGAGAUUUAAAAUUUGGGGAAAGAGACUCACUUCCUAGGGUUAUUUAUCAUUAGUCUCUGACAUGCAAUUUUGAUUCGAGUAUGGCAAGGAUUUCGGUGAGCGAGUUGGUUGUUCAUCAGCAAUCUAGUUGCUGACUCAGCUCCUAAGGUUUUAUGCCUUUGGAAGAAGAGUUCAAUGGCCAUCACUAGCAACGUCUCUCAACAUUGAGGGUUGAAAAGAGUGAAUAGAAGAAAAAUGUCAAACAAUUAGUAAGAAAACAAAAUCACAAGUCAUUUGAAGAUUCUCACCAGUGGGUUCUUAAUAGUUUAAAGUAAGGAAGUGGCUCUUAGUGGGUUAUUGGCUAAAACUGGGGCUACCUAGUAAAACCUGUUGAACCGAUUCCAAACCGGUUCAACCGAUUGAGAAAAAUUCUAAAAUUUAACAAAAGAUUCCUCGAAGAAUAAGGAAUCCAACAAAACAAAAAAAACAGCGCUCAAUUUCGAGCUUGGAUGAGGGAGAACCGGUCAAAACAAUGCAAUGUGUUUAUAAAACGGGGCUGCUUAGCAAAACCUGUUUAACCGGUUCCCAAACGGUCCAACCGAUUGAGAAAAAUUCUAAAAAUUUACCAGAAGAUUCCUCGAAGAAUAAAUAAUCCAACAAAAAAACGACACUCAAUUCUGAGCUCGAAUGAGGGAGAAUCGACUAAAACAAUGCAAUGUGUUUAUAAAACGAGGCUGCCUAGCAGAACCUAUUGAACUGGCUCCCAACCGAUUCAACUGAUUGAGAAAAUUUUUGAAACUUUACUAGAAGAUUCCUCGAAGAAUAAGGAAUCCAAAAAAAAAUGAAUCUCAAUUCCGAGCCUGGAUGGGGGAGAACCGGCCGAAACAAUGCAAUGUGUUUAUAAAAUGGGGUUGCCUAGCAGAACCUGCUGAAUCGGUUCCCAACCAGUACAAUCAAUUAAGAAAAAUUAUGAAACUUUACCAAUAGAUUCCUAAAAAGAAUAAGGAAUCCAACAAAAAAAACGACGCUCAAUUCCAAGCCCGGAUGAGGGAGAAUCGGCUGAAACAAUGCAAUGUGUUUAUAAAAUGGGGUUGCCUAGCAGAACCUAUUGAACCGGUUCCUAACCGGUACAACCGAUUGAGAAAAAUUCUGAAACUUUACAAGUAGAUUCUCAACCGACAAAACAGCCUCCAUACCAUACACUAAAGAGUAAGGUGUAGCUCCUAUGGAGGUGCGAAAAGAGGUACAGUAUGCCCACAAUGCAAAAGGAAGUUUCUCUGACUAAUCUCGAGAAGUUUCAGUCAUCAUCCUGAAAAUUCUCUUAAUAUUCUUAUUCGCAGCCUCUACUGCCCUGUUGGUCUGUGGCCUAUAUGCUGAAGAUCUAUGAUGUCGGAUGUCAUACUUUUGCAACAAAGUAUCUACCUCAACUGGGAAGUGCACCCCUCUAUCUGAAAUUAAUUCAUGGGGAACCCCAUAGCGGCAAAUGAUGUGUGACCUGAUGAAACUAGCAACCCUAGCAAAUGUCAAAGAAUAAGGAAUCCAAAAAAAAAAAAAAAAAAACGGCGCUCAAUUCCGAGCUCGGAUGAGGGAGAACCGGCCAAAACAAUGCAAUGUGUUCCUUGUAGAAGGCCAAACCCGAACCACCCAACCUUAUUAAAACUAAGGCCACGGAUCUCAUUAAACAACCAACAAUGCAGCCUCCCUGAACUCAAGAAACCCAACUGGAAAUUCAGCCACACAGACAUCCACAUGCGGCCACCUAAAUCUCCUGAAACCAAACUGAAAUUUCAUUCACUUGAAGCCUUCCACCUACAGCUACUUAAAUCCCAUGGAACAAACUGAAAUUUCAGCCUCCUAUAGCCUAUGAAUCCAGUUGAAAUUCAGCCACCUAUAGCCCCCUCUCCCCAAUACAACUACUGGAAUCACCAAGAAGCAAACCGAAAUUUCAGCCACAUGGGGCCUCUACAUAUAGCCACAAGACCCAGGGUUUAAGUCCAGAUUAUUGAUGGGUAGCCCCAAAUUUAAAAAACAGAGAAGGUCAUGGAGACCCUUUCUCAAUACAAAGCAAAGGAGGUUUCAAGAAAAACCAAGUGGCAGAAAUGCCCAUACCAACAUAGCCACCUGAAUCUAGCAUUUAAGAAGUUCCUCAAUCCAAAGCUACAAGGCCAUAAGAAUCCUUCCCUUAACAAUCAAAAGGUCACAAUGACCUUCAACCAAAACCAAAACUAAUGAAGGCAGUGACCCUAUUACUCACACAUCAAAAGUAGGUCACACACCCCCCAAUUCUUUAUCAGAACCAACCCAAAAUGAGACAUCCACAACUAACAUAAAAAAUGAAACAUGCAAUAGUUACAUAUCAAGAGCAUCCAUAAAGCUUACCAGAUUGUUCUCCCCUCAAGCAGAAAUUUGCUUGGCUUCAAGGCCGUCUUUCCUUCAAGUUCUCACCAAUCAAGAGCUCCUUACUCUCUUCCCUCUUUGCUCACUUCACGUGCACCCAAAACUUUCUUAAAUGCUCAAAACCUUCUCCACACUCUGUUCUUUUCCCUCACCAAACUUGGACAAAGUUUUGUCCCUUAGAAAAAAAUGCAAAGGAAAAGGUCCUUCUCUAUUUCCAUUUUGCCUUUUUAUACCAGAACCCCUGCUCCUCCCACUUCCACCUUCGUUUUUCCCUCUUUUAGCUCUGGAAAGUGCCCCCAUCAACCUCGGAAUCCAUCUCCAUAAACACUCCUCACAGUCACGAGGUGAGCUGUUCUCUCCACAUUUACUCCAUUGCUUCACCACCAAGAAUCCAUAUGGAUUCAUGGUGGGCUAUAAGGAACCUAAACCAAGGCUCAAAAUGGACCCAAAAUAUUUCCCAAGACCGAUUUGGAGCUUAUGGGCCCUAGUCAUGUAGGAUUUGGGCCCCAAAAUCAGUGCUCUAUACAAGUUGGCCCAACGAAUUGGUUGAACCAGUUGAUAAAAAAAUUGAAAUUUUGACAGAAUAUUCCUUGAAGAACAAGGAGUCCAUAAAAAAAAUGGUGUGUGAUUCUGAGUUCGGAUGAGGAAGAUAUGAUCGAAACAAGCUCAAGUGCUCCGUAUUCGAACCUGCUCCUAUGAACUCUGGCUAAACUAAAGAUUUGGGGAGAUCUCACUUCCUUCUUUUAGCAUGAUGUGAAAAACUAAGGAAUUGGUCAUGACAACACUCCAAAAUGAACUACACACUCACACUACAUUGGANNNNNNNNNNNNNNNNNNNNNNNNNNNNNNNNNNNNNNNNNNNNNNNNNNNNNNNNNNNNNNNNNNNNNNNNNNNNNNNNNNNNNNNNNNNNNNNNNNNNUGACAACACUCCAAAAUGAACUACACACUCACACUACAUUGGACCGCAGAUGAACCUACACAAGGCUCGAAAAUCGAUCAAGCCCAAAAGGGGGUCAUGGUGGUGCCAUAAGGAAAAAAUUGGGUGCAUGUGACAUCCCUAAGAUAAAUGCAAGUGUCGAAGGACAAAAUUGAGGGUCUACAGUAUUACAUUUUUCAAAGAGAUUAUGGAUGUCAUGGAAAACUCUUUAAAGAUCUCAAAUUUAUCAAAUAAUCAAUGGCUCGAUGAUAAUACACUGUUGUUGAUUCCAAGAUUUUCAAAUCCGAGUGGGCUGAUGGUGACUCACAAAACUGUUCUUCAAUUCUGUGGUUCAAAUUAGUGGACUUCUUUAAACCACCUUUCAAAUUGGACAGUUGCAUAGAGGACAAAACUGCUUUUGAUGGAUUUAAAGCUCUUCAAAUCCAUGAACUUCAAAGGUUUUUAGAUUCGUCCUCAAAGCCUAUAUAAGGCCCCUAUUUCUCUUUAGAAGGCAUCAACAUUUUAGUAGGAAAAUUGAGAGCAAACAAGUGAGAUAUCCUCUUGAGUGAAUGACCUUGUAAUUGAGAAAACUCAAAACUCUCAAAGUGUUUGUAAGGCAAUGUUUGGGCCUCAAAUGAAAUGGUAGCAAGGGAGAAAAUCAGGAAAGAGAAAAACAACCAAUGUCUAGGGCUAAAACCAAAUGCUUUGGAGGUAGUAAAAUUAGGGUAGGAUACGUGGAAUUCCAACUUAGAUUUUUGUGAUUUUGUUUUUUCAUAAUCAGUAAAGGCCAUUUUCGAAAAUAUUAAAAAUUCAUAUUCUUCUUCUCAAUUUUGACACUUCCUUUAGGUCUUAGGCUUAAAUGACGAGAACUUAUAUGGACCAAAGAUUAAUUUUUGGGCCUAGCUGGAUCCAAAACACAAUUCUCCCUAUAUUAUGUACACCUGAAACAUUUUUCAAAUUAAUUUUAUGAACUAAUUUUGAAAUAUAUCUUCAUAGCAUCUACACAAAGCAUAUAUAUUGUGUAUGUACUAUUAAUAAAAAUUUGUUUACAUGAAAUUAAAAAUAAUCAUGUUUUAAAAUAAAUAAAAAAAUUAUAUAUGAAAACCUAAGAAUAUACUAUUAUUUCAAUAGAGAUAAAAUUGUUAAAAUACUAAUAAAUUAAAUAUCUUAAAUUGAUAAAUUAUAUGAAUAAAUAAGAAAAGAAAAAAAAAAUAUAAAAAAACAACAUGCAAACAUGUGAAACUAAAAAGUUCAAAGGCAUGAAAUUCAAUAUGGCAAAAAUUCAAAAAAAUGGAACCACAUUUGCAUUUUUAACUUCAUACAUUUACAUUUAUUUUAUUUUAUUUUAAGUUUGUCUUAUUUAUAUGUUAUACAACUCUAUUAUUUUUAAAUUAUUAAUUUAUUGAUAAAUAAAAUAGUAAUUAUUAUUAUUAUCAAUUUAUUUUUGUUUAAGUAAUACUAGAUCCUUAAGUUUACAUGUAUAAUAUUUUUAUCAUUAAAGUAUAUAUUUUUAAUUUCAAUAAUAAUUUUUAAAAGCACUGAAACUUCAAUAGUGAAGUCUUAUUUGGCAAUUACAACAUUAUAAAAAUGAAUUCACAUCUGGCAAUUGAGGUUUUAACUUAAAUUUUUUUUAUAAAAAUGAUAACAUGGGUCCUCCAUGUCAACAAAAGGGGCAUUUUAGACAAAAGUUUAGGAAAGUGGUUAAAAUAAAAUUUUCCCCAUAAUAGGGCUAUUUUGGCCCAAAACACUUCAGAAAAAAAAAAAAAACUCCUAAAGUUUUUGUUCCUUUCUCAUUCUCAUUAAUGUCUAAUAUUGGAGCGAAAACAAAUGAUUAUUAAAACCUUAUAGUCCUAGGUACAUUCAAGCACAAGAAUCAAAAUCAUCAAAUCCAUUCCUAUUAAAAAAAAAUUGGGAUGAAAACAUAAUAUUGAUUCUCUUUCCCCAUUUUUAUGUACCAAACAUGGCCUAAACAUGUGAGAUAAAGAAAAUGAUCAAGCUUCUUUAUUAUACAUGCUUUCUUAAAAGAAAAAAAAAAAGUAGGCAUUAAUUUUAUGCAUUGGUAAUGAUCAAAUUGAACCUAAAUAAAUCAAGUUUUAGGCAAACAUCUAAAUAAACUUGACUUUAUUAGCACAAACAUGAAAAUAUUUAAUAUGGGUUUAUAUAUCCAUGUGUAACAUGAUUGAAUUCUAUUCAAAUGUGUAAAAAUAAAUAAUUAAAUAAUUACAUACCUUUUUUUCCGACUUUGCUCAUGCCAUUAAGAUUUUUCACCCACGAAAAACAACCUAUAUUACAAAAAAUGAAACAAGAUGAGCAACAUUUUUAAUGCUAAAGCAAAUGUUAAAAUUAUAAAAUUAUUAUCAUUGGACACAUACUUUUUUAAACAUAUGAGCAAGCUAAUUGAAAAUAAUAAAUAUAAAAAACAAAGAUUUUUUAUAAUGCUUAUAAAUAAGUUAAAACAACAAAUAAAAAAAAUAUUAAUAUACUAAAAAAUCCAAGUUUAUGAAAGGUAUUAAGAAUCCAGUGUAUAAGUUGAACAAUUAAAUAGGAAUUUAAAAUUAAAAUAUUAUACCUUAAAUUGGAAAUAGCUAGAUACUUGGUGUUUAUCAGAAUCUUAUCUCUACCCUAUACAGAUCAUAAACAAAUUAAAGAAAAAAAAUAAAAUUAGAAGGAAAAAUAUACUAUAAGGCAUAUUUAUUUCGAGCCCAUCGAAAUACUGAGAGCAACCACUUUACAAAAUUGUAUUCAUGUCAUGUAACUCACUGUUUUUUCUCAAAAAAAGUUUUUUUUUUUUAUGAAAAAAAAAAAAAACAUACCUAAACUGUUGAUUGUCUUGAAGUAAUUCAAAGAAUAGCCCUCGAUGUAUCAUAAAUUCACAUUAAACCACAAAAUCAAAAGAUUGUAAAGCUAAGAAUAUAUAUACCUCCAGGGGAAGGAGCCAUUGAUGUUGAAAGCUUGUUCUUCAAAAGAGCUUUAAGAUGUGAUUGUAAAGCUAAGAAUAUAAAUUCACACUAAACGACCUUUCUCUGCAUCCAAUGUUUUGAUCCCCUCUCAAACAUUAACGCUAACCACUACCUCGGUAUAUGCUUCGGAUUUUUUCCAAGAAAGAAUGAAAGAGAGAUGCUUCUGAGAGGAGAGAGAGAGGACACAUUUGUAAAGUGGACGUAAUACAACCUCUACCAUUAUGGGAAAUGACACAUUUGUAGUAUCGGGGUUUGUGGUAUUGGAACUUUCAGAUAAGGAAUUUGAAAAUUUUUAAAUAUAUAAUUAAAAAAAAAAUAGUCGAAUAAGAAAGUCCUUUCAAUAUGAUCUUUAUGAAUAAUAAAGAAAUGUUUGCAUGAAGAUCAACUCAAUAUGAUCCGUAUGUUCUAAUUAAUUUUCUUUUUCUUUUUUUUUUUUCAUAUUAAUUUUAUUAUUAAUUCUACCACCAAUCCUGAGAAGAUCAAAAUUAAUUCCUACAAGCCUAAAUCAUUGAAAGACCUUUUCUCGAGAAAAGAGAGUUCAGAGAUAUUUAUGAACCGAGAGUGGAUACAGAAGACCCUUAUUGAAUGUAGGGUUUCUUUGAAAAGAGACGAAGUCGGUCAACAUCUCUGAAAAGUCUGAAUGGAGAGGACUCUGAGUUGAGUUGAUGGGGCAGCGGACCAGUUUAUUGGGACUUUAACAGAGAUAUUUUCUCUCUAUGACGCUGCCCUUUGAGCUGUCUCCACUUGCAACUUUUCUUUUGUACCAGACCAUCCUAACAAACAAAAAUUUAAAUUUAUAAAAUAUAACUAUUUAAAAUUAAUUAAUAAUUUACAUUUUUUAAUUAAAAUUACUACUUUUAAUGUUUAAUAACAGUUUUUUAAUGAUAUAAGUAUUAUUUUUUAUUAUAAUAAAUACUAUUUUUAAUUGAGGAGUAUAUAAAAUUUGAAUUAUUUAAAAAAAUUUUCUAUUUUAUAAAUAUUUUUAUAUAAAUACAUCAAAACUUUUUUUUAUUUUUUCAAAUGAAUAUAUAUACAUAUAUAUAUAUAUUUUUUAUUUUUUCAAAUGAAUAUAUAUACAUAUAUAUAUAUAUAUAUAUAUAUAUAUAUAUAUAUAUAUAUAUAUAUAUAUAUAUAUAAUUGAUUCUUUAAAAUAUUUUAGACAUUUUAAAAUUUUAUCCAAUUCCUUUUUAUAAAAAACCAUUUUUUAACAUUGAGGUCAUUUCCAAAACUACCCUCAAAUGUUAUUUCAUAUGUAAAACCAAUUCAAUCUUAUUUUAUGUAUUAAUUUUAUUUUAUGAGUUCAAAUAAUAAUAGCAUAAUAAUAUAUAUUAAGCUACAAUACUAAAAUAUUUUAAUUAACAUUAAUAUUUUAACAUUUUGGAUUGGAAAUGCUCUAAUGAAAGAUAUUUUGCUGCCCAUUGCAUUAAAACAAGCAUUUGACAAAACAUUUUAUCUUACAUAUUGGCACAACAAAAUUUCAUUAUAAAUCUACAAAAUAAUCCAUCACAAUGAAUAUGCAAACAUUUUCACCAUGAUUUCCAACCAUGUUUCCCUAUGAUCACUACUAUUUACGAGGAAAGAUUUAAAACUUGUUUGUCAAAAUUGAUUUAUUAAUUAUAGUUUUAAUUAAUAAUUAAUCAAUUAUUAAUUUAUUUUUUUUGUUAUAAAAAUUAUACUUCAAGGAUUUUAUUACAUGUUCAUGGUUUUACACUAUUCUAAAUAAAUCAAAAUUUAGGUAAAAUAAAUUCAUUUUUCUUAAGAUUUAAAUUAAAUACAAAUGCAGCUUAAAAUUCCACCCAUUACCUCCCUUAAAAUACUAUAACUAUUCAAGUUAUACACUACAAUCAAACAUAUUACAAAAAAAAAAAAAAAUCAUUAGUCAGAUUAAUUCAAGAGGUAGUGUAAAGCAUAGUAUGUUAAUUUUGACCAAGUGUUGCAUCCAAUUCUUAUACAAAAGUCUAUAUAUUACAAGAAAUUAAAGUGAGAAAAGGAUUAAAAGUUUAAAAACAUGGGAAUGAUAAACCCCAAGUAAAUAUCUAUUUGAAACCUUGUCAAAAUUUGCCUCAAGUUGACUUUUGAAUUAACUUUACUAUUAUAAUCACUACUACAAAAAUAAUAUAUGAUGUUACUAUUUAUGGUGUCGCAUUUAAAAUAAUGACACCAUUGAACUUAAAAUUUAUAAAGGUGACACAUCAUAUAAAAAAUCUUCAAUUAGGAUAGUUAGAUGAUGCUAAUUUCAGAUUUACGGUGUCAUUUUUUGGAAGUGACACCAUAUGAAAUAAAAAGUUUUAAAUUUUAUAACUCAAUGGGCCCUUUUUAAAAAUAGUGAGUAGGAACAAUUUAUGAAAAGUCCAUUGUUUCCAUAUAUACAUUAACUAAUAUAAAAGAUCUUGUUGCUUAACCCUAACCAUCGUUUUCUUCUCUUUCUUCUCACACCCAUGGUCGGCACACCCAUAAUUGAUAUUCUUUGCUUCGUAAAAUCUCGUGUAAGUCAAAUCUCUUAUCUAUCAUCUUCAUUUUUUUUUAUUAAUGCAAAAACUUUGUAGUAUAANNNNNNNNNNNNNNNNNNNNNNNNNNNNNNNNNNNNNNNNNNNNNNNNNNNNNNNNNNNNNNNNNNNNNNNNNNNNNNNNNNNNNNNNNNNNNNNNNNNNNNNNNNNNNNNNNNNNNNNNNNNNNNNNNNNNNNNNNNNNNNNNNNNNNNNNNNNNNNNNNNNNNNNNNNNNNNNNNNNNNNNNNNNNNNNNNNNNNNNNNNNNNNNNNNNNNNNNNNNNNNNNNNNNNNNNNNNNNNNNNNNNNNNNNNNNNNNNNNNNNNNNNNNNNNNNNNNNNNNNNNNNNNNNNNNNNNNNNNNNNNNNNNNNNNNNNNNNNNNNNNNNNNNNNNNNNNNNNNNNNNNNNNNNNNNNNNNNNNNNNNNNNNNNNNNNNNNNNNNNNNNNNNNNNNNNNNNNNNNNNNNNNNNNNNNNNNNNNNNNNNNNNNNNNNNNNNNNNNNNNNNNNNNNNNNNNNNNNNNNNNNNNNNNNNNNNNNNNNNNNNNNNNNNNNNNNNNNNNNNNNNNNNNNNNNNNNNNNNNNNNNNNNNNNNNNNNNNNNNNNNNNNNNNNNNNNNNNNNNNNNNNNNNNNNNNNNNNNNNNNNNNNNNNNNNNNNNNNNNNNNNNNNNNNNNNNNNNNNNNNNNNNNNNNNNNNNNNNNNNNNNNNNNNNNNNNNNNNNNNNNNNNNNNNNNNNNNNNNNNNNNNNNNNNNNNNNNNNNNNNNNNNNNNNNNNNNNNNNNNNNNNNNNNNNNNNNNNNNNNNNNNNNNNNNNNNNNNNNNNNNNNNNNNNNNNNNNNNNNNNNNNNNNNNNNNNNNNNNNNNNNNNNNNNNNNNNNNNNNNNNNNNNNNNNNNNNNNNNNNNNNNNNNNNNNNNNNNNNNNNNNNNNNNNNNNNNNNNNNNNNNNNNNNNNNNNNNNNNNNNNNNNNNNNNNNNNNNNNNNNNNNNNNNNNNNNNNNNNNNNNNNNNNNNNNNNNNNNNNNNNNNNNNNNNNNNNNNNNNNNNNNNNNNNNNNNNNNNNNNNNNNNNNNNNNNNNNNNNNNNNNNNNNNNNNNNNNNNNNNNNNNNNNNNNNNNNNNNNNNNNNNNNNNNNNNNNNNNNNNNNNNNNNNNNNNNNNNNNNNNNNNNNNNNNNNNNNNNNNNNNNNNNNNNNNNNNNNNNNNNNNNNNNNNNNNNNNNNNNNNNNNNNNNNNNNNNNNNNNNNNNNNNNNNNNNNNNNNNNNNNNNNNNNNNNNNNNNNNNNNNNNNNNNNNNNNNNNNNNNNNNNNNNNNNNNNNNNNNNNNNNNNNNNNNNNNNNNNNNNNNNNNNNNNNNNNNNNNNNNNNNNNNNNNNNNNNNNNNNNNNNNNNNNNNNNNNNNNNNNNNNNNNNNNNNNNNNNNNNNNNNNNNNNNNNNNNNNNNNNNNNNNNNNNNNNNNNNNNNNNNNNNNNNNNNNNNNNNNNNNNNNNNNNNNNNNNNNNNNNNNNNNNNNNNNNNNNNNNNNNNNNNNNNNNNNNNNNNNNNNNNNNNNNNNNNNNNNNNNNNNNNNNNNNNNNNNNNNNNNNNNNNNNNNNNNNNNNNNNNNNNNNNNNNNNNNNNNNNNNNNNNNNNNNNNNNNNNNNNNNNNNNNNNNNNNNNNNNNNNNNNNNNNNNNNNNNNNNNNNNNNNNNNNNNNNNNNNNNNNNNNNNNNNNNNNNNNNNNNNNNNNNNNNNNNNNNNNNNNNNNNNNNNNNNNNNNNNNNNNNNNNNNNNNNNNNNNNNNNNNNNNNNNNNNNNNNNNNNNNNNNNNNNNNNNNNNNNNNNNNNNNNNNNNNNNNNNNNNNNNNNNNNNNNNNNNNNNNNNNNNNNNNNNNNNNNNNNNNNNNNNNNNNNNNNNNNNNNNNNNNNNNNNNNNNNNNNNNNNNNNNNNNNNNNNNNNNNNNNNNNNNNNNNNNNNNNNNNNNNNNNNNNNNNNNNNNNNNNNNNNNNNNNNNNNNNNNNNNNNNNNNNNNNNNNNNNNNNNNNNNNNNNNNNNNNNNNNNNNNNNNNNNNNNNNNNNNNNNNNNNNNNNNNNNNNNNNNNNNNNNNNNNNNNNNNNNNNNNNNNNNNNNNNNNNNNNNNNNNNNNNNNNNNNNNNNNNNNNNNNNNNNNNNNNNNNNNNNNNNNNNNNNNNNNNNNNNNNNNNNNNNNNNNNNNNNNNNNNNNNNNNNNNNNNNNNNNNNNNNNNNNNNNNNNNNNNNNNNNNNNNNNNNNNNNNNNNNNNNNNNNNNNNNNNNNNNNNNNNNNNNNNNNNNNNNNNNNNNNNNNNNNNNNNNNNNNNNNNNNNNNNNNNNNNNNNNNNNNNNNNNNNNNNNNNNNNNNNNNNNNNNNNNNNNNNNNNNNNNNNNNNNNNNNNNNNNNNNNNNNNNNNNNNNNNNNNNNNNNNNNNNNNNNNNNNNNNNNNNNNNNNNNNNNNNNNNNNNNNNNNNNNNNNNNNNNNNNNNNNNNNNNNNNNNNNNNNNNNNNNNNNNNNNNNNNNNNNNNNNNNNNNNNNNNNNNNNNNNNNNNNNNNNNNNNNNNNNNNNNNNNNNNNNNNNNNNNNNNNNNNNNNNNNNNNNNNNNNNNNNNNNNNNNNNNNNNNNNNNNNNNNNNNNNNNNNNNNNNNNNNNNNNNNNNNNNNNNNNNNNNNNNNNNNNNNNNNNNNNNNNNNNNNNNNNNNNNNNNNNNNNNNNNNNNNNNNNNNNNNNNNNNNNNNNNNNNNNNNNNNNNNNNNNNNNNNNNNNNNNNNNNNNNNNNNNNNNNNNNNNNNNNNNNNNNNNNNNNNNNNNNNNNNNNNNNNNNNNNNNNNNNNNNNNNNNNNNNNNNNNNNNNNNNNNNNNNNNNNNNNNNNNNNNNNNNNNNNNNNNNNNNNNNNNNNNNNNNNNNNNNNNNNNNNNNNNNNNNNNNNNNNNNNNNNNNNNNNNNNNNNNNNNNNNNNNNNNNNNNNNNNNNNNNNNNNNNNNNNNNNNNNNNNNNNNNNNNNNNNNNNNNNNNNNNNNNNNNNNNNNNNNNNNNNNNNNNNNNNNNNNNNNNNNNNNNNNNNNNNNNNNNNNNNNNNNNNNNNNNNNNNNNNNNNNNNNNNNNNNNNNNNNNNNNNNNNNNNNNNNNNNNNNNNNNNNNNNNNNNNNNNNNNNNNNNNNNNNNNNNNNNNNNNNNNNNNNNNNNNNNNNNNNNNNNNNNNNNNNNNNNNNNNNNNNNNNNNNNNNNNNNNNNNNNNNNNNNNNNNNNNNNNNNNNNNNNNNNNNNNNNNNNNNNNNNNNNNNNNNNNNNNNNNNNNNNNNNNNNNNNNNNNNNNNNNNNNNNNNNNNNNNNNNNNNNNNNNNNNNNNNNNNNNNNNNNNNNNNNNNNNNNNNNNNNNNNNNNNNNNNNNNNNNNNNNNNNNNNNNNNNNNNNNNNNNNNNNNNNNNNNNNNNNNNNNNNNNNNNNNNNNNNNNNNNNNNNNNNNNNNNNNNNNNNNNNNNNNNNNNNNNNNNNNNNNNNNNNNNNNNNNNNNNNNNNNNNNNNNNNNNNNNNNNNNNNNNNNNNNNNNNNNNNNNNNNNNNNNNNNNNNNNNNNNNNNNNNNNNNNNNNNNNNNNNNNNNNNNNNNNNNNNNNNNNNNNNNNNNNNNNNNNNNNNNNNNNNNNNNNNNNNNNNNNNNNNNNNNNNNNNNNNNNNNNNNNNNNNNNNNNNNNNNNNNNNNNNNNNNNNNNNNNNNNNNNNNNNNNNNNNNNNNNNNNNNNNNNNNNNNNNNNNNNNNNNNNNNNNNNNNNNNNNNNNNNNNNNNNNNNNNNNNNNNNNNNNNNNNNNNNNNNNNNNNNNNNNNNNNNNNNNNNNNNNNNNNNNNNNNNNNNNNNNNNNNNNNNNNNNNNNNNNNNNNNNNNNNNNNNNNNNNNNNNNNNNNNNNNNNNNNNNNNNNNNNNNNNNNNNNNNNNNNNNNNNNNNNNNNNNNNNNNNNNNNNNNNNNNNNNNNNNNNNNNNNNNNNNNNNNNNNNNNNNNNNNNNNNNNNNNNNNNNNNNNNNNNNNNNNNNNNNNNNNNNNNNNNNNNNNNNNNNNUUGAUAUACAAAUAUUAUUGGAUGAUGUAAUAUGUUACAAAUUAAUUCAUAAGCAUUAUGAAAAUAUAAGUUAAAUGUAAUAUGAUUAUUAUAUUUAUGGACAAUUUACACAGGUUAGUCUUAUUUAUUAAUAAGCAUUACAAAAAUCUACAAACUAAUCAACAAAAAACAACCAUAUCUUCCAUAAUCAUUUACAAUGAUGUGACACCAUAAAUUAAAGGUGAUACAUUUAACGUGACACCAUAACUCAAAGAUGAUGCAUUUAAUAUGACACCUUAUAUAUUUCAUACAACUCUAUAUCAAAUUAAGCAUCACUAAAAAUAUAUGGUGUCUCUUCUAAAUGUGUCACCAUUUAUUUGCUUUGGUGUUGCUUCCAAAUACAUCACCAAUUGAUACCCUCUAUGGUGUCAGUGGAUAAGGUGACGCUAUGUUGUAGUGACACCCUAUGUUUAUAGUGACUUAUUAUAAAUGUCACCAUAUAUCUUUUUCCUUGUAGUGAAUGGAAGUAUAAAUUUUAAAAGGAUUCUCUGUGAUUAUAGGAUUUAAUUCUAAUACUCUUAUACGUAGCCAAGGGUCAUUGGACUCAUGGCAGCACACAAACAUAUCCCCUUGUAUCUAUGGAAAUUGACAUGCAAAAUACAAAUAUUUCCUCUUACAUCCCUAUUGUGUUAUAGCAUGAGUAUGAAUGUGUAUUGUCAUCUUAAGCAAACUAAUGUUGUUGCCAAUUUUUCUUGGACGCUUUUUUUAAAAAUAAAAAUAAAAUAAUGUAAGGCUAUAUAGCAGAUUCAAUUGAUAUUUUUUUCAUCUUGUCCUACAUAUGAAAAUUACAAGUAGUUCAAGAAUCCUUGUUGAAUGAAAUUGACUGAAAACAAAUCUUAUUUAUGUAAAUUCUCAAAUACUUACAACAAGAAGCCCAAACCCCCACCCCAUCUUCAUGAACUUCAUAACAAAAUACUAUAAUCCUCCCUAUGAAAUAGAACUAAUUAAUUUAAUAUCAAUAAAUCCAAAUUGCUUUCAACAUCAGGCACAAGGAGGGAUUUGAAAGUUUGUGGUUUUAUACAAUAGAACCAUCUAGAGGGAGGUUGAAUAGAUAAUCUUUUAUUAUUAGCUCAAAAACUUCAAUUUUUAUUUUAUUGUAUUGAGUUAUAUAAUUGUUAAUGUUUAAACAUCUUAUAUCGUAAAACUACUUGGAGGUGAUUUAGUGUCUUUAUGUAUUGGCAAUUCUAGGUUGAAAUUUUCAUUGUAUUCGCCUAACUCAGUUACUUCAAAUCCUUCUUCAAACUCUUGUCAUUCCUAAAUUGCUCAUAAUUGAAGAUUGUUAAAGGAGAUAGUUGGUGUUCUUGAGGCAAUUGAUGAUAUUAAACAUUGAUCAACCGAGUUUUAAACUUUUAUUCUUUUGCUGAAAAUUGGAGUUGAAGUUUAAGGAUAUCAAAUUUUGUAUUUAAAUUAUUUGGAUCAAUUACUAAUUGAUCAUGCUAAAAGGUAACAAUUUAUGUUGUAACAUGAAUUUUACAAUCUCAUCUUAUCUAUUAGAAUUUGAUCAAAUCUAUAAAAUCUUUAUUUUUUCCAAACAAAUCUGAGUUAUUAGAUGGAGAUUAAAACCUUAGUAUUUAAGCCCCUUUUUUUUAGAAAAGGCUUUAACAAUUGUAAGAGCUAGGUGGCUUUCUUGAGCUUCAAAUUCUUUAUCUAUUUUGGGAUGUUUGGUUUGAUUUUUUUUUUUAUUUUUUUUUUAUGGGUUUUAAGUUAAAAAUCUUUCAAAAUGAGUUGAUUCAAUAUAGGUUUCAUUCACACUCUUGCAUUUGUCAUCUUUAGGAUAAAAUCUAAAUUUCUUCUUAUGUAGGUUCAAGAAAAGGUCGAAAGUUUGGUGUGAACUUUAAGUAUGCUUUAAAAGAAGAAAGUGGGUAACUUAAGUUUGAAGGUACUAGGCAAACAAUUCCAAAGAGGAUUGAAGGUUUGAGUUAAGUAAAUCCUUGUAUUCAGUUUUUUUUUUCAUAGUGUUUGUUUUUUUUUAUCAUCUAUAGGCCUGUGAUAGUUUACCUAUUCAAAGGUUUUGUAUAUUAAAUCUUGUUGUUAUUAUCUCUUUAUUUCUAUCUUAUAUUUUCAUUAGUCUAUGUUGUGUCUAUGAAAGUUCCAUUGAUUUGUUAUAUAUGUUGGUUGAUUGAGAAAAUGAACUAAAAAAUGAUCAUUUAACCUUUGGCAUAGUAUGAAAUAAUUUAUGAUUUAGUAUUAAUGAGAAUUAAAACUUUGUAAAUUAUCAAAACUAUGUAGAUUUGAGCUCAGAUGUUGAAGCAUCUCUUAAAGGCAGUUGAGGUGCUCUCAACACUUGACUAUCACUUGAGCAUCUUUUUAAGACUCUAGGGUAUGCUUGAAGCUCAACUUCAAAAUUUUAUUUUUUGAUUAAAAUAAACACCUACUUUUUCAAUUUUCAUAUUGUCUACUUCAUGUAUUCUUAAAUCAUCAUUAUCCUUUUUGUAACUCCCAAUAUUUAUUAGCAUCUUUCUGAGUUGAUUCUACAACAAUCUUGCAUCUUCAAAAGAAGUGGAAGUCAAUGGAACCAAAUUGUCAACCUAAUCUAAAUAGAUUAAUGUACCAUCACUUUAAUUAGGAUAUAAUUAAUCAAUUAAAAAAAUAGCAUUUAAUCAUAUAAAGAAAUAUAUGAUUUAUGUGAAAAAACCACCAAUAAAGCAUCCUAGAGACCUUACAUAUAUAAAAGUCAUAGGGUUCAUAGAUUGUCAAGUUAAAUUCACUAAAUAUGAAGAAUAAGUACAUAGAUUUAGCUAGUAAUUAUUACUCUCCCUCAAACUUAUAUUGGUAGUCACCAAUUCUCAAUUCCAUAACAUAGUUACUUCCAUGCUGCUUAGUGGAUUGCUCAUGACCUUAAGGGAAUGUGAUAGACAAUGUGAACUAAAAACAAGGCAAGCUCAUUAAGAUGUUCCUUUUUAAUGCAUAAGGUGUGCAAUAAAAUGAGAUCGAGAAUCCUAUGCUUUGAGAGAAGGAUACUACAGUAAAAAAUGGUACCCAAAUACUAUUGAAUGACAACAUAGCUCUUGUUGCUCCUUUAUUUUUAUUUAUUUUAUUUUUUUAUUUUUGUAAUUAUCUCUUUUUUUGUUUUGAUAUCAACAUUAGAAAUAUAGAAGUCCAGAAAUUUUUUUUAGUGCUUGCAUAUUGAAGGUUCAUGCUAUAAGAGUUGGAAAAACUUGAAUAGAAACUCCCUUGAAUGAUGUAUCAAAGCUCAAUGUAUCAAUGUUAACAUAAACAUUUGAGUAGAGUAGGAUAACAUUUCUAUGUCAUAUGAAGAAAUAUACUAAAAGGGAACCAUGAAUACGAUUGGAGAAAUAUAUAUUAUAAUUUAGAGGAUUAUUAUGGUCUAUUGGUCAUAUUCAAAUGGAAGUAAUAUGGUAAUCAAUAUUUCCAUGUCAUUUGAAGAAACAUAAUAAGAGGGAACCAUGCAUGGAUAUGAUUUGAGAAAUAUAUAUUAUAAUUUAGAGGAUUACUACCUUAUAUUGGUUAUAUUCAAAUGAAAGUAAUAUGGUAAUCAAUAUGUAAUCGGUAAGAAAAUAGGUUAUGAACAAGUCAUAUUAUAACUACCUCAAAAAUCAAUAAUACAAGGAUGAAAGAGGUAUACUGAGGAAGGGUCACACCUAAAGGAUCACUUUAUUAGCACAAGUAGGAAAAUGUUAACAUAGGGUUAUGCAUUUAAGUGUAACAUGAUUGAAUUUUAUUACAAUGUCUAAAAUUUAAAUAAUUGCAUACCUCUUUUCUGAUUUUGCUCAUGCCAUUAAGAUUUUUUAUCCACAAGAAACAACCUAUAUUACAAAAAAUGGAAAAAUUAUUUUAGAAUAGUAAGAAAUUUAGGGUUCUUAUAAAUAAAAAAGAAUAUAAUUUUUUAAUACUUAAAAAAAAAAUUCCAAAGGUAAGAAUCUAAAAGCCUAUUUGAUUGUGUGAUUUAAAAACAAUUUUCUGUUUUUAAAAAUAGAAAAUUGUUUUUAAAAAUUUCUAAUUAACAUUGUUGGGUUGUCAUUCUCUAAAAACAAUUUUUAAAAACAAAGUGAAAUAGAUAAUAAUUUUUAGAGAAUAAAUAUGAAUUGUUUUCACUAGUUUUUACAAAUAAAAGAAAAAUGUGGAUUCAUUUGGGUUAUGUUUUUUUAAACUUGUUUUUUAUUCUUCAACUUAAAAAUAAUUUUUAAAAACAAAUUUAAGAAAAUAUGGCCAAAAAAACCCUAAAUGUUUACAGUAAUUUUCUAAUUUUUCAUCUCAUAAGCAAUCAAACUCUAACAUCUCACUAUUAACGUAUUAGAAAUGCAUUAUCAACUUUUUAAGUGAUACAACAUUUUGCAUAUUAAAGGGAAUGUAUAAUUAUAAAAUUAUUUUCAUAGGACAAAUACCUUUUUAAACAUAUGAGCAACCUAAUUCUGAAAAAGAGAAAAAAAGAAUGAUAAAGAGCACAAUAUUUUUUUUUUGUAUAGUGCUUAAAAAUUAGUUAAAACAACAAAUAAAAAAUAUUAAUUUACUGAAAGAUCUAAGUUUUUGAAACAUAUUAAGAAUCCAUUGUGUAAGUUGAACAAUUAAACAAGAAUUCAAAAUUAUCCUAUUGUAUUUUAAACUGGAAGUAGCUAGAUACUCACGAGGUUUAUCAAAAUCUUGUCUCUAUUCUCCAUAGAUCAUAAAUAAGUUAAAGAAAAAAUAAAACCAAGAAGAAAAAAAUACUAUAAGAUAUAUUUAUUCCAAGCUCGUCGAAAUACUGAGAGCACCCAUUUACAAAAUUGUAUUCCCGUCAUGUAACAAUUGAAUCCAACUCAUGUGACUCAUUGUUUUUUUUUUCUCAAAAACAAGUUUUUUUAAUUGCAAAAGAAAAAAGACUUAUCUGUUGAUGGUCUUGAAGUAAUUCAAAGGAUAGCCCUCAGAGGUAGGUACCAAAAACCACAAUAUCAAAAGAUGGUAAAACUAAUAAUAUAUGAAGAGUCGGUACAUUAAGUGAGAUUUUUUUAUAAGAGUACUGUAGUUUUAGAAAAUAAUUCUCAAACUACCGUAGUAGGAAAAAUAAUUCCAAAUCCACCGUAAUUUUUGUCAGGUAUGAAAGAUGAAUUUUUUUUUUAAAUCGUCUCUUCAAAAUACUAUUUAUAACAUUUUAAAAAAAAAUUUUAAAUCAUCUUUCUAAAAUAUGAGAAAUUGUCUCUUGAAAAUACAACUUUGGAAAAAAAAAAGAAGAUGAUUUUCAGAAGAAAGAAAAACUAAGAAGUAAUAAAUCAUCUCUUGAAAAGACGAUUUUUCACCAACAAUUUUCACAAAAAAAAAUUCAUAAAAAAAAGAAAAAGAGAAAACUUCAAAAAUCCAUUUUUCCAUUCCCUACUAUACUUAUACAAUAAUACAAUUAUUAUAAAUAUAUAUUAUAAAAUUAAUUAAUUUUAUUUACUAAAUUUAAUAUUUUUUCUAUUAUUUUUUUCUAAAAAAAAAAUUAUUAUUAAUUUAUUAAAAAAAUAAAAAAUUGAGAAAUUGUCUCUUGAAGAGACGAUUUUCACCAAAAAAUAAAAAAAAAGAAUAAAAAUAAAAAUUCAAAAAUCAAUUUUUCCAUUCUCUGUCAUACUUAUACAAUAAUAAAAUUAUUAUAAAUAUAUAUUAUAAAAUUAAUUAAUUUAUUUACUAAAUUUAAUAUAAGAUAAAUAAUAUUUAUCUAUUAUUCUUUUUUCUUUCAUUUUGGAAAAAAAAUAUUAUCAAUUUAUGUGAAAAAUGAGUUUAAAAAAUAAAUUUAUUAUUAAUUUAUUAAAUAAUUAUUUACAAAAUAAUUAAUUUUGUUUUUUUAUUUUAAAAUUAAUUUUAUUAUAUAAAUUUUAAAUUUUAAAAUAUUAAUCUUUAAGUUAAAAUUUUACUAUAAAAAAUGAAUAAUUUCACAUAUUUUUAGGCGAAUUUUACUUAUCAUAAGGCCUCCACUACACACAUCAUUUCCCCUAAUCCAAUAAUGCACUACACCCAUAGACCAUAGGAGAAUCUUACCUAGUACACUCUAUCACUUCAUACACUAUUACACUACAAUUCCAUUACAACACUCAACCAAUUUGACAAGAGUUUGAAGUAUUGUCAUUUCUUUUUAAAUGUUUAAAUACUCCACCAAUUUGAUCGUUUCAAGUAUUGUCAUUUCUUUUAAAACAUUCAAACGUGUGUAUAUAUAUAUAUAUACACACACCCCAUAUCCUACACACUAUACCCAUUCUACCUCUUCCCAACUUCACUUACAAUAUAAAUCAAUUUCAAACUUCUUCAUCCUCAUUUUCUCUUUCUUCCCCAUUUGAAACCAAGUUUUUCACUUUCCAUCGCUUUUAUCCAAAUCUCCCAUUUCUCUUUGUGGAACUUCUGGGUAUAUCUCCUAUUUUUUCUUCAAACACUCACACUGUUUAUCUUGAAAGGUAAUAUUUUUGCUUUAUUUUUAUUUCAAAUUAUUUUGUAAUAUAUGGUUUUUAUUAUUAUAUAAGUUUUAAAAUUUAUUUGGAUUAUGCAAUAUUUGUUUGAAUAAUAUUUAUUGGAAAUUAUUAUUUUAAAUAGAUUAAAUCAUUAAAAAAUAAAUAAAAGUUAUAUUAUUUUAUUUUUAGAUAAUAUUUUUGCCCUUGUUUCAUAUUUAUUUUGUAAUGCAUGAUGGAUAUUUAUUGUUAUACAUAUAUUAAUUUAUUGGAUUUAUGUUAAUUUUUUUAGAAUAUUAUUUGUUGUAAAUUAUCAUUAUAUAAUUCAAAAAAUAAAAGUGGUAUUAGUUUAUUUAAUUAAUAUGGAAUAAUAGGAUUAUUGAUUAUGUUUAUCAAUCAAAUAAUAUGUUUUAUAAAAUAAUAAAAUUAAAAAUUAAAAAGAAAAUAAAAUAUUAGUAAAAUGAGAAUGGAAAAUAAUAAUAAUAAAAUAAUUAUAUAUCUAUGUAUUUGCAUAAAAUAUUAUUUUAAAAAUAUUAAAGUCUAAAAAAUAGAAAUACAACAUUAUCUGACAUUAUGAAUUUAUUCUAUAUAUUUUUUUAAAAUUAAUGUUAGCCUUAAAUCAUUGAAAAAAUUGUUGUAAAAAUAAAAAUAUAAAUAAAAGUAGAAGUAAAACUAAAAUGUUAUUUGAUAUAUUUAAAUGAAUAUUUAAAUGUAUAGAAUAUAAAAUAAAAAAGUAAUGGUGUAUAAUAUAAAAUAGUAACCGUGCGUAUUAAAUGUAUAUAAUAUGUAAAUUUAUAUUUAAAAUGUUAAAUAAUAGCCAUAUUGUGGAUCCCGCAUUUCGGCUCAUGCGAUUUCCACUCGAUGACAAGUUCGAUUUUUAUUCGAAAAUGAUUUUAUUUAUUAAAAAAAAAUAUGACUUGAAGUCGCUACUUAUUUUUGUUUUAUUUUUAAAAGGGUAAACAAAAUAAGAAAGAAAACCCUAAGCGUGACUCCUUAUUUUGGAAAAUGUGGUCUGUGAAAAACCGGAUCAGGCUCGGGGGUCAGGUUACUUAUUGGGAAGGUACGGUAAAGACCGUAGCACCCCUCUAAGUCCCUAAAGUCGGGUCUCUACUAAUAAAAUGAAGCUGACGUGGCAAUCAAUAGGAAAAUCAAUGGAUACUCAAAUUAAUCAUGCACAUAUGGGAAUCAAAAGCAUGCAUAGAGAAUGAACAGAACGGGAGUGGAUGCGUACUUGGAACAUGAACGAGCGAUACGUUAUCAUAAAAAUAGAGUCGGUGUACAAUAAAGAAUACAAAACAUGUCACAUGCAUUACCAAACAAUGAUUAAGCUGUUCGAGGGAGGAUUGAAAUUUAUUCGAGGAUUGGAGUCUUAGAGAUUAUUUAAAAAUCGAAUUUUUAGGAAUUAAAUAUAAGAAUGAGAAUUUUAGAAAUUAAAUUAGAAAUAAAUUGGGACUUCGAGAUUUAUUCGAGAAUUGGAGAUUUGCAAAAUAAAUUUAAGGACUGGAAUUUCUAAAAUUAAAUUUGAAAGAAAUUGGAACUUUGGAAAUUAUUUGGGAGUUUGGGAUUUUUAAGAAUUAUUUGAGAAUGAAUGAAAAUUCGAUUUGAAAGAAAUUAGAGUUUCAAAAUUUACUUGAAAGUGAAAUUUUAGAAAUUAAAUUCGGAAUUAUGGAAUUUUUGGAAAAUUAAGUCUUAAAAAUUUGAAUCUUGGAAAGUUAAAUUUAAAAUUAGAAUUUGAAAAUUAUUCCGAGAAUUGAAUUUUGAAGAAUUAAAUCUAAAAAUUGGAGCUUUGGAAAAUUAAAUUAAGAAUUUGAGUUUUGAAAAUCAACUUUAGAAAUUGAGGAUUCGAAAAAACAUUCAAAAGUGGAGACCUUGAAAAUUAGAUUUAAGAAAAGAAUUUUGAGAAAUUAAACUUUGGGAAUAAAGAUUUUGAAAGUUAAAUUCGAAAAUUAAAAAAAAAAAAUGGAAAGUUAAACCUUGAUAUCAAAGAGGAAGAAUUUGAAUAAAUGAAUAAAUAAACAAAUAUAUAUAUAUAUAUAUAUAUAUAUAUAUAAAAGAAUAAAAUGGAGGUGGUCGUUGGGGGUGCGGGCCAAGGGUGGCCCCGUGAAGUGACAUGAUCACCUCAUGAUUACCAUCUCCCUAAACUUUAAGCUCCGCCAUACCAAAUAACCGCAAUCAGUCCAACGGUCUCUGAUGAUCGAGAGUUGUUUCAUCAAGAGAGGGUAUUUCUCCAUUGAUUUUAGGAACAUGAGGAAUAGAGACCAUCUGAUUUAAUAUUUUGCCUACUUCACCAUCGAGUGCAUUCUCAUCUGUCAGAUCUAGAGAAUAUGACCAACCCUCCCCAUUGUGUGACUUUUCGUCAGGACUAGAACAUGAACUAGAAAGUCCCAUACCAUCUAUAUCUUUCUGGCCGCUCUCAUGCCUAAAUCCAUAAUUUUCCAUAGAUUGAUCGGGCCAUUCUUUUGGAAGAAUAGAUACUUGCAAAUCCUCUACCACUUCAUGUGAAAAUCUAGCUGUUUCGUCAAUAGCAAGUUGUGAUAGUUCUUCUUAAAGAGCAUGUUCGAUAAUCUCACCAUUCUCCGCAUUGCCACAUUCAUUAUCAUAACGAUCUUCCUUUAAAUGUUAUCCAUCAUAAUAACUUACAUCAUUUUGCACAAUGGUGCCACCAUACCCGCACUUAGAAAACGGAUCAUCAUCAGAAGCCGGAGACCCCACCGAACAACAAUAGGAUCUUGCCCACAUGCGAUCAUUUGCAAUGAUAUCAAUGUCGGCUGCAUUGAUCUUGACAGCAGCUAAUUCUUUCUCCUUCAUUCUCAUGGCAUUCUCGUUAGCAUCGGUCGACAUAAUGACAAUAAGCAGUUUUUGAGGUUCUUCUUGAAUUUUAUCAAGGAGAUAUCGUCCAUCCAUGCAGCUGCCCCAUUAUUUUACUUUGACCGGGACCUGAAAAACUUGCCUCACUAUUCAUUCCCGCAUNNNNNNNNNNNNNNNNNNNNNNNNNNNNNNNNNNNNNNNNNNNNNNNNNNNNNNNNNNNNNNNNNNNNNNNNNNNNNNNNNNNNNNNNNNNNNNNNNNNNCAAGCAUGACAAUAUUAAGAUCCAACUCUAGGUAUUGAUUCAAAAGUAGUGGCUUAGGAGGCAUCGAUAUUAUUUUGAGUGUAUGGAACGUUCUCAAAAGUGAACUAUGCCCACAGAUCGGAGUAACAAAACCUGUAUUAGGCAAUGCUGUCAGCUUGCAGGGAGUCUUUCAUGACUGCUUAAACUCGAAUUCGGGCAUCUUAAAGUACCACAACAUGGCCAUAGUUGAAACUCCCAAACCCGAAGAGAGUUAGUUGAGGUUCCAGAUAAAGAAAAUUGGUGCGCUUGAGCUCAUCAGGUGCAGAAGGUAUGACCUUAACCGAUUCGGUGGGUUUGGGGUUGUAAGGUUUAGUGGUUGGAAUGUUUUGGUAAGAAGAAUAGGAUGAGAGACUAGUUGAGCUAAGGGAUCAAAGUUGAGUUGUAUCUGAUGGGUGAUCCAGAUGACGGUUUUCUUCUUGUUAAGUGCAACAGAUGAAAAGUUGGAUGGGGUAUGAGGAGUAUUUGGCUUUUGGUUUAUGCUCGGUAUAGAACAAAUGUCAUGGGAAUGCGUUGAAAGGAUGCUAGGGAAUCGUACGUACGUGUACACAGCAUCUGCGUGGGAGGCUAGAGAAAUAAUGGGUGGGAAAAGAAAACGGGUCAAACGUAAGGGGUGAUUUGAAGAUAGUGAGAGAAUGAAAUAAGUGUGUAUGCUUGUGGUGGUUAUCGAAAAUGUGAGGGGUGGGGAGUGUGAUAGCUUCAAUGGGUAUGAGAAUAGGGAUAAGCCGACAGGGAGCACGAUAGAGGGUGGAUUUUGCAAAAGGUCUUGUGGGCCAUGCAAAGGUGGAAGAGAUGGGGUACAUGGUAGGUAUUGAAAAAUGGUGUGUGGUGUAGAGAGAUGAAACGGGAGGUGAGCAGUGAGUGGGAUGUAGGGGUAAAAGGGUGGCCAUGCACACAUGUGGAGUAAACCCAUCAAUAUUGCACUUCCCAAUUCAUCCCGUGGCCGAUGAAUACAACAUCCCGGUGCUACUUCUCAUACCCAUUUUGCAUUUUCUGAAUGUCAACACCUGAAUAUAGCUUUGAAUGCUGAAAAGGUGGCGACAAACACCCGAUCAUGAUAGGAUGAUGGCUCUGAAUGUCAAGCUGGGAAGGAAUGGUGGCUUUGAAGGCCCAAACCGAGAAGAUAUGGUGGCUUUGAAUGUCAAACUGCGGAGAAUGAUGGCUCUGAACGCCCGAAUGUGAGAACGACGGCUCCUUGAACGCCUGAAACUGUGAAGAGGUAGUGGCUCUGAACGUUGAACUAAAAAGAGAUGAUGGCUCUGAAUGUCGAAACUGAAGAUGCAAUGAUGAUGGCUCUGAACGCCGAAACUGAAAAUGUGACUCUUAACAUCAAAUUGAAAAUGCGAUGAUGGCUCUGAACGCCGAAACUGAGAAGCGACGAUGAUGGCUCUGAACGCCAAAACCAAAAAUGCGAUGAUGAUGGCUUAGAGUGCCGAAACUAAAAAUGCGACUCUGAACGUCAAGUUGAAAAUGUGAUGAUGAUGACUCUGAACACCAAAACUAAGAGGCGAUAAUGAUGGAUCUGAAUGCCGAAACCAAAAAUGCGAUGAUGAUGGCUCUGAACGCCGAAACUGAAAAUGCGACUCUGAACGUCAAGCUGAAAAUGUGAUGAUGAUGGCUCUGAACGCCGAAACUGAGAAGCGAUAAUGAUGGCUCCGAACGCUGAAAGAAAAAAUGAGAUGAUGAUGGCUCUGAACGCUGAAACUGAGAAGCGGUGAUGAUGGCUCUGAAUGCCAAAACGGAAAAUGAUAUAAUGACCCUGAAUGCCGAACUAUGAACAUGGCUUUGAAUGCCAAACUGCGAAUAAAUGGUGGCUUUGAACGCCAAACUAAAAAUAAUAGCCAUGAAUGCUAAGCAAAAACAACGGCUGUGAACGCCAAUGAUAACUAUGAAUGUCAAGCUGAGAAANNNNNNNNNNNNNNNNNNNNNNNNNNNNNNNNNNNNNNNNNNNNNNNNNNNNNNNNNNNNNNNNNNNNNNNNNNNNNNNNNNNNNNNNNNNNNNNNNNNNCAAAAACAACUGGCUGUGAACGCCAAUGAUAACUAUGAAUGUCAAGCUGAGAAAGACAACUUUAAACGUCGUAAUUGAGAGGACAUGGUGGCUUUGAACACCAGGCUGAAAAUGGAUGACUUUGAACAUCAUAACCGAUAAUGGAUGGUGGCUCUAAAUGCCAAACUGUAAGGAAAUGAUUAGGGGGGGGGGGGGGGGGGNNNNNNNNNNNNNNNNNNNNNNNNNNNNNNNNNNNNNNNNNNNNNNNNNNNNNNNNNNNNNNNNNNNNNNNNNNNNNNNNNNNNNNNNNNNNNNNNNNNNAGUCUCAUGACCCGCUCGAUGAAAUCACGAGGUUUGUCGGAGUGUCGCAAUAAGCCGAACUCCUCUAACUCAUAAUGCUCUGCCGAAAGAAUCUAUCGUCACCCCGAACGGAUAAUCCGAUAGUCUUAGGGAGUAGUCUGGUAAGAGACAUACCACGAUCUUGACAUAACAAUCUACUGAAUAGUCUUGGCUAGUGAGGCUAUCAAAACCCGAAUAUCGUGCUCCACUGAAAGCUCAUCUCGACGAAAAGCACAGGAAUAGUGACCAGUGAAGCAAAUGCAAUAUCUCUUGACUGAGUAAUGAAAACUAUAAUAGAUCUGUGAGAGAAUGAUCAUCUCCAUAGCUAAAGGAGGGAAAUAUGCCCCAGUAUGGCAUCAGAUAUAUCCAAUCUGUCCUAAUAACUCAAGAAUAACUCUAUGGGGACAUACAAAGGAUCUAACAUGUACUCCACUGAAAUAGUGACGCAGGCAUCCACGCGCCUGAGAUAACUCCUUCUAAGAAUCACGACUAUAUCAGAAAACGUGAAUCUGGCUGAAAGACUCAAGAGAGGCUCCAUGGAGUAUCAGGACACAAUGAAAUCGAAUCAUCAACCCGAUGUGUAUCUCAAAAUCGAGGGUGAUCAUGCGAAUCAGUGGGGGAUGUACAAAUCUCGACUGAAAUGGGGAAUACACCCCAGUGUGGCAUCAUAAAUGUGACAAGUCGGAAAGUCAGAUGAGCUCAAAUCAUCCAUCAUCGAAUUCGUGAUCCAAGUCAUCCAUGUCUAUAACUGAAUCAGACCCACAGAUCAAAGGGGCGUCUCCCAGAAGGAAAGCAUGAUGACAUCUAAGUGUCGAGAAGUGCAGGCCUAACUGGGCAAUUCCCAAGAGGCUCCAUUGAGGAAUCAUCAUAAAGAUACCGAAUAGAUCAUCGUCUCGAUGUACGUCUUGCAAAUGGGGAUAAGCGCGUAACUCCACCAAGAUCUAUAAAUCUCAUCCUGAAUGGUAAUAUGCCCCAGUAUGGCAUCAAACAUAUGAUAGGUCGGAGACCGGGCAACAUGAAAUCAUCUAUCAUCGAACAUGCGACAUCUGUGAAGAUCCAUAAAUCUCAUCUAAAAUGGAAAAUAUGCCCUCGUAUGGCAUCAGGUGCAUAAUAGGUCAAAAGAACAAGUGACAUGAAACCAUCUCUCAUCAAACAUGUGACCUCUGUGAAGAUCCGUAAAUCUCAUCUGAAACGGAAAUAUGCCCCAGUAUGGCAUCGGAUGUGUGACAGGUCAGAAGAACAAGUGACAUGAAACCAUCUCUCAUCAAACAUGUAAUCCUGGUCAUCCGAAUCCAUAACUGAAUCAUGCCCACAGAUCUAAGAUGUACCUCCCGGAUGGAGAAGCAUGAUGGCAUCUAAGUGCCGAGAAGUGCGGGCCUAGCUAGAUGGCUCUCGGCAGGCUCCACUGAGGAAUCAUGAUAAGGUAACGAUCAUGUCCACGUCUUAGUGAGCAUCUAGUAAGUGAUGAUGAUCGUGCAAGUCCAUGAGGAUCCAUAAACCUCUAAAUGAAAUGGGAUAUGCCCUAGUGUGGCAUCAGAGGUACGAUAGGUCAAAAAUCGGGUGACACCAAAUCAUCCAUCGUCAAACACAUAAUCCCGGUAAUUCGAACACAACUGAAUCGGACCUACACAUCAAAGAGGCGACUCCUAGAAGAAGGAAGCACGACGAUAUCUAAAUAUCAACCAGAUCUCAAACACUCGUCCAAGUAGAGGCUGUCAAAGAUGACAUCUGAUCCCAUGACCUCAGGGUGGUCUUAAGACAUGGGACGUAACGUAGGCCAAGGUGAUAAGGUGAUAGAAAUGAAGGAAAACUAGACUCAAAUACCCAAUGAUCAAAAACCCACGCCCUCAUAUAUGAAAUGCAACAUGUAUAAUGAAUCUCGUGAGCCAUGGACCUAAGGAUGCCUAACAUGAAUAUGAUGUCGAUAAGGAGACAAAUAAAGCAAAAUGAACUGAUAGUGAUAUGUGUAAUGAUGAUGUGAAGAGAGUAUCAAACCCGAGAUGGGUUGCUGUAAGAAAAGAAUAAGACGUGAAGUGAAAAUGAUGAAUCCAAAGCGAAAACGAGGAUGAUGAUGAAACAAAUAACACAAAGAGGAGUAGUGAUCAACUCAAAUCAGACAUGGAGUGAAGUCACAUCAACAAUGAACGUAAUGAUGGAAGGGACAAUGACCCAGAGCUCCUAAGAGAAGGUCACUCAUCUCGCUCUCAAAAUAUACAAUAAAAAUGAAUACAAAGCAUAGAGGGUCUCAGAAAGCUCACAUACGAACUCCCAUCAACAAACAUACUCAAUCAAGUCACCCUCGAACAUCAACAUACACACUCAAUGAUAGAAAAUAAUACACAUGCGUUUUGUUUUUUUUUUUUUUACAUAUAUACAAAUGUACACACCUUGAACAUGAACAAAAUAAGCCUAAAUAUGAUAUCAAUAAUGGAUAGACGCUAUCUCGAAAGCUAAGGUAACAAAAACCCUCUUUGACAAGAUAACCUUUUCAAACUAAGAAUCUCUGAACCAGUGUCCGUUGGAUAGAUAGUGGUAAUGAUAUGACUACCCUCCAUGUAAUGAACUGAGGAAGAUCACCACUCGGGGUGGAAAGAAUAUGAAGCAAAACAAGUAGUAGAUAGAAUAAAGAAGAAUAGAUGAAGAACACAACCAAUGAGAUACAAUGGAAUGCAGUGAUGCAAUGAUGAGAAGAGAUAAUGAGAAGAAUGUGCCCCUCGGUCCAAGGCUCAUGAAACUUCCAAACAAUGAAUGCAUACACCAAAAGGGCCCCUAUCCCGGUGUGAAAAUGUGAGCAAGGCGAUAAGAAAGAAAUGCUAUAAUGCUCAUGCGAGGCUCAAUGGGCUAGCAACAGACUAUAUAUCAAAAGGGAAUAACAAGGUAUAUGGCUAACUGAAAUGACGGCCACCAUCCUACGACCAUGGUGUCAAACAUAGUACCUCUUUAGCUGAUCCAUAUUGGUCGGCUUUGAGAAUCGGUUUCCAUCUAAAUCCAUCAACCAUGCAACAUCCUCUGGGGUCAACUCCCUGAUGAAGUAAGGUUCGCUCCAGUUGGGUCUGAACUUCUUUCUAGGAUCUCUGAUCAAUCCCCUGAUGAUCUUCAGAACCAAGUCACCUAUCCGUAGUGGUCAGAGCUUGACCUGCUUUUUGAAAGUGCGGGCCAUCUUCCUCUGAUAUGCACGAAUGUGGUCGGCUGCUCUCAAUCUCCUCUCAUCUUGGAGAUUGAGCUGAUCAAAUCGAGACUGAGCCCAAUCUGCCUCGAGCAUCUGUUGCUCUAAUGCUACCCUCAAUGAACCCAACUCUAUCUCGACUGGUAGCACUACCUCCAUAUUGUAUACCAAAGAGUAGGGUGUGGCUCCUGUAGAGGUGUGAAAAGAAGUCCGGUAAGCCCACAAUGCGAAAGGAAGCUUCUCAAACCAAUCCCGAGAAGUCUUGAUCAUCCUCCGCAAGAUCCUCUUAAUAUUCUUAUUCACGGUCUCUACUGCCCCGUUCGUCUGCGGCCUGUACGCAGACGACCUAUGGUGUCGGAUGCCAUAUUACCGCACUAAAGUGUCAACCUCUGCCCUGAAAUGUACCCUUCUAUCCGAAAUCAGCUCAUGAGGGACUCCACAGCAACAGAUAAUGUGUGACCUGAUGAAACUAGCCACUCCAGAUGAUGUCAAUCUCGCAUACGAAGCGGCCUCCACCCACUUGGUGAAGUAAUCGAUGGCGACCAGGAUGAACUCAUGACCACUGGAAGAUUUCGGCGAAAUCUUUCCGAUGAUGUCAAUACCCCAUACAGAAAAUGGUCAUGGUGAAGUCAGUGCAUGCAACUCCGAGGACGGCACGUGAAUGAGAUCUCCAUGUAUCUGACACUCGGGACAUCUCUGAACAAACUGGAAACAAUCUAUCUCCAUGGUCAACCAGAAAUAGCCAAUCCUCAUGAUCUUACGGGCCAACAUAUGUCCUCCCAUAUGUGGUCUGCAGACUCUUGCAUGAACCUCUCUUAUCACUCUAUUGGCAGAGGCUCGGUCCAAGUACAAUAAUAGCAUCUCGUCAGCCGAUCGUCUAUACAAUGUCUUGCCACAAAUCACCAAUCCGGUGGCUAACUGUCUCAAUGAUCUCCUAUCCUUGGCCAUGGCAGUCUCAAGAUACACGCCAAGUCUCAGAAAGUGAUAUAUGUCAUGGUACCAGGGCAAACCAUCAUCUAUCUCCGUAUCAUCAAUUAGACAACAGUACGCAAGAGCAGAUCUCGACUCGAUCAACAAUGGGCGAACGGUGACAUCAGUAGGAAUGUCAAUCAUGGAAGCUAGAGUAGCUAAGGCAUCAGCAAACUGGUUCUGCGCUCUAGGCAGAUGGGUAUAUAUCAAAUCAUCGAAUCUCCCAACCAGUAGCUUUAAAUAUGCGUGGUAAGGCCUAAGCUUCACAUUUCUAGUCUUCCAUUUGCCUUGAAUCUGUCUCAAUACUAAAUUGGAGUCACCAAACACCUCUAUCUGUCUAAUCCCGAGCUCUAGGGCCGUUUCUAAUCCCAAGAUACAAGCCUUAUAUUCAACAAUGUUGUUCGUGGCAGGAUGUCGAUCCCAGAAUGCCAAACGAACAGAUCUGGGAAUGUGAUCACCAUGAGGGGAUAUCAACAAGACGCCUAUCCCGUAUCCAGAAUGGUUGGCUGCACCAUCAAAGUACAUGCGCCAACCUGAUAAACUGGUCACAACAGCCACAUCCUCGUCCGGGAAGUCAUCAUCAAUGGCUCUGCCGUCGGAAACUGGUAAAGAAACUAGGUGAUCCACGACAAUGCUCCCUUUGAUGGACUUCUGAGUGACAUAAUGGAUGUCAAACUCGAUUGGAAGUACCAACCAUCUUAUGAGGCGACCAACUAAGGCGGGUUUGUCAAACAAAUAUCUCAGAGGAUCUAAAUGGGAUAUCAAGUGCACUAAAUACUCUAUCAUAUAAUGUCUCAGUUGGCGUGUGGCCCAAACCAAUGCCAAACAGUAACACUCAAUCAUGACAUAUCUUGUCUCAUAGUCUAGCAUCCUCUUACUCAUAUAAUAAAUAGCUCGGUCCUUGCCUGAAUCAUCAAGCUGAGCUAACAUACACCCCAAUGCUACGUCUGAAACUGAUAGGUAUAGGAGUAAGGGACGACCUGGUGUAGGAGGCGCCAAGACUGGAGGUGACAACAAGUACUCUCUGAUCCUCUCAAAUGCACGCUGACACUGAUCAUCCCAAAUAGUAGGUUGACUCUUCCUCAAGAGUCGAAAAAUGGGCUCACAGAUGUCUGUCAAUCUGGCAAGGAAUCUGCUGAUGUACUGAAGUCUACCUAGGAAGCCUCUGACCUCUCUCUCUAUCCUCGGUGCAGGCAUGUCAAGAAUAGCUUUGAUCUUAUCCGGAUCUACCUUUAUGCCUCUUUCAUUGACCAUAUAUCCAAGGAGUUUCCCAGAAGUCACUCCGAAAGUGCACUUCUUGGGAUUGAGUCUCAAUCUGAAUUGUCUAAUCCUCUCAAAGAACCUCUCCAGAGCUGUCAGGUGAUCUGGUCUAUCUUGGGAUUUCACUAUCAUGUUGCCUACAUAAACCUCGACAUCCCGAUGCAUCAUGUCAUGGAAGAGGGUGGUCACCGCUCUUUGAUAAGUGGCUCCUGCGUUCUUCAAUCCGAAUGACAUGACUCUAUAGCAAUAAGUACCCCACUCGGUAAUGAAAGACAUUUUCUCCAUGUCCUCUAAAGUCAUUAAGAUCUGAUUGCAUCCGGAAAAUCCGUCCAUAAAGGACAACAUCGAAUGACCUGCCGUACUGUCAAUUAGCAUGUCGAUGUGUGGAAGAGGAAAAUCAUCCUUAGGAUUGACCUUGCUGAGGUCUCGAAAAUCAACACAGACUUUCACCUUGCCGUCCUUUUUGGGAAUAAGGACGACAUUGGCCAACCACUCCGGGUACUCGACCAUUGAAAAAAAUCCUACACUAAGUUGCUUCUGAAUCUCCUUAUUUACCUGCAAGCUCCAACGAGGAUGCAAUCGUGUCAACUUCUGCUUAACCGGUCUGAUAUGGGGCAGAAGUGGCAAACGAUGCUGGAUGAUAGAUGGAUCAAGGCUUGGCAUAUCCUCAUAGGACCAUGCGAAAAUGUCCAAGUAUGCUAUGAGCAACUGGAUGAGGCUAUCCCUUUCAUCAACAGAUAAAUCUGAUCCGAUCCUUAACUCCCUAGGCUGAUCUGCUGUGCCGAAAUAAAAAAUCUCUAUGUCCCCUACAACAUGUGAAACUCUCUGAUCAAUGGGAUCCGAAUCGGAAAUAGAAGAUGAGUCAUCGUCUGAAUCAUGCUGUGCAAUCUCAUCAUCAAUGUCAAAAAUCUAUGAUGUGGGUGAGGAUGGUGCGGGUAAAGCAAUAACAUGAGAGACAGACAAAUACUAAAAAAUGCUCAAAUCCAUAGAUGAAGAGUCAGAAACAUCGUCAUGACGGGAGACAAAUCCCGAUAAGACAUUAAAGGAAAGAGGUGGGUCCACAAAGUUGGACGCUCUCUUAACUAAGCCAACAAGGCCAUCAAACAAGCCAUCAACAACUAUAACAUCCUCAGCAAUCUCCAGAACGGGGGCGACCUGGAUCUCCUCGACAAUCUCGAGGAUGGACACCCCGAAGAGAUCGAAUGGUGAAGCGAGCUCAAAUGGGGCUAUCUCCUUGAUUUGGCUCAAGCUCAUCGCGAUCAUCUCAUCAACAUACUCGUCAUGUGGCACGACUUUGUCUAAUAUGUUGCUGCUCUCGAAAAAUGUCCAGUAAUCAUCGAUCUCAUCCGAGAAGCAAAGCGUCAUAAGGCUCGUGCGAUCUGGGGAGGAAGGAGUGAUCAACGCAGAAGUUGAAGGGCCAGGGGCUCCGUCACUCAAUCGUAACUGUCGGACGAGGCGCUGAAGCUCGGCCUCCUGGGUGGUGCUAAGUCCUCCGAUGAUCCCAUCAGAUAGUGCAUGUGGCUCCGACGCCCUCACAAAGUAAUCUGUUAGGCUCAUGGUAUAUGGGUGAACAGGAUAAUAAAAUGGAAUAUGGGUCAGUCGAGCCCUCACCCUCUCCUUCGGCAAUCGCUCCAUAUUACGAUAAUCAGCCUCAGUGGGGAUGAACCUGAGUCCGAAUGCUACGUCGUGAUCAAGGAAGGUCAUGAACUCACUAGGCCCGUACUGACGCUGCCCUAACCCCAUGCCGGGAAGAUAAGACAUACCCCUCAUCAUGUCAAGCACUAGAUACUGUGCUGGUCGAAAGAUAUGGCUACAAAGUCUCGACAGAAAUCCUCUAUCUCCAAAGUCUGCACCUCGUCGAAGGUGAAUCCGAUCAAAAAAAGAUAGUCAUCAGUGUGACUAAUCUGAAGUACAGGCUUGGCAGAAAUGAACACAUCUCCUAUAGACUGCACCACAACGGCCUGGCCAUCAUGAAUAAACUUCACCUUCUAAUGAAGGGAAUAAGGAAUGGCCCCAACUCUAUGGAUCCAUGGUCGGCUCAGAAGUAGGUUAAAGGAUGUAGGAAUCCUCAAAACCUGAAACACGACAACAAAAGUGGUCGGACCAAUCAAUAGCUCAAUCUCCAAUGUACCCAUGACCUUCCUCUGAGUACUAUCAUAUGCGCGAAUGGUCUGAGUGGAGGGACCGAAGUCAGAUGGUGCGUAGCCGAGGGCAAUGGCAGUGGAAAGAGGACAGACGUUCAGGACCAAGCCAUUGUCCAGAAAGAUAGAUGGGACUCGGCGGCCUGAACAAUCGACAGAUAUAUAAAGUGGACUUGUGUGGUCCGAGCCCUCCGUGGCAAGUCAUCAUCGAAGAAUACAAUGCAUGUGGCUCUGCUGGCCGUCAUCAUAUGAAUCAAUCUCUUAGGAGAAGUGGUAGUAUCGACUCUGAUCUGGUUCAAGGCUCGAAUCAGAGCAUCACGGUGAGUGCUCAAGGAUGCCAACAGGCUCUAGAUGGAAAUACGAGCUUGGGUGCUCUGUAGCUGUCUCAAAAUCUCGUCAUCCUUUACUCUGACCUCCUCGAGAGCAGAUAUACCCUCAACUAACCUAGCUGCUACGGGAGGUGGCUGUCGCAACACUCUACCUCAUUGGAGAAUAUAAUGAACAUCUAGAGUCUGAGAAUCAUCAACACGCGGAGCCUGAACCUCCUCAACAUCCGGGAUCAAGAUGAAUGAAGUCUGGACGCUGUAAUGUGGAAAAAUCAAUGGCUCAACAAUGGUAGUCUGUACCGAUGCCGCCCUGGGAACUAAUUCGAAUGAAACGGGCAUCCAAGGCCCCAAAGUCGCUUUGUCCAUCUCAUAAAUACCAUUUGACACAAUAGGCUCUGGGUUUGAAUCAUCCGAACUAAGCAUAUGAACGUGAUCAUCAAGCUCAACGAAGUCCAAGAAAUGUAUGCCAUCGGCCGGUGGAGGAACGACAUGUGUAGUGUGGGCAGGUAAUGGGUUUGUGGUCACAUUCAGCUGACCCUGACCCAAGUGCACCAAACCUUGGUUGAUCAAAUCCUGAACGACAUGCCUCAAAGCAGUUCAUCGAUCGGUCUCACGUCCAGGCCCUUGAUGGUAUGCACAGUGCAAAUCCAUCCUGAACUGAGGUGGAAUAGGCUGAGGAGGUGGCCUAGGGGUGAGAGCAGUCAAUAACCCGGCCUCUGUAAGCUUCCGAAGAGCCUGGCUCAAUGGCAUGCCUAAUUGUGAGAACUACCUCUGCGUCCUCAAAGCAAAUGGAGCAGAAGCCUGCUGAGCUCUGGGUCGGGGAUAAGAAGUUAUGGGUCUCGUAGUGAACUGAGCAGCAUAGCACGAUUGUCCUAUGGCCUUGUAUGAGACAGGUGACCUCUCGAUGCCUUGGGUGGCAUAGUAAGGCAAAGCCAAAGUCUGUGGCAUAUAGGACUAAUCAUGAGUCGGACGAGGCGCCCGUGGCCUAUACUGCUGAAGUGGAUAUGAAGGAUGAGUCUCUAGAAGCUGUGGGACCGACUGAUGGCGCCUGAGAGGUCUUUGACUAGAAGAACCGAUAGCGCUCACAUCAACUGACCUCUGUCCUCCAAAGGGUUUCUUCCCCUUAACAUCACUAGGGGAAGAAUCAGUUCACAAUUAUCUCAAGAUGCCGUCCUCGACAUCGUACAAAGCCAAAACCAACGAACCAAAAUCUAUGAAGAGUACCCCAAUCACGUGUCUGGCAAUCCUGGGCUGUAGGCUCCUCAAAACCAUCUGUAUCUGAUCUCUCUCUAGAGGCCUGUCAAUGGUCUCGGCAAUCUUCCUACGCCAACGGGAGAUGAAGGAUGAAACUGACUCAUCUAUCCUCUACCUCAGAGCCUCGAGCUCUCUCCUUGAUACAUCCAUCAUAGUGUUAAACGAAAACUAUCAUAAGAACUCCUAGGCCAAGUCGUCCCAUGUCCGGCAUCGUGAAGACUCUAGGAAUGCGAACCAGCGCUGGGCUGCCCCACUUAGAGAUAGCGGGAACAAAGUGAUCAUCUAUGACUCAUCCAAUCCGUGUGCUCUCAUCACUGUGCUAUAGAGUCUGAGGUGGAUGCGAGGACAACCAAUGCCCGUAUACCUCUCAAUGUCCAGCAUCCUGAACUGAGCCGACAAACUGGCCACCAGCAUACCCUCAAGAUCAUCCCAAAUAGCUGAUCCAUCUGACACUCUCAUCUACCUCAUAUGCUGCUCGAUACGGUCCAUAUGUGCAUGAGCGUCAUUAGUGACUGUGGUCUGAACGAUUGCAGGUGGGGCAACCUCAGAAUGCCCAUGCAAUACAUAAGGUGAGGCCUGAGGCACCAUUGGAACAGGUGGUGGCAGUGGCUGUGGCAACGAAUCAUGAAGAGUCUCAUCAUGAACUACGAGUGGUCUGCUCUACUGGCUGCCAAUCUCCUGCCUGAGGCUAGCCAAAGCCUCUUGGAUAGAAGCCAUGACGGUCGUAAACUGAUCCACUGUAACAACCUAUUGAUCCAUACUCAAUCUCUCGGAAUACCGGACUAAUCUCCCCUCUACUCUAACCCAAGAAGACGUAUCCAGACUACGAACAAAGAUUUGAUCCUAAAAGCGCGAAGAAAUGAAUAAGGAUAUGGGACGAAGAAAGCACAGAAGAAAUGAUAAUCUGAAUGGAAACAAGCAAGACAUCUAAGUGAAGGUAGACUUUCUGACCAUACUCAAACUCAUACUAAUCUCUGUACACUUUCAAUUGAAGACUAAAAAAGGAGUAUCGGAAUCCAAACUGUGGCUACAGAGGCUUUGAAAGUUCUCAGAUGCACCCACAUGUAGGGAGUGAACCCUAAUCGAAUGAUCUACGGCUCAACCUACGAGGUCAAGGUGGCUCUAAAUGGAUAUGAGUGGGCUUUAAAAGAUCCCUUAAGCAGAGGCGAUCAUACUGAUUACUACUCAAAAAGUGCUAUUUGAUAGCUUAUAAUUAAUCCUUUUAAACACUUUUGAGUAGUAGUUUAGGCCUUUUAACUCAAUUGGCAUGUUAAGGACCCUUGAAAGGAAUUUUAAUCACUUUGUGUAAGUUUUGGUGUUUUUGUUAGUAAUUUGAUCAUCAAAGCAAGUCAAGACUGAGGAGAGCUAUGAGGAAUCUUGGGCAAAGCUUAGAAGUCAUUUGCCAAGAGUAAAUCCGGAUUGCAAGGAGAAAAAGUAAAGAGAAUCUGCCAAGAAGCAUAUUCUUGAUGACAGUCGUAUCAGCCACUUUUGGAGCCUCUUAUGAGGUCCAAUUGAUGCAUGCUAUAUACCAUUUCAAAGCUCAGGAAGUCAACAAUCCAAUGCUACAAACGGUGUAUAAUUCAGAGUUGAAACGAAGAAGUUGCAGCCAUUGCAAGCCAAUCACUCCGAGCUGAAGGAAGCAUUUUGCAAAGUGCUGCGAAAUCACCCUUUUGUUGCGAAGUGAUUCCGCAGCCUUUUUGUACAGUAGGGUGUAUUUCCUUCUGAAGUUGCCCGACAUAUACCGCGAGAGGGAAGUUGGGAACCUCAAGGUGGAAGCCAACUUCGCAGCCCUGCGAAGAUAGCAUGUUGUUGCGAAAUGAUUUCGCAGCCCUCUUGAGUGUCUGAGAAAUCUCGCAGACACCAUUUUCUCUUGCGAAAUGGUUCCUGGAGCCUCCCGAUAUUUGCUACCGACAUUGGGAGAUAUUUUACAUCAGAUUUUUGUUGUCUAAAUCCCAAAAUACUCCUUGUAAGCCACCAAUUACAAGAUUCCUUAGCUUUUAAGUUAGUAAAAAGAGAAAAUAUCUAUGUAAUAAUUAGUUUUAUAUUAUGUUCAUAUAUAUACCUCUCGGGAGCCUGUUCUCAGGGAGGAGAUCCUUUUGUAAAGUUUUGGGUAAGCAAGUAAAGUUUAUUUUUUUCUACUGCCUUACCUUCUCACUUUGUAUUUUUUAGUUAAUACUAAGUUAUGAACUCUCUGAGGAGUUUUCCCCAGAGAAUGAGUAACUAAACCUCUAAUUCCUUGGAGCUAAGGUUGCCGGGGAAGGUUCCAAGUGCAAGAAUGCAAAGCUUUGUGGUUUUAGCUAGUAAUGAAGAGGAAGUGAAAUCCUUUAGUGAUUUCUAUGUUUUUAGUUAACUUAAAACACCUUAGAGUCACCUGGGCCAACACUUGGUAAGGCAAGUGAUUUCCAACCAUGGAAAUGCACUAGUUUACCCCUUGCAAGCCUCUGGUAGGUGACUUCAGGGUAGGAUUUUCUAGAAUAGCCAACACUUGAUAAGCUUUUGGACUCCAAGGAGACAUCCAUUAGUUAUCUCUUGCGAGCUUUUGACGGGUAAUCCAAGGUUAAGGAUCACCUUGAAUGGUUAAGGCUUAGUGAGAGGCUUAAACCAUUGCAAGUUGCAUCAGUGAGAGAAUUAAAGUGAAAUCUAAUUGAAGGAUGAAUCUGUACAACACCAGCUAGAGAAUUGACUAUAUGUUGAAUCUCUAACGCGAGGAAAGGAACCAUCUGACCGGAGCUAGGUCUUUUGCAUAAGGAACCACCCCAGUGAACCUAACUCUCCAAGGAAUGCUUUUCUUCCUAAGUUAUUCCGAGUACUUGUUAUGUUAGUUAGUUUAAAUCUUUACCAAUCAAAGUUUGUGUUUUAUGUCUUAAGCUAACCUUGAAAUGAAACAAGACCAAUUCACUUGGAAUUGGUAUCAUUGAUAGCUUGCUAAUCCUUCCCAGUGAACGAUCCUAGAGCCGCUAUACUAUAGUAGCUUUUUCUUUGCUACCCUAGUAUAUGGUGUUAUAGGUUAUAAAUUUUGUUGAUUACUCCCUCAAUCAAGGAGCACCAGCUGGACACGAAUCAGCUGAGACACCAAUUGGGCACGAAUCACAUACCCUCCGACAGUAUGCAACCCUCUGUACGUCUCCGAAGAGACGGGGCGCUUCCAUGCAAGGUGGUCAUCACCUCCACACAUGCACUAUCUCGACAUCCCAAGGGGGUUUCCUAUGGUGAAAACCUCUCAAACUCGCAACGCUCAAUGGUCAACUAGAGUGCACAGUGAAUGGUGCGGGUGCAUCCAAAAACCCUAGGAAGCUAAAACAGAAAGAUGAAACACACUGGCCGCACAAAUAUCCAUGAGACCUAGCUCCGAGCUAUACGAGUCUUCAAUGAUCGGACUCCAAUCGACAUCAAAGUGUCGCUCUCCUCCAGAAUGCUCCCAUACAUUGAUAUAGCCUGUCGCUAAACCCUACUCCUAAUCUCUGGCUCGGUCAGAGAAUAAGCACACAGAGGGCCUCACACUUGCAAUAGUGAGGACCAGAAUGAAGGGAAUGACCGAGACCAAGAGAUUUGGAGGUAGGGGGAUAGAUGUGCGGCCCACAUAGACAGGCGACAUGCAAUCAAGCAGAGGAAGGGUAGUCAUGCGACAUGCAGUUAAGCAGUAGACAGAAUACAUCACUUAUGCACACACACAAACUAUGACGAUCAGGAUGAAUAGCGACACGAACAUCAUGCUCAAAGACAAUCAAGAUAGUAUACAAGCCAAAGAAAACAACAUGGCAAGUCAAGCGAUGUGCAAUAGUGAGUCUAUAUAUGUGAAGUAAGUAGAACAAUCAGGAAGAAUCAGAAUCGCUAUACCAAGCAAAACAAGAUGAGCAGUCUAUGAUAAUCAGCAUGUUAAUGUACUAAACUAAUAUAGCAAUGAAGCACAGAAAAAGUGACAUCCGAAACCCCAAUCAAGAUAAUUGAUAUAUCAAUGUCCCAAUACAAUAUCCAAGCAUGCAUAAAAAAACUCUCAAUGUGCAAUCAAGAGACAAGUACUCAUUGAUUGACUCAUCAAAUACCACAUUUGCUUCAUCCUAAGUUCAAGCUUGACCCUCUAAAUGAUCCCCAACGGAGUCGCCAUUUUGUGGACCCUGUAUUUCGGCUCAUGCGAUUUCCACUCAAUGGCGAGCUCGAUUUUUAUUUGAAAAUGAUUUUAUUUAUUAAAAAAAAAAUAUGACUUGGAGUCACCACUUAUUUUUGUUUUAUUUUUAAAAGGGUAAACAAAAUAAGAAAGAAAACCCUAAGUGUGACUCCUUAUUUUGGAAAAUAUGAUAUGUGAAAAACCGGAUCGGGCUCGGGGGUCAGGCUACUUAUCGAGAAGGUACAGUAAAAACCAUAGCACCCCUCUAAGUCCCUAAAGUUGGGUCUCUACUAACAAAAUGAAGUUGAUGUGGUGAUCAAUAGGAAAAUCAAUGGAUACUCAAAUCGACCAUGCACAUAUGGGAUCAAAACAUGCAUAAAGAAUGACCAGAAUGGGAGUUGAUGCGUACCUGGGCCACGAACGAGCAAUGCGCUAUCAUAAAAAUGGGGUCGGUGUACAAUAAAGAGCACAAAACAUAUCACACGCGUCACCAAAUAGAACUUAAAAUUGUUCAAGGGAAAACUAGAUUUUUUAAAUUUUAUUUGAAAAUUGGAGUCUUAGAGAUUAUUUGAAAAUUGGAGUUUUAGAGAUUAUUUGAAAAUUGGAUUUUUAGAAAUUAAAUAUAAGAAUGAGAAUUUUAGAAAUUAAAUUUGAAAAAAAUUGGAAUUUUGAAAAUUAUUUGAGAGGUUGGGGGUUUUUUUUUUUAAAAAAAAAUUAAAUUACGGAAAUUGGGACUUUAGAAAUAAAAUUUUGAAAGAAAUUAGAAUCGAAAAUUGUUUGAGAAGCAGAAACUAUGAAAAUUGAAUAAAAAAAUUGGAAAUCUUGAAAAUCAUUUUAAAGCAUAAUUUUUAGAAAUAAAUGAAUAAAAUGAUAAUAAUAAAUAAGUAACGGAAUAAAUGCGAGAAUUGGAACAUUGGAAACUGAAAAAAAUUAAGUUCGGAAAUUGAAAAAUUGGAAUUUCAAAUAACUAAAUUUGGAAAUCGAAAUUUUAAAGAAUUAUUUAAAGACGGAAUUUCAAAUAAAUGAAUAAGUGAUUAAAUAAAUUAAUGAAAUAAUAAUAAUGACGAAAUAAUAAAGAUUAGGUAAAUAAUUGCGAAAAAUAGAAUUUUAGAGAUUGAAGAUUGAAUUUAGAGAUUGAAAAUUUGAGAAAUUAUUUAGAGAUGAGAUUUUAAAUAUAUGAAUAAGUGAAUAAAUAAAUGAACAUGAUAAUAAUAAUAACGAAAAUAAUCAUUUAACAACUGAAUGUGAAUAGUGAAAUUUUUUAGAUUGGAAAUUAAAUUUGAAAAACGGAAUAUUGAAAAAUUGAACUUUAAUUAUUAGAAUUUCUAAAAUAAAUGAAUGGAAUAAUAAUAAUAAUAAUGAAAAUAAUAUUUAAAUGAAUGAAAGUGAAUAGUGGAAUUUUUUAGAUUGAAAAUUAAAUUUGAACGUCAGAUUUUUCAAGAAUUGGACUUUAGUGAUUGAAAUUUUUAAAAGAAAUAAAUAAAUAAAUAUGGAAUAACAAUAAUAAUUAACAAAAAUAAUAUUUAAACGGAUGAAAGUGAAUAGUGAAAUUUUUUAGAUUGAAAAUUAAAUUUGAAAGUUAGAUUUUUGAAGAAUUGAACUUUAAUGAUUGAAAUUUUUUAAAGAAAGAAAGAAAUAAAUAUGGAAUAAUAAUAAUAAUAAUGAAAAUAAUAUUUAAACGAAUGAACGUGAAUAGUGGAAUUUUUUAGAUUGAAAAUUAAAUUCGGAAGUCAGAUUUUUGAAGAAUUGAACUUUAAUGAUUUGAAUUUUUAAAAGAAAUAAAUAAAUAAAUAUGGAAUAAUAAUAAUAAUAACAAAAGUGAUGUUUAAACGAAUGAACGUGAAUAGUGGAAUUUUUUUAGAUUGAAAAUUAAAUUCGGAAGUCAGAUUUUUGAAAAAUUGAACUUUAAUGAUUGGAAUUUUUUUAAAGAAAUAAAUAAAUAAAUAUAGAAUAAUAAUAAUAAUUAACAAAAAUAAUAUUUAAAUGAAUGAAAGUGAAUAGUGGAAUUUUUUAGAUUGAAAAUUAAAUUUGAAAGUCAGAUUCUUGAAGAAUUGAACUUUAAUGAUUAGAAUUUUUUUAAAGAAAUAAGUAAAUAAAUAUGGAAUAAUAAUAAUGAUUAACAAAAACAAUGUUUAAAUGAAUGAACGUGAAUAGUGAAAUUUUUUUAGAUUGAAAAUUAAAUUCGAAAGUCAAAUUUUUGAAGAAUUGAACUUUAAUGAUUGGAAUUUUUUAAAGAAAUAAAUAAAUAAAUAUGGAAUAAUAAUAAUAAUUAACAAAAAUAAUAUUUAAAUGAAUGAAAGUGAAUAGUGGAAUUUUUGAGAUUGAAAAUUAAAUUUGAAAGUUAGAUUUUUAAAGAAUUGAACUUUAAUGAUUGGAAUUUUUUAAAUAAAUAAAUAAAUAAAUAAAUAAAUAUGGAAUAAUAAUAAUAAUUAACAAAAAUAAUAUUUAAAUGAAUGAAAGUGAAUAGUGAAAUUUUUGAGAUUGAAAAUUAAACUUGGACCUUGGAGAACUAGACCUAAAAUUAGAACCUUAGAAAAUUAUUUCAUGAAUGGAAACUUGGAAAACCGAUUUUUUUUUUUGUUUUUUUAAAAAGAAAACAAAGUUUAGGUAAAUUGAAUUUUCGAGAAUCAAAAUUUUAUAAAUCGAAUUUAAAAUUAAAUUUUAGAAAAUUAUUUCGAAAAUGAUAUUUUGUAUAAUUAAAUUUAAAAUCUUCAUAAAAAUCAUAUUUGUAUCAUUAGAAAAAGGACUUAAGAGGGCCAAAUACUUGGCCCAUUAGGGCCUACACUAAUCUGGCCUAAACUUAGAGGAUGGGGCUUAAGGCCCACCUGAACCAAUCUAGGCCCACAACUUAAAGCUUUGGGAGCCCACCAACAAAAUGGCUACCAUGAAGAUCAAAGGGUGCCACCUCCUCAUUUUUUAAAAGCUAGAGGGAUGGCUAAUGGGUAGCAGGUUAGCGGUGAAGAAUAGGGCCUGCAUGUCGAUGAUGGCUGUGAUGAAAUAGAGGAAUGGAGUGGGAGUUGCUGCCCAUGAACUACCGCGCGGGCAAGCGGACAAGAGCAUGGGUGCGGUGGAGGGCUUCGUCGUCUUCACCGCCAAGCGCCACUACCUUACCGCCACAAGUGCCGGAGGAGGUGAAACAGAAAGCGGAGAAGGGGACAACUGCUCCCCCGCCGACGCUAUCGUCCAUUUUAAUGACGACUCUUGGAGGCGAACCCAGCGGCACCUCUCUCGGCCAUUUUCACGAACCCUUCACGCUCUGCUCGGAGCUUCUUGAUGCUGCCUUUGAUGCGACUUUGGAGCUACGUCGGCGUGGCUGCGGGAGUGAGGAAGACUGCCACCUUAGGAUCUUUUGGAUCGAGCGGCCCAACCUUGGCUGUUAGGCGGUAGUUGUGUGGCUGUCCAUGAAGGAUGGGAACGUGGCAAUGGAGGAAAAUGGGUACAUAAAAAAAAAGGUGGGUAUGAAAGGUAGUGAAGGCAUGAAGGGUGUUUAACUUUGGAUUUGGGUCCAUGCGCGUGGAUAAAGUUGAUGGUGAGCAUAUGUUGGAGGGGGUUCUCGGUAGACAAGAGUCUAAGAUUUUCAUGGAAGUUUCAAAUGGAUCCUCAGGAACAGAGCAGGUUCCAAAGUCAUGCUAAAUUCAUUUUCUUGCUAUACCCGGUGGGUGAGGCGAACAACGAGCAUCCAUGCUAUUAAAUGAAUAUCAAAAUAAAUAAAAAAAUUUGAUACCUUACUCAUUUAUAAGAGAAAACGAAGAAGCGAAAAAGAAGAACAAAACAGAGCAAGUGAAGCGAGCUUAGGCUCAACAAGGUCCAAUCCUCAACAAGUGACGUUCAAGACCAGCAAUGGCAAAUGAGGAAGAAUAAAAAAUAAAAAUGAAAUGAAAUAAAAGAAAUCUGAAAGCAAAGGCAUCCAAUAUGGCCAUACCUGAGUUUCCCUAGUGAAGCUUUGUCUCGCUUCCUUUGACUGGUUUUUUUCUCCAGCUGCUUUCCCCCCUUCUGAAAAGUCCUUCGUUCGAGCUCACCCUUUUUUCUCUCUCCUCUCGUCUGGCUUCUCCUCCAAGCUAUUACCCACUCCCUUGUUCACCGAUCAGCAAGCAUGUCAUCUUCAACCACCACCAUGGCUAGCAAUGCUCCUUACCACCCAUCUAUGCAAUUGGUUCUCGGCAUAAGGAAGGGUUCCCCCACUCGUCUAAGGUGCUGCCCGCUCCUCCAGGUGGUGAGAAAGCAUCCUCCUAAUGCUAUAAAAUCCCUCAAAAAAACUAAUAGCCUUUAGUUUUUAAAAAGGGGUCUACACAUUUAUAAUUACUAAAUAAAUUAUUUUAAUAUACAAAUUAUUACUCUUUCUUUUUAAAUUGAUUAAUACUAAAAAAAAAUAUAUCUCUUAAUGUUGAAAUUUUUAUUGAAAUUUAAUUUUUUUUUUUAUUUUAUUCCUUUUACAAUGAAAUUUUAAAUUAAAUAUUAAUAUUUUUAAUUUUAAAAUUUAUAUAAUAAAAUUAAUUUAAAAAUUAAAAUAAAAUAUUUAGUAGUAUUUGGGCUUUGUAGUAUUGAAACUUUGGUAUAAGAAAUUUGAAAAUACUUCUAUAAUUAUUAAAAAAAAUUAGUAGAAUAAGAUAGUCCUUUCAACAUAAUUGAGACAUUAAAUUUUAAGCACUCUAAAAUUAUAAUCUUUACAAAUAAUAAAGAAGUUUUUGCAUCGAGACCAACUGAAUAUGAUUUGUAUGUUCUUAAUUUUCAUUUUCUUAUCUUUUAUCUUCCUAUACCUACAAGCCUAUUUAGAGAAAGACCUUUUAUUGAAAAAUGAGAGUUCAGAGUUAUUUCCCUUUGAAAAUAGAGUGGAUCGGAAGGUCUUUAUUAAAUAUAGGGUUUCUUCUAAAACGAGAUGAAGUAAAUUAGCAACUCUGAACAAUCUGAAGGAAAAGGAAUUUGAGUUAAGUUGAUGGGGCGUGCGACACUUUAUUAGGACUUUAAGAGAUAUUUUCUCUUUCACGCUAUCCUUUGAAAUUGAGUUGUGUCCGUUUUCAACUUAAUUUUUUGCUCUCUGUUUUUCUAAUGAAAAUAUAUCUUUUGUUGGGAGAAAAUAUUUUGUUGAAUAUAUAUAUUCAAAUGGAAGGUAAGCAAAAAAAAAUGAUAAAAAAUGGGUGUGAUGAAAUUUCAAAUUAUUGAUCAUCAUAUGUAUUUAACCUAAAUCUUAAAAAAGUGAAUGAAAUUAACUCGUUAAAUUUGUUCAAUACCACUUUUUAUAAAUAAUUUUUUAAUCAUGUAGCAUUCAAAACAAAAAACAUAUAAUUAACGAUAACAUGAAAUUAUUAAAAUAUUUAAAAUUAAAUAAUAUAAAGAAACAAUAAAAUGGUUCAUUUAUAUUGUUAGAACCAUUGUUUUAAAAACUGGUCACUCCGAUCGGUCGGAUGGUCCAUCAAUGCCCUUUCCAGUCUGAUCUAGGGAAAUGGACAGAGACAACUGACAAUCAGACCAUCGACCAUUCUUCAUGGACCAGUCAAGGUCAAAACCUAAAUGGCCUUGCCCAAAUCCAUUAAUUCCUAACCCGUUUGCUUGUUCCCAAGGUUAACUGACAUACCAUCGACCAUUCUUCAUGGACCGGUCAAGGUCAAAACCUAAAUGGGCUUUGCCCAAAUCCAUUCAUUCCCAACCUAUGUGCUUGUUCCCAAGGUUUGUAAGUAUAAAUACCCAUCUAUUGGCCCAAAUUCAUUAUUUCAAGCCCAUUUGCUUGUUCUCAAGUUCUACAGGUAUAAAUACCCUAUAAGUGGUUUAUAGAUUUCCAAUGUGGGAUGAGUUUUGAUAAUAAUGAAAGGAGCUUUGCAUGGUGGGGAAUUGAACCUAGGACUUAUUUUUAACAAAAUGUUAGCACACCACUAUGUUACAAAGCUAUUUGAUUAAUAAUUUGAUAAAUAUCUAUAUAUCUGUUUUUUAAUUUCUAUCAUAUAAAACAUUUAAACAAAUAUAAAUAUUUAUAUCUACUAUUAUUUUUAUAAUAAUUAUACAUAUCCUAUUUAAUAAAAUUUAAUAUAUUAAUACAUUUAUAUUUAUAUUUAUCAUUUAAUUUGACAAAUUGAACAUAAAAAAUAAAAUAUUAUUAAAAUUUUUAAUAAAAUAUAUUUUAAUUUAUUUUAAUUUUAUUAAAAUAUAAAUUAUAUAUUUAUAAUGUCAUCGAUUUGAUCGCGGUUUGACCACUGGUUCAACUAGUGAACCAUGAACUGGUAACUUUUUCGGUUCAAUAUUCGAUCCAAUUUUGAAAACAUUAGUUAAAACUUUUUUAUUUAUAGAAAAUGGUAAUAUGCUUUAAAGUUGUAGGAUGUUAAAAGCCCAAAUACAUGCCUACAUAUUUUCUUAUUUAUCUCCUAGUAUUUUUACCAAGUGAUAGAUAUAUUGGUGGCCAAGCAUUAUCAUCAUCAUUAUUUAUCUCCUAACAUCUUUAUGAAGUGAUAGGUGUAGGAAGAGUGUAAAUAAUUUUUAUUUUUAUUUUAUUUUAUUCUAUUAGUUUUAUAUUUUUUGGGAAGAGUCCUAUUGGGAAUUAUUUUUAUUUUAUUUUAUUCUAUUAGUCUUAUAUUUUUGGGAAGAGUCCUAUUGGGAUUGUGCUAGUGGAGUCCCAUUCCUUUUAUAAGUAGAAUCCUCUUCCACUUUGAGUUAUCUUUUGAUUACAAGCAGAUUCCCAUUAGGAUUGUGUUAAUGACCUAUAAAAGCAGGUCACCUUUUGCUCUCUAUAUGCCAAUACCAAUUUUUCAAAGAAUUUUUCAGAGCGUUUUUCAACCAUCUAUUUGGAUGAAUUUUUUCAAAAACCCGAACUGUAUACAUCUCACUUACAGAAUGCACCCAAGGCGACAUCUAGGUGUUGAAUCCCGGAGAUAGACCAUUGGUACCCUAGUGUACCGAAUUUGUCUUCGAGUAGGAUGAAUCUAUUUCAAGGACAGUGUUUGUCAUGCCUCAUUCGAUAAGUUUUUCUUCUUAUUAAUUAUGUUCUUUGUUUGUGUCUUUUGGGCUAGUCAUUUGUUUCCAUACCCUUAAUCCAACAAUCUUGAAAUAUAUCCAAAUGUAAGCUUCUCUAGUUCACACCCAUCCUAACACCUCUAAAAUUGAUCCCUUCAAUGGGACAUUCUUUAAGAGAUGGCAGGAAAAGGUUUUCUCUACAAUUGAUGUAGUGAACUUAGGACACAUUUUGACUGACCGAAUACCAAAAGAUAGUUCUCAUUUGUUACCAACCUGGGAAAUUGGAAAUAAACAAGUUAGGCAUGCUAUUCUAAGUACCCUUUCUAAUGAACUUUUUGAUAUUUAUUGUCAAUUUAAAGUUGUAAAAGAAAUUUGGGAUGCAAUGAAUAAAAAAUAUAGUUUGGAAGAUACAGGAACUCAAAAAUAUGCCAUAGAGAAUUUUAAAAAUUUCCAAAUGACUGAGGAUAGAGAUGUAUCAUCUCAAAUCCAUGACUACCACUUGUUGAUUAAUGACUUAGCUAUUGAAGACAUUAAAUUACCCGAACCUUUUGUAGCUGGUUAUUUAGUAGAGACUUUUCCAGAGUCUUGGAAAGACUACAAAAAUAACAUGAAACAUAAAAGGAAACAAAUGUCCCUAGAGGAUGUCAUAAUCUAUAUUAAGAUUGAGGAACAAAACCGAAAUAGGGAUAAUGCUGAGAAAGUUAAGGACUUGUCUUCUAAGGCUAAUGUAGUAGAAGAAAAACCUAAACCCAAAAACAAUAGGUCCAGGAAACAAAACUCUAGGAACAAACCCAAUGCAUCAAACAAGAUCCAAAACCCAAUUAUUAAAAAGAAAAAGAAAAAGUAAGGAUCUUGUUUGACUCUAAUAAAAUAGUUUUAACCAAGAAUGAUGCAUUUGUGGGGAAGGGCUAUUGUAAUAAGGGUUUAUUUAUGUUGAAUGUUUAUGAUAUUAUCAAUAAUAAUGCAUCUUCUUCUUUUUCUGCUUACAUAGUUGAUUCUUGUGAUAUUUGGCAUGGUAGACUAGGACAUGUGAACUUUUCAUAUAUGAAGAAAAUGGUUGAAUUGAGUUUAAUCCCUAAAUUGUCCUUAGAAAACCAUGGAAAAUGUGAAUCUUGUGUAGAAUCUAAAACCACAAAGAAAUCUUGCAAAUCAGUUGAAAGAGAAUCAAAUGUACUAAGUUUAAUACACAGUGACUUAGGAGACCUAAAAAAUACAAUGACUAGAGGUGGUAAACGAUUCUACAUAACUUUCAUAGAUGACUACUCAAGGUAUACAAGGGUAUAUCUUUUGAGAAACAAAGAUGAAGCAAGAUAUGCUUUCAUCAAGUACAAAAAUGAAGUGGAAAAUCAACUAAGUAAGAAAAUUAAAAGACUUAGAACUGAUAGGGGAAGAUAGUAUGAGUCCAACCUCUUUAAUUCUUUUUGUGAAGAUCAUGAGAUCAUUCACAAAAAUACUCCUCCUUAUUCUCUUGAGUCUAAUGGAGUAGCAGAAAGGAAAAAUAAGACCUUAAAAGAAAUUAUGAAUGCAAUGUUGGUAAGUUCAGGAGCACCCUUGAACUUAGGGGGGAAGCUAUCCUAUCUGCAUGUCAUAUUCAAAAUAGAAUACCUUAUAAGAAAACUGGAAAAACUCCUUAUGAGUUGUGGAAGGGUUAUGCACCUAAUAUAGCAUACCUGAAAGUGUGGGGGUGUUUAGCUAAAGUUCUUUUCCCUGAACCUAAAAAAUGAAAACUAGGUCUUAAAACCUUUGAUGCAAUGUUCAUUAGCUAUGCUGAGAAUAGUGCGACAUAUAAGUUUCUUGUUACUAAGUCAGAAAACAGUCUUGUAGAUGUCAAUACUAUUAUGGAAACAAAGAAUGCAGAUUUCUUUGAAAACAUCUUUCCUAUGAAACUAAAUGGUGAACAACAAGUUUAGAAAACAAGUAGAGACAAGUCUAUUGAACCUUCUGAAUUUGAACCUAGAAGGAGUAAAAGUGAUAGGAAAGAAACAAACCUUGGAGAUGGUUUCUACACCUUCCUAAUAGAUGAGGACCUUAAUCCUACAAAGAAGCUAUAACUUUUCCUAAUGCGCCAUUUUGGAAAGAGGCCAUUAACAGUGAAAUCGAAUCAAUCAUGUAUAACCAUACGGGGAGUUAGUAGAUUUACCUCCUGGUACAAAGACUAUUGGUUGUAAGUGGAUCUUUAAAAGAAAGUUAAAAUAAGAUGGGUCCAUAGAGAAGUAUAAAGCUCAUUUAGUUGCCAAAGGCUUUAAACAAAGGAAAGAUGUAGAUUACUUUGACAACUUUGCCCUUGUGAAUACAAUAGCAUCAAGUAGAGUAUUGAUCACUCUAGCUUCCAUUCAUAAUUUGGUUAUACACCAAAUGGAUGUUAAGAUUGCAUUCUUGAAUGGGGAUUUGGAAGUGGAAAUUUAUAUGGAACAACUUGAGGGUCGUGUAGUUCCAGCGAAGGAGAAAAAGGUGUGUAAGUUGGUUAAAUCACUAUAUGGGUUAAAACAAGCUCCCAAACAGUGGCACAACAAGUUUGAUCAUGUGUUAGUAACUAAUGGAUAUUCCAUUAAUGAUGCUUAUAAGUGUAUCUACAGUAAGUAUGAGGAUAACACAUGUGUAGUCAUCUGCCUUUAUGUUGAUGACAUGCUGAUCUUUGGAACUAGCCUAGAGGUUGUGUGUGAGACCAAGAAAUUCCUAGGUCCUAAGUUUGAUAUGAAAGACCUAGGAGAGGCAGAGGUGAUUUUAGGAAUUAAAAUAACUAGAACACCUAAUGAGCUUAAACUUUCUCAAGAGCACUAUGUAGAAAAGAUCCUAAGGAAGUUUGAACGCUUUGAUUGUAAACUAGUGUCAACUCCUUAUGAUCCCAGCUCACUACUGAAGAAAAAUAAAGAACAUAGUGUUGCCCAAAUAGAGCAUGCUCAGAUCAUAGGGGACCUAAUGUACUUGAUGAACUGUACUAGACCUAACAUUGCUUAUGCAAUAGGUAGAUUGAGUCGAUACACCCAAAGUCCUAAUCAGGACCAUUGGACUAUUGUUCGUAGAGUCCUUAAGUAUUUGAGAGGCACCAUUAGUGAUUUAGUGGAUUUCCAAGUGUCCUUGAAGGAUUUAGUGAUGCAAAUUAGAUCUCGGAUUCAGAUGUGAUGAAAUCCACUAGUGGAUAUGUUUUCAUAUUUGGUGGAAGUAUAGUUUCUUGGAAGUUUACCAAGCAAACUUGCAUUACUCGGUAUACUAUGGAGGUUAAGUUAAUUGCCUUAGAAAAGACAAGUUUUGAGGCUGAGUGGCUUGAAAACCUCUUAGCAGAUAUCCCUUUAUGGACGAGACAAACCUCGCCUGUGUCUAUGCGUUGUGAUAGCCAAGCUACAAUUGCUAAGGCUAAGAGUAAAAUAUUUAAUGGGAAGAAUAGGCAUAUAUGGCUAAGGCACAAUAUUGUGCGGUAGCUUCUUGAAACGAAUUUGUGAGGUCAGAGUUGAAUUUGGUCGAUCCUUUGACCAAACCACUAAAUAAGAAACUAGUGGAAGAAACAUUGAGGGGGAUGGGGCUUAUGCCUAUUACAGAAGUUAAGAGUGGUGGUAACCCAACCUAUUAGAAUGGAAAUUCCAUGAAGUAGGUUCAUAUGGGUAAUAACAAAUCACUUGUUGACUUGAGGUGCUAUAUCAACUCUAAUUGUAUGAGGGUCUAUCCCUAUGGUGUAGAUAGAGCGUAUUUUGCAUUGAUUAAGGUUGAGUGUUUACUCUUAAUGAAUACCAUAUUCCUUAUGGAUGGUAUGUUUAAAUGCAUAACAUACUUGAUGGAUUCACCUAUAUGAGAGUGGAGCCGGGGCCGCUUCCUAUGAGAACUUAGGUAGUUUCUCUAGAACUCUCAUGAAUAUCCAGGUAGGGCGCAUGGCCUAUUUGUGCCAACCCAUUUUGUACAACUCGUAGUGUAAUUGAGAAAACCAAUGUGGAUAAAAGUUCAUUGAGUUACAUCAAGAAACACUGGUUCAUAGAAAUUUAUUUUCACCCUGUUUUGUGAUUCAAUACCUAUUUGUCUUAAGACUAGUUCAUAGCCUUUGGGUACCAGUACUAAUGCAUUGGAUUUUUUUUCCUCAAAAAAUAAAUAAAUAAAUAAAUAAUCACGUUUACACUUUGUGGGGGAUUGUAGGAAAAGUGUAAAUAAUUUUUAUUUUUAUUUUAUUUUAUUCUAUUAGUCUUAUAUUUUUGGGAAGAGUCCUAUUGGGAUUGUACUAGUGGAGUCCCAUUCCUUUUAUAAGUAGAAUCCCCUUCCACUCUGAGUCAUGCUCUGAUUACAAGUAGAUUCCCAUUGGGACUAUGUUAGUGGCCUAUAAAAGCAGGUCACCCCUCGCUCUCUAUAUACCAAUACCAAUUUUUUAGAGAAUUUUUUUAGAGAGUUUUUCAAAUAUUCUUUUCAUACAUCUAUCUAGACGAAUUUUUUCAAAAACCCGAGCUGUACACAUCUCGCUUACAAAGUGCACCCAAGGCAAGAGCUGGGUGUUGAAUCCUGGAGGUAGACCACUGGUACCUUAGUGCACCGAAUUUGUCUUCGAGGAGGGUGGAUCUAUUUCAAAGACAAUGUUUGCCACACCUCAACCGACAAGGCGGCACAACGUGCACAACCAUUUUUUGAUUUUUCUUUGGGAAUUUUGCUUUGUUUAGGAACUUUGCUAAAAUGGGCACUUGACCUUGAUGAACAUUUUUCCUAGAUGGACACUCGGCCUUGGUGGGCAUUUUACCUAGAUGGGUGCUUGGCCUUGAUGGACAUUUUGCCUGGAUAGGCACUUGUUCUUGAUAGGUAUUUGCUUAGAUGGGCAUGUCACCUUGUUGGGCACUUGGCCUUGAUAGACAUAUCAUCUAGAUGGGCAUUUUGCCUUGAUGGGCACUUGGCUUUUAUGAGCAUUUUGCCUAGAUGGGUAUUUUACCUUCUUUGAUCUUUCAUAGGUUGGAACUCUAUAGGUGGUGGGGUUGUGUUUUGGGUUGUAUUUUCCAGGCACACAUGUGUAGGGGUAGGGAAAUGCUGCAUUUCCUCCUGGUUUUAGCUCUAGAUGUGCUUAUUGCCAUGCACACAUGUAAGUAUUGUUCUGCUUCUUCUUCUUGUGUUUAAGGGUAAGUUGAGUUUUUUUUCGUACUCUUACAUUUUCUCUCCAUCUUUCUUUGUCUUUAUUUUGUUGUGCAGAUGAAGUGUGGCAUCAAGGAUUUUAGUAGGCGGAAAGGUGAGCUUCACUACCACGUUGCUGAAACUGACCAACUGAGGUAAGUCAGGUACUUUUUUUGCAGCUAAAGCUUUUGGUUGGGUGCUUUCUUGGCACUUGACGAUUUGACCGAGUGCUUCUUGGAACCUAAGGCUAUGGUCGGGUGCUGUUCGGCACCUAAGACUUUUUGGUUGAGUGCUUUUUUGGCACUUAAGGCUUUGUUGGGCUCUAUGCUUGGCUGGGUACUACUUAGGCACCCUAGGCUUUGUUGGGCACUAGGCCCAACUGGAUGCCACUUAGGCACCUUAGGCUUUAUUGGGCUUUAAGCCUGGUUAGGUGCUACUUGGGCACCGUAGGCUUUGUUGAGUGCUAGGCCUAGCUAAGUGCUACUUGGGCACCCUAGGCUUUAUUGGGCUUUAAGGUUGGUCAGGUGCUACUUGGGAACCUUAGGCUUUGUUGUGCUCUAGGCCCAACUAGGUGCCACUUUGACACCUUAGGCUUUAUUGGGCUCUAAGCCUGGUUAAGUGCGACUUGGGCACCUUAGGCUUUAUUGGGCACCCUAGGCUUUAUUGGGCUCUAAGCUUGGUCGGGUGAUAUUGGGCACCUUAGGCUUUAUUGGGCUUUGGACUUAGCCAGGUGCUACUUAGGCACCUUAGGCUUUGUUGGGCUCUAGGUCUGGUCGGGUGCUACUUGGGCACCCUAGGCUUUAUUGGGCUUUAGCCUUGGCUGGGUGCUACUUGUGCACCUUUGACUUUGUUAUGCUCUGGCCCUGAUCAGGUGCUACUUGGGCACUUUAGGCUUUGUUAAGCUCUAGGCUUGGCCGGGUGCUACUUAGACACCUUAGGCUUUUAAAGUCUAAUGCUUCUUUAUACCUAAGGUUUUUUUUUUUUUUUUUUUUUUUUUUUUUUUUUUUUUUUUGCGGUCAUGCGAUGCGUAACAUAUUUGAUUUGAAAAAUACAACAGUUGACGAUAUUGCUUCCCCAUUUGGGGAUCUUUGCUUUUAGAUGGAUUAGGCCAUUUGGUAAGAGUAGGAAGUUCUUCUUUGGUAGAUCCACCAGCGCCUCUUUGUCCACUGAUAGUGUCUAGGCAGUUGCAUUGAGUCAGGCCACCAAGAUCUAGUUCUCCCUUUUGAUUCGGUUAACAAGUCUUCUCAGUUUGUCCAACUACCUUCGAUACUUGUUAGCUACGGUUCAGUUGUUUGUUGUGGCCACUCAUAAGUUGUUGGGAUGACACUCUCACCAUCAACAUAGUUAGCUGCCAAUGUAGUCACCAUGGUUGGCUUUUGUUUCAUUCCCAUAGAUGAUGCCAAUUGUUGGUGCACAAUCUUUCUAGAUGUGAUGAUUUGGUGACUAUCCGGGUCGCUAUCCAAUCUUCUAUUGUCACCUCCUCUAUUGGUGGGUGUCUUGGUUCUCUAGGAAAAUGAUAUUUUUUUUCCUUGUUCUUCUUUCUCCUUUAUAGGUUAGAGUUAGACGUUGGAGGUUGUGUGGAGUACACGAUUAGCUUGGCAGGUUUGUGUUAGGCAGUGUGUGGUCGACUAUCCCUAACGCUUCAUGUUGAUGUGACAAGAUGAUGUUUUCCUUAGAGAUUUGUUCCUCAUACAUGUCUUGUUGUUGCCUUUGGUAUUCAUGCCACAUGAUCCAUGUUGGCAGCCUAAAAACUUCUUCCCAGUGACCAAUUUUUUAGUUCUUCUAGGAUCAGUUGGAGUGGGCUCUCGGAUCACUAUAGGUUUAAAUAGAGUCGGGAUGACUUCUCGAUCGGGAGACAAUAUUCAGCCGAUACAACAUCCGGGUACCCCUUCUUGGCAAAAUUCGGCACCCUCAGGAGGCAGCUUUUAUAGCGAAAUCUGCCACCCCCGACCCGAGUAAGCAGGUAGACCCACAGGUUGGCUGGCUUCUAUGGUUUGUACCUCCAAUUAUAAUGGAAGUAUAAAUUUUAAAAAGAUUCAGUGAUUGUAGGAUUCAAUUCUAAUGCUCUUAUAGUAGCCAAGGGUCCUCGGACUCAUGGUAGCACACAGACAUGUCCUCUUCUAUCUAUGCAAAUAGUCAUGCAAAAUACAAAUAUUCCCUCAUACAUUCUUAUAGUUUUACAUGUAUAUGAAUUUAAUUAUUUUAUGUUCUGACUAGUGAGUAGAAAGUGAGUUAAGGUCUCCGACAACAAGGUCUCCAAGCAACCAUAUUUCCCCAUUUUAACCUCGCUACUGCCAUUGAUGCGGUAGUAGAGUAUAACUGGCACAUAUAGAUAUGCCAGAAGAGCAAUCGAGAGCAGAUAGCUUCAAAUUCUGAAUGUGAGGUUCAGUUGGAGACUGGUUUUAUUAGCCUUUUAGAUAUGAUUUGAACCUCUAUUUUAGACAAGAACUUGGAGCUUCUGAAUAUAUGUAGUACAACUCCUUUGGUCAUGUAUAUAUGUGCAUAUUGCGUUGAGAUAGACAACAUACAAUCACUUGGCAACACAAUAUUAAAACUUUCAGAAUAUCACAAAAUUUGAUUGAUGUCAAAGACUCAUUCUGGACAUUUAGGAUAGGAGGUUACAAUAAAGCCAUUAACUGUACACAUAAGUUCAUUUGCAAGAAUUGGGAACCAAUUUAGAAGGUCAAGUAUAUUCGCUGUCAACAAGAAUGACGCCCUCCGAUUUAAGAUCUCUACUGAGGAGGAACCCAGUUUGAUCAAGAUUCUAGGAUCAAACAACAGAGUCAAAGUCAAAUCAAGAGCAACGUUCCAACUUGUCAUGAAGACCAAGAAUAGUAAUUGCUUUUGAGCAAGCAGUGAAAUUAUUUGCAAUCAGACAAUCAUCUUCUUCUUCAAGAAAUGCUGUAAUGAAAUUCUUACCAGUUGUGUCUGAUUCUUCGAAACAUGAAGUUAGCAAACAGAUUGUUCAUAUAUAAUGUCAGUUGGCAUAAAUGUAGUGUUCAAUCACCAAGCCACAAAGAUGAUACAACAGAACAGUUGCAGCAGGAAAACUUGGUUGUUUAUUCAAAAUCAAGUAAAUCUCUAGGUCCCUCAUACCACGAUUGCUCCCAAUAUUUAGGUCUUGGCGUAGACAAUUCCUUUCGUGUCUAUGUGGACAGAACAAUGCUUGGUGUUCUAGUUGUUGUCUUUCACCAUGGUCUAUAGAAAAAAUGUCCAGAAAAACAACUAAUGAUCAGUAGAAGUGUAAAAGGGAAGAAAGAAAACUACUGAUAGAUUGGAUCAUGACAGAUAUUUAUUUUUCCUAAAAGAAUGUAAAUGUAUGGUUGCUCUUUGAGUACAGCUCUCUACAGCACAAAAAUAAGGCAAUCAAAUGAAACAAACCAAGAAAACAACAAUAUUAAAAGAGUUAUGAAAUAUCACCAGAUGAGAUCCAACAGUAAAUUAAGAAACUUUAUAUAAUCUUGUUUACCUUAGGGCCAUGUCUGGAGGAGUUCCAAUUGUAGGCCUAGGGCCAAUGUUGAUAGGCACAUGCCCAGAUCUUAGACACCCUCAAGAUGAACAGUAGCAGCUACUCUAGGCGCUCCUACUGCACAGGCAAAAAACAAGUUAGUCAAUGUUUCUUGGCUAUUGGCUUUGGCUUGGACCUUGGUGGUUAUGUCAAUUUUAGAUAAAUAUGUUAAUAAUCCAAUGACUAUACUCCAAGAUUGAUGAUAUAUAUGCAAUAUAUCAAUUUGGAAAUGUCGAUAUAAACAUUUAAGGAAUUUAAAUUAGUCAAUUUUCAACAAUCUAGCAUUCAAAAGUGUACAAAAUGGUUAUAACUUGAAAGUUUGAAUAUAAACUGAGGUACAAUAUUCCUAUAGGCUCAAGUCUCCCUAGAACAAGGCAUCACAUCACAUAUUUAUGUGGCCUUAUGUUUGAGGUAAGCACCUUAUCUAUUGGCGAGUUCAUCAAUAAUAAGCUUUUUGCAAGAAAUUGGAGACCUAAAAUUACUCUAAUACUUCUUUUAUUGAACAUUAAAUUUUCUUAAAAGUGUUAUCGAUUAUCAAACAUUUAUAUCAAUGGUGGAAACUAGUUUGCUACCAAAGUGAAGGUCAAAGUCCUAAUUAUCAUUUCACUAAACAAUGUAAUAUAGUAUUAUACAAUUAUUGCUUUUAAAAGAAAAUUUACAAGCUAACUAGCGAAAUUUAUGAUUAUACCUUUUUCCGACUUCACUCACGCCAUUGAGCUUUAUAAUUUGAUGAAACAAGCCUAAAUCAAAAUUAUACAAAAAAAAAUAAAGAAUUGGAGAAAACAAACUUGUAAGCACUAAAUUUUGUACUUUAAAAGAGGAAAUAGGAUGCCAAUUGUAGGUUUAAUUUAAAGAAACCUUAAAAAAAUAUUUUUAAAAUUAUAGGAAAACCCCCAUACCUUAGAAAAGAUUGGGGCGAACAGUCUACCUUUUGGCGAUGUUCACAUCUUGAGAGGAAUGACUUCUUUCUUAGUAGAUCUGAUGAUGGUGUUGAUCUUUGGGAAGAGAUGAUUAGAAGGCUACGUUGAAUUUUAGUGAGUGAGAGAGAAAGCAACACCCAAAACCCUAAAGCAAAAAAGGAAUUAAUAACUUAAAUAGAUUCCAUUUUUUCCUUAUGACAUGUCUACCUUAGUAAGGUUUUUAUGGCAGUGAUACCAUUUGGAUAAUUAAGUCAUUGAUUUUGAUGGAUCUUUUCCAUUUGAAUUUUUAAUAUAUAAACUUAAUCUUUUUACUUGGGGUAAUAUAUUUGGUAUUUUAGGAUUUCCUUUUUAAUAAUAUGCUUUUAGUAGAUGGUUUAACUAUGUCCUAGUGUAAUAAGUAGUCUUGCAUUACAUUAUCUACUAUGGAGUAGGAGUGUGUUGCUUGUUCAAGGGAUGUAUGGGAAGUUGUUUAUUUGAUGAUAUACUUUCAACACUUAGAGUCACGACUUGAGCUAAUAAGUUUAUCAAGAUCUAAGCAUUGAUGGUGUUGCUACUCUAUUGUAUAGCAAGGAUCCAAUUAGUCACAUUGUAGGACAAAACACUUAUAGACAAUUGAUUCUACUACAUUCAAGAUAUUGUUGCUUAAGGGGAGGUAGAGUCAAAACAAGUAGACAAUUGAUACAACUACACACACAACAUAGAGACAAAACACAUGAAUAAUACUAUGGUUGAAUAAAUUAAUUGGAUGACAUCAAGCUAACAUUGAUCUAGUAUAAUUAUUUGGAGCCUAAAUGAGGGUAUGAUGAGAUGAUAAUUAUUUUGUCAUCAACAUAGUGAACAACAUAAAUUAAAAUCUUGAAAUGUCACCUUAGCCAACCUAGUAGAAAUGAUUCAUCAAAAUAUUUGAAUGUGAGAUCUUAAAUUGGUGUUUGACAAAUAAAUAUGGUAAUAAACAUAUAUUAAGUAUAUAUGAAGUGACCAAGCUGAGAUUUGUAUCAUGUUAUUAUAGGGAAUCCCGAAUCUCUUUGUUCCUUAUCCUAUGAUUAGGCUAGGUACAUGCGAAUCUUUCUAAGUUUUUCUAAAUCGUAUGAACAAUGGAAAAAUUGUGUUUUAAAAUAAUAACAAGAUUUAGAAUUUGCAUUAGAAAACAUUACCUUAGAUUUGGAUGUUCCCAAAUCUAAUUCACGUAGUAAAGGAGAAGAUUGAAGUUUUCAGAGGUCUUGAACACCCAAGAUCUUCCACCAGAUGACUUUUCCUUGAUUUUAGAUCUUAAUUGGUGAAGAGGAAGGAAGACUAAAAAGGCUAUGGUUCUCUCUCUCUUUGAAUAGUGAAAAAUGGCUCACUUCAAAAAAGUAAUGAAAACCUUAUUAUUUAAGGGGUAUUUAUUGGGUUCCCUAAUUGGGUGUAAGUGACUUAAGCGUACUAAAGGUUUGAAUCAUUUAAUUUAGCUCAAAAUGAGUCUUAAUUGAUUAAUUAACCUAACAUAGUUAUCUAAUUAAUUAAUUAGCUAAAUUUGGAGACUUUGUUCACUUACCCCUAUGCAACCUUGCAUAAUUACCAAAACACCCUUAUACGUAAAAGUGAACCAAGAGUUGUGUCAUCAAGGUAUAUGAGCUUAGGUGGAGACCAUUGAGACUUAUAGGACAGUACUAGCUACCCCAAAAUCUAAUUUUGAAGUUGAUUUAACAUUUCACUAUAGAGAAUCAAUUGCACUAUAAUACCUUAUGUAAAUAACAAUGAGAUGCUAAGUGGUCGAGCCCAUGACUUAUUAUCCAUUGCAUUCAGUCUCCCUAUGAACUGGUGUUUGUAGUCUAAUAAGGUGAAAACUAUCAACCUUUCAAGACUACCUCUACUAUCUUUGAAUUACAAAUCCUCUUAUUAUGUAUUUAAUUGAUAUAUCUUAAGUCUCCAAGAGUCUAUGUCAAGUUCCAUUUAAGAAACUACUAUGACCAUAGUUUACAUGAACAUACCUCCUUAGGAUCACUUAAGGGGACACUCUGUCUCAAUCCUCUUAGAUUUCAUGGUACUUCUGUUACAAAUACUCAUUGUCAUAGACUUGGAUCAAUAGUGAACCAAUCCAUAAGGAACAUAUCUUACGAUUUCAUUAGUAGGUCAAAGUCACUACUAACUUUAACACAAAUUCUAUAUUCUCUCAAGGUUAAGAGAUAAAACAAUGAAGCAACUUGGUGAAAUCAUGACUAUUUAAUAGCUUUAUGUCAUGAUUCACCAUAAGUCUUGUCUAAUGUGUAACCAUAUGCACUAGUAUACUCACCAUGGAAAACCCAUCCUGAUAACCAAGACCAACCAUUCCUCUAAAUAUGAAGUAGCAUACUAUAACCUCUAAUGGGUUACCUAGGCCUAUGAAUCGGUUGUGAACAAGUCAUUUACUUACAAUGAAUCCAUUUCUUAAAUUUUUUUUGCAACUCUUAAUGCACUCAAGUCCUGUACAAUACAAGAUAUAUAUAUUAAAAUGCUUACAAGGUAUAAUGUAUAGGAUUAGGAUAAAUAAAAGUGAACUAAAAGUUUAUUAAUAAAUAAUAAAAUUUUAAAUUUAUUACAUCGUGUCAUGCUUUUAUGAAACCUUUAAAAUACUAAGAGCAACCUUUCAUAAUCAUGAAUUAAACUUUAGUUUCAACUUCUAUCAAAGGCUAAAUGAGAAAAGCUAUCAUAGAGGAGGCCUCAGCCAAUGGGUAAGAUGCACUGUUAUACCAAACAAUAAGUGGAAAAUACAAUUUUAUUAAUACUUGAGAAAAAAAAAAAGAAAGAAAUAAAAGGAAGAUUUUACACUCAAACCAAGCAUUUAUUUAUAAUGAAGUGCAGUCUCCGUACGCACAUGUGGACUUAUUGGAAAAUCAUACAAAUUAUUGAAGGACGACCUUAGCUAGGCUAACAGUCUCCUAAAUAGGCUAUCUUUUAUAUAUCUUUGCAUUCAUCCAUCUCCUCAUUGUCUUUGAUUUUAGAUGGUGAGGAUGUGAAAGUAACAGGAAGCAGUGGACAAUUGUUCACAGUGAGGCUUAGCACAUCAGCUCUCGAAUAAUGUCCUACCACAUCGAACUGGAACUUUGCUUUAGGAAUCUCUCCACGAACAUCUACAUAUCAAGUGAUCACAAAAAUAUUUCAUCGGUCCAUGAUAAAUAUCAUAGAAUAUCAAGUCUUCGAUAAAACUAAGUUUGCAGUCCUCUUAAACCUAAAGAAUCAACUCAUUUGCCUUAUCUGCAUACUGAAAUAUUUGGAUAUAUAAUUGGAGAAGUUAGGGCCAUACCAAGAUCAGCUGUGAAGAGGCCUUCUCCUUCAUAAUUCGGUCCUGCUAGAAUUUCGCCAUGGGGCGAAAUGAUGACACUACCUCCAGCCCAAACAAUAGAAUCUGGAGUGACAUCUUCUUCUGUAGGACUGUAAAGAUACUCAGGUGGAGGUGGGUAAUCUUUCCUCCGACAGAACUGGAUGGGUGAAAGAACAUAGCAUCCACCCUCAAUAGCGACGUGUCUCAUUGUAGCUACCCAUGUAUCCCCGGAAUCGGCAGUAGGAGCACAAUAUAUCUCAAUACCUAUAGAGAUGUACAUUCGUAUUUUGUGAUCAAUCAAUCCCAUAUCAAAGCCAUAAUGUAUUUCAAGCCUAUUUAUAGGCUAAAACCCUAACAACUUAAAAAAGAGUACUGAAGUAUUUCAAGCCAAACCAUAUUAGUUAGUGAAGAAAAAGACAUACCUUUGCCAUACAUUGAUGUCCUGAAAAGCGGCAUUCUAUUUUCCCAACAAAUGACCGAACCAAGUUUUCCAUAUGGAGUAUCAUAAACUGGAGUAGUCGAGCAAUCUCCGAAACCCCAGAACAGCCGCUCCCAAUAUGUUGGCAUGAGUUUCCUAUGUUUUCCAAGGUAAUUACCUUCAGGAUCAAAGAAGAGAACAGUGCAAUACAAUGUGUAUCCAUCUCUCUCAACAACACCUGUCACUAAGUAGACUUUGUAUUUCGCAGCCAUUGAUGCCAAUCUAUCCACUUCAGGUCCUGAAAAUACAUUAAUAUGAGAUCAAAGAUGAAAUAUGUAAGCUGAUGGCUCAUCACAAAGCAUAAGUAGAUUUUUUUUUUCUUGGUUCAUUCAUCAAACGUGUCUUGUUUCAAUAACUAAUUAAGUGGUUCAGUUCUUUGGCUAUUUAAGGGAGAAAGAGAGAGGUAACUGACCCGGCACAUUAAUGGCAGAAGCAUGGUACUUGCGGAAACUUUCUUUCCCUCUUGGCGACUGGUCGGCGAAAUUGUAUCCCCGGGGAUACCCACCGAUAAAUGCUUCAGGAAACACAACCAGUUGGGAUCCUAGUGCAGCUGCUUCUUUCAAAAACCUCUCAGCCUUAUCUGCUCUCAAAAUCACAUUGCAAGAAUUAAUAAUCCACGACUUAGUAAAUUAAUUGGUUGAAUGGACAGAAUGAAAAUUAACUUCAAGAGAUCCCGAAUGACUUUUUGGUUGCUGAGAAAACUCAAGGAAAAAGAGACCUAGAUGAAACUUGAAACUCUCAUAUUUUCAGCUGUUUUGUAACUAAGAAAAGAGAAACCACCUCAACCCAACUCAUUAAAAUAAUUGUAAAAGCAGUAAUUCCUUGAUUGGCAGCUGAAAAUAUGAUCAGGGUUCAAUCAUCCUUUUCUUUUUUUCAGUCUCUGAGCAACCAAUUAGAUCACAUAUUCCAUUACACAAGUUGAACAAUUGAAAGAAAUGGUACGUUACCUAGAGUGGCAGGAGUAUCAUAAAAGAUACUAGAAGCUUGAACAACGGUGGCUCUAACAGUUGAAGACAUUGCAGAAAUCGUAUGCUUUUUCGUUUCCCUUUUGUUUGAGGAUUCCUUACACAACGUUCAGUAUAUAUAUUGCCCAUGAACAUGAGGUUCUUCUGCCAUUACUUGAACGAGACGAAGAGGCUGUGAAAAGUCUACCUUGGUUUUCUAUAUUCAUUGUGAGCUUUUCUCCUCAUCACAAAUUUUGAAGUUAUCCGCAGACAUUGUGGACCAGCCACAUGACUUGUACAAAUUGAAAAUGACUGUAAGAAAAUGACUCAGCCAAUUCAAGAUAUUUGUCAUUAAAAGAAUAGUCAUUAAAAGCACAAGAUAUUUGUCAUUUUUUUUUUUACAAAAACGACUGAGUCGUACAUAGUGUUAUGGUUAUAGACGCCCAAAAGAAGUCUUUUUGUGCCUUGUAAGAAAACCUUAGCCAAUUCAAGAUGACCACAGAAUCAAAAUAAGUUUUAUCGCUUUCUUUUUUUUCUACAGGUACGAUGAUUAUCUUUGAACGAAAAGAGGGAGCCGCCCACAUGCACAUAAAAAGGGAGUAAUGAGUGAUUCAAUGGCAGCUAUGGUAGAAAAAUAAAAAGGGAACUAUGCUUACCCUCACGUUGAUUCAAGCAAAUAUAUUUUUUAGGAAUUCUAAUUUUCAUAUUUCACCCCAAACACAUAAUCAAUAAAUUUAUUCUUCAAAUAUGUAUUUUAAUAACAACCAAAAUGAGAAUUCUAUAGUUAUCCCUUUUAAAAUCUUUAAUAUGACAAGUCAUCAUUUGAUCUGUUUGAUAUCCUCUCCAUAUCAUGUCUUUGAUAUCCUAACUUUGACAUUUUUUUAUUUAUAUACGCUGAAGUGAAUACACUUUCAUAUUUCUUUUUAUUCUUUUAAUAUUUUCAUAUUUAUUAACUUAGUCAUUUUUUUGAAACAUUAACAUAAAAUUAUAAUAUAUGAUCAAUAACUAAUAAGAACAAAUUAAACAUAAAUAUAAGUACGGAAUGGACAGAAAAUAAAAAAUUUAUCCUACAAAUAAUACACUAUAUAGUUUAAAAUAUUAAUUAUAAUAAUAUAUUUGAUACUUUAGGGUUUAGAUUAAAAAAUUAUGUUUUAUUUUUUAGAGGCUAGGAUAUAGGAUUUCCAUUAACCAAAGAUUUUUUGUAUGAAUCCUAAAUAAAAUGUGUAUUUAUUUUGCAAAUUCUUAUCAUAUAUAAAUAAAAUAAAAUAAAUAUAUUUUUAUCAUAUUAUUUUUAAUUUUUAUUAUUUUGUGUCAAAAUCACAGUCAAUGAUGGUGGUUUUUGUUAUGAUAUAGCUCUUAAAAGGAUGUUAUGAUGCAAUAAAUAUGAAGUUUAUUAUUUAUUUAAUGGUAUUUUGAUUUUACUUUUAUUAAUCUUUAUUUCAUGCAUUUUACCUUAUGAGUAUUCUAGCUUGACAUUUCUUGCACUAUACAUAACUUGGGUGCAUUAAAAAUUGCAUGAAAGAUCCAAGUUAUAGGUUCCUUGCAAGUAAAUGAUUUGUUCACAACCGCUUUGUGAACUUAAGCAAUCCAUUUGAUGUCGUAGUUCACUACCUCUUCAUUAGAGGAAUGAUUUAUCUUGACUACCAAGAUAGAGUUCUCAUGGUGAGUACACUAGUAUGAUGAGUUAUAAUUUAUAAUGUAAGGUUGUUGGGUAGUCAUAACUCACUAAGUUGUUAUAUUGUAUUAUCUUCUCAACCUUGAGAGGAUACUGAACUUGUGCCAAAGUCUAUAAUUGUUUGACCUAUGGGUGAGAUUCUAAAGUGAUUAUAUAUUCCUUACAGAUUGGUCACAGUAGAUAGAAGUCAGUAGUAAUAAGUAUUCUCAAUACAAACAUCACGAUAUCUCAUGGAAUUUGAGAUAGUGUUGGGUCAUAAUAAGGACAUGUGAUCAUGAAAUCUAUGGUCGCAUUAAUUCUUUAAAUGAAAUUUGAUAUAUGCUUUUGUGAGUUAGAGUAUGCUAGUUGAUCAUAUAAUAAGAGAAUAUGUGACUCAAGAAUGGUAUAGGUAAUCUUGAAAGGCAAAUAUCUUUCACCUUAUUAGAUUAUAAACACUAAUUCCUGGGGAGACUAUAUGCAAUAGAUAGCAGGUCACGAACUUAAGCACUUUGUGUCUUGUUGUAAUACACAUAGGGUAUUGAAGUGUAGUUGACUUUCUAUAGUAAGAUGUUGAGUCAAUUUUAAAAUUUGAUUAUAAGGGAGCUAGUACUAUCCUAUGGGUCUUAGCAGUCCUUGCUCAAGUUCAUAUAUCUCAAUGGCAUGGUUUAUGAGGGUUGGAUUAACUCAUGAUUCACUUAUGUGCAUAAGGCUGUUUUGGCAAGUAUGCAUGAUUACAUAGGAGUUUGUUGGGACAAAACCUUAUAAAGUAUGACAUGAUGUAAUAGAUUUAGUUUCAUUAAUAAAUUUAUUUAUUUACUAUUCUAGUUCCCUUGUAUUAUCCCAUUGGCAUUAAUUGGUUAUCAAAGUAUUUACACCCAUAUCACUUGCAUUGUACAUGACUUAGGUGUAUUUAGAGUUGACCAAAAAAUCCAAGUCAUGGGUUCUUUGCAAGGUAAUAAAUAGUUUAUAGUAGGUUCAUGGAUUUGAGCAAUUUAAUAGAGACUAUAGUGUACUACUUCCCAAUUGGAGAGAUGACUAGUCUUAGUCACCGAGAUGACUUUCCCAUGAUGAGUGCAAUAAUGUGUAUAGUUACACAUUGGACAUGACCUAUGGUGAAUCAUGACAUUAAUUGUUGGGUAGUCAUGAUUCACCAUGAUACUAGAUUGUAUAAACUCUCAACCUUGAGAAAAUAUUGAGUUUAUGCUAAAAUCAACAAGAAGCUUUUAUCUAUGGGUGAGAUCCUAAUGUGGUCAUAUAUUCCUUACAAAUUAGGUUACAGUUGAUGAAGGUUGGUGGCAACAGGUAUUCUUAAUAGAGACAACAUAAUAUCUUAUGAGAUUAAGACAACGUGUCUCUUGGGUGAUCCUAAAGACAUGUGAUCAAGAUGACUAUGACCAUAGUAAUUCCUUUAGUAGAAUUUGACAUAUGCUCUUUGUAAGCUAAAGUAUGUAAAUUGAUCAUUAAUAAGAGGAUUUGUAACUCAAGGAUUGGAGAGAUAAUUUUGAAAGGUUGCCAUCACUACCUUGUUAGAUUACAGACACCAGUUCACGGGGAGUUUACAUGCAGUAGAUAGUAGGUCAUAGACCUAAACUUUUCCUUAUUGUAAUUAUAUAGGAUAUUGGAGUGUAGUUGACUUUCUUUAGUAAGGUGUUAAGUUAACCUUAGAAUUGGAUUCAAAGCGAGCUAGCAUUUUCCUAUAGGUUCCAAUGGUCCCUGCUCAAUCUCUCAUUUAAUGGUGUCACAUUUGUUUAAGGUAUUUUAGGUUUGUAGUUAACAAGUGUGCAUUAGGGGGAAUUUAAUAAAAAUACAAGGUUGGACUAGAUAUUGUGAAUAGACUUUCUAGAUUGGCCUAAUUUAUUAAUGGAUUCCAAUAUGGCUAAUUAAUUAAUUAGGAUCUAAGUGAGUUAAAUUAGGUAACCUAAGCCCACUUUAGGCUUAAGUCACUAAAGUUCACAAGGAAGCUUAUAAAUAACUAUUUAAAGCUUAUUGGGUUUUAUGAGUAACUUAAGCUUGCCUUGGGUUUGGGUAAGUUAUCAUAACCUAAAAAAGUUCUUAAUUGAGCGCUUAGAUUAAUCAAUUAGCUUAGUCCAGAAAUACCUUUCACCAACUCUAUUGGAAACUUUGAAUUACUCCAUUUCAUGAUCUAGGAUCAAAUAGGGUGCAUGCAACUAUCUUUAGGUUUUUCUAGAUCUAAUGCACUAGAAAAAUAUGGAUAUAAAAUCCAUAAAAUGUACUAGAUUUAUAGAUUAAAACUCAUACCUAUGAUUUCAAUGUUUCUAAAUUAAAUCCAAUCCCUAAAAGAUAUCAAAGAUGUUUUAAAAGUCAUCUAUCAAACAAUUUUCCACCCAAUCUCUCCCUCCACAAAUAGACCCUAGCACAAAAAAAGGUGAAUGCUGGAAUUUUCGUCAAUUAUUGGAUCAAAACAAAAUUUAUAACCUAAUUCACUAUUCUAUAGCAGCUUGUACCCGAUCAAAAAGUGGUUUUAGUACAAACUAUUGUAGUAUAGUGGUUUUUAGGUGUCGUCCACUAGGAUGGAUUGUUCUCGGUAAUUAAGGCUUGAAUGAGAUGAUAAGAAAUUAUUGCAAUCAAGUGAAAAUGAUUUGACAAUUCAUGAUAAAAGUUCAACAUAACAAUGAUUUCAAAUUUAGAGGAAAAUGAAGGGUAAAAGAGAAGAAAAUUAAUAGAAGAUGAAAUUCUUGGAGGUAGGAUUUUCUAGAAAAAAAUUUCCACGGUGAAUAGAUGUUGAGAUCUAAUUUUCAUCAAGUUAGAUUGAAAACCUAAAUUUUCAUCUAAACCAAUUUUUGAUUUAGCUUUAGGUCUAGAUCUAAUUUCUCUUCAAAUUAGGUCAUUUAAUCCAAGAGAUCAAUUCAAAUUAUAUAUUCAAUUCAUCUUAAACUAUCUUCCAAUGAUUCACAUAAUGCAACUAUUCAAUCUCAUCAAAUCUAGCUUUAAGAAUUUGAUGAAUCUACCUAGCUUGCAUUGUAGUAAUCAUCCAAGACAAUUUGAAGAGAAAAAUCCUCAAAUUUCAAUUAAUCAAUCAAUUGGAUCAAAUUACCUUUUCAAUUCAAGCUCAUUUCUCUAAUUCACCAUAGAUUUUGCCUCUAGAUCCUCCCUCCUUUGAGAAAAAUGAGAUUUAGCCACUCAUGCUUGGAGAUUUUGCCUCACAAAACAUUUUUGGCUAGCGAGAAAAUGAAGGAAAGUGGAAAAUUCUAGAGAAAGAGAAAAUAUGGAAAAUUCUACAAUUAGAAAAUGUCUAAUUUUUUUUGAAAAUGAGUAAAUCAAGUUUCUAUUUAUAGGCCAAGGUCAAGAGGACACUUGGCAUCAUCUAAGAGGUCUUUUAAAGGCUUCUUCAUCAAGAAAUUUGGAGUUUAGUAAUAAAAUGUCCAUUUCGCAAGAGAUCCAGCACUUUCACACGAGCUCCAUCAAUUUCGCAUGAGUGUGCGAAGUGGAAAAUGCAUCAGCACCAAUUUCGCCUUCUUAGAGCAUUUCGCAUGACUGUGCGAAAUUUUCGCAUGGUCGUGCAAAAUCAGCUUCAAGAUUUCCCUUUGAGCUGUAGCCAAAAUUGCCUUCUGGUCCAUUUCAAUUUUAUACUCUGUGUUUUUGGGAUGAAUGACAUGUGAAAGUUGGAAUUUGCUAAAAAAAUAUACAUAUAUUUUUUUGAGUUAAUGUUUGUAAGCAUAAUUCUCCCAAAAACCGGUCAUGCUUCAUCAUAUUGUAUGUUUGUUUUUUUUUAUAAUGUGUGGUUAUUCAUCUUUAUAUUUGUGUAAUGGAUUGAUAUCUAUAAAUUAAGAGUAUCAAUUGAUAGGUAGAUGAAUCAAUUGAUUGGGCAUCUAAGAGUCUUAUGUGUAGAAGACUAAAAUUAUAAAUGGGGAGUUAGAAAACUUUUCAUUUAUAUGAAUAGGGUGUUACAAUUUUUGUAAUCCUAUCAUUAUGAGAUUUAAUUUGUAUAUAAAGUUUAUGAGUAAUGGAGGAAGAUGGAAAAGUAUAACCUAUGCAAUUAUAUAAAUGCAUUCAAGUUGGUAACCCACAAUUAUCCAUUAAUUUGUACAUAAUGUUUGUAAAUAAUGAAUAUAACUCCCGUGUAGUCUUUGAUGCAUGAGAAGACUAAGAGAUAUAAAUCUCUUUUAUAAGAUCAAGAUCCUAAGUCAUACUCUCAUUCUUAUGUCUUUUUGUUAUUUUACUUAUAACAACAUAUAACACACAAGUGACCCGUCUACUAUAUGAGAGUAGUGAGUUGAAGAUCUUGAGCAAAACAAUUCACAAGAUGACUCAAGCUCACUUCAAAAGUAUUAUCAAUAUCAUGGAUGAAGGUAAAAAUAUGAUCAUUAUAUUAUCAUUGCUUUAGCAUUUAUAUCUAUUAUGUUUUAUGCAUCCAAAAUUGAUUUUCCAAAAUAAUUGUUUUCACAUAAAGUUUAGUUAACAUGUACUUCUAUUUUAAAAUUUUAAAAUUUUAAAAUAAAUUUGCAGAAAUCACUUUUAAAUGUUUUUUUAUAAAAAAAAAUUUAAAAUAUGAAAGAAUCACAUAUUUUUUCAACUUUGAAAAAUAGACCUAAUAAACAUAUUUAACAUUUAUAGCAAUUAAAAAUUAAUUAAUAUUUUUUAAAAAAAAAUUAAAUAAAAGCAAUGGUGUAUCCAAAUAAUACCUUAUUCACCCAAUUUAGUUAUCAUAUGCCUUUAGUACCGAAGUGGCUGACUAAAUUUUUUCUCAAGGUAUAAUAAUGCUAAAAGAUCUUUAACCAAAACAUGGACUUCACUCUUAUUUCUUCCUACCACUUUAAUUUCACCCAACUUCACCUAUAGAAGCUCAUUCAUGUCUUAUCUUGUUUGUCUAGUUUGAACCUCAUGUUGCUCAAGUCCCAAAAGGAAUAAAAUUUCAUUCAGAAUAUAAUUAUGCACAAAAUCCUCAUUAGGGUUAGAGUUUGCUCCUUCAUUAAUUAAUUAUAAUGGUUUAGGGUCAGAAUAACAUACUUUAUUAUGUUAAAGUAUCCUAAACUUUGUUAGCAAACACAUAUGGCUGAAAGCGAAGAAUGAUCAAGAGUCCAAGUACUAACAAAGGGCACUUAUGAACCAUAGGUUGAGGAAAGUGGCUUGAGCCCAAGCUUGGGGCUUAGGUUAUUUUUUGUUUAUGCAAUACUUAAAUCCAAACUUAAAGGUGACAUUAGAAACAUAUUUCAAUCUCAUAUUUUAUCCUCUUAACUAUUGGACCUAAUUGCACUCGACAUGGAACUUGUUUAUGCAUUUUGGGAAUCACAUGCAUUUUAGUCCCAAAAUAGCUAUGCAACUUUUUUUUCCACCUAAUUAAGUUCAAAAUUAAGGGGGUGUUUGGUAAAACUUAAUACCUUUUACUAAUGACUUAAAUUGACUUUAAGUUAAAUUAUAUUUAACUUGCUAACUUAAAACUUAUUAUUUAAUUCUUACUUCAAGUAUUAAGGUUGUUUAAUAAAAUUAAUUUAAAACAUAUUUUAAAUCAUCAAAUUGAUAUAUUAUCCUCAUAAAUUAUAACUAGAGUAUAAGAGGUUGAGUGACAAUGAAGGUCGUGGAGUAGUAAAGAAAAUUGUGGAGGUAACUAGGAUAAAUGAGAAUAAAAAAGUAGAAUGAAAAUAUAAAUUUUAAAAUAAGUUAAUUGGUUUUACUUUUUCUUAAAAUUAUUUUUGAUUUUAAGUCAUACCAUUAAAUUAUUUUAAUAAACAUAAUUUACUUAAUAACUUAAAUUAAAUUAUUAAGUUGUUAAUUUACCAAACACCUACUAAUUUUCAAAUUCUAAGUUUAGCUUUGCUUUGCAGUGAAUGCAUUUAGGAUUAUCAAAGAGGUCAUCAAGGGUUUCAAACAUAUUUUAUUGCUCAACUUCUCGAAGAGGGACUUCAGAAGAGAAGAUUCCAUAAUUCUAGUUUUGUAUGCGAUUGUAUGUAUCCUACCACAUGGAGACGAUUCCUCAGCAUGCUGAUUUAUUAUUAAGUUCAUGUGAAUUACGUAUGGAAUUCCAAUUGAUGUGAACAUAAAAUUAAUUGAAUUAUGUGACAUUUUUUUUACGCAGAAUAAAACAUAUACAGUUGGAAGAUAUCUCGAGAUUCUGAUUUUAUAUCUGGCCCUCAAAAUUCUAUUUCACUGUCAGGUUGUGGACGUUCCACCCAGCUGGAGCAGAUCCCUUGGCAUGCUGAUAUGCCAACUAUUGAAAAGUCUGCACCCAUUUUCUAUAUUCAUGAGCUUUUCUCCUGUUCGAAUUAGUUUUGAAGUUAUCUACAGACAUGACUUGUACAAAUUGAAAAGUUUUAAUUAGGGCAGCAAAAGUAAUCCCUUCAAUUUUAUUAUUAUUGUUAUUAUUAUUACCUUAUAAAAAGAAUUUACCCAAUCAAAAGUGAUCGCAUAGUCAAAAUAGAUUUUAUUUUUUCUUAUCUUACAAUAAUAUAAAAAAAUAUAUAUAUACUUUCAAUCAAUGUCUCAUAUUUCUAACACGUACGCGCUCUAGAAUUUCUCGAAUUGUAGUCUAGAGUGUCAACUUUUAGUGUUUGAUCAAAAAGGCCAUAAACAAAUAUAUGAAAAAAGUAAUCAACAAGCAGAGGAUUCUUUUUGAAUAAAAAAGACCCACUUACAAGCAUGGAUUAUAAAUUGUCUUCAGUUGCGGCUGAAACUUUCUAUAUGACUUUAAAGAAAAAAGAGGUCAUAAAUAGAUAGCUGAGAACAAGUUGAGGGAUUCAAAGGCAGCUAUGGUAUAAAUAUUGUUUUAUAAAUUAAACCUUUUGUACCGCCUCUACAAAGGAACACAAAAUUGAGAGAUUCAAAGGCAGCUAUGGUAUAAAUAUUGUUUCAUAAAUUACUUUUCAAAUUUAAUUUGAUAGCAAAAAUUUAAAAUAUAAAAGUAUAAAAAAUUUGUUUCAUUCCCAAAAUUUUUGCAAAUAAAAUUUAAAGUAAUAAAUUAACACCAUGACUCUUUUCACAUCUUAUUCUCAUUUCUAUCAAAGCAAUGAUAGUAAUUGUCUUAUCUAUAAAUUUUAAAUGAUGUAAGAUCAUUGAAUUUUUAUUUUCUUUUAAACUUCUUGUUAUGUAAUUAUCAAACAUAUUUUUUUAAGACAAGAAAAAAAUUACACCGAACAAAUAGAUUUGAUACUUAGAAUAAUUGAAAACAUAAUUCGUAUUUUCCAUUUUUAAAAAUAAUAAAAGCAAAGGUGUUUCAAAACAAUACCUCAUUUGCUCAAUUAAUUAUCACAUUUCCUAAGUACAAAAGUAGGCAAGUAAAUUUUUGCUCAAGUUACAAUAGUGCUCCAAAUCCUUAUCCAAGAUUUUGAUCCUAUUUCACAAUUGUUUUUUAAAACAGUUUUUUUCUUCUCUACAACAAAAAAAAAAAAAAAACAAGAAAAUGUGUUUGAGAAUUGGAAAAUAAAGUGUUUUCAAAAAAACAUAUGUUAGUUGUUUUUAGUUUUUCUUCAUUAGCUUUUUUGAAGGUUGUUUUUAAAAAUAAUUAUACAAAUAUGAAGAAUUAUUAAAAAUAUAAUUUUAUAGACAAAAGUUAUUUUAAAAUUAUAUGCACGAGUUUUGGAAAGUCUUGCAAAAUAAGCAAAACUAUAGGAAAAAUAUGCAAAUAAAAUUUGUAUUAAAAUCAUUGGGGGCCCCCGCAUUUCGGCUCAUGCGCUUCCACUCGAUGGUGAGCUCGAUUUUUAUUUUGAAAAAUGAUUUAUUAUUUGAAAAAUGACUUGAAGUCGCCACUUAUUUUUGUUUUAUUUUUAAAGGGUAAACAAAAUAAGAAAGAAAACUCUAAAUGUGACUCCUUAUUUGGAAAAGGUGGUCUGUGAAAAACCGGAUCGGGCUCGGGGGUUAGGUUACUUAUUGGGAAGGUACGGUAAAAACCGUAGCACCCCUCUAAGUCCCCAAAAACGGGUCUUUACUAAUGAAAUGAAGCAAUCAUGACAAUUGAUAAGUAAAUCAAUGGAUACCGAAUGAAAAUCGAAACAAAAUACCCAAAUGAAUUUGAGAGACAAAGAACGUACCUGAGUGACGAGCUGAUUUAUUUCAUUGGAAACAAAGGUUAGUGAACAAACACAAAUGAUCGUGUGCAUAUCAUAGAAUAGAACAAAUCAAUCACAUAUAGCAAUCAAAUCAAUCAAUCAUAAAAUCGCAUAUGUUGGGCCCCCACUAAAACCCAUUUAUUUUUGCAUGAAUUAAUUCUGUAAAUUCCAUCACUCGGAAUUAUAGAAUUUAAUUCAUGCUUAUUUUAAAACAUUUAAAAAACAGAGGAGAUGUGAGUAUUGCUCAUCAGAAAAGAAGAUGGCAACAAAGUUUUAUUAAAAAUGGGAUUUUUGGUACCUAAAACUCUAAGGAUGAAAAUUUUGGAGUUGAGAUUAUUUAAAAAGUUAGAAUCUGAAAAAUUAUUUUUAAAAAAAGAUUUAGAAAGUUAUUUUCAAAACCAAAAGGGAGAAAUAGGAGGUGGCAUGUGGCCCAAAGGUGGCCAUGCGGAGGUGGCCAUGCAAAAACAUUUUCUUCUGGGCCAAGGGAGAGACUGCGCUAUAGGGAUCAAUGGUAUUGUUGGGCUUGUCAUAACUCUAACCAGGAUAGGAUCCCAGCCACAUAUAGCUGUAACUAGGUUGCUACAUUGAAAGAGUACCAAGAGAGGCACCCUAGCUUAACGGAGGUCAGGCCUGGUAGCCUUGCGGAGGAUAUCUCUAACCAUUGCCAGAUUUCUGAUAUGAUUCUCACUGAUGACUUCGUUGACCAACUGUUCAGCAAACUCAAUCUGUUCACUGGUACUGCCUAUGUGUGCAAUUCUCUCCAUUGAUAUGUCACCAGAAAGGAAAUGCAAAAGUAUAAACUAGAUACGAGCUCCUGUCUUGGCUUGCAUAUUUCUAAUGAUCUCACCGCCCUUACCAACUAUCAGACCAACCUUGUUGUUUGGUACUUUCAUCACGAGCUGUCCAAACCCAGUCCAACCAAUUAACCUUCAAGAAAUUAUGCCAAACCUCUUUGCUUAUAUCUGUUGUGUCAUUCCAUAAGAAUUGAACGCACCCAUAUGUAAGCACCCGUGAUGUGUCGUCACACUCCAACUGCAAAUUAAAUCGAACAAGACCUUUCAUGGAAGCAUCUCUGACAUCUAAAUGAGACCCUGUCAAACCUUGAAUUAUCUGGAGUUCAUCAAGUGCAUCAUCAAAUGCUCUUCAUUCAGAGUGUCCAACUUAGCAAUAGCUUCAUCAAAAACCUAUUUAUCCAGAUUACAAGCAUGAUCCAGGGGAUUCAGAAUCUUAUAGUAAAAGACGGAGAAGUUAAGUGCAAGCCUCAAGCAGAUAAGACGGGUUGAAGCCAAUUCCACAGCUGCAAUAUCCUACGCUGAUUUUAUAAGCUACGAGAGUGCUCUCCGUCGCCUCUCUCAUCUCGGCUCCGGUCUUGAAUGCUGAUAGAUAACAACGAUAAUCGCUCUUCAUCUUUAAACAAAGCGACUUUGGGUCACUAGCCAUAGCCGAAUGAAUAAGCUACGAAUCCAGCAGACGAAGAGUAUCGUCACAGAUGGAGGAUUGUUGAAACAUAACACGCAUAUAAUGGAAACAGACUCGUGUUGGCUCCUGCCCGCUCCCAAUGGGUAUGGCCCUCAUGCUCAUUGACAUGUUCGAAGACGUCAACAAGCGCACCAUAGACCUUCUGUAGGCAGAGGAUUGGGUUUAAUGGGUUUAGAAAGAAUUUGUGGCAUGUAUGGGUAUGGAAAUAGGUGUGAAUGAUAGCCUUGCAUGCAUGAGGAGUGGUGAAUAGGUUGAAGAGAGUGGGUUUAGAGGAUAGAAAUAUGGGUAUAGUUGUGGGUUUAGAAAAUGGGUACAGUAUUAGUGGGACGGGUAGUGGAAAAAUGGAUUGGAAGGCAUUGGAAAAUGAGGUCUCUAUGGUGGCCAUGCAUGCGUCAAAAAAUAGAAAGGAGUGCAUGGAGGUUAAAUGGAAGGAUGAAUGAUGGAAGUAGCAGCUUGGGUAGGUGUAAGCUUUGGAUUUGGGUAGGUAAAAAAAAUGAGAGAUAGGUAUGAGAUAGCCAAUGAGAGAUCUGCACCAUUUGGCAUUGUGAUCGCUCGGUUUUUGUCGUUUAUUGGAUCAAAACAAAAUUUAUAACCUAAUUCACUAUUCUAUAGCAAUUUGUACUCGAUCAAAAAAUGGUUUUAGUACAAACUACUAUAGUAUAGUGGUAUUUAGGUAUCGUCCACAAGGAUGGAUUAUUCUCGGUAAUUAAGGCUUGAAUGAGAUGAUAAGAAAUGAUUGUGAUCAAGUGAAAUUGACUUGAAAUUGCAUGAUAAAAUUCCAAAAUAACAAUGUAUUCAAAUUGAGAGAAAAAUGAAGUGUAAAAGAGAAGAAAAUUAAUAAGAGGUGAGAUUCUCGGAGUUAGGAUUUUCUAGAAAGCAAUUUCCAUGGCGAAUAAGUGUUGAGAUCUAAUUUUCAUCAAGUUAAAUUGAAAACCUAAAUUUUCAUCUAAACCGAUUUUUGAUUUAGCUUUAGGUCUAGAUAUAAUUUCUCUUCAAAUUAGGUAAUCUAAUCCAAGAGAUCAAUUUGAAUCAUAUAUUCAAUUCAUCUUAAAUUAUCUCCUUAUGAUUCACACGAUGCAACUAUUCAAUCUCAUUAAAUUUAGCAUUAAGAAUUUAAUGAAUCUACCUAGCUUGCAUUGUAGUAAUCAUCCAAGACAAUUUAAAGAGAAGAAUCCCCAAAUUUCAAUUAAUCAAUCAAUUGGAUCAAAUUACCUUUGCAAUUCAAGCUCAAUUCUCUCAUUCACCAUAGAUCUUGUCUCUAGAUUCUCCCUCCUCUGAGAAAAACAAGAUUUAGCCACUCAUGCUUGGAGAUUUGAUCUCAUAAGACAUGUUUGGCUACCAAGAAAAUGAGAGAAAAUGAAGGAAAGUAGAGAAUUAUAUAGAGAAAAGAAAUCUGAAAAGUUCUACAAUUAGAAAAUGUAUCAAAAGUCUUUAAAUGAGUCAAUCACAUUUUUAUUUAUAGGCCAAGGUCAAGAUGACACUUGGCAACAUCUAAGAGGUCUUUCGGAUGCUUCUUCAUCAAGGAAUUUGGAGAAAAUACAUUUUCGCACGAGCCUUAGCAAUUUCGCAUGAUGGUGCGAAGUGGAAAACCAUCAGCUUCAUUUUUGUCUUUCUGGAGCGUUUCGCAUGACUGUACAAAAUUUUCGCAUGGUUGUGCGAAAUUGCUUUUCACUUUUCCCUUAGUAUGCUACAGCCAAACCUAUUCUGUUUCAUUUCACAUGGUCAUGCGAAAUUGAAAAACAUGUUUUUUCGACUCCUCUUUGCAAUUCUUUCCAUUUCUUCAUUUUUAAUCCACCUCUACCACUUUCAAUUCAACUCCAAAUCCCAAUCCAAACCGAUUGCAUUGCUUAUUUCAUUAUGCAUUUGGAUCAUCAUCAACUUUAUUUGUUUUCUUCAAUUUGGUUCAUCUCUUUUGUCACCAAUUUAUCAAAAUCAUACCUUAAAAUGACUUUAAAACUUCAUAAAACUUGUUAGUAACUAUUGCAAGGGCAAAAACAUGUUAAUUGAGUGUUUUAGGCAUAAUUACUACUCAAAAGAUGUGAAAAUCAUGAGAAUUAUUAUCUAAAAUAUGCUCUUUUUGAGUAGUAAUCAUUCCCCCCAACCAACACAUUGCUAGUCCCUUAGCAAUUGUAUGACAAAAAGAAAGAAAAAUAAGGCCAAAGAAAAGAAAUCAUAACUCACAUAAGCAAAUCAUUUGAAAAAAAAAAUGUUUGAAAUUUCCAUAGCAUAAAUGGUUGAUAAACAAGCACACCCUACUAUCCAUAGGUAUCAACAAAAUCCCAACUUAUUUACUAUCUCUAAUAGAAAUAAUAUCAUGCUAAUCAAGGUAUCAAAAACAUAUCCAUCUUCAUUUCCCAAACAAUCUUUGUAAACAAGUCUUGAGUGUAAUUAAGCUAGCUCCCGAAUAUAGUACUCAAAACUAAUCCUCCCCCCAACCUAGCUCAAUUUAUCUCAAACAACAAAAAUCACUCUCUCAUAGGUUAAGAACACACCUAUCUUUAUUUUAUUAUUAUUUUUUUUACAAAUGACUUAUUGUAGGAGUGCAAUGCUAAAGGUAUCUCCAAGUAUAUGGUCCAUGUAGCGGGGAUUCAUCGAUGACUCCCAAUCAUAAGGCAUAGGGCACCAAGUUUAUAGGACUAUUUAACUAGCCACUAACUCCUCAGACUUCACCCCGGACUCCUCAAAUUAGGAUCCAAUACAUUAACACCUACAAUUGAGUUCAUACCCCACCUAUCCACCCAUGUAACAAGCAUUGAGGUCGGUGGCUCCCAACCAAAAUGGCUUAGGGCACCAGGCUUUAAAGACCUUUGGGCCAUAUACCCCUCGGACCUUGCUCAGGUUUCAAGGCAAGCAUAACUCAACAUUUUUAUUCAUCAACUCUUUUUUUUUUUUUUUUUUCAAUUGGGCACAUUGGCCUCUUUUUAAGGUGUCUCAACUCAGUUCAAGAGUAAUCAAUGUUACAAGAUAAUUAAGUCUAAGUCUUAAGGUUAGAAUAGUUUUUCAUCUUAUAUCUGGGGUCUAGAGUGCAUAGUAUGUGUCAAGACUCAAAUAGAAAUGACAAUUUGGAAAAUGAAGACUUUAAAGUCAAAUCAACUUUAAUUCACAUAACCAAUCUUCUAAGAUCAAGCAAAUAAGCUAGUAUUCUAAAUCAACUUUUUUUAAGUUAGGUUUGCUCAUUCAUCAAUCACAAAUGCUAUAGUCAUCUCAAAAAAAUCUCACCAAAUAAGUCACAAAUGUGAUUUAUGAAAAAAAAAAAUUAUAGAAAAACUAAUAACAUAUUUCCUUCUCUUCAUUUUUAACCCUCCCCCAACCUAACUUGUACAUUGUCCUCAAUGUGUAAUGAAAAUAUACAAAGAAAGGAAGGAAAGAUACCUCAAUCUCUCAUGAAUUUCAGUUUCAAUAGCUAAAACAAAAAUAAGAUCACACAUGAGAAUUGUUGGAUAUGAAUGACAUAAGAGAAGAAAAUAUGAAAACAAAUCUAUUAAAAACCAAAAAAAAAAAACUAUGUUAGAGACACAAUGUAUGGAGUAAAAUCAAGGUAUAGAUGAUGACAAUGUCCAAAGAAAACAUGAUUUCAAUGAUAAGUCAAUGAUUCUCAUGGAGUUUUUGAAAAUUUCAGACAAGUGUGCAAACUAGACAAGAAGGUGGUGUGUGUUGCAACCACUUUUUCUUUUGAAAUAAUUUGGCACAAUCAUGCGGAAAUUCGCAUGUACAUGCGAAUUGGUCAAGAGAGCUUUAUCUUAUUAUAGUCUUCAGCAUAAUUUUCGCAUAGUCAUGUGAAAAUUCGCAUGUUGAUGCGAAAUGGAUCUGAGGCUUAAAACUGUUGUAGUCAUCCACAUUAGUUUCGCACAGUCAUGCGAAAACUUCACAUGAGUGUGUGAAGUGGUCCAGAUGGCUCAUUUUACUACAGUCUUUAAGAUGGAUUUCGCAUAGUCAUGCGAAAUGCUCUAGAGGGUUCAUUUUUACAACUAUCAUUUUCAGUUUUGCACAGUCAUGCGAAAAUUUUGCAUGACCAUGCGAAUUGUGACAAAGACUCAUUUUGUACAUUUCCGAAGAUAUGAAAACUCCCCUAUUUUGGCAUGACUGUGUUAUUUUGGCAUGACCUCCCUGUUUUGGCAUGACUAUGCAAAAUGGUGAUGGGCCAUUAAAACUCUUUUUUCCUUUGCUUCAUGCAUUCCAUCCAUCCAGAAAGUCCUUCAAAACACAAGUCAAAGAAUUGAGAUGGAUUUAUUUAAUGGAAACUAAAAAAAAAAUCAAAAUCCAAAGGAAAUGAUAAACCAUUGGGCUAGCUAGCCAUUGACAUGACUAAGCCCAUUAACCUUUGCAUCAAUACUCAAUUUGGAUAUGGCUUGCAAACAAUGAAUGGACCAACUCCUUGGUACUUAAGCUUUCCCAGAAAAAUAUGUGGCUUGAAAUAACCUUCUUUGAACUUGUUCUUUUGAAUAAGUUGGUCAUGCCAUUCCUUGAGUUUCUUUUUCAUGGUCUUUGGAUUAUUUUUCAUACCAUGCUUCAUUUUUUUCACUUUCUUGAAGCUGAAAGACCAUUUCAUUAACUUCAAAGGUUGAAUUUCUUUAUUGAUCCUCCAAACUUCAAUCCGUUCAUUGGAAAUUGCUUCACUAAGUUUUGAAAAAUUAUCUUCAACCUUUUCUUUCACUAGCACUUUCAUAGGCAAUUCAAUCAAAUAAGCCUCCUUAAGUUCCUCCUCCUCCUUGGUACCAUGCUUCUUAUAUGAAUGAAAAAUGUUUAGCUCAAUUGUCAUGUUACCAAAGGUAAGUUGCAUCACCCCACUUCGACAAUUAAUUAAUGCAUUUGCUGUGGCAAGGAAAGGUCGGCCAAGUAUAAUAGGAACAUGGUUGAGUCCACUAGUUCCUUGUUUCAUAUCAAGCACCACAAAAUCAACCGGAUAAUAGAAGAUAUCGAUUUGGAUCAACAUAUCCUCAAUAAUUCCUCUUGGAAACUUAACCGAUCUAUCCGCCAAUGAAAGUGUGAUGGAAGUAGACUUUAGUUCUCCAAACCCCAAUUGCUUAUAUACCGAGUAGGGAAGAAGAUUCACACUUGCCCCCAAGUCUAAAAGUGCUCUUUUCACAAAAGUGUUGUCAAUCUUCACCGAGAUAGUUGGACAUCCCGGAUCCUUAUACUUGAUUGGGGUUUUACAUUGGAUGAUUGCACUAACUUGUUCAGUCAAGAAAGUUUUCUUUUUCAAAUGCAUCCCUCUCUUUAUGGUACACAAAUCCUUAAGAAACUUGGCAUAGGUUGGAAGUCUUAUCAUGUCAAGGAGUGGUAUAUUGACUUUGACUUGCUUGAGAACUUCAAAAAUUUCUAGAGCAUUAUUUACCACUUUCUUGGAUUGAAGAGCCAUAGGAAAAGGUGGAGCUAAGAGCAUAUCUUUCUUCUUAACCUCUUCUUUAACAAUCUCAUCUUCCUUUGAUCUAUCAUCCUCAUUCACCUCUUUCCAUUUUUCUUGUUCUUUCACAUUUUCCUUUUGUUCCCCUCUUUUAUUCUCUUUUGGUUUUGGCAUAGGUUGAUCAACUUGCUUACCACCUCUUAAGGUAAUGACUGCUUUGACUUCAUCCUUCUCAAUAGAACUUUCACUUGUCUCUCCAAUUUCAUGGACUCCACUUGGAUUUUGUUGGGGUUAUGAAGAGAAUUUUCCUUUUUCUUACACUGUAUGCAUGCUUGUGAGUUUAGAAAUAGCAAGCUGCAUAUUAUCAAUCUUUUGUGUGAGAUUGGUUUGCAAGCUAUCAAAUUUCUGAUUGAAAGAUGUCUCCACAUGAUCUAUUCUUUGGUUUACUUGAAUAUUGAUAUUCUUUUGAUCACCAAUAAAAUCACCCAAAAUUUUACUCAAGCUUACAAUAGCUUGCUCAACCAAAGAAAUUUGUUGUGGAGAGUCUUCCAUGACUUGUUGGCUUUGUGAGUAUUGACUUGAAGAAAAUUGUUCUUGUCCACAAUUCCAUGACAUGUUUAGAUGAUUCUCAACAAGUCUUUCCCCCAUAGCUAGUAUUGUAGGACAAUCACUCACUUCAUGUUCUAUAGAUUGACAAUUAGAACAUUGCUCCUUGUAAAUUGGAUUAUCAUAUAUUGCAUUCACCACAUGAAAUCCCUUAGCUUCAAGUUCCUCUAGCCUUUUUGUCAAAGCUACCAUUUUAGCUUGUAGAUCAACAUCUUCAUUCAACAUAUACAUUCCUCCAUUUGAAUUGCUUUGAGACUUGGACUUGUGUAAAUCCCUUUCAUGUGGCUCAUUCCAUGACCUUAAUAUUUUAGCCACAUAAUUCAAGAAUUCAAAAGCUUCAUCGGGACUUUUGCUCAUAAAGCCACCUCCACACAUGGUUUCUAGCAAUUGCUUCAUAGUUGGCGACAUGCCCUCAAGAAGUAACUCACCAACAUCCAUGUGUCAAAACCAUGAUGAGGACAAACAUUGAUUACUUCCAUAUAUCUUUCCCAACAAGCAUAAAAUUUUUCAUUGUCCAAUGCCACAAAGUUGGUAAUUUGCCUCUUCAAGCCACUUGUGCGAUGUAUGGGGAAAAUUUUCUUUAAGAAGGUUGUUUGUAGUUCCAACCAUGACCUUAUGGUUUGGGGCCCCAAUGAGUUGAACCACAACUUAGCCUUAUCCUUCAAUGUGAAUGGAAAAAGCUUCAAUCUCAUAAGCUCAAUGGAUGUGUUUCCCUCAUGAAAUGUAUGAAAAACCUCUUCAAAAUCCUUGAUGUGAGUAUAAAGAUUCUCAUUCUCCAUUCCAUGAAAUUGAGGUAGAAGGGGUACCAAGUGAGUUUUUAUCACAAUAGCCUCAUUAGGAAGAACUAUACAUGAUCCCAUGCCUAUCCUUUGAGGAUGCAUAUAUUCUCUCAUUGAUCUAGACAUGUGAGAAUUGCCAUUGUUUGGUCCUUGUUGAGUUUGUUGAUUUUCCCCUUGAUUUUCCAUUUCCUCAACAAUUGGAUCACAAAACAAAGAUGAUUAGCAAUAUAAGUUUUUUUUCAAUCUCUCCCUUGAAUUUUAUUCUCAAUGUAGUAUGCAAUGGAGAGCCUACAAAACAAGCUUAGAAAAACCAAAACAAACCAAGAAGAACAAAAAGAGAAAUAAAAGAUAAAAAUGGAAAAAAAAAUAAUAAUAAGAAAAAUGGAGAAUCGAUAAAGAGAACUUCACCAAUCUUGUGAUGUGGAUCACAAGGGCUAAUCCUCACCAAAAAAAAAAAUGCCUCAAUCACCUAGGCACCAUCCCCGGCAACAGUGCCAUUUUUGAUUGCUCGGUUUUUGUCGUUUAUUAGAUCAAAACAAAAUUUAUAACCUAAUUCACUAUUCUAUAGAAAUUUGUACCCAAUCAAAAAAUGGUUUUAGUACAAACUACUGUAGUAUAGUGGUAUUUAGGUAUCAUCCACAAGGAUGAAUAUUCUUGGUAAUUAAGGAUUGAAUGAGAUGAUAAGAAAUGAUUGUGAUCAAGUGAAAUUGACUUGAAAUUGCAUGAUAAAAUUCCAAAAUAACAAUGUAUUCAAAUUGAGAGAAAAAUAAAGUGUAAAAGAGAAGAAAAUUAAUAAGAGGUGAGAUUCUCGAAGUUAGGAUUUUCUAGAAAGCAAUUUCCAUGGUGAAUAGGUGUUGAGAUAUAAUUUUCAUCAAGUUAGAUUGAAAACCUAAAUUUUCAUCUAAACCGAUUUUUUAUUUAGCUUUAGGUCUAGAUCUAAUUUCUCUUCAAAUUAGGUAAUCUAAUCUAAGAGAUCAAUUUGAAUCAUAUAUUCAAUUCAUCUUAAAUUAUCUUCCUAUUAUUCACAUGACGCAACUAUUCAAUCUCAUUAAAUCUAGCAUUAAGAAUUUAAUGAAUCUACCUAGCUUGCAUUGUAGUAAUCAUCCAAGACAAUUUGAAGAGAAAAAUCCCCAAAUUUCAAUUAAUCAAUCAAUUGGAUCAAAUUACAUUUGCAAUUCAAGCUCAAUUCUCUCAUUCACCAUAGAUCUUGUCUCUAGAUUCUCCCUUCUCCGAGAAAAACGAGAUUUAGCCACUCAUUCUUGGAGAUUUGAUCUCACAAGACAUGUUUGGCUACCGAGAAAAUGAGGGAAAAUGAAGGAAAUUAGAGAAUUAUAUGAGAAAAGAAAUCUGAAAAGUUCUACAAUUAGAAAAUGUAUCAAAAGUCUUUAAAUGAGUCAAUCACGUUUCUAUUUAUAGGCCAAGGUCAAGAUGACACUUGGCAACAUCUAAGAGGUCUUCCGAAUGCUUCUUCAUUAAGGAAUCUGGAGAAAAUACAUUUUCGCACGAGCCUUAGCAAUUUCGCAUGAUGGUGCGAAGUGGAAAAUCCAUCAGCUUAUUUUUUGUCUUUCUGGAGCGUUUUGCAUGACUGUGCGAAAUUUUUGCAUGGUCAUACAAAAUUGCUUUUUACUUUUCCCUUAGUAUGCUGCAGCCAAGCCUAUUCUAUUUCAUUUCGCAUGACUAUGCGAAAUUGAAAAACAUGUUUUUUCGACUCCUCUUUGCAAUUCUUCCCAUUUCUUCAUUUUUAAUCCACCUCUACCACCUUCAAUUUAGCUCCAAAUCCCAAUCCAAACUAAUUGCAUUGCUUCUUUCAUUAUGCAUUUGGAUCAUCAUUAACUUUAUUUGUUUUCUUCAAUUUGAUUCAUCUCUUUUGUCACCAAUUUAUCAAAAUCAUACCUUAAAAUGACUCCAAAACUUCAUAAAACUUGUUAGUAACUAUUGCAAGGGCAAAAACAUGUUAAUUGAGUGUUUUAGGCAUAAUUACUACUCAAAAGAUGUGAAACUCAUGAGAAUUAUUAUCUAAAAUAUGCUCUUUUUGAGUAGUAAUCACAUUGCAACACCCUUAUUUUGUUAUACCCAUUUGUAUGCUUAUCCUUUACAUAAGGAGCUUGUCUGACACCUUUAUAGAAGCGGACAAAAAGCAUGGCUUGCUUGUAGAUCCAGUGCAACUUUCAGUAACACCCAACCCCUAUCAUUUUGACCCAAAAGGAUCUAUACCUAUGAUCAUUGAACUCAUUCCAUUUUGAGAACAAUCUUCAUGAACUCAUAAACGAAAUAACUUAUUGAAACUGAAGGUAGCACCUGUGGUAAGCCGAUUUCAAUAUAUCAUGCACACCAUAGAAAAUUGCACCUGAAGGUGCCAUACUUAUAGUGGAAGGCACCAAACCCUUGUAAAUGGAGAAGAAUCCUUCAGUUCGGAUCAUAUGGAGGAAAUGCCAAUAACACUACCCAAGGCUUUACCACCCGGUGCCACCAUCUUGGUCUGGAUUUAACAUGGUACCCAAUAGUAAGCGGAGUAUGGUAGUAGUAAUUCUAGCUGCAUCACCAGCAAUUGUCUUAAUUAGCUCAAAUAUAUGCUUCUGUUCACCAUGAACUAUAUAUUCCAGCUUUAGUCUCCUUUGAUUGCAUAUCAUUUCCUCCACAAAACUUUCGUUUACUAUCAUCAAACUGCCAUCCUAUACCACAAUGGUCCCAUCAACCCUACUGACCAUCCAAAUGUCAUUAAAUGAGCUAGAAGCUGGGGACUCUCAACAGCAAGAGCACCUUGAGGUUGAAUGAAUUUAGAAUAACCCACUGAAAACUCUUAUAUAGCUUCUUUAGGUGGAGAUGAGGAAGGAGAAUAGCCAAAAUAGAGCACAACAGAGUGAGCAAAGCAUUAAGUGGGAUCCCCCUUUCAUAUUGAAAUCAAGGGGUUCCAGCCAGUGGUGCAACAGGAGAGUUUAAAACAAAGAUCCAAAUGAGAGCAUCAAUAAACUCCCACCAUGGGAGUGAGCCAUAUUCAAAAAAACAAAUAUAAGAGAAAAGUAAUGCAUCAUCACAUACCCAGACAAUCGUCCAAUGCUUAGAAAAAAAAAAAAACCAAAACAACCAGAGAAGAUGGAAGAUAAAGAAAACAGAGUGAUGAGUGAAAAUAAUCCAAAAAGCUAUAUCAAAUGUACCUAGAAAUGCUCUUUCCAAUUUUCUUUUCUUCCCAACUACCUUCAGCAAACUAGAUUUGCUUUCUCUCCUCUGCUCCUAAUCAAACUACACCCUCAAGCAAUCUGAAAAAUGCAAUCCUCUCUCUCACAACCUCAGCGCACCAACCAUCUCUACUUCUCUCAUUGUUGCUCCAACUCCUUACAAAAAUAUCCCCUCUUUGUCUCUCCUCCCAAGCUCUUUCUCUCUCUCUCUCUCUCACUUCUCCUCAGCUAUGCUCUCUCAAUCCCUCUAAAAAAAAACAUCCUUCUCUCGCUCCUCUGUAACCUCAAACUUUUCUCUCAAGCUAAAGGAAACUUCUCCCCCCGAUAUCUCCUCUCCUCCCUAGCAACCAAAAAUACCCCUCCUCUGCCAGAAUGCCUCACCUUCUCUCUCCUACGCUCCUCCAUAACGGCCUGAAGAUUCUUAUGCCAUGCAUCAGCCGCUGAUUGCCUUCAGAAAAGAUCACUGCCUAUCCAUCCUCUCAUGCACAUGUUGCCAAAAAUAAAAAAAGGUGGUAAAGAAUGCUCCCUAAAAUGCCCUUACCUAUAAACCAAAACGAGGGUUUUACAGGCGCACAAUAUUUGUGGAAAAAUAUUCUUUGCUGAAGAAUAUUUUUUAAAGAUCAAUUGAAAGCCUAAAGCAGCUUGUUCCCAAAUGAAUUUAUUGAAUGGUGAAAAACACGUGUGUUGCGAUUUUUUGGAUUUGUAGGGGGUAUUUUAUAAAGCUUUUUUCUCUUUGUGAAACUCCUUUUCAUAUGUGAAAUUGUUUUAUUUUUAUUUUAUCAUUUUCAUUGAAGGAAGUUGCAAAUAUUUAUAGAUAAAAUUUUAAAAAAUAAAUUUAGAAUUUCUAAGAUUUGAUUACUUAAUUAAAAAAAAAAAUUGGUUUCUUGAUUUUAGCAACUUGUCUUCUUCAUUAAGGAAGUUUGCUAACAAGAGAAUAUUUACUUCUCAUUUUAUUUUGACUUCAAUUGGAAGACUUGUUUCAUUUGUUUACAAAAUUUUCCAACAAGAAAAUAUUUAUUUCUAAUUCUCUUUUGAUUUCAAUUGUUUGAUUUGAUUUGAUUUUGCAAGACUUUAUUUUAUAGCCUUCCAAAUUUCACUACGUGUCAUUUUUUGAAUUGAAUGCCACAUGCUCAAUAUAUAUGACUCAUCACUUAUUAAGCCUGAGUUUUGUUGAGCUAAAGAGUUACAAUUUUGAAGACUAAUUUGGUAGUAUUUUAAUCCACUAAAAUUUUUUGUCUACAAAUGCCCCCUCUUCAAAAUAGAUCACACACAUGCAUUGUAAUGUAUAAGAGGUGAGUCUUGAAGUUAGCCUUUUGAAUCUUCAAUAUCCUUCUUUGAUUUUUUUUUUCGAAGAAAUAUUUUAAUAGGAAUUUCCUAUUCAAAAUACUUUUCUUCAACUUUUUUCGAACAUUGCUUUAUUUAUUUAUUUUUUUUCUACCUCGUAUCAAAGAAAAACCUUGUGUUAAUGGGAAAGCUUCUUAUUUGAACAUCUAUUGUCUUUUCUCAUGGUAUUUCACUUCCAAUUUGUCAACCUAGAAGAAGUCCUUCACCCUAGCUUGUUCAAUUGCAUCUUAGACUUGGUCACAUGCCUUUAACUUGCAAUUCUUCCUCCACUUUGUCUUUUUCUUUUUUAUUUGUUUAAAAAAUAGUACAAAAUAUUUGAGCAAGACCAUAAGCAAGAGAAGAGAGGUGGUGAAUGGAGCACCAACUAACCUUAGGUCAAGAUCUUGAGCAAGAGAAGUAAGGUGGAGCGUAGAGCACAAACUUCUCUAGAGCAUGGUAGGCAUACCAUCAUGGAGUUGUCUUCUGCAUGGAGCAUGGUAGGGCAUUAUAUAUAUGAUAGGGUGGGCCAUUAUGUAACAAUGAAGAACAAAAAUCCAUGGUGUACAAUUGGGAACAACAAUUCAUGCUAUCAAGCUUCAACCUUUUUUUUUUUGUUUUUUUUUUAAUCCCUAUCUCCACCCCCCGACCCAAUAUUUUUUCAAGUUUCCAGAUUCCUUUUGAUUCUUUCUCAUUUUAUUUUUUUCAACUCUUUUUUUUCCUCCCUUUUUAACCAUUGUUUUUAAGGAAGAAAUAGAUUCACCAUCCCUUACCACAAGGUCAAUCUCCAUUGCUUGCAAAGACAAAUUUGCUUUUUGGUGUUUUUUUUCUUCAAAAAUUAUCUUAACAUUUUAAGAUAUAUAUAUAUAGAUAUAGAUAUUUAAAAAACUUAAAUAUCCAUAAUAAAAAUAAAUAUUUAAGGCUCUUGACUUGUUUAAAUUGGCUUGACUUGGAUACUUAGCGGGACCAUACUUAACACCCAUGUAGAUGAGCUAUAAUCUUGAUGGUAGGUUGUGUUGUAUUUUUUGACAUUUAAUGUGGCUUAAGAGUUAAAGUCUUCACUCAUGCAAAUUAGCUUGGUUUGGAUGCACAAUGGUCUCUAACUUCUUAAUGCUUAAUUAAACUUGGAACCAUAUUUAACACCCAUGUAGACAAGUCAUAAUCAUGACAUGGAGCACUAUUUUAUUUUAACUCUUAAUGCAACUUAAAUAUUAAAGUCUUCACUCAUACAAAUUAACUUGGGUUAGAUGCACAAUGGUGUUCAACUUGGUAAAAUUAAUUAAAAUUGAAACAUUUAACACCCAUGUAAACAAGUCAUAACUUUCACAUGGAACAGUGUUGUAUUUUUAGCUUAAUGUCGCUUAAGUGUUAAAGUCUUCACUGAUGUAAAUUAGCUUGGCUUAGAUGCAUAGUAGCAUUCAACUUUUUAACACUUAAUUUAAAUUCAUACCAUAUUGAAAACCCAUGUGGACAAGACAUAAUGAGAAAAUAAAUGGCUAAUCUAAAUAGAUAAAAAUACCUAACAAGGAAGGAGGGGGGUGAAUUGGAGUUUAAAAAAAAAAUAUAUUUUUAAACACAAUAAAAUUAAGUACAAGAAGCACAAAUAUAAAGAGAUAAGUUAUAGAAAUCAAACUCAGAUUUAUAGUGGUUCGACACUUCCUUGCCUACAUCCACUCUCCUCAAACUCCUAACCGAGUGAGGGUUCCACAUAUACUUGAAGCUUCAACCAAGCUUCUAAUCACUUUUUACACUUGGAUUUUAGCUCCAAUGGGCUCUUACACAUUCUCUUCAAGUCUCUACUCACUUGAAGAUUUUAACACACAAUUAACAGUUUGAAACUCUCAACCUAGCUCAACAAUGGCUCAAAUACAACUCAAGGCUAGGAUGAAUCACAAAGGUGCAUUAAAUAAUAUGCAAAUGAAGAUUUAAUGCACUGAGAAAAGAAUGAGAGCUUUUAUGGCAAGAACAAGUAGGUAAACAAAUCAAUGGAGGUGUUCUCUUACUCAUAAAUGAAGUGGAACUCUCAAUUUAUAGGUUUCUAAUCUCGGAAGCUAAAAAACCAAAAAGUAACCUCGAUUGGUCGAGUUAGGGGUCGACAGGUUCACUAGUCGUUAGAGCAUUAAAUGCGUGGCAGGUGAUCGUUACCCUCGACCGGACCUUGACUGGGAAGGCAAAUCUCUCAACUGGGAAAGAAAGGCUAUUGGAAGAGAGAAGGCUUUUUGCAUCUUUUGACUAGACCUCAACCGAGAAGGAGCAACUGAUCGACCAGUACCCUAGCCGGUUGAGCCGGUUGGCCAGUGCCUCAACCAAUUCACCAUUUUUUGGCCCUAAAACCUAUCUUUUUGUGGUCUUUUUUGCUUCUAACACUUAAACAAGGUCUUUAGGUAAAAUAAUAUGUCAAUUUUGAAACGCUUUGCCUAAGGUUCAUUUGAUAGAACUCGGAUUUUGAUGGAAAUGUGACUUUAAUGCGUAAACCGAGUUUUAAAAGAUGUAUGAAAUGAUAUGAAAAUUCUAAGUACACUCAUGCAUUCAUUUUACAUAGUUUUCUAUAAUUAAAAAGUCUUUCAAAAGUCUUGAUCUUGCAUCCAUUAGAUCAUUUGAUUAAUUUCCAAAUUAAUAUUUGAAAUUCUUUAUAAUUCAAACCAAUUAGUAACUUAACCAUGGUUUGUUAUCAUCAAAACAUGAUUAGGAGAACCCUUGGGCUAACACAUAACAUUGUAGCAAUGUUAUAUUUUUUACACUUAAUGCAGUUUAAGUUCUAAAAUCUUCAUUUCUAUGAAUUGGUUCACCUUGGAUGCAUAGUGGUGUCUAAAUUAUAAUACUUAAUUAAAAUUGAAACCAUAUUUAACACCCAUGUAGACAAGUCAUAACUUUGACAUGGAGUGGCAUUGCAUUUUUGACACUUAAUGCAACUUAGGUGCUAAACUUUUCACUCAUGAGAAUUGGUAUGGGUUGGAUGCAUGUGGUGUCGAACUUUUUAACACUUAAUUAAAAUUGGAACCAUAUUUAACACUAUCUAGAUAAGUCAUAACCUUGAUGUGAAGCGACAUUGUAUUUUCAACACUUAAAGCAACUUAGGUGCUAAAGUCUUCACCCAUGCAAAUUAGUUCAUCUUGGAUGUACAAUGGUGUCCCAUUUUUUAACAUAUAAUUAAAAUUGGAACCAUAUUUGACACUCAUGUAGACAAGUCUAGCCAUGAUGUAAAGUAGUGUUGUAUUUUUAAAACUUAAUGCAGCUUCAAUGGUAAAGUUUUUACUCAUGUGAAUUGGCUUGAUUUGGAUGCACAAUGAUGCCUAACUUUUUAACAUUUUAUUAAAUUUGGUAUCAUAUUUAACACCUAUGUAGACAAGUCAUAACCUUAAUGUAGAGGUGCUGUAAUAUUUUUGGUACUUAAUGCCGCUCAAGUGCUAAAGUCUUCACUCAUGUGAAUUUUUUUGGUUGAGAUGGACGUCUCUAACAUUUUAACAUUUAAUUAAAAUCAGAAUCAUAUUUAACACUCAUGUAAAAAAGUCAUAACCUUGACACAUAGUAAUAUGCAAUGUUUUAACAUUUAAUAUGACUUAAGUGCUAAAGUUUUCACUCAUGUGAAUUGGCUUGGCUUGGAUGCAUAAUGGUGUCUAACAUUUUAACACUGAAAUUAAAAUUAGAGUUAUAUUUAAUAAUCAUGUAGACAAGUCAUAACCUUGACGAGAAGCAAUAUUGUCAUUUUGACACUUAAUAUUGCUUAAAUGCUAAAGGCUUCACUCAUGCAUAUUGACUUAGCUUGGAUGAACAAUGGUAGCUAACUUUUUAACACUUCAUUAAAUUUGGAUUAUGGUUAACAUCCAUGUAGAAGAGUGAUAAACUUGAUGCAAAGUGAUGUUAUAUUUUUGGUACUUAAUAUAGCUUAAAUACGAAAAUCUUCACUUCUAAUAAUUAACUUGGCUUGGAUGCAUAGUGGUGUCCUACUUUUUAACUCUUAAUUGAAAGUGAAAUCAUAUUUAACAUCCAUUUUAUGCUAGUCAUAAACUUGAUAUAGAGCAAUGUGCAACUUUUUAACAUUUAAUGCAACUUAGGUGCUAAAGUCUUUACUCAUAUGAAUUAACUAAACUUAGAUGCAUAUUCGUUUCCAACUUUUUUAAUACCUAAUUAAAAUUAAAACCAUAUUUAAAAACCAUGUAGACAAAGGCAUAAUCUUAACAUGGAGCAGUGUAUAACUUUUAGCACUUAAUUAAAAUUGGGAUUAUACUUCACAACCACAUAUUCCUCCUCCUAUUUUUCAAUUUUUUCUUGUGGUGAUGAUUGAACUCAACUAGUUUGUCCAAGUUACCUGCAUACCUUAACAGAGAGGGGAUCAAGUCAAACUUAGUUCAAAGUAUUUUUUUAAUAUCUAACUUUUGCCAAGGCUAAUGAUUUUAAUCUUGAAAGCUUGUCUUAACUUUUGACUAUAUAUGUAGUGUUUUCAAGUUUCAAUUUAGCGACCUAUGAAUUGUACAAAUUGAAAAUGACUUCACUCAUGUGUAAAAAUAAAAGAUAUUCAUUCAUAGUUUUAGGGCAACGAAAAGUAAUCGACCCUUUUUUGCAUUAUUAUUAUUAUUGUUGUUGUUAUUAUUAUAAUUAUUAUAUUACCUUAAAAAAAAGACCUUCUCCAAAAAAUUUAAUCUACAAGUACUUGGAUUCUAUUUGAAUAUAAAAAGAGCCACUCAUAUGCAUGAAUUAAAUAUAUGUCCCAUGGAUAAGUUGUACUUAGCCACGGCUGAAGCUUUCCAUUAUGACUUGAAGGGAAAAAAAAAGAGAGGAGAAUAAUGUCAUUAAAAAACUGAUUGCCAUGUGCCUAUGCCUGCCAGUAGAUGGCUGAAAACUAGUUCUAUUCUUUUGUUUUUGCCUCUACUAAUGAACCAUAAUUGAGAGAUUCAUUGGCAACUAUCGUAUAAACAAUGGUUCAUAAAUUACUUUUAAAUUUUGAUAGCAAAGACUCAAAAUGUAAAACCAUAAAAAAUUUGUUCUAUUCCCAAAUUUUUUUAAAUAAUAAAUUAAUGCACAUGACUGUUUUCACAUCUUAUUCUCAUUUCUAUCAAUGCAAUAAUUGUAAUCAUCUUAUCUAUUAACAUGGCCUAGAGCCAUAGAGCUUCCUUUUCUUUAGUCCUAGAGCCAUUUCAGCUAAGAGUAGUCUUUCCUUAGCAUUUCCGGUCCAAAGCUUCCAUUUCUUUAGGCCUAGAGGCAUUUUCAGUCCAGAGCUGCUGUUUCUUUCGGCCUACAACCAUUUUCAGCCUGAAGCUGCCUUUCUUUAGCAUUUUCAGCCCAGAGCUACCUUUCCUUGGCAUAUCAGCCCAAAGCUUCUAUUUCUUUAGGCCUGGAGCCAUUUCAACAUACAACAUUGGUUUCUUUGGCCGGGCCUUGAGCCCUUUUCAACCCAGAACUGUCAUUUCUUCUAAAUAACUUCUCUUUUAAAAAACUUCAAUUUGUCUUUCCAAUAAAAAAAUUUAAGGCUUUGUUCUAGGUUUCAAGAAGCUGGCAUAGAAAAAAAAAAGGAAAAAAAAAAUUCUUGAUGGCAUAAAGUAGGACAUGGCCGGGAUAGUUUGAAAUACAUAAUUUUCCCCAUUCAAAUGCAAAACAUAUUAAAAGAACAUUUGGCAUGAUUUUAUGAAGUGAUUCUAUCUUUUCUAAUACUUCAAAGUUAUGAAGUGAUUCUAUCUUUUCUAAUACUUCAAAGAUAAAUUUUUUUGAAGUAUUAGAAAAAUUAGAAACAUUUCUUAAAAUCACUACCCUUAACUAUAUUUAGAUACUUUAACCAUUUCAAAUGCUACAUGUUGUUUCCUUCUACAUUUCCUCUUUAUUUUGUUUUUCUCUUACAUUUUUCCUCAAAUUUUCUAAAAACCAAACAUAACCUAAAAGAAAAGAUAAUUUGACUUAUUUUGAAAGUUCUUUAUAUAUAUAGUUUAUAUGGAAAAUUGUUUCAUGUUAAUUUAAUAAAGCAUUUAUAAUAUUGAGAUCGCUCUUUCAUAAUCAUAAAUUAACCUUUAGUUUCAACUUCUACAAGAGGCUAAAUGAAAAAAGCUAUCACAGAGGAGGCCUCAGCCAAUGAGUAAGAUGCACUGUUGUACCAAACAAUAGGUGGAAAAUACAAUUUUAUUAAGACUCUGAGACAAAAAAAAAAAAAAAAAGGAUGAUUUUACACUCAAAACAAGGAUUUAUUUAUAAUGAAGUGCAGUCUCCAUAUGCACAUGUGACUGCAUUUACAGCAUAAAGAAAGACAAGGAAAUUAACAAAUGUUGGACUCAUUGGAAAAUCAUACAAAUUAUUGAAGGAGGACCUUAGCUAAGCUAACUGUCUCCUAAAUUGCCCAUCUUUUAUAUAUAUUUGCAUUCAUCCGUCUCAUCAUCGUCUUUGAUUUUAGAUGGUGAGGAUGUGAAAGUAACAGGAAGCAGUGGACGAUUGUUCACUGUGAGGCUUAGCACAUCAGCUCUCGAAUAAUGUCCUACCACAUCGAACUGGAACUUUGCUUUAGGAAUCUCUCCACGAACAUCUGCAUAUCAAGUGAUCAUCAAAAUAUUUGAUCAGCCCUUUUAAAUAUCAGAGAGUAUCAAGUCUUCCAUAAAACCGUGUUUGCAGUCCUUUUAAACCUAAAGAAUUCACUCAUUUGCCUUAUCUGCAUACUGAAAUAUUUGGAUAUACAAUUGGAGAAGUUAGGGCCAUACCAAGAUCAGCUGUGAAGAGGCCUUCUCCUUCAUAAUUCGGUCCUGCUAGAAUUUCGCCAUGGGGCGAAAUGAUGACACUACCUCCUGCCCAAACAAUGGAAUCUGGAGUGACAUCUUCUUCUGUAGGACUGUAAAGAUACUCAGGUGGAGGUGGGUAAUCUUUCCUCCGACAGAACUGGAUGGGUGAAAGAACAUAGCAUCCACCCUCAAUAGCAACGUGUCUCAUUGUAGCUACCCAUGUAUCCCCGGAAUCGGCAGUAGGAGCACAAUAUAUCUCAAUACCUAUAGAGAUGUACAUUCGUAUUUUGUGAUCAAUCAAUCCCAUAUCAAAGCCAUAAUGUAUUUCAAGCCUAUUUAUAGGCUAAAACCCUAACAACUUAAAAAAGAGUACUGAAGUAUUUCAAGCCAAACCAUAUUAGUUAGUGAAGAAAAAGACAUACCUUUGCCAUACAUUGCUGUCCUUAGAAGCGGCAUUCUAUUUUCCCAACAAAUGACCGAACCAAGUUUUCCAUAUGGAGUGUCAUAAACUGGAGUUGUCGAGCAAUCUCCGAAACCCCAGACGAGCCGCUCCCAAUAUGUUGGCAUGAGUUUCCUAUGUUUUCCAAGGUAAUUACCUUUAGGAUCAAAGAAGAGAACAGUGCAAUACAAUGUGUAUCCCUCUCUCUCAAUAACACCUGUCACUAAGUAGACUCUGUAUUUCGCAGCCAUUGAUGCCAAUCUAUCAACUUCAGGUCCUGAAAAUACAUUAAUUUGAGAUUAAAGAUGAAACAUGUCAGCUGAAGGUUCAUCACAAAGCAGCAUAAGUAGAUUUUGUUUCAACAACUUAUUAAGUGGCUCAGUUCUUUAGCUAUUUAAGGGAGAAAAAGAGAGGUAAUUGACCCGGAACAUUAAUGGCAGAAGCAUGGUACUUGCGGAAACUUUCUUUCCCUCUUGGCGACCGGUCAGCGAAGUUAUAUCCUCGGGGAUACCCACCGAUAAAUGCUUCAGGAAACACAACCAGUUGGGAUCCCAGUGCAGCUGCUUCUUUCAAAAACCUCUCAGCCUUAUCUGCUCUCAAAAUCACAUUGCAAGAAGUAAAUUAAUUGGUUGAAUGGAGAGAAUGAAAAUUAACUUUUAAGAGAUCCCGAAUGACUUUUUGGUUGCUGAGAAAACUCAAGGAAAAACAGACCUAGAUGAAACUUGAAACUCUCAUAUUUUCAGCUGUUUUGUAACUAAGAAAAGAGAAACCACCUCAACUCAACUCAUCAAAAUAAUUGUAAAAGCAGUAAUUCCUUGAUUGGCAGCUGAAAAUAUGAUCAGGGUUCAAUCAUCCUUUUCUUUUUUUCAGUCUCUGAGAAACCAAUUAGAUCACAUAUUCCAUUACACAAGUUGCACAAUUGAAAGAAAUGGUACGUUACCUAGAGUGGCAGGAGUAUCAUAAAAGAUACUAGAAGCUUGAACAACGGUGGCUCUAACAGUUGAAGACAUUGCAGAAAAUUGUAUGUUUUUUCGUUUCCCCUUUGUUUGAGGAUUCCUCACACUGCGUUCAGUAUAUAUAUUGCCCAUGACAUUGUGGACCAGCCACUUGACUUAUACAAAUUGAAAAUGACUGAGUCAUCUGUGAAAAGCAAUUUAAGAUAACAUUCAAAAUUAAUAAGCUUUAAUUUUUAUUUAUAUAUAUAUAUACAUAAUCUACAAGUUGUUAUCAUUAUAUUUGAAUAAAAAGAGGGACCCGCCCACAUGCAUGGAUUCCAUCCAUCUAGCACACAGAUAAAUUGUCUUUAGUGGCGGCUGAGGCUUUCUAUGACUUAUACCAUAUAUCUAUACACCCCAGUAUAUAGCUAAAAACUGGGUAAUGUAUUGGCCCCUACCUAAAAUUAUUGAUUGAUUCAAUGACAGCUAUCUGAGAAAAAUAAAAAAGGGAGAACUAUUCUUACGCUUGCCUUGAUUUAAGCAAAUAUACUUUUAAUUAGGAAUUCUAAUUUUCAUAUUUUACCCCAAACAGAUAAUCAAUAAAAUUAUUCUCCAAAUAUGUAUUUUAAUAGCAACAAAAAUGAGAAUUCCAUAAUUAUCCCUUUUAAAAUCUUUAAUAUGACAAGUCGUAAUUUAAUGUGUUUGGUAGCUCUCCUUUUUCUUUUUUUCUCCUCUACAUCACUUUCUCCAUAUAAUGUCUUUGAUAUCCUCUCCAUAUCAUGUUGUUGAUAUCCUACCUUUGACAUUUUUUUUUAUCUAUGUGUUGAAGUGACUACACUUUUAGAUUUCUUUUCACUCUUUUAAUAUUUUCAUAUAUAUUUAUUAACUUUAAUAAAUUUUUGAAAACAUUAAACAUAAAAUUAUAAUAUAUGAUAAAUAAUUAAUGAUAACAAAUUAAAUAUAAAUAUAAGUAUGAAAUGGACAAAAAAUAAAAAAUUUAUCCUACAAAUAAUAGACUAUAUAGUUUAAAAUAUUAGUUAUAAUAAUAUAUUUGAUACUUUAGAGUUUAGAUUAAAAAAUUAUGUUUUAUUUUUUAGAGGUUAGCAUAUAAUAUUUCCAUUAAACAAAGAUUUUUUUAUAUGAAUCCUAAAUAAAAUGUUUAUUUAUUUUGCAAAUUCUUAUCAUAUGCGAUAUAUAUAUAUAUAUAUAUCAUGUUAUUUAUAAUUUUUAUUAUUUUGUGUCAAAAUCACAGUCAAUGAUGAUAAUUUUAGUUAGUAUAGAGCUCUUAAAAGGAUGAUAUGAUGUAACAAAUAUGAAGUUAUUAAUUAUUUACUGAUAUUCUGGUUUUACUUUUAUUAAUCCUUAUUCCAUACAUUAUAUUUUAUGAGCAUCCUAGUUUGACAUUUCUUAUACUAUACAUGGCUUAGGUGCAUUAGAAGUUGCACGGAAGAUCCAAGUUAUAGAUUCCUUUUUUAAUUCAAUAUUUUAAAAAAAAAAUUAUACUUUCAGUCAAUGUCUCAUAUUUCAAACACGUACACACUCUAGAAUUUCUCGAAUUGUAGUCUAGAAUGUCAACUUAGUGUUUGAUGAAAAAAGGUAUAAACAAAUAUAUGAAAAAAGUAAUCAACAAGCAUAGGAUUCUAUUUGAAUAAAAAAGAGCCACUUACAUGCAUUGAUAAAGGAAACUCCAACUCAGCUAGCAUACAAUCCAUGCCAAAGCAGAAUCUUUACGUAAGAAGUUGAUAAUGCAAUUUGCCAGGAAGGAAAACUACUCUCCAUAUUUGUAAUGUGGAAAAUCAAGGUUGGAAGGAAAUUUUCACUUACUUAUUCUGUAUAAUAUUCCCUUUUUUUUUUUUUUUUGUAAAGAAAGUAUGUAUUGUUUAUUUAUUUUUUAGAAAACAAUUAGUAAAGUGUGGUGCGAAUUCAACCUUUCAAAAAUAGUUUCUAUUCUUCAUGGUAUCGGAGCUAGUUAAUCUAAAACAAUCCAAAGCUUCCAUGGAAACCCCAGAAAAUGUUCUUAGCAUUCAGGCUUUUCAUCAAUGCUCGAGCCUCAUCUCCAUCAAACUGAAUAUGUCCAAUCUCCUUUUGUGGCACUCACAAGUUCUUCCUCUUGUGCGAAGCCUUGGAUUAGUCCAUCAUCUCUCUGAAAAUAGACACGCAUAAGAGGGGAUAAUGGAUAGUGAAACAAAGGAGACCUAUGAUUAGUCAAUAGAGACAUGGUCUCACAAUGAUGAUCUACUUACCUCCUGGCUUCUUGGACCCAUGACAGAAGAAGUGAUUCUUUUAUUGGAUGGAACAGAGAUUGCCUAUGAUGUUUGGAACUCUCUGGAAGAAAAACUCCUUCCAAUGACCAAAGAGAAGGAUAUGCAAUUGACCAAUAGACUCCGAGGGCUGAAGAAAGGCACAAGGUCCCUUGAUGAAUAUCUAAGGGAGUUCAAAGAAAUUUUUGAUGCAUUAGCUACAGUUAGAAAACCAGUAAGUGACCUAGACAAAGUUUUUCAACUAGCUCAAGGUCUCAUAACUAAAUACAUGGAUUUUCGGGUGGCCAUGUUAUCAAAGCCACCAUAUCCCUCUUACAAUCAAUUUGUUCUGGCUCUACAAGGGCAUGAACAAAUGAUUAUGAUAGAAAAUGAAGAGAACAAAGAGUCAAUAAACCAUGAACAAGCCUAUUUUACCCAAUGAGGAAGACGAAGAAAUCAAGGAGGAAGAUUUCUUUCUAGAGGUCAUGACUUCAUUCUAGCAAGACGAUUCAAUCACAAUGCUACCAAUGACCAAAGGCAGAAUGUUCAUCCCAACACCAGAAAUCCAAGAAAUAGCUUCAACAACCAGCUUCCACCAGAACAAAAACUCCAAAAAUCUAAAGGUACUCUUAUUUACCAAAUUUUUAAUAAAGCUAACCAUUCAGCUUUGGAUUGCUAGAACAGAUUCAACUAUUUGUAUCAAUCAGAAGAGAUUCCUCAAGCUUUGGCUGCUAUGGCUCUAAAUGAAGAAGAUAAGGAUCCUAAUUUUUAUGUGGACUCGAGAGCAAAAACCCAUAUAACAAAUGACCUAGGUAAGAUUACCCAAGUAAUUCCAUAUAAAGGGCAUGAUGCAAUUUUUGUUGGAAAUAGAGAAGCUGUAAGAAUCUCACAAAUUGGUGAAGCUAGACUAAAAACUAAACAUAUAGAUCUAAAGCUUAAAAAAUUAUUGGUUAUUCCAAAAAUUAAGAAAAAAUUGUUAUCCAUUGGACAACGUACCUCUGAUAACCCAUGCUCCAUAGAAUUCUCAUCAACUAGUUUUGUCAUUAAGGAUCAACUUCAACAAGUGCUAGCUAGAGGAACUAAGAAGAGAGGUCUCUAUGCAUUGGAGGAAAAUGUGAUUCAAGCCAUGAUAGUUACUAGGUCUAGCAAGGCACCAUAAGAAGUGUGGCAUCAACGCAUGGGGAAUCUGCAAACAAAAUCUAUAAAGCUUCUACAAGAUAAGAAUUUCAUUGAAGUAUCUAGUUGGAUGAAAUCAACAAUAGUUUGUGUUAGUUUUCAAUUAGGAAAAAGUUGUAAAGUUUCUUUUGGCUUAAAAAAUAAAAUUUCCAGCAAUCUUCUUGAAAAAAUUCAUUGUGACUUAUGGGGACUUGCACCAAAUAAUUCAACUCAAGGAUACAAGUAUUAUGUUGUCUUUAUUGAUGAUCAUACUCACUAUACAUGGCUUUAUCCCUUGAGAAGAAAAUCAAAUUUCUAUGAAUGUUUUUUGAAGUUUCAAAAUCUGGUUGAGAAUCAACUUGAAAGAUAGAUAAAAAUCUUCCAAAGUGAUGGUGGAGGUGAGUUUCAAUCAAUUAAAUUUCAAAAUCACCUAAGCAAGUGUGGAAUUUUGCAACGAGUCUCAUGCCCAUGAACUCCAGAACAAAAUGGGGUUGUAGAGAGAAAGCAUAAACACAUUGUUGAAAUGGGUUUAACAAUGCUUUUCAAUGCCAAAUUACCAUUGAGUCUAUGGGUAGAUGCAUUCCAUACUGUCGUAUACCUUAUUAAUCGACUGCCUUCCAUGGUGUUGAAAAUGUAGAGUCCAUUCUUUAUGUUUUUCAAACAAUAUCCAGAAUAUAGGAGCUUGAGAAUUUUUUGUUGUCGAUGUUUUCCAUACCUUUGAGACUACGGGAAGAAUAAAUUCUCACCUAAGAUAUCUCCAUGUGUUUUUAUUGGAUAUAGCUCUCUACACAAGGGUUAUAGAUGCUUGCAUCCUUCAACUAAAAGAGUUUACAUAUCUCAUCAUGUCAUCUUCAAUGAAAAUUGCUUUCCUUAUGCUAACUCUCUUGUUAAGAAAAAUCAUUUACAGAUUCCUAUAGAAAUGGUAUCAUUCUCAACUUCAGAUGUUUUUUGUGAGACUUAAAAAAUGGAUCACCAAACUAAGUCUUGGAAGGAGAACACUGCUAACCAAUCAAGCAACUCCAAGAAGUUCAACCAUUGGUCAUGCACUACUAGGUAAAGAAACUGGUUUAGUGUUGACGGAAGAAUUUCUACUAGUUGUAUUACUAACCAAAAUACAAAAGCAUCAUGUGUUAAUCCGACUGGAACUCCCACUACUAUUACUGUUGAAAUUUCCACUAUUGUUACUAGUAAAAAUGACCAUAAUACCGUCAUUACUACUGAAACUCCCACUGAUGUUGCUCUUGGUUCUAGUGGCCACAAUUUCAACACUGCAACUACUAUUGGAACACUCUCCUAGAUUGAGUCUACUAGUAGCUACAAGCCUGCCAAUGUUAGUAAUUUUCCUUAUAUCAGUAAGCACCUAGUAGUUGAUCUCUCUUUCCCUUAAAAAUGGCAGAAAAAUGAGCAUGUUGGUUCAUCUCCGCAAAACAAAUCCACCAGUCACAGUGUUGAUGAUGAAGUUCCUGAUAUUAGCAAGCAAAUUGUUGUUGACAUCUCUUCUCCUCAGGGCUAACACAUAGAUAACAAAGAAACUCAUAUGAUCACCAGAAGUAAACUCAAGAAUGAUCCCAGUUUAAAGUCUCAAAUGGUUACUUUUGUUGCCAUAAGAAGUAAUAUUAGUGAGCCAAAAACAUAUUGUACAACAUUGAAAAUUCCCUAUUGGUUCAAACAAUGCAAGAGGAAAUUAAGGAUUUAAUCCAAAAUCGAACAUGGGAUUUGGUUCCUAGGCCUCCAACUGCAAAUAUUGUGGGUUCUAAAUGGGUGUUUAAAACAAAGCUAAAGGAAGAUGGAACCAUAGAUAGAUACAAAGCACAAUUAGUUGCUAGAGAUUUUUCUCAAAUACCGGGUUUGGACUUUGGAGAGACCUUCAGCCUAGUUAUAAAGCAUACUAUAAUCAGAUUGAUCCUUUCAUUAUCAGUAACCUUGGGGUGGACAAUGAGGCAAUCAGAUGUUAAGAAUGCCUUCAUACAUGGGUUUCUAAAGGAAAAAGUACUCAUGGAACAACCUCCAGGAUUUAUAAACAAGGACUUUCUGAAUCAUGUCUACAAAUUGAAUUGUUCUCUUUAUAGCCUUAAGCAAGCUCCAAGGGCCUAGUUAAAUAAACUAUUUCAAUGUCUUCUUCAUCUGGGGUUUUACUGUGGUAAAAUAGACUCGUCUUUAUUUAUUCUUCGCAAAGGUCAGUCUAUUGUUUUGCUACUUAUCUAUGUUGAUGAUAUUAUAGUCACAGGCAAUGAUAACAACAUCAUUAGUGACCUCAUCAGCACCCUGAGUAGUGAAUUUUCUCUCAAGGACUUAGGAUUUUUGCAUUAUUUUUUGGGAUUGGAGGUUAAAUAUCUUCUUAAUGGGUUGUUUCUUUCUCAAACAAAGUACACUAGAGAUCUCCUAGAGCACACAAAAAUGAUGGAGUGUACUCAUAUCAACACAUCCAUGGCUCUUAAGUCCAUCAUCACACCUUCUGAUGAACAACCUAUUGAUCCUACAUGAUAUAGGUAACUUGUUGGAUUCCCCUAAUAUUUAACCUUCACAAGGCUUGAUUUUGUGCAUGCAGUAAACAAGGCCUACCAACAUUUCCAAGCACCCACUAAAGUUGACUUGCAAGCUGUCAAACGCAUCCUUAGAUAUUUGAAGGAAACAAUGGAGCAUGGAAUCAGGUUUUUCAAGCAAAGUUCGCUUCGUCUCACUGGUUUUUGUGAUGCUGAUUGGGCAGGAUGCACAAACACAAGAAGAAGCACAUCUAGGUAUUAUAUUUUUCUAGGAGCCAAUUGUAUCUCAUGGUCCUCAAAGCGACAACCUACAAUUUCUAGAUCAAGCACCGAGGCCAAAUAUCGAUCCCUUGCGUCCAGUGCUGCAGAAAUAACUCGGCUUACUUUCCUUCUCCAUGAUAUUGGCAUUCAACUAUGUGAACCUUCUCAAUUUCUAUGCGAUAACCUCAGUGCCCUUCACAUGACAGUACAUCUCGUCUUCCAUGCAUGGUCCAAGCAUAUUGAGUUGGACUAUCAUUUUAUUCGGAAAAAAAGUUGCAAGUGGAGUUUUGAUUACUUGUUUCCUUCCAUCGUCCUUACAAGUAGCUGAUAUAUUCACAAAGACACUCCCUAAGACUUCAUUCCAAGUCUUUCGAUUCAAGCUAGGAGUGCACAAGUUACCACUCACUAGCUUGCAGGGGGCUAAUAAAGGAAAGUCAAACUCAACUAGCAUACAAUCCAUGCCAAAGCAAUCUUUACGUGAGAAGUUAGUAAUGCAAUCUGCUAGGUAGGAAAACUACUCUCAAUAUUUGUAAUGUGGAAAAUCAAGGCUGGAAGGAAAUCUUCACUUACCUGUUCUGUAUAAUAUUCCCUUUUCUAUGCAAAUAAAGUAUGUAUUGUUUAUUUAUUUUUUAGAAAAAAUCAGUAAAGCGUGGUACAAAUUCAAUCUUUCAAAAAUAGUUUAUGUUCUUCAUGCAUGGAUAAUAAAUCCCAUGGAUAAAUUGUAUUUAGCAGCGGCUGAAGCUUUCUAUAUGACUAAAGAGAAAAAAAGUCAUUAAAAAACUAAUUGCCAUGUGACUACGUCUACCAGUAGAUAGUUGAGAACAAGGUCUAACUCUUAACCUUUUGUACUACCUUUACAAAGGAACACAAAAUUGAGAGAUUCAAAGGCAACUAUAGUAUAAAUAUUGUUUCAUAAAUUACUUUUCAAAUUUAAUUUGAUAACAAAAAUUUAGAAUACAAAAGUAUGAAAAAUUUGUUCCAUUCCCAAAAUUUUUGCAAAUAAAAUUUUAAAGUAAUAAAUUAACACCAUGACUCUUUUCACAUCUUAUUCUCCUUUCUAUCAAAGAAAUGAUAGUAAUAAUCUUAUCUAUAAAUUUUAAAUGAGGCAAGAUCAUUGAAUUUUUAUUUUCUUUUAUUUUCUUGUUAUGUAAUUAUCAAACACAUUUUUUUUUUAAGACAAAAAAAAAUUAGACUGAAGAAAUAUAUUUUUGCCCUGAUUUAGUCACUUGGAUUGCAAUUCGAAGGAUGGAAAUAAAAGUGUAUUCUUGGAGUUAAAGAUCAAUUGAAAGCUUAAAGCGGCUUGUUCUCGAAUGAAUUUAAUGAAUGACGAAGAAUACAUGUGUUGUAAUUUUUUGGAUUUGUAGGGGAAUUUUAUGAAGCUCUUUUCUCUUUGUCAGGCUUCUUUUUUUGUAUGAUUUUUUUUCUUCAUCAUUUUCAUUCAAGGAAGUCGCAUAUAUUUAGAGAUGAAAUUAAAAAAUUAAAUUUAGAAUUCCUAAGAUUUGAUUACUUAAUUAAAAAAAAUUGGUUUCUUGAUUUUAGCAACUUGUCUCCUCUAUUAAGGAAGUUUGCUAAUAAGAGAAUAUUUAAUUAUCAUUUUCUUUUGACUUCAAUUAGAAGAUUUGAUUCGUUUGUUCAUAAAAUUUGAAAACAAAAAAAAAAAUUAUUUCUAUUUUUUUAUUUCAAUUGUUUAAUUUAAUUUGAUUUUGGAAGACUUUAUUUUAUAGUUUUCCAAAUUUUGUUACAUGUCAUUUUUUGAAUUGCAUGUUACAUAUUCAAUAUACAUGACCCAUCACUUAUUAAGCAUAAAUUUCGUUGAGCUAAGGAGUUACAAUUUUGAAGACUAAUUUGAUAGUAUUUUAAUCCACUAAAAUUUUUUAUGUCUACAAAUGCCCCGUCUUCAAGACAAACACACACAUGCAUUGUCAUGUAUAAAAGAUGAGUCUUGAAGUUAGCAUUUUGAAUCUUUAAUAUCCUUCUUUGAUAUUUUUUUUUUCAAAGAAAUAUUUUAAUAGGAAAUUUCCUAUUUCAAAAUACCUUUCUUCAACUUUUUCCAAAAACGACUUUAUUUUCUUCCUUUUUUUCUACCUGGUAUCAAGGAAAGACUUUGUGUUAAUGGGAAAGUUUCUUAUUUGAACAUAUAUUUGCUUUUCUCAUGGUAUUUUCACUUCCAAUUUAUCAUCCUACAAGAAGUCCUUCACCCUUGGUCGAUUGUAUCUUAGACUUGAUCACAUGCCUUUAACUUGUAAUUCUUGCUCCACUUUAUUUAUUUUAUUUUAUUUUAUUUUAUUUUUAAAAAAGAAUACAAUGUAUAUGAGCAAGACCUUGAGCAAGAGGAGCAAGGUGGAGGGUGGAGCAUGAGCUAGCCUUAGGGUAAGACCUUGAGCAAGAGAAGUAAUGUGGAGUGUAGAUCACAAACUUCUCUGGAGCAUGGUAGGCAUACCGUCACAGAAUUGUCUUCCACAUGGAGCAUGGUAGGGUUUAUACAUAUGAUAGGGUGUGCCAUCAUGUAACAAUGAAGAACAACAAUCCAUGGUGUACAAUUGGGAACAACAAUUCAUGCUAUCAAGCUUCAACAUUUUUUUUUACCCCCAUCUCCAUUUUUUCAACUUCUUUUUUUUUUUUUUGUCCUUUUUUUUUCCCUUUUUUUAAGCAUUGUUUUUAAGGAAGAAAUAGGUUUGCCAUCCCUUACUAUGAGGUCAAUAUCCAUCACUUGCAAAGACAAAUUUGCUUUUUGAUAUUUUUUCUUCUUCAAUAAUUAACUUAACAUUUUAAUAUAUAUAUAUAUAUUUUAACAAACUUGAAUAUUCAUAAUAAAAUAAAUAUUUAAUGUCUUUACUCAUCCAAAUUAGCUUGACUUGAAUACUUAGUAGAUCCAUACUUAACACCCAUGUAGACGAGCUGUAACCUUGAUGGCAGGUUGUGUUGUAUUUUCGACACUUAAUGUGCCUUAAGAGUUAAAGUCUUCUCUCAUACAAAUUAGCUUGGUUUGGAUGCACAAUGGUGUGUAACUUUUUAACACUUUAUUAAACUUGGAACCAUAUUUAACACCCACGUAGACAAGUCAUAAUCAUGACAUGGAUCACUGUUUUAUUUUUAGCUCUUAAUGUGGCUUAAAUAUUAAAUUCUUCACUCAUACAAAUUAAAUUGGGUUAGAUGCACAAUGGUGUUCAACUUGUUAACAGUUAAUUAAAAUUAGAACCAUAUUUAACACCCAUACAAACAAGUCAUAACUUUGACGUGGAGCAGUGUUGUAUCUUUGGCUUAAUGCCGCUUAAGUGUUAAAGUCUUCACUCAUAUGAAUUAGCUUCACUUAGAUGCAUAGUUGUAUUAUACUUUUUAACACUUAAUUUAAAUUUGGACCAUAUUGAAAACCCAUGUGAACAAGACAUAACCUUGUAGUGGUGUUAUAUUUUUGACACUUAAUGUAGCUUAAAUGCUAAAGUCUUCACUUCUAUGAAUUGGUUCACCUUGGAUGAAUAGUGAUGUCUAAAUUGUAAUAAUUAAAAUUGAAACCAUAUUUAACACUCAUGUAGAUAAUCAUAACUUUGACGUAAUGGCAUUGUAUUUUUGACACUUAAUGCAGCUUAGGUGCUAAAGUUUUCACUCAUGAGAAUUGGUAUGAGUUAGAUGCAUUGUGGUGUCCAACUUUUUAACACUCAAUUAAAAUUGGAACCAUAUUUAACACCAAUGUAGAUAAGUCAUAACCUUGACGUGAAGCGAUAUUGUAUUUUUGACACUAAAUGCAACUUAGGUGCUAAAGUCUUCACCCACGCAAAUUGGUUCAUCUUGGAUGCACAAUGGUGUCGAAUUUUUUUAACAUAUAAUUAAAAUUUGAACCAUAUUUGACACUCAUGUAGACAAGUCAUAACCAUGAUGUAGAGUAGUGUUGUAUUUUUAACACUUAAUAUGACUUUACUGGUAAAUUCUUUACUCAUGUGAAUUGCCUUGAUUUGGAUGCACAACUAACUUUUUAACAUUUUAUUAAAUUGGGUAUCAUAUGUGUUGUUUUUUUAACACUUAAUACGACUUUAGUGGUAAAUUCUUUACUCAUGUGAAUUGUCUUGAUUUGGAUGCACAAUGAUGCCUAACUUUUUAACAUUUUAUUAAAUUGGUAUCAUAUUUAACACCAAUGUAGACAAGUCAUAACUUUAAUGUAGAUGCGGUGUAGUAUUUUUGGCACUUAAUAUUGUUUAAGUGCUAAAGUCUUCACUCAUGUGAAUUUUCUUGGUUGAGAUGCACAAUGGUGUGUAACAUUUUAACAUUUAAUUAAAAUUGGAACCAUAUUUAACACUCGUGUAGAGAAGUCAUAACCUUGACAUGGAGUAAUAUGCAAUUUUUUUAUAUUUAAUAUGACUUAAGUGCUAAAGUUUUCACUCAUGCGAAUUGACUUGACUUGGAUGCAUAGUGAUGUCUAACAUUUUAACACUUAAUUAAAAUUAGAGCUAUAUUUAAUAAUCAUGUGGACAAGAAAUAACUUUGACGUGAAACAAUAUUGUAAUUUUGACACUUAAUGUUGCUUAAAUGCCAAAGUCUUCACUCAUACAUAUUGACUUAGCUUGGAUGAAAAGUGGUAUCCAACUUUUUGACACUUUCUUAAAUUUGGAAUUAUGUUUAACAUCAAUAUAGACAAGUAAUAACCUUGACGCAGAGUGAUGUUAUAUUUUUAGCACUUAAUAUAGCUUAAGUGCUAAAAUAUCCACUUCUAAGAAUUGACUUGGCUUGGAUGCAUAAUGGUGUCCUACUUUUUAACACUUAAUUGAAAGUGAAAUCAUAUUUAACACCCAUUGUAUGCUAGUCGUAAACUUGAUAUAGAGCAUUGUGCAACUUUUUAACACUUAAUGCGACUUAAAGUGCUAAAGCCUUUACUCAUAUGAAUUAAUUGAACUUAGAUGCACAUUUGUUUCCAACUUUUUAAUACAUAAUUAAAAUUAAAACCAUAUUUAAAAACCAUGUAGACAAAGACAUAAUCUUAACAUGGAGCUAUGUAUAACUCUUAACACUUAAUUAAAAUUGAGAUUACACUUAACAACCACAUAUUCCUCCUAUUUUUCAAUUUUUUCUUGUGGUGAUGAUUGAACUUAACUAGUUUGUCCAAGUUGCCUAUAUACCCUUAACAGAGAGGGAAUCAAGUCAAACUUAGUUCAAAGUAUUUCUUUUAAUCUCUAACUUUUGCCAAGGCUAAUGAUUUUAAUCUUACAAGCUUGUCUUAACUUUUGACCAUAUAUGUAGUCUUUUUAGGUUUCAAUUUAACGGCCUAUAUAUGACUUGUACAAAUUGAAAAUGACUUCAAUCAUGUGUAAAAAAUAAUAAAAGAUAUUCAUUCCUAGUUUUAGGGCAACGAAAAAUAGUUGAUCCUUUUUUAUAUUAUUAUUAUUGUUGUUGUUAUUAUAAUUAUUAUUUCACCUUACAAAAAGACCUUCUGCAAUUAAUAUUUUAUACAUAUAUAUAUAUAUAUAUUUUAUCUUUUAUAUAUUUAGUUUUCAUAGUAUUUUUUAAUUCAAUAUAUAUAUUUUUUAAAUAUCUAUACUUUCGGUCAAUGUCUCAAAUUUAAAGCACGUGCAUGCUCUAGAAAUUCUCAAGUUGUAGGCUUGUGGCCUACAAUGUCAACUUAGAGUUUGAUGAAAAAGCGCAUAAACAAAGACAAAAAAAUUAAUCUACAAGUACUUGGAUUCUAUUUGAAUAAAAAAGAGCCACCCACAUGCAUGGAAUAAAUAUAUAUCCCAUGGAUUAGUUGUAUUUAGCCACGGCUGAAGCUUUCCACUAUGACUUAAAAAAAAAAAAAAAGAGGAUAAUGCCAUUAAAAAACUGAUUGCUACGUGGGUAUGCCUGCCAGUAGAUGGCUGAAAACUAAGUUCUAUUCUUUUCAAUAGUUGAGAGAUUCAAUGGCAACUAUCGUAUAAACAAUGUUUCAUAAAUUACUUUUAAAUUUUGACAGCAAAGACUAAAAAUGUAAAACCAUAAAAAAUUUGUUCCAUUCCCAAAUUUUUAAAAAUAAAAUUGAAAAUAAUAUAUUAACGCCCAUGACUGUUUUCACAUCUUAUUCUCAUUUCUAUCAAUGCAAUCAUCGUAAGCAUCUUAUCUAGAAAUAUGGCCUAGAGCCAUAGAGCUGCCUUUUCUUUAGUCCUAGAGCCAUUUCAUGAGCUAAUAGUAGUCUUUCCUUAGCAUUUCCAGCCCAAAGCUCCCAUUUCCUUAGGCCUAGAGACGUUUUCAGCCCAGAGCCGCUGUUUCUUUCGGCCUAUAACCAUUUUCAGCCUGAAGCUGCCUUUCUCUAGCAUUUUCAGCCCAAAGCUUCCUUUCCUUGGCAUAUUAGCCCGAAGCUUCUAUUUCUUUAGGCCUGGAGCCAUUUCAACCCAGAACUGUCAUUUCUUCUAAAUAGCUUCUCUUUUAAAAGACUUCAGUUUGUCUUUCUAGUCACAAAAUUUAAGGCUUUGUUCCAGGUUUGAAGAAGCUGGUAAAAAUCUGGCUGUUGACUAAGCUCAACUAAAAAACAGUAAAGCUUGCUGACCUGGGUAAUAAAUAACAGCUAUCUUGGCAGUAUUGUUAGUUAGUUAGAGGUUUUUUUUUUACUAUUAUAAAAGGUGCAGACUUGGGAAAACUGAAAUAAGGUAUUCAAUUGUACAGAAUAGAGAGCAAGAAAAGCAGAGAGCUUUGAAAUCCAUAACCACAGGUCUGUUUCGGUUUUCCUAUAGAGAAAAGAAAGAAACAGAGGUGAGGAGGGUUCUUGGGGAAAGCCUAUAAGUUCUUUGUUUUUUAUUCUUGUGUAAAUUCUGGUUGGUACAAUUUAAUAAAGGCUUCAGGAAAUCAGUGUGAAUGUAGAUCAAGUUGAUCGAACCACGAUAAUUCUCUUGUGUUCUUGAUCUUGGUUGAUUGUCUACAAGCUGUUUGAUUUUAUUCCUAAGAGAAGUUCUUGCAAACUGGUUGUCUUUUUCUGGUUUAGUUUCUGCUCUAAUAGUCCCUAAUUCAAGACUGGCUUUUCUCAACAGCAUGGUUUGAAACACAUAAUUUUCACCAUUCAAAUGCAAAACAAUUAACUAAUUUCAAAUGCUAUGUGUUGUUUCCUUCUAAUUUCCCCUUUAUUUUUUUUUCUCUCCUAUUUUCCUUCAAAUUUUUGGAAAACCAAACAGAGCCUAAAAGAAAAGAUAAUUUUACUUAUUUUGAAAGUUGUUUCAUGUUAAUUUAAUGAAGCAUUUAUAAUAUUAAGAUCGCCCUUUCAUAAUCAUGAGGUAACCUUAGUUUCAACUUCUACAAGAGGCUAAAUGAAAAAAGCUAUCACAGAGAAGAAGGCCUCAGCCAAUGAGUGGAAAAUACAAUUUUAUUAAUACUUGAUAUCAAAAAAAAGAAAAAAAAAAAAAAGGAUGAUUUUACUUUCAAACCAAGGAUUUAUUUAUGUUGAAGUGCAGUCUCCAUAUGCACAUGUGACUGCAUUUACAGGAUAAAGAAAGACAAGGAAAUUAACAAUGUUGGACUUACUGGAAAAUCAUACAAAUUAUUGAAGGAGGACCUUAGCUAGGCUAACUGUCUCCUAAAUUGCCCAUCUUUUAUAUAUCUUUGCAAUCAUCCAUCUCAUCAUCAGCUUUGAUUUUAGAUGGUGAGGAUGUGAAAGUAACAGGAAGCAGUGGACGAUUGUUCACAGUGAGGCUUAGCACAUCAGCUCUCGAAUAAUGUCCUACCACAUCGAACUGGAACUUUGCUUUAGGAAUCUCUCCACGAACAUCUGCAUAUCAAGUGAUCAUCAAAAUAUUUGAUCAGCCCGUGAUAAAUAUCAUAGAGUAUCAAGUCUUCCAUGAAACCAUGUUUGCAGUCCUUUUAAACCUAAAGAAUUGACUCAUUUGCCUUAUCUGCAUACUGAAAUAUUUGGAUAUACAAUUGGAGAAGUUAGGGCCAUACCAAGAUCAGCUGUGAAGAGGCCUUCUCCUUCAUAAUUUGGUCCUGCUAGAAUUUCGCCAUGGGGCGAAAUGAUGACACUACCUCCAGCCCAAACAAUAGAAUCUGGAGUGACAUCUUCUUCUGUAGGACUGUAAAGAUACUCAGGUGGAGGUGGGUAAUCUUUCCUCCGACAGAACUGGAUGGGUGAAAGAACAUAGCAUCCACCCUCAAUAGCGAUGUGUCUCAUUGUGGCUACCCAUUUAUCCCCGGAAUCGGCAGUAGGAGCACAAUAUAUCUCAAUACCUAUAUAUAUGAACAUUGGUAUUCUGUGAUCAAUCAAUCCCAUAUCAAAGCCACAAUGUAUUUCAAGACUGCUUAGAUUAAAACCCUAAUAAUGUAAAAGGGUGCUGGAGGUCCUAUUUGGUAAUUGUCUUCGGAACAGUUUUGAGAAAUAGUUUUUGAAAGUUGUUCUUUAAUAGUUUAUAAAACAUAAGAAUAUUUGAAACCUAAAAUAUAUUCAACUUAUUAAAAAUAAUUUUUAUAUUUAAUACUUUAUUUUUAAAUAUUCUUCAUAUUUAUAUAAUUAUUUUUUAAAACAACCUUAAAAACAAAUGAAAACAAUGAAGAAAAAAGUUUAAAAAAUAUUAUCUGAAAACAUUUUGUUUUAUGUUUCUAAGAAAAAACAAAAAGCGGUAUUCUAAUUGUCAAUUGUGUUUUCCUAAAUUUUUUUUGGAUAACAAAAGAUUCCUCUAAAAUAUAAUUGUGAAACAAAGCCAAACUAUUUCAAGCCAAACCAUACUAGUUAAUGAAGAAAAAAAAAUGGUAAAAGAUGUACCUUUGCCAUACAUUGAUGUCCUGAAAAGAGGCAUUCUAUUUUCCCAACAAAUGACCGAACCAAGUUUUCCAUAUGGAGUGUCAUAAAUUGGAGUUGUCGAGCAAUCUCCGAAACCCCAGAAGAGCCGCUCCCAAUAUGUUGGCAUGAGUUUCCUAUGUUUUCCAAGGUAAUUGCCUUCAGGAUCAAAGAAGAGAACAGUGCAAUACAAUGUGUAUCCAUCUCUCUCAACAACACCUGUCACUAAGUAGACUUUGUAUUUCGCAGCCAUUGAUGCCAAUCUAUCAACUUCAGGUCCUGAAAAUACAUUAAUAUGAGAUCAAAGAUGAGACAUGUAAGCUGAUGGUUCAUCACAAAGCAGCAUAAGUAGAUUUUGUUUCAAUAACUUAUUUAAGUGGUUCAGUCCUCUAGCUAUUUAAGGGAGAAAGAGAGGGGUAACUGACCCGGCACAUUAAUGGCAGAAGCAUGGUACUUGCGGAAGCUUUCUUUCCCUCUAGGAGACUGGUCCGCGAAGUUGUACCCACGGGGAUACCCACCGAUAAAUGCCUCAGGAAACACAACCAGUUGGGAUCCCAAUGCAGCUGCCUCUUUCAGAAACCUCUCAGCCUUAUCUGCUCCCAAAAUCACAUUGCAAGAAUUAACAAUUCAUGACUUAGGAAGUAAAUUAAUUGGUUGAAUAGAGAAUGAAAAUUCACCUCAAGAUAUCCCAAAUGACUUUUUGGUUGCUGAGAAAACUUAAGGAAAAGGAGACCUAAAUAAAACUCGAAACUCACAUAUUUUCAGCUGUUUUGUAACUAAGAAAAAAGAAACCACCUCAACCAACUCAUCCAAAUAAUUAUUGUACAAGCAGUAAUUCCUUGAUUGGCAGCUGAAAAUAUGAUCAGGGUUCAAUCAUCCCUUUCUUUCUUUCAGUUUCCCAGCAACCAAUCAGCUCACUGAUUCUCUUACAGAAGUUGCAGAAUUGAGAGAAAUGGCACGUUACCUAGAGUGGCAGGAGUAUCAUAAAAGAUACUAGAAGCUUGAACAACGGUGGCUCUAACAGUUGAAGACAUUGCAGAAAUCGUAUGUUUUUUCGUUUCCCCUUUGUUUGAGGAUUCCUCACACUGCGUUCAGUAUAUAUAUAUCGCCCAUGAACAAGAGGUUCCUCUGCCAUUACUUGAACAAGACGGAAAGGCUUUGAAAAGUCUGACUUGGUUUUCUAUACUCAUGGUGAGGUUUUAUCCUCAUCACAAAUUUUUAAGUUAUCCGCAGACAUAGUGGACCAGCCACAUGACUUGUACAAAUUGAAAAUGACUGUCACAUGGGAUUUUUUGUAAUUUUUAAAAAUAAUUCCCAAAUGUAGUGGAAAAAAUAAUUCUAAAUCUAACAUAGUUUUUGCAAGAUAGAAAAGAAAAAAAUAAAAAUCUUUAUUUCCUUUAAAAAAAAAUUAUAAUGAAAGAAUCGUCUUUUGAAAAGACAAUUUCUCAAAUUUUUUUUUAAAAAAUAAAAUCUAUCGGUUAGAAAUUGUCUCUUGAAAAUCGUCAGAGAUGAUUUUCAAAAAUUCAUUUUUUCAUUUUCUCUUUUUUUUUUUCAAUAAUAUUUUACUAAAUAAUAUAUUUAUACAAUUAUGAUUUUUUUCCUUUUAAAAAAUUAUAAUGAAAAAUUCUCUUUGGAAAAGAUGAUUUCUUAAAUUUCUAAAAAAUAAAAAUAAAAAUCUAUAGGCUAGAAAUCAUCUCUUGAAAAGACGAUUUUCGGAAAAAAAAAAAAAUUAGGGAGAAAUUGUCUCUUUCUCCAUUGAUUAAAAAAACUGGAGAAAUCUUCUCAAGAUGAUUUCUUAAAAAUAAAAAGAAACAUAGAAAAAAAAGUCAGUCAAUUUUCAAAAAUUUUGUUUUCUAUUAGGAAAUAUAUAUUUUACCAAAUAAUAUAUUUAUACAAUAAUAUAUAUAUAUAUAUAUAUAUAAAUUGAUUAAUUUUAUUUACUAAAUUUAAUAUGUAAAAAUAAUUAUAAUUAUUGAUAUAUUUAUCAACAAUAAUAUUUAUAAAAAUAUAAAUUAUGUUUAGCAUCCGAUAUUUAAAAAUAUUAUUUUAUAUUAAGUUAGACAUUAAUUUUAAAAAUAUUUUGUUCUUUAUCUUCAGUUUUAUCUUUAAAUUAAUUCCAUUAAUUGUAACUAAUAAAUUAAUUUAGUUUUAUAUUUUUAUUAUUUAUAAUAUAAAUAAUAUUUUAUCUCAUUCUCUUUUUUACUAUCUCACCUUUCUCUCACCUAUUUAUUAAUGGAAUCAAAUUGAAUAAUUUUUCAAUCAUUUUUCUCCAACAAAUUGAACAUGAGAGAUAAAUGAUUAAAAAUUAUUAAUGUCAAAUGCAUUUUUAAAGUAAAUAAUUUUUAAAUACCUCAUCAAAUAUUAUUCUUUUAUUAAAACUUACAUAAUAUAUAAUAAAUAUUUUUUAAAUACCUUGGAAACUUACAUAAUAUAUAAUAAAUAUUAUUCUUUAUUUCAAACUUAUGUUAUUUAUCAUAUAUAUUAAACAAUUUUUAAACACCUUAUAAAAUAUUAGUAUUCUUUAUUUGUUCUAACUUGCAAAUUAGACAUAAUCAAAUAUUAUAUAUUUUUUUUCAAACUUAAGAAUAUAUAAUAAAUAUUUUUUAAAUACAUUGGCAAAUAUUUUUUUUUCUUACUUACAAAAUUAAAAAUAUGUUGUACAUUAUUUCUUAUAGGUCUUAACGACAUAGUUUGGUUAAAAAAAAAAAAAAAAACUAUCAAUAAUCGUCCUAAUGUCAAGCUCAAGUUGUUUAAAAAUCGCACAAAACCUAUUAGGAGCCUUGUACACCCUUGUAUACUUGACACAUUUCUCUUGUAUAAUUAGUGUAACAUUGUACAAUGGUGCAAAUUUCAUAUCCCUCCUAAGUUGUGUCUAUAUAGGUGUGUUAACCAUGUUUCCAAUGGUUUGGUUGAGAAAAAAAUGACUUAUGGUCAAAUUUUUUUCUCCAAACAUCAUUAUUGGGAAAAUCAUUGGAAUUUCCAUGUGGAAGUUAAAUAAAGUGCAUGACAUGGGUAUACAAUCCUUGGGUGACAAGGAAAAUAAAAAAGUGGUUUAGAAUCAAUUGAAAUCUUUCACAAAUGGUAGUCUUGUAUACCCUUGUACACUUAGUAUAUUUCCCAUCUUUAAUACCUUUGUAUAGUGGCACAAAUUUCAUAUCCCUCCUAAGUUAUGUUCACAUAAGUGUGUUAGCCAUGUUUCCAAUUAUUUGGUUGAGAAAAUGUUGGAUGAAUUAGGGUCAAUUUUUUUUUCCCUAAACAUCAUUAUUGGGGAAAAUAUUGGAAGUUCCAUGUGAGAGUUAAAUAAAGUGUAUGACAUGAAUGUAUAAUCUGUGGGUAACAAGGCAAAAAAAAAAAGAAAAAAAAAGGGGUUCAUAAUUGAUUGAAAUCUUUCACAAAUGGUAGCCUUAUACACUCUUUUGCACUUAGUACAUUUCUCUUGUACAAUUAGUGUAAUACUUUUGUACAAUGGCACAAAUUUCAUCUCCUUCAUAAAUAAUGUAUCCACAUAGGUAUGUUAACCAUUUUCUCAAUGGUUUGGUUGAUAAAAUGUUGGAUGACUUAGGGUUAAAUUUUUUUCCCUAACAUCAUUGUUAGGGAAAACAUUGGAAUUUUCAUAUGAGAGUUAAAUAAAGUGUAUGACAUGAGUGUACGAUCCGUGGGUGACAAGGAAAAUAAAAAGAAGUGGUUCAAAAUUGAUUAAAAUCUAUCACAAAGGGUAGUCUUGUACACCGUUAUACACCCUUGUACACUUAGUACAUUUCCCUUGUACAGUUAAUGUAAUACCCUUAUAUAGUGGCAUAAAUUAUAUAUCCCUCCUAACUUAUGUAUUCACAUAGAUGUGUUAACUAUGUUUCCAAUGGUUUAGUUGAGAAAAUGGUGGAUGACUUAGGGUCAAAUUUUUUUCGCCAAACAUCAUUACUGUGGAAAGUAUUAAAAUUUUCAUGUAGGAGUUACAUAAAGUGUAUGACUUAGGGUCAAACUCUUUUAAAUAUUUUUAUUAUUUUCAUAUAAAAAAAUAGUACUAAACAAGGUUUUCAAUUUUCAUUUUUAAAAAUAUUUUUCAUUUUUAAUUAAAUGUAUUUUUAAAAAGAGACAAUAUAGAAAAUAAAAAUUAUUUUAAGAAAUAAAAAAAUAGAAAUAAAAACUAGAAAAAUAUUUUUAAACCAGACUUAAACAUAAUCUAUUUAAUUUUUAACUACUUGUUUUCAUCUAAAAUGAGUAAAUAUACUUUUCAACCCUUUUAUAUAAUAAAAAUUCAAUCUUUACUAUGUAUUGAUAUAAUCCACUUCCAAAAUUAAGUCAUAUGAAAACAUUUUAAUUGGAUAUUUAAAAUAAAAACUCUCCAUCCAUCCUUUUUUUUUUUUUUUCUUAUUUUGAUAAAUUUUUAAUUAAUACAAAUCAUAAAAAAAAAAAAAAAUACUUAGUAAACAAAUUUGCAACAUUUUAUAUCACUUAUUAUUAAAAGUCAUGUUCAAAUAGUUAUUAAAAUAAGGAAGGAAGAAGAUUAAAAAAAAAAUUGAACUUUUUAUUUUAUAAUAGUAAAAAAAAAAAAAAAAACUUUAAAAUACUUUUUAGUAUAAAAAAAAGAAAAGAAAAAAGAAAAUAGUGAAUAGAUUUAUUUUAAAUAGCGUUUUAAUCAUUAAAUGAUUUACUUCUAAAAAGUAAAGGAUAAUUUUUAUUUAUUUAAAUUAACAGUUUUAGAAAGUAUUUUCCAUAAUAGUUUUUGAAUUAUUAAUAUAAUUUUUGUUUAUUUAUAAUUUAAAAAUAGAAAAUAAUGUUGAUUUUUCAAUUAUUUAUAAAAGAGUUUUAAAAAACAAUGAAAAAUCCAAAAAUGGUUAAGUAAGAAAGAAUUUGUUGGUAGUGGCAUGUUAAUAGUGGUAGAAUAAUAAUAAAAAAAAAGAGUCAAAUGAUUAUUUUUGUCCAUUACUAUCUCAUAUCCUUGUAAUCAAUUAUGGGUGACAGGAGGACCUUAGCUCAAUUAUCAAGUAGAGCUAGGUCGGAAACACAAUUCUCCCAAUAAUUUCCGGGCAUGAUAAUCAUAUUUAAAUAAAAAAGAGGGAGCUGCCUACAUGCAUGGAUUCCAUUGUCUUUAGUGGUGAGUAAGGCUUUCCAAGAUCAAUACACACACACACACACACACACACACACACACACACACACACACACACACACAUAUAUAUAUAUAUAUAUAUAUAUAUAUAUAUAUAUAGAGAGAGAGAGAGGUAAAAACUAAGUCUAACCCAGGGAGGAAAAUAUCGAGUAUCGGUGGACCUUGACAUGAUAUAUGAGGGAGAAAUAUCGGUCCCUUGAUUUUUUGACAAUUUAUCGUGAAUCUUGCUGACUUUUUGGAAUUUAUCAACAUUUUACCUAUUUAUCACGAUAUUUUGGACCGGUCAAUGCGACCUCUACAGUCAAAUAAAUUCAUUUAUUUGAAUACCAAAAAUAUAAAAAUUAUCAUGAUAAUUUUCUUCAUAGUAUUUUUAAUAUCAUUAAUAUAUUAAUUAAGUAUAAAAAAUUAUACAUAUAUUAUCAUUUAUUUUAUAUCAUUUAAUACAAUGAAAUUAAAUGAAUUAUAAUUUUAAUAUUAAAUAUAUUUUUAAGUUGGACAUAUUAUAAUCAAAUAUCACAAUGUUAUUAUCAAAUAAUAUUUGAUAUAAUUUAAUAAUAAAUGUAUACUUAUGAAAUUCAUAUUUUUUAUUAGCAUAUACAAUAUUAUUAUCAAAUAUAAUAAAUUAUAUUAUAUAUAUCAAUUACAAUUCUAUUAUACUUUUAAUUUUAUUUUUAAGAGUUUUUUCUUACAUUUUUAUAAUUUCUGAUCAAUUUUAGGUUCAUCGAUAUUUUAUGUCAAAAUAUCCGUCGAUGUAUCUGUAAAAUGAAAGUACCGAUAUAUCCGUAAUUACCGAUAUUUUCAUCCUUGGUCUAACCUUGUGUAUUGGCCCUUCCAAAAUUUGAGUGAUUCAAUGGCAGCUCUAGUAAAACAUAAAAAGGAAGAACUAUGUUUACCCUCAUGUUCAUUCAAACAAAUAUAUUGUAUAGGAAUUCUAAUUUUCAUAUUUGAUCACCCCAAACACACAACCAAUAAAAUUAUUCUUUAAAUAUGUAUUUUAAUAGAAACUAAAAUGAGAAUUCUAUAAUUACCCCUUUUUAAAAUCUUUAAUAUGAAAAGUCAUAAUUUAAUGUAUUUGAUGGCUCUCACAUCUGUUUUUUUUUUUUUUUUUUUCUCCUCUACGUCACUUUCUCCAUAUAAUGUCUUUGAUAUCCUCUCCAUAUCAUGUCUUUGAUAUCCUACCUUUGGCAUUUUUAUUUAUUUAUAUAUGUUGAAGUGACAACACUUUCUCUUCCCAACCUCUUUACUUUCAUAUUUCUUUUUACUCGUUUAAUAUUUAUUAACUUUAUUUAAUUUUUUGGAAUAAAUAAAUAAUGAGAAUAAAUUAAAUAUAAAUAUAAGUAUGCAAGCAACAUAAAAUGAAAAUUUAUCCUAAAAAUCAUACACUUGAUACUUUAAAAUAUUAAUUAUAAUAUAUUUGAUAAUUUAGGAUUUCGAUUUAAAAAUUAUGUUUUAUUUUUUAGAGGCUGGGAUAUAAGAUUUCCAUUAACCAAAGAUUUUUUAUAUGAAUCCUAAAUAAUAUGUUUAUUUUGCAAAUUCUUAUCAUAUAUAAAUAAAAUAAAUAUAUUUUUAUCAUAUUAUUUUUAAUUUUUAAUAUUUUGUAUCAAAAUCACAAUUAAUGAUAGUGAUUUUGGUUAAGAUAGAGCCCUUAAAAACAUAACAUGUUGUAAAAAAUAUAGAGUUUAUUAUUUAUUUAAUGAUAUUUCAAUUUCACUUUUAUCUAUCCUUAUUUUAUGCAUUAUACCUUAUGAGCAUUCUAACUUGACAUUUUUUGCAUUGUUCAUGACUUGGGUGAAUUAAGAUUUACAUGGAACAUCCAAGUCAUGGGUUCUUAUAAGUGGAUGAUUUGUUCAUAGUCGCUUUAUGGACUUAAGCAAUCCAUUUGAUGUUGUAGUGCAUUACCUCUUAAUUUAAGGGAUGACUAGUUUUGACCAACAAGAUGGGACCCUCAUAGUGAGUGCACUAAUGUAUAUGAUUGCAUUUUAGAUAAAACCUAUGGUGAGUCAUGAUGUAAGAAUAUCAGGUACUCAUGACUUCACCAAGUUGCUAUAUCGCAUUUUCUAUCAACCUUGAAAGAAUAUUGGGUUUGUGCCAAAGUUUGUAGUGACUUUGACAUAUGGGUGAAAUCCAAAAGUGAUAAUAUAUUCCUUAUGGAUUAGGUCACUAUAAAUAGAAUUAAGUAGCAAUAAGUAUUCUCAAUAGAGGAAUCAGAAUAUCUCAUGGAGUUUGAGACAUUAUGUCCCUUUGGAUGAUCCUAAGGACACAUGAUCAUGAAAUCUAUAGUCGUAGUAAUUCCUUGAGUGGAAUUUGAAAUAUGCUCUUAUGGGUUGGAGUAUGUCAAUUGAUCACAUAAUAGGAGGAUAUGUAACUGAAGAAUGAUAGAAGUAACCUUGAAAGGCAAAUAGUAUUCACCUUAUUAGAUUAUGAACAAUACUUCAUAAAGAGACUAUAUACAAUGGAUAGUAGGUUAGGAACCCAAGUAGUGCAAUCGACUCUCUAUGGUAGGAUGUUGAGUCAACUUUAGAAUUGGAUUAUGAGGGAGCCAAUACUAUUCUAUGGGUCAUAGUGGUACCGACUCAAGUUCAUAUAUCUUAAUGGCAUAACUUAUGAGGGUUGGAUUAGUUAAUGAUUCAAUUAUGUGCAUAAGGGCAUUUUGGUAAAUAUGCAUGGCUGAAUAGGAGUUUGUUGGGACAAAGCCCUAUAAAGCAUGAUAUGAUGUAAUAGAUUAAGUUUCAUUAAUAAAUUUAUUUAUUUAUUAUUCUAGUCCCCUUGUGUUAUCCCAUUUGCAUGAAUUGGUUAUUUGAGCAUUUACGUUCAUAUCACUUGCAUUGUACAUGACUUAGGAGUAUUAAGAGUUGAAUAAAAGAUCCAAGUUAUGGAUUCUUUACAAUAUGAUAAGUGAUUAGAAGUCUAUUCAUGGAUUUAGCAAAUCUAGUAUAAACUAUAGUGUACUACUACCUACUAAUUAGAGGGAUGCCUUGUGAUGGUCAUCGGGAUAACUUUCUCAUGGUAAAUGUGUACAAUUACAUAUUAAAUAUGACCUACGAUGAAUCAUGAUAUUAGUUGUUGGAUAGUCAUUAUUACCCAAGGUUUUAUACUACAUAAAUUCUUAAGCUUAAAAGGAUAUUAAGUCUAUACUAAAAUCAAUAUGAAGUUUUGACCUCUGGUUGAGAUCCUAAUGUGGUCACAUAUUCCACAUAGAUUGGGUUAUUGAAGGAGACCGGUAACAAUAGGCAUUUUUAAUAAAGGAACCAUAAUAUCUCAUGGGAUUAAACUUCAUGGGUGAUCUUAAGGGCAUGUGAUCAGGAUAAAUGUUACUAUAGCAAUUCCUUUAGUAAAAUUUGAUAUAUGCUCUUUGUGGGAUGGAGUAUGUCAGAUGAUCACUUAAUAGGAGGAUCUAUAACUCAAGGAUUAGAAAGGUAAUCUUGAAAGGUUGAUAUCACUACCUUGUUAGAUUAUGAAUAUCAAUUCAUGGGAAGUCUACAUUGUUAGGAUAGAGCCCUUAAGAGCAUGACCUGAUUUAAUAAACUUUUGAAUUUAAUUAUUCCUUAAAAAUUUUCAAUUCACUUUUAUCUAUUCUCAUUCCAUGUAUUCUAUCUUGUAAGCAUUUUGACUUACAUCUUUUUCAUUGUACAUGACUAGAGUACAUAAGGUUAUCAAGUUGUUAUGACUUCACCAAGCUACUUCAAUAUGUUUCCUUUAGAGAAUAUUGAGUUGGUGCUAAAGUUAGUAGUGACAUUGACCUACAAGUGAGAUCAUUAGUUGAUUAUAUAUUCCUUAUGGAUUAGGUCAUUGUUUAUCGAUGCCAAUUACAAUAGGUAUUUUCAAUAGAGGCACCAUAAUAUCUCAUGGGAUUAAGACAAGUGUCCUAUUGGGUGAUCCUAAGGAGGUGUGUUUAUGUAAACUAUGGUCAUAAUAGUUUCUUAAGUGGAACUUAACAUAAACUCUUGGAGAGUUAAGAUAUGCUAGUUGAGCACAUAGUAAGAGGAUUUAUAACUCAUAGAUAGUAGAGGUAGUCUUGAGAAGAUGAUAGCUUUCACCUUGUUAGACUUUGGACACCACACUACAAGAAAAAAGGUCAUUAUUGACAUAUAUCAUCUUGACUUAAGAUAAUAUAUGUGAAGAUUGUCUAUUUAAAUGAACAAUUAUGACAUAUACAACUUAGUUUAAACCAAUAAUGACAUGUAUAAUAGUUAUUGCAUUUUUCCAUGACUUAUGAUGAUGCAACCUUGACAAAUAAUUUAUAAGUCAAUCUAUAAUUAAUAUGUUCAUAUGUCAAGGUACCGAAAUGAAAGCAAUAAUGACAUAUAUAUAUAUAUUUGCUAAAUUUUCCUUGGUUUAAUGAUAUGCAAUCUUGACUCAAAAUUUAUUAGUCAAAGUAUAGUUAAUCUUUUCUACCUAAAUAAAAGUAAUAAUGACAUAUAUGCAUUUGCUAAGUUUUUAUAUGGUUUAUAAUGAUACAACCUUAAUAGAAAUUUAUAAGUUAAUAAAAAUUCAAUAAAUUAAUAUGUUAAGAUUAGAAUCUUUGGUUGCGCCACUUUAACAUAUAAUUUGUAAGUGAAAAUAAGCCUAUUUUAUUUUAAUUUAUUAAGGUUGAGUUAUUGAAAAAGAAAAUCCUAAUUUAAGGCAAUUUUAUCAAAUUUUGGUAGUUUUUACAAGUAUAUUUAUUAUUAUUUUGAAUAGAAACUUGUGAUUAAAAAGGAUAAGAUAAUGUUUCCAUUUAAAAAAUAAUAUCAAUGUAUUGAAAACUAUAUCUAUAAUCUUAUUUUAAUAUUUUGGAUAAGAUACUAAGUUAUGUCUCUAUAUUUCUAAUUAUUGGAAUUAAAAUAUAUUGCCACUAACUUGUGUUAGGGUCUCACAAGUAUUAGGUAAUUAAAUUAUUAUUUAUGUAUUUAAUUAGACAUUAAAUCUACUAAGAAUAACUUAAUUAGUAUUUAGGCAUUCAUUAUAACUAAUUGCAGGCCCACAAAAUCAAUCCAUAGACCCAUUUCUUUUAAAAUGUUUUAAGCCCAUUUUAUUUAGUUUGGGUCCAUUACAUUUAUACUUUUUCUUGAGCCAUAAAAAAAACUCAAUAUAUAAAUUUUUUUCCUCUCUAUUCCAUUUACAGUCGCCCCAUCUACCCCAUCUACCCCAUCUUCCCUUUUUCUCUUCUUUUCUUACUUUUUUUUUUAAUUCUUUUUUCUUCUUCUUUCUUCUUUCUUUUUUCAUCCUCUCAUCCUCAUAUUCAUGGUAGACCCUACACCGCCACCUCCAUCUCCUGUGUUGUUACGAUCCAUGAGUCCUACACCCACCAUGGCACCAUCUUUCUUAUCACCAUUGUCGUUCCCAUGUUCGCUACAACUCAGACAUGCUUCCUGAUGUUUUGCCACAAUCUCGACGUGGUUGUUGUUGUUUCGCUUUAGCUCGGACGCUAUUCUUGAUGUUCCGUCUCCAUCAUAGCCACCAUUGUUGCAGCCCAUAGCCUUGGUACCUCCUGCACUACCCAUUGACUUUUGUUGGAUCACCAUCAGCACCAUCUCCAUGGUUGCCACUUCCUUCUUCAUCUUAGAGCUUCAAGAGACGUAGGUAAGUUUCCUUGGAUAUCUACAGUACUUGUUGUGGUAGUUUUAAUUUAAUUUUUAUAUGGGCUUGGGUCUCAUUUGCUUUAUAAUUGGGCUUCAAAUUAUUUGGUACAUAGGCUUGAUGUUAUAAUAUUUUAUUACUUGGGCCUUGUGUUUCACUUGGUUGAGCCCAAUAAUAAGAGUAUCAGGCACACAUAAGCAGGUUGGUUCUUUGAGAACCAUUGAGUUUUGUUGAACCUUAGGAUUUUUAAGGCCAUGCUUCACCAUUGAUUGGGCUUCAAGUAAGAGAUAAGUAUGGAAGUUGCAGUUACUGACCUUAGUGUCUCUACUCCUGCCCAUGGUUUCAACAUGUGGGUCAAUUGAGGGGUUUGGUGAAGCUCUCCAUAUCUUCAAGACCUCUCUGGUUGAAGAAUAGUCCAACGGCCAAGUGACUAUGGAAAAAACCACAUGUUUGGAGUUAAGUUAAUGUUGGAUAAGUAUUAAUGUACACACAAAAUAAUGAAAAAUCGACGUGGUUGGGGCUGAAGAGCCACAACAUCAUAUAUAUUUGGUUCUGAUGGAGGAGUUAAUUAAUUGAUAUUACCAUGAAGGAAUUUCUAGUAGUUUUAAUCUAUUUAAUCAUACCAUCUAAUUGAAAAGAUGUUUUUGUCCUUUUCUUUUUAUUUUUAAUAUUCUAGAUGAUAUUCUUUGUUAAAAAAUUUAGAAAUAAUACAUCUUUGUAAUUGAGCUAGCUACUACAAAAUUAUAAGUGCUCAUUUCAUUCAUCAUCUCAAAAUUAUGUCUAGUGGCCUCAACUUUGAGUCAGUCAUUGAGGGGCUUAAUUUUAGGAGGAGAAUUAAAAUGUUCUCUUUUUUUUUCUUCUUCUAUUUUUUUUUCUUGAAUAUCCACUGUGUUUUACAUUGAAUCUAGAAUCACAAAGUCAAUUCAAUUACAAUUGAUGAUAUUAAAGGUCAAUAGGUGUAUUCAUUUUAUCUUUGUGAUAUCUAAAGUUAGUAUAUUUAUUGUCCUAUGAAAAAAAAAUCUUUUAAUUUUUUGGUAUUUGUUACUUACUUUUCUAUUAAUUCUAUGUUUAUUCUACUAGGUAUCUAAGAAAUACAUCAAGAAGAAGACAAUGAUGUAGAAACAAAGAUCACCUCUUAUGAAGAUGAUGUUGUACUUUUCAAUUUAAGUUUGUAUAUUAUUUUAAUUGAAUGUUUUUAGCUAGAUUUUGUUUGUAUAUAGAAAAUAGAGAGUAACUUGAACAAGAUUUAUGGAAUUGUGUUCUUAAUAUUUAAUGUAUAUGUAAUAAUUUUUUUUCCUUAAAUAGUAAUUUAUUUAAAUUAUUUUAAAGACUUGAUUGUAAUUAUCAUAAUUAAAAAUAUACCAAAUUUAAUUUCAAGAUAGGUUUCAUAUGGUAUAUAACAUGUUCAUUUUCCAUUAAAAACUAAAAAUUAUAAUAAAAUAAUAUUAAAUUUUUCAUAAGUUAUAUUGACAUAUGGCUCAUGCUCAAUAUUGACAUGUGUAGUAGCAACUAUGACAUAUGCGAUACCAAACAUUGACAUAUAUAAAGCAAUUAUGAUAUAUAUAAAAUCUAACCUUGACAUAUAUAUUUAGAAAUCUUGACAUAUGUGGGAUUAAUCAUGACAUAUAUGACGUCUGACCUUGACACUUGUUGGAGUAACCUUAACAAAAGAGUAAGUUGACCUUGACAUAAGAUCAAGUAAUCUUGUCAUAUGUUAAAUUCAACAUUGACAUAAGUAAAUGAAACAUUGAUAGAUAUCAUACUAUUAAGAUUUCAUCAUUAGUGGAAAUAAAGAAAUCUUGACAUAUGGAUAUGUCAAGGUAGCUUUAGACUUUUCUUGACACUGGCAUAGAUGACAUAUACGAAUAGUAACCUAUCUUGACAGAUAUACCUUAUCUUAACGGUGAAAAACUGUCAACAAGGGCCUUUUUUCUUGUAGUGCCAGUUCAUAAGGAGACCAAAUGCAAUGGAUAGUAGGUCAUGGACUUGAGUACUUUGUAGUGGAGUGAAGUUGAUUCUAUGUAGUAAGAUGUUAAAUCAAUUUUAGAAUUGAAUUAUGAGGGAGUCAAUACUAUCCUAUUGGUCCCAAUGGUCCCUACUUGAGCUCAUAUGUCUUAUUGGUAUGGUUUAUGAGAAUUGGAUUGACUCAUGGUUCACUUUUAUGAGUAAAGGCUUUUUGGUAACUAUGCUAGGUUGCAUAGGGGUUAGUGAACAAAGUUUCUAGAUUGGGCUAAUUGAUUAAUUAAAAGACUUUGUGGGUUAGUUAAUUAAUUAUAAUCUAUUUUAGCUAGAUUAGGUGACCCAAGCCCUUAGUAGGCUCAAGUCACUUAAACCAAUUAGGGAACCUUAUAAAUACUCUUUUAGGGGUGAAGUAGUUGUCUUCUAUAAUGUAGAGAGAAUAAAGAGCCACAACUUCCUCCCUCACAACCUUCUCACUAGUUAAAUGCCAAAAUCAAGGUAUAGUCAAUGCAAUAGAAGAUCUUAGGUUUUUAAGACCUUCAACUACUUUGUUCAGAUACUUCACUGCAUGGAUUUGAUUUGGGAACAUCCAAAUCAAGGUAAAAGUUUUCUAUCUUGAUAUCUAAAUCCUAUUAUUCAUUUAAAAUGCAUGUUUCCCUUUGUGCUUAGGAUUUAAAGAAAACUUAGGAAGAUUUGCAUGUAUCUAACAUGAUCUAGGUAUAGGAAACAAAAAUAUCUAGGAUUCUUUACAAAAAUCCAGUGGAUAGUAGGUUAUAGGCCUAAACUUUAACUUAUUAUAAUUAUAUAAGAUAUUAGAGUGUAGUUGAUUCUCUUUAAUGGAGUGUUGAGUCAACGUCAAAAUUGGAUUUUAAGAGCCAAUAUUUUCCUAUGGGUUCCAGUAGUCUCCACCCGAACUCCCAUUUCAUGGUGGCACAUUUGUUUGAGGAAUUUUGUGUUUGUAGUUCACUAAUGUGCAUAAGUGGCAUUUUGGUAAAAGUAAAAAGUUGCACUAGAUCUUGUGUGCAGUAGGACUAAUUAAAUUAAUUAGAACGGAAGUGAGAUGAAGUAAGUGACCUAAGGCCAAUUUGGACUCAAGUCACUUAAGCCCAUAGGGAAGUCUAUAAAUACCACCUUAGGGGUGAGAGCUUCAAACUUUUGUCAUUUUUCUUUUAGAAAGAGAAAGCAAACCCUAACCACCUUUAAGUGAGAGAAAAAGAGAGAAGCUUUCCCUUCUCUUACGCGAAGGUUUGUUGUGAAAGAAAAGAUCGGGUGCAAGAUUAUUAGGUAAAUGACUUCUAUGACACAUUCUAGGGAUUGGAUUGAAUAUGGGAACAUCCAAAUCAUAGGAAUGAAUUCUAAUAUCUAAAUCUAGUAUAUUUUAUGGAUUUUAUAACUAUAUUUUUCCAUUGCAUUAGAUCUAGAGAAGCCUAGAGAUAGUUAGAUGGACUUUAUAUGAUCCAAGGUUAAGGAACAGAUUAAUUCGAAGUUCCCAUCGAAGUUAGUGAACAAUAUUUCUAGAUUAUUAGGUUGAUUAAUUAAUUUAAGCCCCCAAUUAGAAACCUUUUUAGUUUAAAUUAAAUGGCUCAAGUCUAAGGUAUGCUCAAGUAACUUAAGCCUAAUGGGAAGCCUUUAAAUACCUCUUGAGGGGUUAGGGUGUAGACCCACAUUUUUCACGUGCGUUCCCACUUGAUCGGCGAGACUCGCUUUUUAUUUGGUGAAAAAUUAAUUUUGGAAAAUUCGGAAUCGCCAUUUAUUUUAUUUUAUUUUAAAAGGGAAAAUAAAACAAGAAAUAAAACCCUAAAAAAUGACUUCAUAGUUUUUGGAAAAGCGUGUCUUUAAAAAACCCGAGUCUAGGUCUGAGGAUCAGGUUACUUAUUGAGAAGGUAUCUCUAGGAGGUAACACCCCUCUAAGCCCUAUAAAAGUCUCUACUGACUAAGUUAAGGGAAAUGUGACAAUUAAUUGAUUAAUUAUAGAUACCUAGGUAGGCUAGGUGAUUUCGAAAAAUAGCAUGCUAAACAAGAAAACCGAUCACAAAUCAUAAAGAAGAUUUAGGGUGCGUACCUGGACCACUUCUUAAGUGCUAUCACAAAACAUCAAAGGUUACUUUAAAUAGUAUAUCACCCAACAUGCACUUUAUCAUAAAUGAUCGAACAAUGUAACAAAAUCAAGACACCUAAGCACUAUCAAACAUAGGCAUAAUUCAUAAUGACAAUCAUAUUUAUAGAAUUUAGAAAGUGGGUGUUAGGGAGCGUACUUAGAUAGCAUAGAUAACUCAUAAUACGCUUCCUCGAGACAUGGAGGGUUAGAUAAUAAAUAAUAAAAUAAGAAAUUCUAGCAUGCUUGUUAUUUAAUUAGCAUGACAAAAAAAAUGAUCAAAGUAUACUAAAUCAUCAAUUAUCACACACAUCUUGUAUACAAUUCUUAAAAAAAAAAGAUAGAUAUGAUUACAACAAAUAGCAAGAGUGGUAGCAAAAAUAAGUUUUGAAAAGAUUUUCUUAUAUAGGGGUUUCACCAAUUCCCCAAUCGAUAUACACGAAUUUAGCCUAGAAUUAUCCAAUUUAUUUGGGACCACAAGCUUUGAUUCGUGUUUUGUUCAAAACCAAAUUUUUUAUUGAAAACUGAGAAAGAUGCGAACCGAUUAAAAAAAUGGUUGCAUAUUAUUUUAAGAGAAUGAGAUUUUGAUUCUAAAGACUCUAAAUGUACUUUUUUUUAAAUAGAUUUUCAAAGGGGUCUUUUGAGAAAAGUGUUUUGUUUUAAAAUAAAAGAAAUUAAUUUCGAAAACAACAAAACAUAGAAAACAAAAUACCAACAAAAAAAAAGGAAACAAAAAUCACAAAAUAAAGAUUUAGACAAUCAUGCCAAUUAAAGUAGUGAGAGUAGGGCCAACCUUCAUGGGUUUCCAGUGGCCUUCAAAAAAAGGAUUUGACCAACAAUCACUAAGGCAACAAAAUUAUGACUUCCUAAUCAAACAAACUAAUAAAAAUAUUAUCCAAGACUAACAUUUAGAUUUCAAAAAACACAUGAAUUAAGAUAAAAAAAAAAAAUCCAAUCAAGGAUUAAAGUCAACAAACUUAGCAUAUGGAGAUAAUAAUGUGGGAUUGAUUAAGGUAAAUUAACAUUCUAACAAAAUAUGAUAAAUCAAAAACCAAAAUUUAGCAAUCUUGAAAAUAUGAAAACAAUAACAUGCAAUUAACUAGAUUGAUUAUCUAAAAUUCCUAAAAACUCGAACUAAAUAUUAAUAGAUCAAAACCAAAAUAUGCCAUGCUCAAAAUAUGAAAAAUAAUAACACGUGAUUAACUAAAUUAAUUAGCUAAAAUUAUAAUAGUCAACUACAAAAUUGGAUAUAAAUGGAUUAAAAUCAAAAUUAACGAAAUAAAAAACGCACAAACACAUUCAAACUAAAAAUAAUUAAUACUAGAUUAAAUUAGAAUUAAAAACAUCAACAUCAUCUAAUAAGAUUGGCUAAACUAUUAAAUUGAAAUUGCAAAUACAUUUAAACUAAAGCAAAUAAAUAAAUUAGCAAAUUAAAACUAAACUACAAUCGGAAUUAAGACAAAAAAACAUGAAAUUUGUCUAAGAGGUUUGGUCAAACAAUUGAAUUAAAAUCAUGAACGCUUUCAAAUUAUAGAAUAAAUUAAAACUAAACUAGAUUGAGAUUAAACUCUAUCUAAGAAAAUUAGUUAAUUAAACUAAUAAAAUCAAAAUCAACAAUCAAAACUAAACUAAAGAAUAAAUUAAGACAAAACUAAUUGGAUUAAAAUCACAAACACAUUUAAACUAUCAUAUAGAUUAAAAUAAAUUAGCAUGGAACUAAUGAACUACAAUCACAAAAGAAGAAAAAAAAAGUCUAUUCUAAAAAAAAUGCGCAAAUUGAGAUUUAAAAGAAUUGAGCACAAAGAAUUAAUUAAAUCAAUGAACUAACAUCUAAAUUAAAAAAAAAAAAAUCUGUCAAAAACUGACCUGUGUUGUGAAAGAAAAAAUCCUCUCUUUGUGCGUCAAAGUGGCAACCCGAUCUUUGUCUGAAGUCUUCUGCUGCUCCCCAAAAACUCUUGUGCGUGUCCUUUCUGAAAAAAAAAAAAUUCCCCCUUGAUCUGUUCUCCUCCUCUUAUUUAUAUGGCAGCCCACUCCUAUGGAAUAUUUUAUUUCCUUUUUGGAGAUAUAUUUCCAACCUUAAAGGAGAUCCAAAUUUCCAAACUUCUGAUGGCACUUUCUAUUUCAAUACCCAUUGUCUCUCAAUGUUGUAGUCCCCAAUCUCCCUUCUAAAAAUGUUGUCAAAAUCUUCCCUGCCUCAUCUCUUGUCGAACCCUUGGAUCCUAUUGGCUAUUGUUGAAUCUGAGUGCAAUGUCAUUUGCAGAUGUCAUGAACAACUCAUCUAGCAAGCCUCUGCUGCCCCCUAUUGACCCUACGCCAACAAACUCAACUUCUCACAUCAUAUGUCAUUUUGUACGUGGGACUCACUGGAUNNNNNNNNNNNNNNNNNNNNNNNNNNNNNNNNNNNNNNNNNNNNNNNNNNNNNNNNNNNNNNNNNNNNNNNNNNNNNNNNNNNNNNNNNNNNNNNNNNNNCCCCCAUGGCAUUUCUUAUUCAUUCCAUCAUCAAUUCUCUCCACUUCUUAUCCUUUCUUCCAAGUGCUUGGUAUUCAAGACCGUUCAAGUCAUCAAGUGAUUUGUUGUUUCUUGUGAUUUGAAGUGCUACUAUCACAAGAAAGUGAUCGUUGUAUCCUGGGAGACGAUUGUCAACAAACCAUAAGCACCAGUGUGGGGCAAAUUUAUCUUAAGGACAUAGAGUCAAACUUUAGCCUCGAUCAACCAUUUGUACGAUUCAAUAUUUACUUACCUUCUCAUUUAUUUAUUAUAUGUAAUUAUUUGACCAUACAUUUGUGAUAAUUCCAGAAUAACAAUCUUAAGACGAAUUUCUUUUUAAUCUUUUGCUUCUGUCUAUGUUUUUAAUUCAGUUAAUAACAUGACCUUUACAAAUAUUAUUGAUACCCCUGUUGUUACACCUACUACUACCCAUGGUGAGAAACCAGAGAAAUUCACUAGGUUGGACUUCAAGCAGUGGCAACAAAAGCUGUUGUUUUAUCUCACAACACUUAACUUGGCUAAAGUGUUGCAUGAAGAUGCACCUACCUUAAAGGAGGAAGAGACUAACAAGCAAAUUGUGGCAGCAGUUGAAGCAUAGAAACAUUCAGAUUUUCUAUGCAAAAAUUACAUCCUCAAUGGACUUGACAACACGAUGUAUAAUGUGUAUAGUCAAGUGAAGACAACUAAGGAGCUGUGGGAGACUUUGGAGAAGAAAUACAAGACUGAAAAUGCUAGCAUGAAAAAAUUCAUAGUUGGUAGAUUUCUAGAUUACAAAAUGGUUGACUCCAAGACAGUGAUAAGCCAAGUCCAAGAGCUUCAAAUAAUUUUGCAUGAAUUACAUGCUGAGAAGAUGGAAUUAAGUGAGUCCUUUCAAGUUGCAGCGAUUGUUGAAAAGUUACCACCAUCUUGGAAGGACUUCAAGAAUUAUCUGAAACACAAGCGCAAGAAAAUGGGGCUUGAGGACUUGAUUGUGAGACUGAAAAUUGAGGAAGAUAUUCGUGUUUUUUAGAAGAAAGUGGGAAAACAUCCCAUGGAGUCCAAGGCAAACUUGGUGGAACCAAAGGCUAAUAAAAAGAGAAAGCACUUUGGUGAAGGUCCAAGUCAAGGAAAGAAUAAAUACAAGAAGUUUGUUGGGAAGUGUUACAUUUGUAAUAAGCAAGGCCAUAGGGCCAAGGAUUGCCGCUUGAAAGGACAAAGUAAUGAAAAUAAAACACAAGUGACUGAGGAAGAGGAGUUGGCAAACAUGCUUUCCGCAUUGGUACUGUUUGAAGCUAACAUGGUAGAUAACCCAAACGAAUGGUGGGUUGACACAAGUGCCACCCGUCAUGUUUGUGGAGAAAGAAACAUGUUCUCCACAUAUGUACCAGUCAAUGGUAGAAAUUUGAUCAUGGGAAAUUUUGCCACAUCUAGGGUUGUGGGAAUUGGAAAAGUGGUGCUAAAGAUUACUUCUAGAAAAGAACUUGUUCUCAUAUAUGUGCUACAUGUGCCUGAUAUUUGCAAGAAUCUUAUUUCUAGUUCUAUGCUUAGCGAAAAUGGGUUCAAGUUAGUUUUCGAGUCUGACAAAUUUGUAUUCAUGAAAAAUGGGAUGUAUGUGGGUAAGGGGUAUAUGACCAAUGGCCUGUUUAAGAUGAAUGUAAUGAUUGUUAAGCGUGAUUUCAAUAAUAAUAAAGCAAGUACUGCUGUUUACUUGAUUGAGUCUUUUACUUUGUGGCAUGAUAGGUUAGGACAUGUUAACAAUAAAACUUUAAAAAGGUUGAUUAACAUGAAUUUGUUGCCUUUUUUUAGCAUUGAUUUUAAACAUAAAUGUGAAGUGUGUGUGGAAGCCAAGAUGGCUAAGCCACCGUUUCAUUCAAUUCAAAGGAACACAGAACCUCUGGAUUUAAUUCAUAGUGACAUCUGUGACUUAAAGUUUAUACAAACAAGAGGAGGGAAAAGAUAUUUUAUUACCUUUAUAGAUGAUUAUACAAGAUACUUUUAUGUGUAUUUGCUAAGAAGCAAAGAUGAGGCCUUAGAUGUGUUUAAACACUACAAGAAUGAGGUUGAAAAUCAACUUAGCAGAAAGAUUAAGGCAAUAAGAAGUGAUAGAGGUGGAGAGUAUGAAGCUCCUUUUGGAGAAUUUUGUUCAGAACAUGGAAUAAUCCACCAAACUACUACUCCUUAUUCACCUCAAUCGAACGGUGUUGUUAGCGCAAGAACCGUACAUUAAAGGAAAUGAUGGAUGCUAUGUUGAUAAGUUCGGGUCCACCCCAAAACUUAUGGGGAGAAGCAAUUCUUUCUGCAAACCACAUUCUUAACAAGAUACCACAUAAGAAUAAGGAUGUAACUUCAUAUGAGUUAUAGAAGGGUCACAAACCCUCUUACAAAUAUUUGAAAGUGUGGGGGUGUUUGGCUAAAGUAGGAGUGCCUAAACCUAAACAAGUUAAGAUUGGGCCUAAAACUAUUGAUUGUGUAUUUAUUGGAUAUGCAAACAAUAGUUGUGCAUAUCGUUUUCUUGUACAUAAGUCUGACAUUCCUAAUAUACAUAAAGAUACAAUUAUUGAGUCUAAGAAUGCGUCAUUUUUUUAGAAUAUUUUUCCUUGUAAAGAAAAGCAAGAAGUAAGUUCAAAUAAGAGAACUUAUGAUACUGUAAAUGGUAAUCAUCAAAAUGAGGAAGAAAUAAGAUGCAGUUAGAGAGCCAAGAAGACAAAGUCUUUUGGCUUGGAUUAUCUAACUUACAUGUUAGAUAACGAACCCAAGACAUUCAAAGAAGCAAUGUCAACACCAGAAGCCCCAUUUUGGAAAGAGGCUAUCAAUAGUGAAAUUGAAUCCAUCAUGCAUAACCACACAUGGAAAUUGGUGGAUUUACCACCAGGAAAUAAACCUUUGGGUUGCAAAUGGAUCUUCAAGAAAAAGAUGAAGCCUGAUGGAACAAUAGAUAAGUACAAGGCUAGAUUGGAGCCAAAGGAUUUAAAUAAAAGGAAGGCCUUGAUUUCUUUGAUACAUAUUCACCAGUUACGAGAAUAACAUCUAUUAGAGUGUUAAUUGCAAUCGCAGCAUUGCAUAAUUUGGAAAUUCAUCAAAUGGAUGUUAAGACAAUCUUUUUAAAUGGGGAGUUAGAAGAAGAAAUAUAUAUGGAACAACCUGAAGGGUUUGUUGCUCCUGGACUAGAAAAAAAGGUGUGUAAGUUGAUAAAGUCCCUAUAUGGGCUAAAACAAGCACCAAAACAAUGACAUUAGAAAUUUGACAAAGUAAUGUUGUCAAAUGAUUUUAAAAUUAAUGGAUGUGAUAAAUGUGCAUAUACAAAGAAUACACAAAGUGAGUAUGUCAUUGUGUGCUUGUACGUGGAUGAUAUGUUAAUUAUUGGUAGCAAUAAUGAUGUCAUUAAAGCUACUAAGAAAAUGCUGACCAAUUAUUUUGAUAUGAAAGACAUGGGUGUCGUAGACGUGAUCUUAGGUAUAAAAAUGGCCAAGACAUCUAGUGGACUAAUAUUAUCUCAAUGUCAUUACAUUGAGAAAAUUCUUAAACGGUUUAACUAAUAUGAUGAUAGUCCAAUUAAGACACCAGUAGAUUUAAAUCUAUAUUUAGCUAAAAAUAAUGGUCGAGUAAUUGACCAGUUGGAAUAUUCUUGUAUCAUUGGUAGUUUAAUGUAUGUCAUAAACUGCACGCGUCCAGACAUAGCCUACGCAGUUAAUAAACUAAGUAGGUUCACUAAUAAUCCGGGAAAAGACCAUUGGAAGGCGUUGAUUAGGGUUCUUAGAUAUCUAAGAUACACCCUAAACUAUGGACAUCAUUAUUUAAGGUAUCCAGCCAUACUAGAAGGAUAUAGUGAUGCAAAUUAGAUAUCUGAUACAAAGGACUCAAAGUCCACAAGUGGAUAUGUAUUCACAAUUGGUGGUGGUGCGAUAUCAUGGAAGUCAUCUAAACAAACAUGUAUUGCAAGAUCAAUGAUGGAAUCUAAAUUUAUUGCUUUAGAUAAAGUAGGGGAAGAAGCAGAAUGGCUUCAUAAUUUUCUAGAAGACAUUCCAUGUUGGCCAAAACCAAUGCCUGCAAUAUGUAUACAUUGUGAUAGUCAAUCAGCGAUUGGAAGAGCACAAAGUAGCAUGUACAAUGGUAAGUCUCGACACAUCCGUCACAUACAUAAUAUUGUAAGGCAGUUACUUGUAAAUGGAAUUAUUUCCAUUGAUUAUGUUAAGUCAAAGGACAACUUGGUGGAUCCACUAACUAAAGGAUUGUCUAGAGAUCAAGUAAACUGCUCAUCGAGGGGAAUGGGAUUAAGGCUUAUCACUAAAGAGUUUCAUAAUGGAAACCUAACCUAGCUGACUAGAGAUCCCAAGACCUAGCUAGGUUCAAUGAGGAACUAAAUUAUGAAAUACUCUGUGAAGAGCACUAGGGAAAAAUAAAUUCCUACCCAUUCCUAUGGUGAAGUAGUGCUAUACAAGAUGUGUUUAGGAUAAGCUAUGCUUUUAAUGAUUCUAAUAAUUUGAAAGAGUUCAAGUGGAGUAUGGUAGAAUAUUCGCACUUGUAACGGCUAAAAUGAACACAACCGUGAGAAUCAAUGGUGAUCUGGAAAGGAAUUGUGUGAAUACUAUUGUCUUGAUUUACAUCAAUAGCUGAAUAGUUCAAGACAUCACAUUCACUGAUUAGCUAGUAAAUCCGAUAGUAUUUCACUAAGGUUCAGAGCCAUAAACUACCUAUCCUGAUGCGAUCACUUUCCAAUUUUGUAUUCUCUUGAUUGUUUAGUUUUCCAUUUGCCUUUUUUAAGUCAAUUUCCAUUCAUGUGGGGGAUUGUUGGGAUAUUUAUAGGUGAAUGGAAAUUAAGACAUACUGUUUCAAUUAGACACAACUCUUCGUAAUGGACACAACUUGUGUCAAAGGAUAUGUCAAGUAUUUAAGACACAUCUCUUCUAAGAGUCACUAGAAAACCUAUAAAUAGGGGGGCCCCAUGGCAUUUCUAAUUCAUUCCAUCAUCAAUUCUCUCCACUUCUUCUCCUUUCUUCCAGGUGCUUGGUAUUCAAGAGAGUUCAAGUCAUCAAAUGAUUCACUGUUUCUUGUGAUUUGGAGUGCUACUAUCACAAGAUAGUGAUCGUUGUAUCCUGGGAGACGAUUGUCAACAAACCGUAUGCACCAAUGCAGGGCAAAUUCGUAUUAAGGACAUAGAGUCAAACUCUAACCUCGAUCAACCGUUUGUAAGAUUCAAUAUUUACUUACCUUCUCGCUUAUUUAUUAUACAUAAUUAUUUGACCAUACAUUUGUGAUAAUUCCAAAAUAACAGUUGAAUCCUCGGCCACAGCCUUUGCGGCAGCUAGAAACAAUUCCAGAAGGAUUCGUGGAAGGACAGUUGUUGAUGUAGAUUUGGAAGUACACACAACAAGACCUCUUAAUAACCGCAACAAGCGUGGAAGAGCUCCAGAACAAUCUUGGCAUGUUCCGCUUCUGCCACCCAAGGAGCCCACCUUCAACUGUAGGAAAAGGGUCACCAUGAAAGAUACCAUCAGAAUUUAACUUCCUGCAGCCAGCUGAGUAUGAUGCCUGGGCCAAUCAUGUAAUUAUGCAUAGGCUUAAAGAUUUUCAGCGUACAAGAAGGUGGGUUAUAAAGACUGGCUUUUGGAGGAUAGAAAGAGAAAUGAAAGAUGGCUCUUGGCAUGUUAUCAGACUCUUUUAUUUUUGCCCUCACAGACGGUGAUCCUCGUCUGCACGCUCUUGAACUCCGAUAUCCGACAUCGUAUGGUGAUGCCACCUGGGCGCUGAAAUGUAUACUCCUCCUCGGAUUCUCUCAGAAACUCACCAAACAAUGGGUGAUCGAAGUAUAUCACCGACACAAGGACUCGUGGAAGUCACCGUCUUUUUGAUCCACGUACACCGCCAGAUGGCCUUUCGGAACCGUCACCGCUAGCAUCUCCUCACCCACCAGAAGGUAACCAGAGAAACGAGCCGGAUCCGAGUUCAACAAACAUGUCUUUUUGGCCUUGGUUUUGAGACGUUGACCCCAGUUGCAGAGUCGAGAAAUUGUCUUGGUCUUGCCAGUCGGUAGCCAGAGACGGUGGUACCCAAAUGGGUUUCGGUGGAAAAAACCAUCCGUAGAACUUGACGACCUGUUUUCCUAGUUUGAAGCCCCUGAUCUUUCUCAUGGUGUAAGUGUUUGGUGCGAGAGAAAAAUUCAGAAGCUAUAAAUUACCAGAAUUUUCAAAAGAAAGAAAACGGUAAGAUUUGGCUCAGGAGAAAGGUCAUGGAGCUUUUUGUCUUAAACCCUUUCUCUUCGUCAACACUUAACGGUGGCAGUGGAGAUGUGGAGGAGGAUGGGUUUUCUAUUCUGAAAACAGAUGGAUAUGGUGCGGCGGACUACUCCAGAAGUGAUGAAGUCUAUAGGCGACCCAUUGAGUUUCAAUGGCGGUGCACUACACCAACAGUUAUGAAUUUGCCUUUUUCAAUACAGAAUUUGCUUCUUCAAGAGAACGUCCAAGAAGUCUCGCUAUCGGUGUGGUGGCUCCUUUUUAUACCAGCAUCAGAAGUCACUGGAACUCCAGCUGUCACUCAUUCUCAGGCAUGGUGUGCAUGUCCUCAUGUUCACGUGUUCUUCACACCGGAUCAUUCUCUCUAGAGACUUCCAGAGAGCCUCCAAAAAAUGCCUGACCUCUAAUGCCAUGCCACCUCACGUGACAGCUCUCACCAACUUCAUCUUUUUGUUUUCACAGGAGCCUCCCAUUCCUAAAUAUGCAAUCGUCUCCUCAUGCAAAACAGAAUAAAAUAAAAUAAAAAAAAAUAAAAAAAAAGAGAAGAAACUAAUGAAAAUCAUGAGAUUGGUAAUAAAAUAAAACAUGAUUUAAAAGAAAAAAAAGAGAGACCAGAUUAUAUAAUUCCAUCAUUCAAUAAGGGGGUCGUAUGUAUAUUUAAAGUCUAAACAAUUCAAGCAAUUUUCUAUUAAGUAAAUAAAAAAUAAAAAUAAAUAAUAAAAGUAAAAAUAAAAAUGAAUAUAAUUAUCAAAUGCAUGCAAUAAUAAUAAAAAGAUUAUACAUAAAAAAGUUAAGCCUCAAUGAAGUGUCUAAGUGGGCCUAAGUGGGUGCCUAAUGAGCCAAGUGCGUCUAAGUGAACUUAAGGUGUCUAAACGAGCCUAGGGUGAGACUAGGUGGGUCUAAUUAAGUCUAACCUAAAGUGCACCUAAGUAAAACCUAAUCAAAAUCAAGACUAUCAAGGAUCAUAAUAAGGGGUCAAAUAAUCCCUCAACCAGAGUUUCCGAGGUGGCUCUAAAAAAAUGGGCUACACGAGAAGUAAUGGGCCACCAAGGAAUUGUUGUAAAGUACGGAACAAAUACCUAAUAAGACAUGUGCUAGAAUGAUAAAAUGGAGGGUCUACAUAGGGCUUCAGACUCUUAGACUUUUACUUCUUCCAUUCUCUUUUACAUGUCUAGAGAGAGAGAACCUAGCCCCUCCACUUUUCUCAAUCUCUACCAUCUAAGUAUCUAGCUUCAAGGAGAGUCAUUGAGGAGAAAACCAAUGGUUUCAUGAGAUUUUCAAUGACUACUAUGCGUUUGAGAACCUUCUUCACCACAAGGCUGUUUUGCUUCAUUGGUGGGGGAUAAGCUUAGGAAAGCAUGUAUGCACCUAACAAGAUCUAGGGAUAUAAAAUGGAGUGAUCUAUUUUUUCCUACAAUUUUAGCUUUCUUACUUGUAGUUUUAAUUGACCAUAUGUAUAGCUUUUCUUGGUUAAAAUUUUAAUUUUUUUGAAUGAUGUACAAUGCACUUAUUUUGUUUUUGAAAAGAAUGUUUUUAUUUUUCUUAAUAACGUACUUUUUUUUUUGAAGGAUAUACUUAAUUUUUUAAGAAAUGUAUUUAAUUUUUCUAAAGAAUUCACUUAUUUUUCUAAGGAAUCUAGUUAUUUUUCUUAGAGAUAUACUUAUUUUUUAACAACGUACUUGUUUUUUUUCAUAUUGUACUUCUUUUAAAAAUGUACUUAUUUAUACUAUCACAAAUAAUUGAAAUUAAUUAGCAAAUUAUACUAAAACAUUAAUGUAUAUGAUUCAUAUACAAUGUACUUAUUUUCUUAGGAAAGCAUUUUCUAAAGAAUGUUCUUAGUUUUUUUUAGGGAUGUACUUAUAUUAUUUAAGGAUAAACUUAUUUAUAUUGAUAGAAAUAAGUGAAAGUUGGUGAGAAAUUUAUGAUAAAACAUUAGUAAAUAUAAUUAAUGAUAUUCGAUAAUAAUAUACAUAAUUUAAGAAUUUAAAAUAUAUUUAAUAUUCAACAUAUAAAAGAACUUAUGAUAUAUAUAUAUUAUUUUGAUGAUUUGUAUAAUUUGAAUAAUUUUUAAAUGGAAUAUGAAAAUGAAAUAAUUAAAAUGUACAAACGUAGUCCUGUAAGCCAUUGAUUAAUGUGCUUAUCGUGAUCAAAGAUUCAGAUAAUGUAUAUUAAUUGAAAAUUUAUUAGCAAAUAAUAGUCAAACGUUAAUGUAUAUAAUUUAUAUACAAUGAACUUUUUUUUGAGGAAUGCAUUUUCUAAAGGAUAUUCUUACUUUUUGGAGGCAUGUGCUUAUUUUUUUAAGGCUAAACUUAUUUAGAUUGGAGCAAAUAAGUGAAAGUCCAUGAGAAAUUCAUGAUAAAACAUUAAUGCACAUAAUUUAUAUAUUAUGUACUCAUUUUUUAUUUUUUUAGAAAUGUACAAAUAAUGGAAAGUUCAUUAGCAAUUUAUAGUAAAAUAUUAAUGUACAUAUUUUUUUGAAGGAUGUAUAAUAUACGUAUUUUUUAAAGGAAUGUAUAUAUUUUUUUUCAAGAUAUAGUUAUUACAUACCUAAGACUACAUUUAUGUUCAUAUUGAAAUUAAAGAGCUUUCAUAAGAGAAAGUGUAGCCACUUGAUCAUAUAAAAAAAUAAAAGAAAAGAAAAACAGAAAUAAAAGGGUAUAUAUCAAACACUUUCAAUUAUGAUUUAUCAUAUCAAAGAUUUGAAAAAGGGACAAUUCAUUUAGUAGUUAUUUAAAUGCGUAUUUUAGAAAUAAUUUUAUCCAUUGUGUGUUUGGGAUGAAAUGUGAAAGUUGGAAUCCUAAAAAAUAUACUUAUAUAUUUUUUAAUUAAUGUAUGUAACCAUAGUUCUCCCAAAAUAUGGCCAGGCUUCAUCAUACUUCUGUUUUGAAAUGUUAAAAUUUAAAAAUAAUUUUUCAUGAAUCACUUUUAAAUGUUUUUUAUAGAAAAAAAUUAAAAUAUAAAGUAUGAUGUAUUUUUUCAACUUUGAAAAAUUCUCUAAACAUAUUUUUAAGUCAUAAAUUAACACCAACUUUUGUCACUUCUUAUUCUUCUAUAUCAAAAGACUAACAAUAAUCAUGUUAUUUAUACGCAUAAAAUUAAUUAAAAUCAUUUAAGAUCAUGAUUUUUUUUAAAAUUUUUGUUAUUUAAUUAUAAAAAAAUUAAUUUUUUUAAUGAGAAGAAAAAAAACAAGGCUUAAUAACCAUAUUUAACAUUUUUAAAAUAAAUAAAUAAAAGCAAAGGUAUAUCCAAAUAAUACCUCAUUUGCUCAAUUCAAUUAUCGCAUGCCCUAAGUAUCAAAGUAGUUGACUAAGAGUGAGUUUGAUAGUAACUUUAGAAAGAUUAAAACACUUCUUCGAAUUACCACCAAAUAUAUUUUAAGGCACGCAAGGAAAAGUAAUCUCUUCUAUUAUUAUUAUUAUUAUUAUAAUUAUCAUACUGCCUUAUAGAAAGGACUUCUAUAAUUCAAAAUAAUCACAUGGUAAAAAUAGAUUUUAUUUGUUUGUAUCUUAUAAUGAUCUUAUUAUAUAUAUAUAUAUAUCUUAUCCUUUAUACAUGCAUUUUUUUUUUCAGUUUUGGUCGUAUAUUUUUAAUUUAAUAUUAAAAAAAAAAUUUACGCUUUUUGUCAAUGUCUCAAAUUUCAAAUAUGUUCAUGCUCUAGAAAUUCUCAAGUUGUAGUCUUGUAGCCUAGAAUGUGAAGUGAGAGUUUGAUGAAAAACGAAAAAAACAAAGAUAUAAAAUAUAAUUUGUGAGUAAGGAUGAAAAUAUCAGUUUUGACAGAUAUAUUAGUAACUCGAUUUUAUAGAUAUCAGGGUAUAUUAGAAAAUAUUGGUAAAUAUUUUGACACAAAAUAUCAAUGAUAAAAAAUUGAUCAAAACUCAUGGAAAUUAAAAAAAAAAAAACUCUUAAACAUGAUAAAAUAAACAAUAAUAUAUUUAUUAAAGUUUUUUUUUAUUAUUGUAAAACUUAAAACACAAAAUUAUCAACAAAUAUCAAUGAAAAAUUUGAAAAAAAAAAUCAAAAUUAAUAAAAACUCAUAAAAUAUUAGUAAAAACUAAAUAUAUAUAUAUAUAUAUAUAUAUAUAUAUAUAUAUAUAUAAGAAGCAAUAAUACACAUAAUGAAGUUAUUUAUUAAAAAAAUUGAUAUAAUUUAAUAUAAUUAAUGAUAUUUGAUAACAAUAUAUCUAAUUUAAGAAUUGAAAAUAUAUUUAAUAUUCAAAAUAUAAAAGAAGUUAAUAUAUAUAUAUAUAUAUAUAUAUAUAUAUAGAUAUUAUGAUGAUGAUUCGUAUAAUUUGAAUAUUUUUUAAAUGGAAUAUGAAAAUGAAAUAAUUAAAAUUAAUUUACUUAUUAUUAUUUUAUUUUAUCAGUCUAGGAAUGCAACUAUUUUUAAUUUAUGUGUGUUGCAUAUUUAAAAAAUGUUGAACUAGCUUAGUUGGCCAAAGCCCCAUCCAUGCGCACCCGAGACCCAGGUUAAAGCCUUAGUGUUGUUUCCAUUAAAAAAUUUCAAACGUUGACCCAAUAAUUUCAAUAUUGACAUUUUCAUCCUUGUCUACAAGUACUUGUGUUGGGAUCCAUGCAAUAAUUAAUGGCGGAAAAAUAGAAAAACGAGAAAGAAGAACACAAAGAUUUAACGUGGUUCAACUAAUUACCUACGUCCACGGGAAUAGGGAAAGAUGAUUUUCACUAUGUUAAAAUUAAGGUUACAUAAAAGGGUAUUUAUACUAACCCUUAGGAAUGAAAAUUCAAAAAACACCCCUGAACCCUACACCCCUCAACCUAUCGUUCACCUCACAACAAAAGAAAUACAAGCCUGAAUGACAAAUUCCGUCGCUAUGCUGCCAUUCCACUCCACUUCGCUCCCGCAUUUUGCCCAUUUUUCUCCAUAUGUCUUUUCGAUCAAAUAUGAGCCACAUACUACAACAAUCUCCACCUUGGCAAAUAUUCACUCCCCCCUUAGGAGACAAGAAACAUUGCUUAUAACUCCACCUGGGACAAUAGGUUGGGGUAUCUCCCAUCUAGCAACUAGAGACAUUAAUCAAGUUCAAGCAAUGCUUGAACUUUUCUGUGGUAACAGGCUUUGUCAACAUGUUUGCUGUGUUCUUAGAGGUGUGGACCUUCACAAGUAACAGUUCACUAGAAGAAACCAAUUCCCUGAUCUUAUGAAACCUCACAUCUAUGUGUUUGGUCCUUGCAUGAUACACCUGGUUCUUUUCCAAAUAAAUGGCACUCUGACUGUCACAAUAUAAUUGAACUCCACCUUGUUGAAUACCCAACUCCUUAAACAAACCUGUAAGCCAUAAUGAUUCCUUUGCAACCUCAACUAUUGCCAUAUAUUCUGACUUAGUAGUAGAUAGUGCAACUAAAGACUGUAUCAUAGACUUCCAACAAAUAGGUCCCCACCAAGGGUGAAUACAUAACUUGUGGUAGACCUCCUGUCAUCUAAGUCACCUGCAUAGUCUGCAUUAACAUAUCCUCUAACUGAAGAAUCACUUUGUUGUUUGAUGAACACGAUGCCAUAGUAUAGACCCGCAUUUUUCAUGUGCGCCCCCACUCGAUCGGCGAGACUCGCUUUUUAUUGGUGAAAAAUUAAUUUUGGAAAAAAAGUCGGAGUCACCACUUAUUUUAUUUUUAUUUUAAAGGGAAAAUAAAACAAGAAAGAAAAACCCUAAAAUGUGACUCCAUAAUUUUUGGAAAAAGCAUGUCUUUGAAACACCCGAGUCUAGGUCCGGGGAUCAGGUUACUUAUUGGGAAGGUACCUCUAGGAGGUAGCACCCCUCUAAGCCCUAAAGAGGUCUCUACUGACUAAAUUGGGGGAGAUGUGGCAAUUAAUUGAUUAAUUGGGGAUACCUAGAUAGACUAAGGUGAUUUAAAAAAAUAACAUGUGAUUACUACCAAAAAGUGCUAUUUUGUAGACCUAAUUAUAAUGGUUUUAAGCACCUUUGAGUAGUAAUCAUAUUCAUUUAACCCAAUUAAUUCAUUAAGGUCCUUAGUAAUUGGUUUUAACCUUUUUGUGGCAAGUUGACAUGUUUUUAUCAGCUUAUGAAUCGAUUCAAGCAUGCCAAUUGAUGGAGGAGCUAUUUGGGUGAGUUAAGCAAGGAUUUUGUACGUUUAUAGGCUUGAAUUUCAAGUGGAAACACGAGCACAAGCAAUGGAGAAGAGGAAAACAGAGUGAAGAAAACAGCUGCAGUCUUCCUUUGAACUUUUGAAGCACUUUCCGAAGUCUAUUUUUUGUAUGCUAUAUACCAUUUGAAAGCUUAGGAAGUCAAGAAUCCAACGCUUCAAACCGUGUAUGAUUUGGAGCUGAAAUGAGGAAGAUAUGGCCUUCGGAAGGCAACUGCAUCAUGUCAAAUGACCAAUUUCGCAAGGUGAAUUUCACAUUGCGAAAAUUUCGCAAGGAGAUUUUCUUCAUGGUGCGAAAUUUUGCCACUUCGCACCAUGAAGAAACACCUUGCGAAAAUUUCGCAAGGUGGAUUUAGGCACAUUGCAAAAUUCCUUUGAAUCCCCUGUUUUGAGACGUUGUUGAUGUUAUUCCACUACCGGUUCUCCAAGAUAUUUUGCUUGAUUUUUAGCUUUGUAAAUACCUAUUUUACCCUUGUAAUCAACCAAUGAAUAGGUUGCUUUUGUAAUAGCUCUUGUAAUUUAGCUUGUUAUUGUCUUUAAAUAGAGGUGAAGAGCCUCAGACACGCAUCAUCUAAUCUUGUAACCUGUAACUUUAUAAGUUAUAAGAGCACUUUUGUUCAGAAGCUUCUUUUCUCUUUUCUUUCUCAUUUUCUUAGUAGCCAAACACCCUUGGAGGAUGAAAUCCCCAAGGAUGAGAGGCUAAAACCUUUUAGUUUCUUGAAGUAAUGGAUGCCAUGUGAAGCUCCCGUGUCAGGAUGGAGAUUUCCAAGCCAUGAAUGUAAGUAGCUGAGCGUCAUAAAUGUUUUCAUUCAAAGUAAAGCUUUUAAUCCCUCUGACUUGCUUUGAAUGGCCAAUACUUGAUAACCUUUUGGUCUCAGUGGAUUCUUAUUGUUAAAUCCACUGACGUUCAUUAGUUAUCUCCUACGAGCCAUUGUAUUGCAAGUCGAGGAGAUGACCUAUAUCAUUAAAAGGGCAUUUAUGAGGUUCAGCUACCCUUUUUGUAAGUUUUCAAGGACUAAAACUCAGUUGUUAAACUCAUACCGGUUCGGGAAGUAAGCAUCACCUUAGUUGCUUCCCCAACUCGAGGUGAAAAGUCCCAAAAUCUCCAUUUUUACACAGUGAGUUAAGCAUGACUAUCCAAAGCUUUGAGAAACUUCUUUCUCCAUCUUUUAACCUAUUUUCAAGUUAGUUUAGUUUACAACACCUUUAUCUUUUUAUGUUUUCAUCUUAACCUAAUUUUUAUUAAGAAAAGUUCACUCCAUCCUCCGAACUUCACCAGUUAAAGUAAAAACCCUUCCCAGUGUUCGAUCCUAGAGCCACUAUGCUAUAGUAGCUUUGCUACUUUAGUGUAAGGACCUUAGGUUAUAAAUUUUGUUGAUACCUUACAUGCAAGCUACCAAGAGGCGGGUUAUCAAAUGGCGCCGUUGCCGGGGAAGGUGCUACUUCACUGUGAAUAUAUCAGCCGGAGGUAACUUGUGAGACUUCUCAUGAGUAAGGUGAAUUCUAUCUCCUUUUUCAUUUACUAACUUUUUAUUUUAGUUUUAGAACAUUUUUAACUUAGUUUAGAUAAGUUUCUUUUAGCUUUUAACUUUCAUUUUUAGUUUAUUUUUCAUACUCUGUUUUUCCUUCCGCAUGCUCUGUUUUUUUUUUUUCUUUUUCUUUGUUUUGUUUGUUUGCUUUGUUCCAGCUGAAUCCGUGCAUGCCCUAUUGGAUUAGAGACCAAGAGGGAAGGUUAGUGCGGAUAGAGACUCCACGAGCUAUUGAAUUAGAGAUUAUUUUAGAAGUCAUGGAGAAUCAGCCAGAGGAUCAACAUUCACAACACGGGCAGGGGAAUGAUCCGAACUUGUAUAGGUCCAUGAGGGACAGGAUGCACCCUCCGAGGAUGAGUGCACCAUCUUGCAUCAUUCCUCCUACAGAGCAAUUGAUUAUCAGGCCACACAUCGUGCCUCUGCUUCCUACUUUCCAUGGGAUGGAAAGUGAAAAUCCAUAUGCGCACAUAAAGGAAUUCGAAGAUGUGUGCAAUACUUUUCAAGAAGGGAGAACAGCUAUUGAGCUUAUGAGGUUGAAGCUCUUUCCAUUCACAUUAAAGGACAAAGCCAAGAUAUGGCUCAAUUCCUUGAGGAUGGGAAGCAUAAGAACAUGGACAGAACUUCAAGCUGAUUUUUUGAAGAAGUUUUUCCCUACUCACAGAACAAAUGGAUUGAAGAGACAAAUCUCCAACUUCUCAGCACGUGAGAAUGAAAAAUUUUAUGAAUGCUGGGAGAGGUAUAUGGAGGCCAUCAAUGCAUGUCCUCACCACGGCUUUGAUACAUGGCUUUUGGUGAGCUAUUUUUAUGAUGGCAUGUCAUCUUCAAUGAAGCAGAUAUUGGAGACAAUGUGUGGGGGUGAUUUCAUGAGCAAGAACCCUGAGGAGGCUAUGGACUUCCUAAGUUAUGUCUCAGAGGUUUCCCGUGGAUGGGAUGAGCCCAAUAGUAGAGAAAUGGGGAAGAGGCCAGUUCAGCAAAUGUCAAGAGGGGGGAUGUACAGUCUGAGUGAAGACAUGGAGAUGAAAGCCAAGGUAGCUGCCAAUGGCUAGAAAAAUAGAGGAAAUGGAGUUGAGAAAAGUUCAUGAAGUCCAAGCUAUUUCAGAACCUCAACAACAAGCCAAUCCUUGCUCCAUCUGUCAGUCAUUUGAACAUAUGGUGGAAGAAUGUCCCACCAUUCCGGCAGCAAGAGAAAUGUUCGGGGAACAAGCUAACCUGAUUGGCCAAUGGAAGCCAAAUUCAAAUGCUCCCUAUGGCAACACGUACAACUCUAGCUGGAGGAACCACCCAAACUUUGCAUGGAAGCCAAGGCCAAACCCAUAUCAGUCACCAGCCCAAUCAAGCCAACAGAGUCAAGGUCAAUCCUCAGUUGAGCAAGCACUCGUAAGCCUUAGCAAGGUUAUGGGUGACUUUGUGAGUGAGCAAAAAUCCAUCAACUCUCAACUAAAUCAGAAGAUUGACAACGUAGAGAGUACAUUGAACAAGAAGAUAGAUGGGAUGCAUAAUGAGUUGUCUCAGAAAAUUGACAACAUCCAAUAUUCCAUCUCAAGGCUCACAAAUUUGAACACUGUCAAUGAGAAAGGGAAGUUUCCCUCUCAGCCUCACCAAAAUCCUAAGGGGAUACAUGAAGUGGAAUCCAAAGAUGAGGAUUCUUCAAAGGUGAGGGACGUGCAAGCUAUUAUCACUUUGAGAAGUGGUAAGGAAGUGCAUCAGCCGGAGCAUGAUCAGAGGAAAGCCAAAGAAGAUAAGGCUGAUAGAAAAGAAGAAAAGAAGAAUGAACAAAAGGGAAAGGAAGUUCAGAUGAAAGAAAGCAUCAUUCCUAGCAUGGAUGAGGAACCUCAAAUUCUUUUAAAGGAAGGCAUGAUGAAGAAGUACAUGCCUCCUCCAUUUCCUCAAGCCUUACGUGGGAAGAAACCGAUCAAGAAUGCUUCUGAGAUUCUUGAUGUGUUAAGACAAGUGAAGGUGAAUAUUCCUUUACUUGAUAUGAUCAAGCAAGUACCCACAUAUGCAAAGUUUUUGAAGGACUUGUGCAUUGUGAAAAGAGGACUCAAUGUUACAAAGCAAGCCUUCCUAACCGAGCAAGUGAGUGCUAUAAUCCAAUGCAAGUCUCCAAUCAAAUACAAAGAUCCGGGGUGUCCUACAAUCUCAGUCAAUAUUGGAGGAACCCAAGUGGAGAAAGCAUUGCUUGAUUUGGGGGCAAGUGUUAACUUACUUCCAUACUCUGUAUACAAGGAGCUGGGGUUGGGAGAACUCAAGCCAACAUCAAUCACCCUAUCCUUAGCUGACCGAUCAGUGAAAAUCCCCAGGGGGGUAAUAGAGGAUGUAUUGGUUCAAGUUGACAAAUUCUACUAUCCAGUAGAUUUUGUGGUGCUUGAUACGGAUCCCAUUGUCAAAGGGAUCAACUAUGUUCCAAUCAUCCUUGGAAGACCAUUCCUUGCAACAUCCAAUGCAAUCAUCAAUUGUAGGAAUGAGGUCAUGCAACUCACUUUUGGGAAUAUGACAUUGGAACUCAACAUCUUCCAUCUAUGUCAAAAGCACAUCCAUCCUGAAGAAGAUGAGGGCCCGGAAAAAGUGUGUAUGAUAGAUACCCUGGUGGAGGAGCAUUGUAAUCAGAGUAUCCUUGAUCAGUUUGAAGAGAAUUCAGAUGAAAGCCAUGAAGAUCUUGAUGAUGGGUUAGCUGAACCCAUGGGAAUGAAUGCCGUUAUGUCAAACUGGAGACAAAAGCCAGUGAUCCUCCCUUUGUUCAAGGAUGAGGAAGAGAUGAAAGAAGCUAAGGAUGCAAUCCUUAAGCUUGAAUUAAAGACCCUUCCUGCCGAGUUGAAGUAUGCUUACUUGGAGGAAGGCAAUAAAGCCCCGGUGGUAAUUUCUUCUUCUUUAACCGUUUCACAAGAGGGCAAUCUUCUGAGAAUCCUUAGAAAGCACAAGAAGGCCAUCGGAUGGCAAAUUUCUGAUUUGAAGGGGAUAAGCCCAUUGAUUUGCACGCACCAUAUUUAUAUGGAGGAGGGAGCUAAGCCAACUCGUCAGCCACAGAGAGAUUGAAUCCUCAUAUGCAAGAGGUAGUAAGGGCUGAAGUGUUGAAGCUUCUUCAAGCGGGCAUCAUUUACCCCAUUUCNAUAGCACUUGGGUGNNNNNNNNNNNNNNNNNNNNNNNNNNNNNNNNNNNNNNNNNNNNNNNNNNNNNNNNNNNNNNNNNNNNNNNNNNNNNNNNNNNNNNNNNNNNNNNNNNNNAAGCUUGAAUUAAAGACCCUUCCUGCCGAGUUGAAGUAUGCUUACUUGGAGGAAGGCAAUAAAGCCCCGGUGGUAAUUUCUUCUUCUUUAACCGUUUCACAAGAGGGCAAUCUUCUGAGAAUCCUUAGAAAGCACAAGAAGGCCAUCGGAUGGCAAAUUUCUGAUUUGAAGGGGAUAAGCCCAUUGAUUUGCACGCACCAUAUUUAUAUGGAGGAGGGAGCUAAGCCAACUCGUCAGCCACAGAGGAGAUUGAAUCCUCAUAUGCAAGAGGUAGUAAGGGCUGAAGUGUUGAAGCUUCUUCAAGCGGGCAUCAUUUACCCCAUUUCGGAUAGCACUUGGGUGAGUCCAACCCAAGUUGUUCCAAAGAAGUCCGGGAUAACCAUAGUCAAGGGAGAAAAUGGAGAUGAAGUGUCCACACGCCUCACAACUGGUUGGAGGGUGUGCAUUGACUACAGGAAGCUGAACGCAGUAACGAGAAAGGAUCACUUCCCUUUACCUUUCAUGGAUCAAGUCCUUGAGAGAGUAUCUGGGCAUCCUUUUUAUUGCUUCUUGGAUGGGUAUUCCGGGUAUUUUCAAAUAGAGAUUGAUGUGGAGGACCAGGAGAAGACUACCUUCACUUGUCCAUUCGGCACCUAUGCUUAUAGGCGGAUGCCUUUUGGAUUAUGCAACGCUCCUGCUACCUUCCAAAGAUGCAUGCUUAGCAUCUUCAGUGACAUGGUUGAACGAAUCAUGGAAGUCUUCAUGGAUGACAUAACUGUGUAUGGGACUUCUUUUGAGGAUUGUUUGUCACAUCUUAAAGAUGUUUUGAAAAGAUGCAUAGAGAAAGACCUUGUACUCAAUUGGGAGAAGUGCCAUUUUAUGGUAAAUCAAGGUAUUGUUCUUGGGCACGUAAUCUCAAAGAAGGGUAUAGAGGUAGAUAGAGCUAAGGUAGAACUAAUUGUGAAGUUGCCACCUCCCACCAAUGUAAAAGGAAUAAGGCAAUUCCUUGGGCAUGCCGGGUUCUAUAGGAGGUUUAUAAAGGAUUUUUCCAAGAUUGCCAAACCUCUUUGUGAAUUAUUGGUGAAGGAUGCCAAGUUUGAGUGGGAUGAUAAAUGUCAAAGGAGUUUUGAGCUUCUUAAGCAAUUCUUGACAUCAGCGCCCAUUGUGAGAGCACCAAAUUGGGAGUUGCCAUUUGAAGUGAUGUGUGACUCAAGUGAUUAUGCUAUUGGGGCUGUUUUGGGACAAAGAGAAGAUGGCAAACCUUAUGUGAUCUACUAUGCAAGCAAGUCUUUGAAUGAUGCUCAAAAGAAUUACACCACCACUGAGAAUGAAUUACUUGUUGUGGUGUAUGCUUUGGAUAAGUUCAGAGCUUAUUUGAUAGGGUCUUCCAUUGUGGUAUUCACGGAUCAUUCAGCUUUGAAGUAUUUGCUAACCAAGCAAGACGCCAAGGCUAGGUUGAUUAGGUGGAUACUUUUGCUUCAAGAGUUCAACCUCCAGAUCAGAGAUAAGAAAGGUGUUGAGAAUGUGGUAGCUGACCACUUGUCAAGGCUCAACAUUGCUCAUGACACCCAUGGACUUCCCAUAAAUGAUGAUUUCCCUGAGGAAUCCUUGAUGCUUGUGGAGGAAGUGCCAUGGUUUGCACACAUUGCCAAUUACUUGGUCUCGGGAGAAAUACCAAGUGAAUGGAGCUCUCAGGACAAGAAGAAUUUCUUUGCCAAGGUCCAUGCAUAUUAUUGGGAGGAGCCUUUUCUCUUCAAAUAUUGUGCGGACCAAAUUAUAAGGAAGUGUGUGCCUGAACAAGAGAAGCAUGGGAUCCUAUCUCAUUGCCAUGGGAAUGCAUGUGGAGGCCACUUUGCCUCUCAAAAGACGGCAAUGAGAGUUCUUCAAUCGGGCUUUUGGUGGCCCUCACUUUUUAAGGAUGCCCAUGAGGUAAGUAAAGGAUGUGAUAAGUGCCAAAGACUAGGCAAGCUUUCAAGGAGAAACAUGAUGCCUUUGAACCCCAUCUUGAUAGUGGAUCUUUUUUAUGUUUGGGGCAUAGACUUCAUGGGACCUUUCCCUAUGUCUUUUGGCCACUCCUACAUCUUGGUAGGAGUUGAUUAUGUUUCAAAGUGGGUUGAAGCUAUACCCUGUAGAACCAAUGAUCACAAAGUGGUUCUCAAAUUCCUAAAAGAAAACAUCUUCUCGAGGUUUGGAGUGCCUAAAGCAAUCAUCAGUGAUGGAGGCACUCACUUUUGCAACAAGCCCUUUGAAGCUCUUUUGGCCAAGUACGGAGUUAAGCAUAAGGUAGCUACACCUUAUCAUCCUCAGACGAGUGGCCAAGUAGAGCUAGCCAACCGGGAAAUUAAGAACAUCUUGAUGAAGGUGGUGAACACCAAUAGGAAAGAUUGGUCUGUUAGGCUCCUUGAUUCCCUAUGGGCGUAUAGGACGGCUUAUAAGACUAUCCUUGGGAUGUCACCAUACCGUCUUGUUUAUGGCAAAGCUUGCCAUCUUCCUGUUGAGAUUGAGUUCAAGGCAUGGUGGGCCAUUAAAAAGCUCAACAUGGAUUUAACUAAGGCUGGGCUAAAGAGGAGUUUGGAUUUGAAUGAGCUUGAGGAAUUAAGAAAUGAUGCCUAUCUCAACUCAAAAAUAGCUAAGGAAAAGCUAAAGAGAUGGCAUGAUCAGUUGGUGACCAAGAAAGAAUUUUUCAAGGGACAAAGAGUCUUGCUAUAUGACUCUAAGCUUCACCUAUUUCCGGGAAAGCUCAAAUCAAGGUGGGUAGGGCCUUUUGUCAUCCACCAAGUACACUCACAUGGAGUAAUUGAGUUACUCAACUCAAAUAGUGCAAAGACCUUCAAGGUAAAUGGGCAAAGACUCAAGCCCUACAUCGAGCCAUUUUCCCGUGACAAGGAGGUACUCAUCCUCCAUGACCCAUCACAUCCUUGAGAAAGUGUGGUAAGUUGAUGAGCUUAGCAUGAAAAGCUAAGUGCUCAUCUCUUUUUGUUUUAGUUUUAGUAUUACAUUCUUGUUUACUUUGCAUUUUUAAUACUUUUGCACAUAUUUUGUUUAGGUUUCUUGGUUUUGAUUUUGAUUUUUUUAUGUUUUUAAUGGAGCUUUGAUGUCCAAUAGCAGGUACGAAAGCUCACAAGCUCACAAAUGUGGAGAGAAAGGUGAAAUAGGGGAGAAAUAUAUCUAAGUCCAAGCUUAAAAGCCCAUUUCGCAACUCAAAAAGUGAGUUGCGAAAAUUUUGCAAGGUGAAUUUCACCUUGCGAAAUGCACAUUUUGGCAAGAUGCAAAAUGCAACCUCUCGAGAUUGCACUUUCGCAAGGAGUAACCAGUGCGAAAAUUUUCGCAAGUCAUUUUUCACCUUGCGAAAUUGUUUUCAAAGCAAAUAUCAAAGUGCAACCUCUCGGGAUUGGUUUUUAAGGGGAGUAGCCAGUGCGAAAAUUUGGCAAGGUGAAUUUUCACCUUGCGAAAUUUUUUCUUCAUGCUUACCAAGGUUUUGAUUCUUUUUAAAUUCAUUUUCACAGCUAUCCUGGACCAGCACUCCGCCAUGCUAUCUCAGAUCCACCAUCACCUGGGCAUAUCACCUCCUCCACCUCAGGAGCCACAUCCAUGAUUGGAUAUUUCUAUCUCCAUUUUGUAUUUGUUUUUUGUAGAUGUACAUGUUUUAUAUUCUGAGAUUGUAUGUACCUCAUGCUUCUAUCUUGUACUCAACUCUCUCAGUUUAUAUAAGCAUCAUUUUUUGUAUAUUAUUUCCUCUCUCACGUUUCUUAUGGUUUUUGAAUCAUGUGGAUGCACUCACACGCCUUGAAUACCACAUCACCAUAAGGUAUAUCAUUCCUUCCUUGUAUUUUUCGAUAGAAACAUUGGGGACAAUGUUCAUCUCGGUUGGGGGGAGAGUUGAGGAAGUAAGUAUUUCCUAUUCUAGUUAGUUAUUUUGUUGAUUUAGUAGUUGUUGCCCUUUUUCAAAAUUUUUUUGUUUCAUUCUCUAUGGUUGUUAAAGAUAAUUUCUCAAAAUAAAAUAGGAUAAGUCGAGUUUUAACUUAAUUACUUAAGUCUUAGAGUUUGUUUUAUGCUUUCAAAGUUGAUAAUCUAUUGAAGCCCUCUUUGAUUUCGAACUUAUUUCUUCCAUUUCAAGCUUUACACACACCAUGCACAUUAGAUCCCGGAUUUAUGAUGUAAAACUUUCUCACCCUCUAAGCUUAGGAAAAUUUUGACUUGGUUUAUUACUUAACCUCUUUUUAAUAAUGUUGGGACACCUCAAAAAGACCAAUGAGUCUUAGAAAAAGAAAAAGAGAAAAAGAAAAAAGAAAAGAGAAAAAGAAAAAGAAAAAGAGAAUAAGCUUCUAUUCUUUCCUUGAAACCUAAGCAUGAUCCGAAGGGGUGGCGAAAGCCUUUAAAACCCGAUGCCCUAAACCUUGAUUGGUUGGGAGUCAUCGAUCCUCUGCUUGCUACAUAGGUGAAUUGGUUAAGUUUAGUGAGUAAAAAGAAUUGUGAAUAAGAAGGUGCGUUCCUAACCUAUUAAGAGUUGGUUAAUUUUGCCAAUGUCCGAGAAAAGCUUAGGUUAGGGGGAGAGGAUAGUUGUGCAUACUAUAUCCGGAAGCUAAUCUCAUUAACACUUAGCUCAUUAUGGAAGAGUUUGAUCCGGAACCUUGAGAGUAGAGAUUCUUUUGAUACUUAAUUGCAUAAUCUCCACUCUUUGUACUUUUUGUUUAAGUUUUAGCUUUGACAACUCCUAUUGCAUUUUGAAUCUUCGUAUCUUUAGUUCACCAUGUGAGAUGUGUUUUGAUUUCAGUCAUGCCACUCAAUUAUUUUUUGGAGUGAUUUGCAUGAUCCCUUUUAUGUAUAUUAUUAUAGUUUACUUAGUUUUUAUCUCCUCCAUUGCUAAGGGACUAGCAAUGAGUCGGUUGGGGGGUGUGAUUACUACCAAAAAGUGCUAUUUUGUAGACCUAAUUAUAAUGGUUUUAAGCACCUUUGAGUAGUAAUCAUAUUCAUUUAACCCAAUUAAUUCAUUAAGGUCCUUAGUAAUUGGUUUUAACCUUUUUGUGGCAAGUUGACAUGUUUUUAUCAGCUUAUGAAUCGAUUCAAGCAUGCCAAUUGAUGGAGGAGCUAUUUGGGUGAGUUAAGCAAGGAUUUUGUACGUUUAUAGGCUUGAAUUUCAAGUGGAAACACGAGCACAAGCAAUGGAGAAGAGGAAAACAGAGUGAAGAAAACAGCUGCAGUCUUCCUUUGAACUUUUGAAGCACUUUCCGAAGUCCAUUUUUUGCAUGCUAUAUACCAUUUGAAAGCUUAGGAAGUCAAGAAUCCAACGCUUCAAACCGUGUAUGAUUUGGAGCUGAAAUGAGGAAGAUAUGGCCUUAGGAAGGAAACUGCAUCAUGUCAAAUGACCAAUUUCGCAAGGUGAAUUUCACAUUGCGAAAAUUUCGCAAGGAGAUUUUCUUCAUGGUGCGAAAUUUUGCCACUUCGCACCAUGAAGAAACACCUUGCGAAAAUUUCGCAAGGUGGAUUUAGGCACAUUGCGAAAUUCCUUUGAAUCCCCUGUUUUGAGACGUUGUUGAUGUUAUUCCACUACCGGUUCUCCAAGAUAUUUUGCUUGAUUUUUAGCUUUGUAAAUACCUAUUUUACCCUUGUAAUCAACCAAUGAAUAGGUUGCUUUUGUAAUAGCUCUUGUAAUUUAGCUUGUUAUUGUCUUUAAAUAGAGGUGAAGAGCCUCAGACACGCAUCAUCUAAUCUUGUAACCUGUAACUUUAUAAGUUAUAAGAGCACUUUUGUUCAGAAGCUUCUUUUCUCUUUUCUUUCUCAUUUUCUUAGUAGCCAAACACCCUUGGAGGAUGAAAUCCCCAAGGAUGAGAGGCUAAAACCUUUUAGUUUCUUGAAGUAAUGGAUGCCAUGUGAAGCUCCCGUGUCAGGAUGGAGAUUUCCAAGCCAUGAAUGUAAGUAGCUGAGCGUCAUAAAUGUUUUCAUUCAAAGUAAAGCUUUUAAUCCCUCUGACUUGCUUUGAAUGGCCAAUACUUGAUAACCUUUUGGUCUCAGUGGAUUCUUAUUGUUAGAUCCACUGACGUUCAUUAGUUAUCUCCUACGAGCCAUUGUAUUGCAAGUCGAGGAGAUGACCUAUAUCAUUAAAAGGGCAUUUAUGAGGUUCAGCUACCCUUUUUGUAAGUUUUCAAGGACUAAAACUCAGUUGUUAAACUCAUACCGGUUCGGGAAGUAAGCAUCACCUUAGUUGCUUCCCCAACUCGAGGUGAAAAGUCCCAAAAUCUCCAUUUUUACACAGUGAGUUAAGCAUGGCUAUCCAAAGCUUUGAGAAACUUCUUUCUCCAUCUUUUAACCUAUUUUCAAGUUAGUUUAGUUUACAACACCUUUAUCUUUUUAUGUUUUCAUCUUAACCUAAUUUUUAUUAAGAAAAGUUCACUCCAUCCUCCGAACUUCACCAGUUAAAGUAAAAACCCUUCCCAGUGUUCGAUCCUAGAGCCACUAUGCUAUAGUAGCUUUGUUACUUUAGUGUAAGGACCUUAGGUAUAAAUUUUGUUGAUACCCUUACAUGCCAAGCUACCAAGAGGCGGGUUAUCAACAUGCCAAAUAGGAUCAAAUUACAAUAAAGGAGAGUUAGGGUGCAUACCUGGAUGGCUUCUCAAAUGCUAUCAUGAAACAUAAAAGUUAGUAUAGAGAUACAUCACACAACAUGUGCUUUUGUCAAAGAUAAUCAAGCAAGCAUCAAAUAUAUAUCAAGGCAAUAAAACAGGAUGGCAAGCAUGGGCAUAGUACGCAAUGACAAUCAUAUUCAUAGGGUUUAGAAAGUGGGUAUUAGGGAACGUACCUGGAUAGCAUAGAUAACUUGUAACGUGCUUCCAUAAAACAGGAGAGGUUAGAUAGCAAACAAUAAAAUAAGAAGUCCUAGCAUGCUUGUUAUCUAAUUAGCAUAGAAAAAAAAAAAAUUAUCACAGUAUACAAAACCAUCAAUUAUCACUAAUAUCUUCUAUAUAAUUUCUAAAAAAUAAAUAGACAUGAGUUCAUCAAAUAACAAAGGGGGCAACAAAGAUGAGUUUUGAAAAUUUUCCUUAUGUAGGGGUUUCACCAAUUCCCCGAUUGAUAUACACGAAUUUAGCCCAGAAUUAUCCCAUUUAUGUGGGACCACAAGCUUUGAUUCAUGUUUGAUUUCAAACCAAAAUUUUCGUUAAAAAUCGAGAAAGAUGCAAAUCGAUCAAAAAAAUGGUUGCAUAUUAUUUUAAGAAAAUGGGGUUUUUGAUUCUAAGGACUCUAAAUGAAUUUUUAAAAUAGGUUUUUAUAAGGAAAAUUUUGAGAAAAGUAUUUUAUUUUAAAAUAAGAGAAAUUAAUUUGAGAACAAUAAAACAUAUGAGAAACAUUGUACCAAGCAAAACAAAUAGAAACAAAAUCAUAAAGUAAAAUUUUUGGCAACCAAGCAAACUGAAAUGGUGUGAAUGGAGGCCAAUCUUCACAAUUUUCCAAUGGCCUCCAUGAAUCAAAUAUAAACGAACAAAUGUCAAAGAAAAUAACUAAACAGCCUUAGAUCAAAUAAAGUCAACCAGAUAUCAAUCAAGAACUAACAAAGAUUAGUCAAGCCCAUAAAUUGAGGAUAUAAUCAAUAAUUAAAUUAGAUUAGUCAAACACACAAACCUAUGAUUAAGGUAAUGUUAAAUAUAGUACCAUAAGAACUUACAAUUCUAAAACACUUGAAUUGAGUAAGGAUCAAUCAGGAACUAGAGCUUAACACACUUAAAACAUGGAUAUAAUGACAAGGGGUCAGAUAAAUUAAAUAAUUAAAAUUCUAAAGACUCAUAAAACAAAUAUGAUGAAUCAAAAAUAAUAAUAAUAAUAAAAAUAAAAAAUAACUGAAAUUAAUAAACAUAGUGAUAAUGAUAUAGAACCAAAUGAAUUAAUCACCUAAAAACCUAAAGCAUCACAUGAAUCAACUAAGAUGAAAAUAAAAAAAAAAAGAAUAAAAUAACAUGAUGAUAAUGACAUAGAAUCAAAUAAAUUAAUCCAUUAAAAUUUUAAAGCAUCACACGAAUUAAUUAGGAUGAACCCAUGAACUAAAAUUAAAUAAAACAAGAUGAUGAUGACAUAAAACCAAAUAAAUUAAUCGACUAAAACUUGAGAGACUCGAAAACUUAAUAGAGUAAAAAAUUAGCAAACAAAGCCCUAACUUUCAAUCUAAAAAAAAAACUAAUAAACUAAUGGAUAAAAAAAAAAGAAAUCAAAAACUCAAGAACAAGGAAACUCACUUACCUUUGGAAGAUGCAGCCUACUCGCUUUGGGGAUCAAUGGCGUUCAUGGUUCUCUUGAAGAUACCAUGAAGAUCUUUAUGGAAAUUGAGGCAUGGACCCCUUAAAAUGCAACCUGCUGCCACUUUUCCUUCAAAAAAUCUCACCAUCUAAAAGUGCAACUUGCUUCCAUUUUUCUUUCAAAAAAAUCUCACCCCCUCAAAAUGCAACUUGCUGCCACUUUUUUUUUUAAACAAAUCUCACCCUAAAGUGGCAAUCUGCUGCCACUUUUCUUUUAAAAAAUCUCACCCUAAAGUAGCAGUCUGCUGCCACUUUCCUUUCAAAAAAAAUUCACCCUAAAGUGGCAGCCUACUGCCACUUUCCUUUCAAAAAAAAAACUCACCUUAAAGUAGCAGCCUGCUGCCACUUUUCUUUCAAAAAAAACUUCACCCUAAAGUGGCAGCCUUGGAGAAUCCCCACUGUACGGUUGUGUUCCAAAAAAAUUGAAUGCUGCCACUUUUCUUUUCAUCAAACUCAUAGUGCGCCCCAUGGAGAUUAAUAGAAAUCCCUUUUCCUCAUUUUGGAUGGUCACGCCCUCUCUCCUAUAGUGCAUGUGCAGAUCCAAGGAUGCAGCCCGUGAAGUGAUGUAACGAUUCCUAUUGAGUCUGUUAGUGUUGCCAAACCAGAAAGUACCCAAUUAUGAAUGUCCAGAAGAUGCUGAGGACAUGCAUGUCUUCCGACAAUGAUGUCAGUUCAGGACAGCGAUAAAUUUGAAGACGUUAGUAAAGGGAGGCUGUCCAUUGAGUGUGAUAAUGUUAUCAAAUUUAGGGCAGCAAUUUGAAUCCCUGAAUAGAGAUAGCUUCCAAGGCUUCAAGUGGGGUGAGAUGUUGAAUCACUUGUGAUAGAGAGAUUAAGCUACUAGCACAUCACUGAGAGAAUAUUAAUCUAUGACAAUUCCCACUUUCGAGUUGCUUUAGAGAAGUAAGGCGUCACAACUACAUUACCAUCUAGUAUUUUGCUUUGACUUGGCAACACUUACAUCUUUUUCAAUCAUGCACGGGGCUGUUUUGAAGUCCAAAAGUGCAAGUCGUUUUUGGAUGGCGGCUGGUUCUUGUUUGCUGUUCCUUGAGAUCAGUUUUAUUGCCAAUCAGAAUGAUGAGAAUGGUCUUAUCAGCGUGACCACGUGACUCUUCCAACCAUCGGGGUAUGUGGUCAAAACUUUGGCGUUUAGUUAUGUCGUAAACCAGCAUUGCGUCAACAGCACUCCUGUAAUACGCACUUGUAACGGCUCCGUGUCGUUCUUGGCCAGUAGUGUCCCAGAUCUGAGCCUUGACACUCUUGCGUCGGAUGACGAGGGUUCGAGUCUGGGACUCAACCCCGGUUGUAGCCUUGGAAUCCAAACUGAACUCGUUCCUAGCGAACCGAGUUUACGACUUGCCCACUUCGGUGUCUCCGAUCAUAACCACUUUGAAAACGUAGUUGAUCUUUUGGCUCGAAUUGCCAUAGCUUCCACCACUCGCCAUCACCGCACCACUCCGUUCUCUCUCUCUUGAACACUCUCUGUCUGGAUUCAAGAUCAGUCACAGCCUUCCUUUUCCCAUCCUCAAUUCUGUCCGCUGGGAAACCGAAUUGCCACCAUCAAACAGUUGGUUCCUUGCAGCCGCUGAAGCUUGUCAGCAUCACCAAGAGACCAACCAAUUGGGUUGUAGGAGAAGUCAAUCUGUUUCCAUGUAAUCUGAUCCCAAACUCCAAUCCCAUACACGUGGCUUCAAUCUUUACCGCUAGCAAUAAUCCUAUAAUCUGAAUUAAAACCCAGAGCUCCGACAAUUUCCUUUCUUUAUGGCAGCCAGAUUUGGAUCCGAUCUCGACUCUCCUUUGAGAUUAAGCAAUUUAUCAAUGUAUAAUCAGGCCGCUGUGGACAAAUCCAUGCUUGGUAGUCAUGCUUAUUGAUGAUAGUCUAGAGAUGUGGAAAUCAAACAAUUCUGAUGAACCCUCUCCCAUGCGUGAUGAGGCCGAUGAUGUGUUAUUCCAGAUUCAUCUCCGGAGAUCCCUCUAAUUAGAACGUUCAGAAUCCCCCAGAAACGAGAGCUCUCCUUGCGGUCUCCUUCUCCAGCAGCGUUCAUCCCUCCCCCCCUUUUUUUUUAUAUGCUUCACGAACUUCAUCACAUGAAUUACCACAAUCAUCAUCCGUCACUUCUGCUCCAUAGCAUGAACCACAAUAUUUUCCAUUGCGUUCAAGCCUGCCACCAUGUCCUUGUAAUAGCUUCUCAAUCCGGGGCCACCAAUUCCAUCUUGCCUAACUGCUACCACAUUACCAUGGGCGUCAAUGGAGAGAGAGUUUUGACCAGCAUGGGCGCUCGUACCAUUGGAGAUGCAGCCUUGAAGAUUCCCCCAGUGUGACCUGCUGCUGGUGCGUGUCUUCUAUGGAAUCUGUGCUGCGUGCUGGUCCUCUUGAUGGUGAGGAAUACGGCUGUGUGCUUGUCGUCUCCCUCCUAGUGGCAGCCCCCCACUUUGAGAGAAUUUGUGGCCGCUCCUUCCUAGAGAAUCCCUUAGAUGUUUCGUUUCAUCAUUUUAGCCGGAUCCAUUGCAAGCAAGGAAAUUCAUUGAUGAUUUGCUCCCCUUUUUAGGAAAGAAAGCUCAGAAUUCUGAUGCAUGUGUAGAAGCUUUGCAACUUAUUCGAGAUAUUAUACCAGUUUCAGUGAGUGAAACUUCUCCAAAAAUCUUGAAUGUCGUUUCUUCUCUGCUAAUUUCUGCUGGACUGGAUAUACGUUUGGUUAUUUGUGGCCUUCUUGGUGAUCUUGCUGAAACUGACCCUUAGGUACUCUCUGUGGCAAAUCCCAUAAAUGAAUUGGAUGUGACCUCUGUUACGGAAACGAGUGGCCUGGAUUAUGACACCAUAGUUUAUGCUUAUGAAAAGAUUAGCAUGGAGUUCUUUAAUAAUAUCUCAAAGAAUCAGGCACUGGUCAUUUUGUCGCGUUGUAUAUAUGAUAUGUCAUCCAAUGAACUGAUCUUAAGGCAUAAUGCAUAUAGGUUAUUGGUCUCUUCUGCUGAACUCUCCGUCCAAAUUCCUAAACUUGAAGUGAAGAGUGACCAUGAAACGCCCGAAGCAAUAAUAACAUUCAUAGCUGAUGGUUGUUGGAUUUAAGCAUGUAUUCAGCGCAUGAUAAACAAAUUCCUUUUGAAGCAUAUGGCAGAUGUAAUGGGCAAGGAAAAUUUUGUUCAGAAGGAAUGGGUUGAUUUACUGAGAGAAAUGGUGCUGAAGCUUCUAGAGGUGCUAAAUCUUCACUCAUUCAGGAUCUUGUAUUGUCUGAAUGUGUUAAUAAAAUUGGACCAAUGGAAGAUGCUGUGAAGGCUCUAUUUGCCUAUGGGCUCCAUCUAACUAGUCGGUAUAGGUUUUCUGAAUGAGAUGACCAUGGGAAUGGCCAAAUUUGGGAUUUCCGUAAGGUAAGAUUACAGUUAUUGCAGUUUAGAGACAGGCUGAAGACAUUUCUUGGGAUAAAUAUGGGUAGGUUCUCCGUGAAGGAAUACAACAAAUUUCGCAUUAUGCUUAUCAAUGAAGCUGCUGCUGCACUUGCUGAGAGUGGAAAAAUUGGGGCCUUAAACCUCCUUUUCAAGCGUCAUCCUUAUACACUCACUCCUUCCAUGUUGGAAAUUUUAGCUGCUGUCCCUGAAAUAAUUCAAGUUCAAACAUAUGGGCAACUCCCUCCUGGGAGGUCUCCUCCUACCAGUUUUGCUCUGAGGGAAAAAGAUUGGGUUGAAUGUGAAAGGAUGGUAGGCUUUAUCAACAGAUUACCCGAGGAUAAAGAGGGCAGCAUUCGCAUCAAAACUGAACCCAUUGCGAGGCAGAUCUUGGGAUUCUCUUGGCCAUAAGCUGAUGAAUUUUCUAGUUGAUACAAGUGCUGAAAUUUUUAUUGGUCAGACCGUUGACCUCAAAGAGCAGCAAAAUGCUCUUGGAAUCAGUCAGGAACACAUUGAAAGCGCUGCAUCACUGGAGGAUUAUGCUACCAUGAAUCCAGCCAAUUAUUUCACCUUUGUCUCCCAUAGUGCUAGAAGGUACUCUACCAAGAGGUUCUGGAACGCUCAAAUAUUUUAAGUGGAGGAUUCUAAUGCUUCAAUAGCACUCACCCUAUGACGAAUACUCAGUUUAUGAUGAAAGAGUGGAGUUUCUGGCAUCCACCUAUGCACCGAAUGCAGAAUCAAUAUUUGCUCCUCUCAUAGGAACAAACGGUUUUCACAACAAAGCAAGUGAUCAAGAUGAUGCAGGCUGCAAGAAUUUCCCGAAAGAAUUGCAAAUGGCCAGACUAGACGAUGAAGCUGUUCUCCAAAAACUGAGGCAAAUGCCAUUGGAAGUGGGAAAAUUGAAACAGAAUUUAUAAUGCUCUCCUUCCCUCAUGUUCAAAGGCUGAUCUGAACAAUACUGGAGUCGCCUAUGCAGCCAUGCUAGACAUUAGAAGCUUUAUGAGGUUACAAUAAAACCAUUAACUGUACACAUAAGUUCAUUUGCAAGAAUUGGGAACCAAUUUAGAAGGUCAAGUAUAUUCGCUGUCAACAAGAAUGAUGCCCUCCGAUUUAAGAUCUCUACUGAGGAGGAACCCAGUUUGAUCAAAAUUCUAGGAUCAAACAACAGAGUCAAAGUCAAAUCAAGAGCAACGUUCCAACUUGUCAUGAAGACCAAGAAUAGUAAUUGCUUUUGAGCAAGCAGUGAAAUUAUUUGCAAUCAGACAAUCAUCUUCUUCUUCAAGAAAUGCUGUAAUGAAAUUCUUACCAGUUGUGUCUGAUUCUUCAAAACAUGAAGUUAGCAAACAGAUUGUUCAUAUAUAAUGUCAGUUGGCAUAAAUGUAGUGUUCAAUCACCAAGCCACAAAGAUGAUACAACCGAACAGUUGCAGCAGGAAAACUUGGUUGUUUAUUCAAAAUCAAGUAAAUCUCUAGGUCCCUCAUACCACGAUUGCUCCCAAUCUUUAGGUCUUGGCGUAGACAAUUCCUUCCUUGUCUAUGUGGACAGAACAAUGCUUGCUGUUCUAGUUGUUGUCUUUCACCAUGGUCUGUAGAAAAAAUGUCCAGAAAAACAACUAAUGAUCAGUAGAAGUGUAAAAGGGAAGAAAGAAAACUACUGCUAGAUUGGAUCAGUCAUCUUCUUCAUUAGAUCAUUACAAACAGUUGGCUUUGAAAAAUUUGAAGUUAAUCAACUACAAUCAUGACAGAUAUUUAUUUUUCCUAAAAGAAUGUAAAUGUAUGGUUGCUCUUUGAGUACAGCUCUCUACAGCACAAAAAUAAACAAAUACUGUGGUCAAAGCUGUCAAUCAAAAUCCCCCUAUCCAGAAUGCAUGGCAAUGGCUGAUCCAAAUGGCCAUGUACUAGUACACUUACUAAGAUUUCCUUCAAGAAUCAUGUACAAGUGACCACCACUGUUCUCGGUGUCCAGAGGCAGUUUUCCAUACUCAUCUCCUUCUCCAUGAGGCUCAUGUAGUUAUUGGAAGGAUUCAAUAAAUAAUCUCGAAACCCAUGAGCGUUUUUGGCCCAAAGAAAUUCAGCAUAUGACAUAAUUUCGUGUAUAUAUAUAUAUGGAGAGAGAGAGAGAGAGAGGAAAAGUUUAUGAAAUAACCAUGAUUACUAGACGGGAAAAGUGUGUUUUCAUCUUUUGAUAUGACUAUAUCAGUAAAUGAGUACCAACUUUUCCAUCUCAUAGUUUGUGAAUGGAUCAUAGACUGAAAAUGAAUUAUAUGUAAUCUACUUAAUUUACCAAAGGUAAUGAAAUCUAAUUUACAAUCAAAUUAAUUAAGACACUAGGAUACCAAUCACUACUAUACGUACAUAAAUCAUAUUACAUUUCUGUAACAUUACUUUUCUUCAAUACUUCCCCUGAUCAAGUUACAUAUCAAGAACUGAAAAAAUUAUAAGGCAAUCAAAUGAAACAAACCAAGAAAACAACAAUAUUAAAAGAGUUAUGAAAUAUCACCAGAUGAGAUCCAACAGUAAAUUAAGAAACUUUAUACAAUCUUGCUUACCUUAGGGCCAUGUCUGGAGGAGUUCCAAUUGUAGGCCUAGGGCCAAUGUUGAUAGGCACAUGCCCAGAUCUUAAAAACCCUCAAGAUGAACAGUAGCAGCUACUCUAGGCGCUCCUACUGCACAGGCAAAAAACAAGUUAGUCAAUGUUUCUUGGCUAUUGGCUUUGGCUUGGACCUUGGUGGUUAUGUCAAUUUUAGAUAAAUAUGUUAAUAAUCCAAUGACUAUAUUCCAAGAUUGAUGAUAUAUAUGCAAUAUAUCAAUUUGGAAAUGCUGAUAUAAACAUUUAAGGAAUUUAAAUUAGUCAAUUUUCAACAAUCUAGCAUUCAAAAGUGUACAAAAUGAUUAUAACUUGAAAGUUUGAAUAUAAACUGAGGUACAAUAUUCCUAGAGGCUCAAGUCUCCCUAGAACAAGGCAUCACAUCACAUAUUGAUGUGGCCUUAUGUUUGAGGUAAGCACCUUAUCUACUGGCGAGUUCAUCCUUAAUAAGCUUUUUGCAAGAAAAUGGAGACCUAAAAUUACUCUAAUACUUCUUUUCUUGAAUAUUAAAUUUUCUUAAAAGUGUUAUCGAUUAUCAAACAUUUAUAUCAAUGGUGGAAACUAGUUUGCUACCAAAGUGAAGGUCAAAGUCCUAAUUAUCAUUUUGCUAAACAAUGUAAUAUAGUAUUAUACAAUUAUUGCUUUUAAAAGAAAAUUUACAAGCCACCCAGCAAAAUUUAUGAUUAUACCUUUUUCCAACUUCACUCACGCCAUUGAGCUUUAUAAUUUGAUGAAACAAGCCUAAAUCAAAAAACUAUACAAAAAAAAUAAAGAAUCGGAGAAAACAAACCUGUAAGCACUAAAUUUUGUACUUUAAAAGAGGAAAUAGGAUGCCAAUUGUAGGUUUAAUUUAAAGAAACCUUAAAAAAUAUUUUUAAAAUUAUAGGAAAACCCCCGUAGCUUAGAAAAGAUUGGGGCGAACAGUCUACCUUUUGGCGAUGUUCACAUCUUGAGAGGAAUGACUUCUUUCUUAGUAGAUCUGAUGAUGGUGUUGAUCUUUAGGAAGAGAUGAUUAGAAGGCUACGUCGAAUUUUAGUGAGUGAGAGAUAAAGGAACACCCAAAACCUUAAAGCAAAAAAGGAAUUAAUAACUCAAAUAGAUUCCAUUUUUUCCUUAUGACGUGCUUACCUUAGUAAGGUUUUUAUGGCAGUGAUACCAUUUGGAUAAUUAAGUCAUUGAUUUUGAUGGAUCUUUUCCAUUUGAAUUUUUAAUAUAUAAACUUAAUCUUUUUACUUGGGGUAAUAUAUUUGGUAUUUUAGGAUUUACUUUUUAAUAAUAUGCUUUUAGUAGAUGGUUUAACUAUGUCCUAGUGUAAUAAGUAGUCUUGCAUUACAUUAUCUACUAUGGAGUAGGAGUGUGUUGCUUGUUCAAGGGAUGUAUGGGAAGUUGUUUAUUUGAUGAUAUACUUUCAACACUUAGAGUCACGACUUGAGCUAAUAAGUUUAUCAAGAUCUAAGCAUUGAUGGUGUUGCUACUCUAUUGUAUGCAAGGAUUCAAUUAGUCACAUUGUAGGACAAAACACUUAUAGACAAUUGAUUCUACUACAUUCAAGAUAUUGUUGCUUAAGGGGAGGUAGAGUCAAAACAAGUAGACAAUUGAUACAACUACACACACAACAUAGAGACAAAACACAUGAAUAAUACUAUGGUUGAAUAAAUUAAUUGGAUGAUGAGAUGAUAAUUAUUUUGUCAUCAACAUAGUGAACAACAUAAAUUAAAAUCUUGAAAUGUCACCUUAGCCAACCUAGUAGAAAUGAUUCAUCAAAAUAUUUGAAUGUGAGAUCUUAAAUUGGUGUUUGACCAAUAAAUAUGGUAAUAAACAUAUAUUAAGUAUAUAUGAAGUGACCAAGCUAAGAUUUGUAUCAUGUUAUUGUAGGGAAUCCCGAAUCUCUUUGUUCCUUAUCCUAUGAUUAGGCUAGGUACAUGCGAAUCUUUCUAAGUUUUUCUAAAUCGUAUGAACAAUGGGAAAAUUAUGUUUUAAAAUAAUAACAAGAUUUAGAAUUUGCAUUAGAAAACAUUACCUUAGAUUUGGAUGUUCCCAAAUCUAAUUCACGUAGUAAAGGAGAAGAUCGAAGUUUUCAGAGGUCUUGAACACCCAAGAUCUUCCACCAGAUGACUUUUCCUUGAUUUUAGAUCUUAAUUGGUGAGAAGGAAGGAAGACUAAAAAGGCUAUGGUUCUCUCUCUCUUUGAAUAGUGAAAGAUGGCUCACUUCAAAAAAGUAAUGAAAACCUUAUCAUUUAAGGGGUAUUUAUAGGGUUCCCUAAUUGGGUGUAAGUGACUUAAGCAUACUAAAGGCUUGAAUCAUUUAAUUUCACUCAAAAUGAGUCUUAAUUGAUUAAUUAACCUAACGUAGUUAUCUAAUUAAUUAAUUAGCUAAAUCUGGAGACUUUGUUCACUUACCCCUAUGCAACCUUGCAUAGUUACCAAAACACCUUUAUACGCAAAAGUGAACCAAGAGUUGUGUCAUCAAGGUAUAUGAGCUUAGGUGGAGACCAUUGAGACCUAUAGGACAGUACUAGCUACCCCAAAAUCUAAUUUUGAAGUUGAUUUAACGUUCCACUAUAGAGAAUCAAUUGCACUAUAAUACCUUAUGUAAAUAACAAUGAGAUGCUAAGUGGUCGAGCCCAUGACUUAUUAUCCAUUGCAUUCAAUCUCCCUAUGAACUGGUGUUUGUAGUCUAAUAAGGUCAAAACUAUCAACCUUUCAAGACUACCUCUACUAUCUUUGAAUUACAAAUCCUCUUAUUAUGUAUUUAAUUGAUAUAUCUUAACUCUCCAAGAGUCUAUGUCAAGUUCCAUUUAAGAAACUACUAUGACCAUAGUUUACAUGAACAUACCUCCUUAGGAUCACUUAAGGGGACACUCUAUCUCAAUCCUCUUAGAUUUCAUGGUACUUCUAUUACAAAUACUCAUUGUUAUAGACUUGCAUCAAUAGUGAACCAAUCCAUAAGGAACAUAUGAUUAGCUUACGAUUUCAUUAGUAGGUCAAAGUCACUACUAACUUUAACACAAAUUCUAUAUUCUCUCAAGGUUAAGAGAUAAAACAAUGAAGCAACUUGGUGAAAUCAUGACUAUUUGAUAGCUUUAUGUCAUAAUUCACCAUAAGUCUUGUCUGAUGUGUAACCAUACACAUUAGUAUACUCACCAUGGAAAACCCAUCCUGAUAACCAAGACCAACCAUUCCUCUAAUUAUGAAGUAGCGUACUAUAACCUCUAAUGGGUUACUUAGGCCUAUGAAUCGGUUGUGAACAAGUCAUCUACUUACAAUGAAUCCAUUUCUUGAAUUUUUUUUUGCAACUCUUAAUGCACUCAAGUCCUGUACAAUACAAGAUAUGUAUAUCAAAAUGCUUACAAGGUAUAAUGUAUAGGAUUAGGAUAAAUAAAAGUGAACUAAAAAUUUAUUAAUAAAUAAUAAAAUUUUAAAUUUAUUACAUCAUAUCAUGCUUUUAUGAAACCUUUAAAAUACUAAGAGCACCCUUUCAUAAUCAUGAAUUUAACUUUAGUUUCAACUUCUAUCAAAGGCUAAAUGAGAAAAGCUAUCAUAGAGGAGGCCUCAGCCAAUGGGUAAGAUGCACUGUUAUACCAAACAAUAAGUGGAAAAUGAAAUUUUAUUAAUACUUGAGACAAAGGAAGAUUUUACACUCAAACCAAGCAUUUAUUUAUAAUGAAGUGCAGUCUCCAUACGCACAUGUGGACUUAUUGGAAAAUCAUACAAAUUAUUGAAGGACGACCUUAGCUAGGCUAACAGUCUCCUAAAUAGGCCAUCUUUUAUAUGUCUUUGCAUUCAUCCAUCUCCUCAUUGUCUUUGAUUUUAGAUGGUGAGGAUGUGAAAGUAACAGGAAGCGGUGGACGAUUGUUCACAGUGAGGCUUAGCACAUCAGCUCUCGAAUAAUGUCCUACCACAUCGAACUGGAACUUUGCUUUAGGAAUCUCUCCACGAACAUCUACAUAUCAAGUGAUCAUAAAAAUAUUUCAUCAGUCUAUGAUAAAUAUCAUAGAAUAUCAAGUCUUCGAGAAAACUAAGUUUGCAGUCCUCUUAAACCUAAAGAAUCGACUCAUUUGUCUUAUUUGCAUACUGAAAUAUUUGGAUAUAUAACUGGAGAAGUUAGGGCCAUACCAAGAUCAGCUGUGAAGAGGCCUUCUCCUUCAUAAUUCGGUCCUGUUAGAAUUUCCCCAUGGGUCGAAAUGAUGACACUACCUCCAGCCCAAACAAUAGAAUCUGGAGUGACAUCUUCUUCUGUAGGACUGUAAAGAUACUCAGGUGGAGGUGGGUAAUCUUUCCUUUUCCAUUUUUAAAAAUAAUAAAAGCAAAGGUGUUUCAAAACAAUACCUCAUUUGCUCAAUUAAUUAUCACAUUUCCUAAGUACAAAAGUAGGCAAGUGAAUUUUUGCUCAAGUUACAAUAAUGCUCCAAAUCCUUAUCCAAGACUUUGAUCCUAUUUCACAAUUGUUUUUUAAAACAGUUUUUUUCUUGGGAGAAUUACCCAAAGGGGUGGGUUAGAAAAAAUAAUGACUAUGAAGGCUCACUCUUUUAGAAGACAAUUUUACCCUUUAAUAUGUUUUUUAUAUUAUUUAUAAAUAAAUUGAGAUUGUCAAUGAUGUGGGGCUCAUACAUAAUGAUAAGUACAAGUUGAUAAAUGAUGUGGGACUCAUACAUGAUGAUAAGUACAUGUUGAUAGGCAAUCAACGGUACAUUUUUCAACUUGAAAAAAUUGUUAUCACUUUUGAACAAUUAACUAUUUAAAAAUUUGUUAUUUUUUUUUAAAUUGAGAUUUUUUAAAGAACCUUAUAAAAAAAAUAAUUUUUAAUAUCUCAUAAAUAAAAACCAUAUCCUAAAGUUAUUAUAUCAUUUUAUAUAUAAAACAUACAAUUAAAAACUUUGUUAUCAUAAUAUAAUAAAUAAUUAUUUUUUACGAGCACUCAUCAAUUGAAUAAUAUAUAAAUAUUCAAUUGACUAACACACACCUAUUAAAUGGAAUAACUCACAAUUAUUCAUUGGGUAAUAUAGCACGUGAAAAAAUUAAAUAAAAAUAAAUUACAUUAUGUUAUAAUAUAUUGUAAUGAUAGUGUAUUUAUAUUGUAAGUAUAAUGCAUUUAUGUCGUACCUAUAUUUUAUUAUAAAAGUAAUAAUUUUAAAAAUGUUUAUUCAUACCCUAUUGGUAUUAACACAUCGUAUUAAUAUAUUAACAACAUUUAUUUAGUGUUUUGAAAUUAUUUAAUAAUUUUUGUAUAUAUAUAUAUAUAAACUACGUGAAUUCAAAUUAGUAUUUCAUUUGAUUUCAGAAAUUAUUUAUGAUAUAGGUAUGUUGUGAAAUAUGGUAUGAUCAUACAAAGUUACCAUUUUCAUAAAAAAAUUCAUAAAUUUCUUAAUUAGGUUUUAUUGUAAUGUAUUGUAAUGUAAGUGUAUUUAUAUUGUAAUUAUAACAUAUUUUUGUUGUACUUGUAUUGUAUAAUAAAAGUAAUAAUCUUAAGGAUCACCUUUUAUACCUUAUUAAUAUUCAACAUAUCAAAUAUAUUAACAUCAUCCACUCGAUACAUUGAGAAAAAAAAUUUAUAUAAAAAUUUAAAUAAAAAAAAACACUAUGCAAAGGAAAAAAAAUCAUAUAAAUUUUUUUAAAUUAUUUUAUUAUAAAAAUAAAAAAUGAUUAAACAUUUUCUAUCAUUUUCUUAUUAUUUUUAGAGAAUUUGAAUGAAAAAUUAAACAUUUUAUCUUCCUUAAAUUUAAUACAAAAACAUAAUUUAUCAAUUUAAACUUAUAAUAUAUAUAUAUAUAUAUAUGAAAAAAUCAUCAUUUUUAUUAUAUAAUUAUAAAACUUAUUUUUUUCUUCAUAAAAUUAAAAAUUAGAAUAAAAAUAAAAAAAGGUAAAAAAACAAUAAAUGAUAUUUUGAAAAUAUUUUUUAAAAGUAUUUUUGUUUUAAAUAGUAAAUUUAAAUAACAAAUUAUAUAUAAUUGUAAGGGUUAAACCCAAAAUUUUGAUUUAAAAUUUAAAUAUCAAUAAUUACAAUAAAUGUGGGACCCAUGUACCAUAAAUGUAUUAACAAAUAAAGUGAAGUGCUUUAAAUGUUUUGAAUUUUAAAAGUUUUAGUUAAAGGACAGUUUUGGUAUAUUAAGCUUACUAAAGUCCUCCCCAAUAAUUAUUAAAAGAUACCACCCUUUCUAGUAAUUGUUUUGCCCAGCCUACCCUUUUGGAUAAUUCUCCCUUUUUUCUUCUCUACAACAAAAAAAAAAAAUGUGUUUGAGAAUUGGAAAAUAAGGUGUUUUAAAAAAAACAUAUGUUAGUUGUUUUUAGUUUUUCUUCAUUAGCUUUUUUGACGGUUGUUUAAAAAAAAUAAUUAUAUAAAUAUGAAGAAUUAUUAAAAAUAUAAUAUUAUAGACAAAAGUUAUUUUAAAAUUAUAUGCACGAGUUUUGGAAAGUCUUGCAAAAUAAGCAAAACUAUAGGAAAAAUAUGCAAAUAAAAAAUUGUAUUAAAAUCAUCAAGGGCGCACAAUAUUUGUGGAAAAAUAUUCUUUGCCGAAGAAUAUUUUUUAAAGAUCAAUUGAAAGCCUAAAGCAGCUUUUUCCCAAUUGAAUUUAUUGAAUGGUGAAGAACACGUGUGUUGCAAUUUUUUGGAUUUGUAGAGCGUAUUUUAUAAAGCUUUUUUCUCUUUGUGAACCUUCUUUUCAUAUGUGAAAUUGUUUUAUUUUUUUUUAUCAUUUUCAUUGAAGGAAGUUGCUGAUAUUUACAGAUAAAAUUAAAAAAAUUAAUUUUAGAAUUUCUAAGAUUUGAUUACUUAAUUAAAAAAAAAAAAUUGGUUUCUUGAUUUUAGCAACUUGUCUUCUUCAUUUAAGGAAGUUUGCUAACAAGAGCAUAUUUACUUCUCAUUUUCUUUUGACUUCAAUUGGAAGACUUGUUUCAUUUGUUUACAAAAUUUGCCAACAAGAAAAUAUUUAUUUCUAAUUCUCUUUUGAUUUCAAUUGUUUGAUUUGAUUUGAUUUUGCAAGACUUUAUUUUAUAGCCUUCCAAAUUUCGCUACAUGUCAUUUUUUGAAUUGAAUGCCACGUGUUCAAUAUAUAUGACUCGUCACUUAUUAAGCCCAAAUUUUGUUGAUCUAAGGAGUUACAAUUUUGAAGACUAAUUUGGUAGUAUUUUAAUCCACUAAAAUUUUUUAUGUCUACAAAUGCCCCCUCUUCAAAACAGAUCACACACAUGCAUUAUCAUGUAUAAGAAGUGAGUCUUGAAGUUAGCCUUUUGAAUCUUCAAUAUCCUUCUUUGAUUUUUUUUUUUCGAAGAAAUAUUUAAAUAGGAAAUUUCCUAUUCAAAAUACUUUUCUUCAACUUUUUUCGAACACUGUUUUAUUUAUUUAUUUAUUUUUCUACCUUGUAUCAAAGAAAAACCUUGUGUUAAUGGGAAAGCUUCUUAUUUGAACAUCUAUUUUCUUUUCUCAUGGUAUUUUCACUUCCAAUUUGUCAUCCUACAAGAAGUCCUUCACCCUAGCUGGUUCAAUUGCAUCUUAGACUUGGUCACAUGCCUUUAACUUGUAAUUCUUCCUCCACUUUCUUUUUUUUUGUUUAAAAAAUAGUACAAUAUAUUUGAGCAAGACCAUAAGCAAGAGAAUAGAGGUGGUGAAUGGAGCACCAACUAACCUUAGGGCAAGAUCUUGAGCAAGAGAAGUAAGGUGGAGAGUAGAGCACAAACUUCUCUAAAGCAUGGUAGGCAUACCGUCAUGGAGUUGUCUUCUGCAUGGAGCAUGGUAGGGUAUUAUAUAUAUGAUAGGGUGGGCCAUCAUGUAACAAUGAAGAACAACAAUCCAUGGUGUACAAUUGGGAACAACAAUUCAUGCUAUCAAGCUUCAACCUUUUGUUAUUUUUUGUUUUUUUUUUAAUCCCUAUCUCUACCCCCGACUCCAAUUUUUUUUUCAAGUUUCUAGAUUCCUUUUUAUUCUUUCUCAUUUUAUUUUUUUCAACUCCUUUUUUUUUCCUCCCUUUUUAACCAUUGUUUUUAAGGAAGAAAUAGAUUCACCAUCCCUUACCACGAGGUCAAUCUCCAUCGCUUGCAAAGACAAAUUUGCUUUUUGGUGUUUUUUUUUCUUCAAAAAUUAUCUUAACAUUUUAAGAUAUAUAUAUAUAUUUAUAUAUUUAACAAACUUAAAUAUCCAUAAUAAAAUAAAUAUUUAAGGCUCUUGACUUAUUUAAAUUGGCUUGACUUGGAUACUUAGUGGAACCAUACUUAACACCCAUGUAGAUGAGCUAUAAUCUUGAUGGCAUGUUGUGUUAUAUUUUCGACACUUAAUGUGGCUUAAGAGUUAAAGUCUUCACUCAUGAAAAUUAGCUUGGUUUGGAUGCACAAUGGUCUCUAACUUCUUAAUGCUUAAUUAAACUUGGAACCAUAUUUAACACCCAUGUAGACAAGUCAUAAUCAUGACAUAGAGCACUAUUUUAUUUUAACUCUUAAUAUGACUUAAAUAUUAAAGUCUUCACUCAUACAAAUUAACUUGGGUUAGAUGCACAAUGGUGUUCAACUUGGUAAUAGUUAAUUAAAAUUGAAACAUUUAACACCCAUGUAAACAAGUCAUAACUUUGACAUGGAACAAUGUCGUAUUUUUAGCUUAAUGUCGCUUAAGUAUUAAAGUCUUCACUGAUGUAAAUUAGCUUGUCUCAGAUGCAUAAUAGCAUUCAACUUUUUAACACUUAAUUUAAAUUCAGACCAUAUUGAAAACCCAUGUGGACAAGACAUAAUGAGAAAAUAAAGGGCUAAUCUAAAUAGAUAAAAAUACCCAACAGGGAAGGAGGGGGGUGAAAUGGAGUUUAAAAAAAAAAAAAUUAAACACAAUAAAAUUAAGUACAAGAAGCACAAAUAUAAAGAGAUAAGUUAUAGAAAGCAAACUCAGAUUUAUGGUGGUUUGACACUUCCUUGCCUACAUCCACUCUCCUCAAGCUCCUAACCGAGUGAGGGUUCCACAUAUACUUAAAGCUUCAACCAAACUUCUAAUCACUUUUUACACUUAGAUUUUGGCUCCAAUGGGCUCUUACACAUUCGCUUCAAGUCUCUACUCACUUGAAGGUUUUAACACUCAAUUAACAAGUUUGAAACUUUCAACCUAGCUCAACAAUGGCUCAAAUACAACUCAAGGCUAGGAUGAAUCACAAAGGUGCAUUAAAGAAUAUUCAAAUGAAGAUUUAAUGCACUAAGAAAAGAAUGAGAGCUUUUAUGGCAAGAACAAGUAGGUAAACAAAUCAAUGUAGGUGUUCUCUUACUCAUAAAUGAAGUGAAAUUCUCAAUUUAUAGGUUUCUAAUCUCAGAAGCCAAAAAACCAAAAAGUAACCUCAAUCGAUUGAGUUGGGGGUUGACCGGUUCACUAGCCGUUAGAGCAUUAAAUGUGUGGCAGGUGAUCGUUACCCUCGACCGGACCUCGACUGGGAAGGCAAAUCUCUCGACUAGGAAAGAAAGGUUAUUGGAAGAGAAAGAAGGUUUUUUGCAUCUUUUGACCAGACCUCAACCGGGAAGGAGCAAUCGAUCAACCAGUACCCUAGCCAGUUGAGCUGGUUGGCUAGUGCCUCUACCGAUUCACCAUUUUUUACUCGAAAACCUAUCUUUUUCUGGUCUUUUUUUGCUUCUAACACUUAAACAAGGUCUUUAGGUAAAAUAAUAUGUCAAUUUUGAAACGUUUUGCCUAAGGUUCAUUUGAUAGAACUCGGAUUUUGAUGGAAAUGUGACUUGAAUGCAUAAACUGAGUUUUCAAAGAUGCAUGAAAUGAUAUGAAAAUCCUAAGUACACCCAUGCAUUCAUUUUACAUAGUUUUCUAUGAUUAAAAAGUAUUUCAAAAGUCUUGAUCUUGCAUCCAUUAGGUCAUUUGAUGAAUUUCCAAAUUAAUAUAUGAAAUUCUUUAUAAUUCAAACCAUUUAGUAACUUAACCAUGGUUUGUUAUCAUCAAAACAUGAUUAGGAGAACCCUUGGGCUAACACAUAACAUUGUAGCAAUGUUAUAUUUUUGACACUUAAUGCAGUUUAAGUUCUGAAAUCUUCAUUUCUAUGAAUUGGUUCGCCUUGGAUGCAUAGUGGUGUCUAAAUUAUAAUACUUAAUUAAAAUUGAAACCAUAUUUAACACUCAUGUAGACAAGUCAUAACUUUGACAUGGAGUGGCAUUGCAUUUUCGACACUUAAUGCGACUUAGGUGCUAAAGUUUUCACUCAUGAGAGUUGGUAUGGGUUGGAUGCAUUGUGGUGUCCAACUUUUUAACACUUAAUUAAAAUUGGAACCAUAUUUAACACUAUCUAGAUAAGUCAUAACCUUGACGUGAAGCGAUAUUGUAUUUUCAACACUUAAUGCAACUUAGGUGCUAAAGUCUUCACCCAUGCAAAUUAGUUCAUCUUGAAUGUACAAUGGUGUCCCAUUUUUUAACAUAUAAUUAAAAUUGGAACCAAAUUUGACACUUAUGUAGACUAGUCUAGCCAUGAUGUAAAGUAGUGUUCUAUUUUUAAAACUUAAUGCAGCUUCAAUGGUAAAGUUUUUACUCAUGUGAAUUGGCUUGAUUUGGAUGCACAAUGAUGCCUAACUUUUUAACAUUUUAUUAAAUUUGGUAUCAUAUUUAACACCUAUGUAGACAAGUCAUAACCUUAAUGUAGAGGUGCAGUAAUAUUUUUGGUACUUAAUGUCGCUUAAGUGCUAAAGUCUUCACUCAUUUGAAUUUUUUGGUUGGGACGAACAAAGGUCUCUAACAUUUGAGCAUUUAAUUAAAAUCAGAAUCAUAUUUAACACUCAUGUAAAAAAGUCAUAACCUUGACACAUAGUAAUAUGCAAUGUUUUAACAUUUAAUACAACUUAAGUGCUAAAGUUUUCACUCAUGUGAAUUGGCUUGGCUUGGAUGCAUAAUGGUGUCUAACAUUUUAACACUUAAAUUAAAAUUAGAGUUAUAUUUAAUAAUCAUGUAGACAAGUCAUAACCUUGACGAGAAGCAGUAUUGUAAUUUUGACACUUCAUGUUGCUUAAAUGCUAAAGGCUUCACUCAUGCAUAUUGACUUAGCUUGGAUGAACAAUGGUAGCUAACUUUUUAACACUUUAUCAAAUUUGGAAUUAUGGUUAGCAUCCAUGUAGAAGAGUAAUAAACUUGAUGCAGAGUGAUGUUAUAUUUUUGGUACUUAAUAUAGCUUAAAUACUAAAAUCUUCACUUCUAAGAAUUAACUUGGCUUGGAUGCAUAGUGGUGUCCUACUUUUUAACACUUAAUUGAAAGUGAAAUCAUAUUUAACAUCCAUUGUAUACUAGUCAUAAACUUGAUAUAGAGCAGUGUGCAAUUUUUUAAUAUUUAAUGCAACUUAGGUGUUAAAGUCUUUACUCAUAUGAAUUAACUAAACUUAGAUGCACAUUCGUUUCCAACUUUUUAAUACCUAAUUAAAAUUAAAACCAUAUUUAAAAACCAUGUAGACAAAGACAUAAUCUUAACAUGGAGCAGUGUAUAACUCUUAGCACUUAAUUAAAAUUGGGAUUACACUUCAUAACCACAUAUUCCUCCUCCUAUUUUUCAAUUUUUUCUUGUGGUGAUGAUUGAACUCAACUAGUUUGUCCAAGUUACCCACAUACCCUUAACAGAGAAGAGAUCAAGUCAAACCUAGUUCAAAGUAUUUUUUUUUAAUAUCUAACUUUUGCCAAGGCUAAUGAUUUUAAUCUUGAAAGCUUGUCUUAACUUUUGACUAUAUAUGUAGUGUUUUCAAGUUUCAAUUUAGCGGCCUAUGAAUUGUACAAAUUGAAAAUGACUUCACUUAUGUGUAAAAAAUAAUAAAAGAUAUUCAUUCAUAGUUUUAGGGCAAUGAAAAGUAAUCGAUCCUUUUUUGCAUUAUUAUUAUUAUUGUUGUUGUUGUUGUUAUAAUUAUUAUAUUACCUUAGAAAAAGACCUUUUCCAAUUAAUCUUUUAUAUAUAUAUAUAAUCUUUUAUACAUGAUUUUUCUUAGUUUUCAUAGUAUUUUUAAAUUUAAUAAUUUUUUUUUUUAUAAAAAAAUAUCUAUACUUUCGGUCAAUGUCUCAAAUGUCUCAAAUUUUAUUACGUACGUGCUCCAGGAAGUCUCAAGUUGUAGGCUUGUUGCCUACAACUUGAGUUUGAUGAAAAAGCGCAUAAACAAAGACAAAAAAUUUAAUCUACAAGUACUUGGAUUCUAUUUGAAUAUAAAAAGAGCCACUCAUAUGCAUGGAUUAAAUAUAUGCCCCAUGGAUAAGUUGUACUUAGCCAUGGCUGAAGCUUUCCACUAUGACUUAAAGGGAAAAAAAAGAGAGGAGAAUAAUGUCAUUAAAAAACUGAUUGCCGUGUGGCUAUGCCUGCCAGUAGAUGGCUGAAAACUAGUUCUAUUCUUUUGUUUUGGCCUCUACUAAUUAACCAUAAUUGAGAGAUUCAAUGGCAACUAUCGUAUAAACAAUGUUUCAUAAAUUACUUUUAAAUUUUGACAGCAAAGACUCAAAAUGUAAAACCAUAAAAAAUUUGUUCUAUUCCCAAAUUUUUUAAAAUAAAUUUUAAAAUAAUAAAUUAAUGCCCAUGACUGUUUUCACAUCUUAUUCUCAUUUCUAUCAAUGCAAUAAUUGUAAUCAUCUUAUCUAUUAACAUGGCCUAGAGCCAUUUCAGCUAAGAGUAGUCUUUCCUUAGCAUUUCCGGUCCAAAGCUUCCAUUUCUUUAGGCCUAGAGGCAUUUUCAGUCCAGAGCUGCUGUUUCUUUCGGCCUAUAACCAUUUUCAGCCUGAAGCUGCCUUUCUUUAGCAUUUUCAGCCCAGAGCUACCUUUCCUUGGCAUAUCAGCCAAAAGCUUCUAUUUCUUUAGGCCUGGAGCCAUUUCAACACAACAUUGGUUUCUUUGGCCGGGCCUUGAGCCCUUUUCAACCCAGAACUGUCAUUUCUUCUAAAUAACUUCUCUUUUGAAAAACUUCAAUUUGCCCUUUUCAAGAAGCUGGUAAAAAUCUUCUAUUUAGCAUUUCGACAGUGAAUCGAAUUCACAUAGAAAAUAAAAAGGAAAAAAAAAGUCUUGAUGGCAUAAACUAGGACAUGACCGGGAUAGUUUGAAAUACAUAAUUUUCUCCAUUCAAAUGCAAAACAUAUUAAAAGAACAUUUGGCACGAUUUUAUGAAGCGAUUCUAUCUUUUCUAAUACUUCAAAGAUAAAUUUUUUUGAAGUAUUAGAAAAAUUAGAAAUAUUUCUUAAAAUCACUACCCUUAAUUAUAUUUAGAUACUUUAACCAUUUCAAAUGCUACAUGUUUCCUUCUACAUUUCCUCUUUAUUUUGUUUUUCUUUUACAUUUUUCCUCAAAUUUUUUAAAAACCAAACAUAGCCUAAAAGAAAAGAUAAUUUUACUUAUUUUGAAAGUUCUUUAUAUAUAUAGUUUAUAUGGAAACUUGUUUCAUGUUAAUUUAAUAAAGCAUUUAUAAUAUUGAGAUCGCUCUUUCAUAAUCAUAAAUUAACCUUUAGUUUCAACUUCUACAAGAGGCUAAAUGAAAAAAGCUAUCACAGAGGAGGCCUCAGCCAAUGAGUCAGAUGCACUGUUGUACCAAACAAUAGGUGGAAAAUACAAUUUUAUUAAGACUCUGAGACAACAAAAAUAAAAAUAAAUAAAGGAUGAUUUUACACUCAAAACAAGGAUUUAUUUAUAAUGAAGUAGAGUCUCCAUAUGCACAUAUGACUGCAUUUACAGCAUAAACAAAGACAAGGAAAUUAACAAAUGUUGAACUUAUUGGAAAAUCAUACAAAUUAUUGAAGGAGGACCUUAGCUAAGCUAACUGUCUCCUAAAUUGCCCAUCUUUUAUAUAUCUUUGCAUUCAUCCGUCUCAUCAUCGUCUUUGAUUUUAGAUGGUGAGGAUGUGAAAGUAACAGGAAGCAGUGGACGAUUGUUCACAGUGAGGCUUAGCACAUCAGCUCUCGAAUAAUGUCCUACCACAUCAAACUGGAACUUUGCUUUAGGAAUCUCUCCACGAACAUCUGCAUAUCAAGUGAUCAUAAAAAUAUUUCAUCAGUCCAUGAUAAAUAUCAUAGAAUAUCAAGUCUUCAAUAAAACUAAGUUUGCAGUCCUCUUAAACCUAAAGAAUUGACUCAUUUGCCUUAUCUCCAUACUGAAAUAUUUGGAUAUACAAUUGGAGAAGUUAGAGCCAUACCAAGAUCAGCUGUGAAGAGGCCUUCUCCUUCAUAAUUCGGUCCUGCUAGAAUUUCGCCAUGGGGCGAAAUGAUGACACUACCUCCAGCCCAAACAAUAGAAUCUGGAGUGACAUCUUCUUCUGUAGGACUGUAAAGAUACUCAGGUGGAGGUGGGUAAUCUUUCCUCCGACAGAACUGGAUGGGUGAAAGAACAUAGCAUCCACCCUCCAUAGCGAUGUGUCUCAUUGUAGCUACCCAUGUAUCCCCGGAAUCGGCAGUAGGAGCACAAUAUAUCUCAAUUCCUAUAUAGAAUCGGUGUUUUGUGAUCAAUCAAUCCCAUAUCAGAGCCAUAAUGUAUUUCAAGCCUAUUUAGGCUAAAACCCUAAUAACUUAAAAAAGAGUACUGAAGUAUUUCAAGCCAAACCAUACUAGUUAGUGAAGAGAAAGAAAUGGUAAAAUAUAUACCUUUGCCAUACAUUGCUGUCCUCAGAAGCGGCAUUCUAUUUUCCCAACAAAUGACUGAACCAAGUUUCCAUAUGGAGUGUCAUAAACUGGAGUUGUCGAGCAAUCUCCGAAACCCCAGACGAGCCGCUCCCAAUAUGUUGGCAUGAGUUUCCUAUGUUUUCCAAGGUAAUUACCUUCAGGAUCAAAGAAGAGAACAGUGCAAUACAAUGUGUAUCCAUCUCUCUCAACAACACCUAUCACCAAGUAGACUUUGUAUUUCGCAGCCAUUGAUGCCAAUCUAUCAACUUCAGGUCCUGAAAAGAUAUUAAGUGGUUGAUUCAUCAAACGUGUCUUGUUUCGAUAAUUUAUUAAGUGGUUCAGUUCUUUAGCUAUUUAAGGGAGAGAGGUAACUGACCCGGCACAUUGAUGGCAGAAGCAUGGUACUUGCGGAAACUUUCUUUCCCUCUUGGCGACUGGUGGGCGAAGUUGUAUCCACGGGGAUACCCACCGAUAAAUGAUUCAGGAAACACAACCAGUUGGGAUCCCAGUGCAGCUGCUUCUUUCAAAAACCUCUCAGCCUUAUCUGCUCCCAAAAUCACAUUGCAAGAAUUAAUAAUUCACGACUUAGAAAGUAAAUUAAUUGGUUGAAUAGAGAGAAUCAAAGUUAACCUCCAGAUAUCCCAAAUGACUUUUUGGUUGCUGAGAAAACUCAUGGAAAAAGAGACCUAGAUAAAACUCGGAACUUUCAUAUUUUCAGCUGUUUUGUAACUAAGAAAAGAGAAACCACCUCAACCCAACUCAUCCAAGUAAUUAUUGUACAAGCAGUAAUUCCUUGAUUGGCAGCUGAAAAUAUGUUCAAGCUUCAAUCAUCCUUUUCUUUCCUUCAGUUUCUCAGCAACCAAUCAACUCACAGAUUCUCUUACAGAAGUUGCAGAAUUGAGAGAAAUGGUACGUUACCUAGAGUGGCAGGAGUAUCAUAAAAGAUACUAGAAGCUUGAACAACGGUGGCUCUAACAGUUGAAGACAUUGCAGAAAUCGUAUGCUUUUUCGUUGCCCUUCUGUUUGAGGAUUCCUCACACAGCGUUCAGUAUAUAUAUAUAGCCCAAAAGGUUCUUCUGCCAUUACUUGAACAAGACGAAAAGGCUGCGAAAAGUCUGCCUUGGUUUUCCAUAUUGAUUUAAGUUAUCCGCAGACAUUGUGGACCAGCCACAUGACUUAAAACAAAGGGUUGUUCUACGGUACCCACUCUUCAUUUUGGGGGUACCUACCCACAUUUGACCCCAAUAAAAAUAUGACUUGUGUAAAGUACAUAUCAUUAAAAAAUUUAUAAAAACUUAUCAAACCGGUAAAGAUGACUUGUUGGUGAGAAAUAAUCACAUGCAUUUCAUAUAUAUCUAUAUAUUACAAUUUUUUAUAAUUUAUUAUUAAAUAUCAAAUAUAAUUUGUUAUUUAAUGCAUUACCUAACUCUAUCUAAAAAACGAAAAUCUUACCUACUGCUCUUAUACUCUCUCAUUUCAAGAUCAAGUUCAAAACUUUUUUAGAGAGAAAAUUUAAAAUUUGUAUUAUAUGAAGAAGAUGAAGGAUUUCAAGUGAUUACAAGUGUCUAAGGUAAUAUUUGAUAUUUUUUUUAUCCAAAUAUAAUUGUUGUAGGAAGAAAUGUGAUGUUAAAUAACGAUUUUAGAAUUUUUUAUGAGUUUAUUAUAAAAUUUUGUUAUCAAAUUGUUAUUAAUAUUUUUAUAUAAUUUUUUUUUUUUGUUCAUAGAUUAAAUUUGAAGAUGAAGCUUUAUAUGUCUUGAAGGAUGUCAAGUGAUUACAAGUGUUAAAAGGUAACAUUUGAUUUAUUUUUUUCCAUUUACAUAUAACUAUUGUAGGUAGAAAUGUCAUGUUAAAUGACAUUUAAAUAUGUAAUGAUUUAUAAUAUCUAGAUUUUUUAAUUUUUUUUUGAGUUAUUUUUAAUCAAAUUGAGAGCAUUUAGUAAUUUGUUAUGAAAUUGUCAUCAAUAUUUUGUAAGAGAGGGUACGAACUUUGUAAGAGAGGGUACGAACUUUGUAAGAGAGGCUACGAACUUUAUAAGAGAUGGUACGAACUUUCUAAGAGAGGGUACGAACUUACUAAGAUCGGGUACGAACUUUCUAAGAUCGGGUACGAACUUUCUAAGGGAGGGUACGAACUUUCUAAGAGAGGGUACGAACUUUCUAAGAGAGGGUACCAACUUUCUAAGAGAUGGUACGAACUUUCUAAGAGAGGGUACGAACUUUCUAAGGGAGGGUACGAACUUUCUAAGGGAGGGUAUGAACUUUCUAAGGGAGGGUACGAACUUUCUAAGGGUGGGUACGAACUUUCUAAGAGAGGGUACGAACUUUCUAAGAGUGGGUACGAACUUUCUAAAAGAGGGUACGAACUUUCUAAGAGAUGGUACAAAAUUUCUAAGAGAGAGUACGAAAUUUCUAAGAGAGGGUACGAACUUUCUAUAAAAAAAAAAAAAAAAUACGAACUUUCUAAGAGAGGGUACGAACUUUCUAUGAGUGGGUAUGAACUUUCUAUGAGUGGGUACAAACUUUCUAAGACAUGGUACAAACUUUCUAAGACAGGGUACGAACUUUCUAAGAGAUGGUAUGAACUUUCUAAGGGAGGGUACGAACUUUCUAAGGGAGGGUACGAACUUUCUAAGGGUGGAUACAAACUUUCUAAGAUAGGGUACGGACUUUCUAAGAGAUGAUACGAACUUUCUAAGAGAGGGUACGAACUUUCUAAGAGAGGGUACGAACUUUCUAAGAGAGGGUACGAACUUUCUAAGAUAGAGGGUACGAACUUUCCAAGAGAUGGUACGAACUUUCUAAGAGAGGGUACGAACUUUCUAAGAGUGGGUACGAACUUUCUAAGAGUGGGUACGAACUUUCUAAGAGAGGGUACAGACUUUCUAAGACCGGGUACGAAAUUUCUAAGAGAGGGUACGAACUUUCUAAGAGUGGGUACGAACUUUCUAAGAGUAGGUACGAACUUUCUAAGAGAGGGUAUGAACUUUCUAAGAAUGGGUACGAACUAGAUAAUGUAAUUUUCUAACUACUCUAUCUUUUAUAUUUCAGUUUCUUCAUAGAUACGAUGGACAAAGGAAAAGGAAAGGAAUUUAUCAUUGAUUUGAACGAUGAAGACUUUGAUUACCAAUAUGAUAGCAUUGUUAAAACUGAGUCCGAUGAAGAGGCCAUUCUAGUUUCGGACAAGAUUUUUAAUGAUUUAACUGUUGAAGAUGUAUGGAAUAUGGAGUUUAGCUUAGUAGAGGAGGCAGAAGAAUUUUAUAAUUUAUUUGCUAAAGUUACCGGAUUCAGUGUUAGAAAGGAUGAUGUGAAACGAGAUAAAAAUCAAAAUAUAGUAUCUCGUAAGUGGGUUUGUUCGAAAGAAGGAUAUCGACAUAGAGUGUGUUUAGAGAAUGAAAAUCGAAAACGAGAACCUAAGGCAGUAACUCGAGUUGGUUGUGAGGCAACAUUUUGGAUUGUGUUUAACAAACAAAUGAACAAGUGGGUUGUGAAAGAGUUUAUGGCUGAUCAUAAUCAUCCUUUGGUGGGACAAAAAAAUGUCCAAUUCCUUUGAUCCCAUAGGGUCAUUAAAAAUGCAGAUAAAGCUCAAUUGAAUGCAAUGCGAGGUGUUGGCAUGGGAACUAGCCAAAUUAUGGAUUACAUGGUGCAACAAUCAGGUGGAUAUAACAAUGUUGGCUUCACAAAAAAAGAUCUAUAUAACCAUGUUGAUGCUGAUCGUAGAGUUCAUCUAAGAGAUGGUGAUGCAGAGGGUGCUUUGGCUUAUUUGUGUGGAAAGUCUGAAAUGGAUCCAUCAUUUUAUUACAAGUACAAUGUUAAUGAAGACAACCAUCUAGCAAACCUGUUUUGGGCAAAUUCUACUAGUAAAUUGGAUUACGGUUGUUUUGGAGAUGUGUUAGCAUUUGAUACAACUUAUCGGACUAAUGCUUAUAAAAAACCGUUGGUCAUACUAGUUGGCAUUAACCAUCACCAUCAAACUAUAGUGUUUGGAUGUGCAUUAUUGGUAGAUGAGAGUGUUAGCACUUAUACUUGGGUCUUGGAGACUUUUUUUGGAUGCAAUGAAUAACAAGAAGCCUCUUUCUGUUAUUACUGAUGGGGAUAAAGCAAUGCGUAAAGCCAUUAAGAGGAUAUUUCCAGACUCUUGUCAUCGAUUAUGUGCUUGGCAUAUUCAACGCAAUGCAUUCACUAAUGUCCAUGUCAAAGAUUUUACUAAUCAUUUUUCUAAGUGCAUGUUCAUGGAAGGCACCGUUGAAGAAUUUGAAUGUGCAUGGAAUGACAUGUUGGAAAUGUUUAAUCUUCAUGGACAUAAGUGGGUGACAGAUAUAUAUGCUAAGCGUUCUAGAUGGGUAGAGGCUUAUUUAAGGGGGCAUUUCUUUGCUACUAUGAAAAACACACAAAGGUGUGAGAGCAUGAAUGCAUACUUGAAUCGUUUCCUUAAAACUCAUUUGAAGCUGUUUGAGUUUGUCAAGCAUUUUGAUAGAGCACUCUCACGUAUUCGUCAUAAUGAGGCAAAGGCAAAGUUUGAGACACACCAUUCUUCAGCUGUUCUAACAACCAAACUCUAUGCACUUGAGAAAUAUGCAGGGAUUGUUUUCACAAGGCAAUCUUUUCUAAAAUUUAGGGAUGAGAUGAAGAAUGCAGAAUUGUUUUUCCCUGUCAGUACAGAAAAUCAUGGAGGUUAUCGUGUCCAUACAUUGACCAAGUUUAGAAGCCCUGACAAGAUUUGGAAAGUAUGUUAUGGUAAUAGUGAUCGGUCUAUGAAAUGUACUUGUAUGAUGUUUGAGUCAGUUGGUUUUCCAUGUCCCCACAUGAUUGUUGUAAUGAAGAUAGAACACCUUGAAGAAAUACCUGAGACUUGUAUUAUGAAAAGGUAGUCUAAGUUAGCAAAGGAAACGGUCCAAGUUCAUCAUGACAAUGAAAGUCAAGGUGAUGCGACUAACAUCAUACGAUAUGGUGCACUCAGCUCUAUGUGCUCACGGAUGUCUUAUUUUGCAUCUCAAUUGGAAAAAGCUUUUAAAGAGGCUAGAUGUGAAAUACAAAGACUCACUUUUCAAAUGGAAGAACUUUGUAAAAAUUCAGCGGAAGAAAGUGAACGAGAAGAUUUGAAAGCUACAAAACACCAUGUUCGAGAUCCUAUCAUUGUGAAGACGAAAGGUAAUCCGGGUAACUUAAAAGACAAAUUUAAGAAACCAAGACAUUGUGGGAAAUGUAAGAAAGUAGGACACAUUGUUCGAAAAUGCCCAGAGUUCGUCAACACUCACAAUGCAUUUAUCAACAUUGAAGAUUCAAUUGAAGAUAUGGUAUGUUCAAACACACAUUCACUAAAUUCAUUAAUUAUUCACUUUAUAGUUAUUUUUAUUUGGUUAAAUUUGUUGAAAUAAAAAAUUAAAUUCUUUAUAUUAAUACAAGGGGACAUGCCUUCAUUACUAAAUCACAACAUGGAAGGUGGAUCAAGACACGAGACAAAUGAAUUUUCUCAAAAUGUAAGUUUAACAUUUUUUAAGUAAUUUUUAUUAUGAUGUGAAAAAUAUUACUUAUUAGAGUAAUUGAAAAAUUAAAUCAUAUUACAGACAACACUUGGCACAUUUCAGAAUGGUCUAGAAACAAGCUUAAAUGAUUCAUAGCUCGGGUUACAUCCACCAAAUUACUUCACAAACCAAGUAAGAGUCAUAGAAUAACUUAUAUACACCACAUAUCAUAUAUCUAUAUAUUGACAGAAGUUCCUAAACAUUUAGUAUUUAAUCAUAUGGAUUUUCUUUCAAAAUAUUAUGUAUAACUGUAAAUAUUUUCAAUGUAGGUCACCAUGAACCACUUUACAUCCGGAAUUUCGGGAGCAAGUUCUACAUAUCAUAACCAAUGAGUUGUACUACAAUGCAAAAAAUUAUGUACAAAAAAAAAUCAACUCUUAAUUGUAUUCUAUACUCUUCUUCUCUUUAUUUUUGCAUGAUUCUGAACUUUAUCUAAUAUUAUAGCUUUCUCACUAUUUUCAUCAUCAAGAAGUAAUUCGAUUGCCAAUUUGUGUCUUAUAGUUGUAGAGUUCCAAUGGGAAGGGGUUGAACUUGAGUCCAUGAAAUCAGAUCUUUGCAUAUGAUUAAUGACAUGGACUCCACAAUCCCACCUAACAAAUAAAAUAAGUAAACAUUUAUCUAGUUAGUACAUAGAAAUAUUAUCUUGAACACAUUAUAUUUGAAGAAACAAUUAUGCUUGCUUACCCAUUGGCUUGCACCUCUACCCAUGUAGGUCUUUCAAUGGGAACACUUGAUAAAUUCUUUAGAUGCCCAUUGAGAUUAAAAAAAUGUGCACACUCUUCAACCUAAUAUUCAUAUCGUUAUAUCUUUUAGCAAAAUAAAACAUGCUAUUUAACAACUAACAUUAAAAAGUAACAAAAUUCAUUAAAAUAUAAGACAUACCACAGUUCUCACAGAUGAAGUUCGCAUGUCAUCCCUUUCUAUUGAUGGUAAUGAAUCCAAUAUAUGAAUAUUAUGUUGAUGAAGAUUUAUAACACACAAAUACCAAUGAUCCGGACAUGUAUCGUGCAUCGGGAUGUAUAUCUAAACAAAACACACAUUUUAGCAUUGAUAAUUAUUUACAACUAUGAUAUGAAUACAACUUCAAAUAUGUACCUUAUUGCAAUCAUUCAUUUCAUCCAUGUGUUUGAUAAUAUGUGUGAACAUCUUGGUAGCAGUUGCCAAUUUUCUACCACCAUGUAAGAUUAUUUGCUAUGCAAAAAAAAAAAAAAAAAAAAAAAAACAUAUAUAUAUCACAAUAUUUAUUAGGUUUAUUUUUUUUCUUUAAUAAGAAAUAUAAUGGAUGAACAUACCGCAAAUGUGGUGGGUAAGUAGCAUCUUGUAGACCGUAUUCCUUUGAAUUUGUUCUCAAAACUAUUAAGUUUGCAUGCAAAUACAUUUAUGAUCUAAAAAUGAAACACAAAAAAGUUAACAAUGUUAAUUAUGUAAUAGAAUUAAUAAGAAUUGGGUUUAUCCUUGUAUUACUCACCACAUCGAGUAAUUCUUGUCUAGGCCCUAAAGUCAAGAAGUCUGCUCGAUUUGCAUGCUCAUAUUGAAAAUUAACAAGAAGUUCACUGCAAAAUAUAAGAUAUUUAAUAAGUAUAACUUUUAAAACAUGACAUACAUAAAGUAUAGUCAAAAUAAUAGGUUUACACACCUUUUGUCCAAUGAAACAUCAAACACAUAAGCAACAACUAGAGACUCAAGUGUACUCAAGGAAUGUGAAUCCUCCACGUUUGGCAAAAUGGACAUGGGGAUUAUCUAUAUUGAAAACAUCUCUAACAAACAUUACUUAUCGUUCACUAUAUUAUUAAGUAUUUAAAAAAUACUACAUCAAUGAAGUAACAUAUUACCUCUAAUAUCUUUUGUGAUCCAACAACUAUGCUUGGGAAUCUCUUAGGCUUUGACAUCUUAUUGGAUUGAUGAAUGUAGGGUGACACCUUGAAUUUACUAGGCUUGCGUUCCAUUGUUGAUCAUGUUUUCUUCAAUUGACAUGGGAGCACCACCAAUGAACUUAGUUGUUCUUCUUGUUUUUCAACAUAUGGAACAUCAACAUUAACCUAUCAUGUAUUUGAACAUUAGUAUAUAUAUAUAUAUAUAUAUAUAGAACUUUGUAAAAAACUAGGUCUUCAUAAUAUGCAAAUACCUUUUCAUCUUGACAUUGAUUGUUGACAAUGGGAGAAACAUGUAACUCCAUGUGACCACAUGAGUCAUUCUCACUCAAUCUCUCUUCUACGACAACAUUGCUCAUAGGAAAAAACAAACGUUUCAAUUCCAUAUAUUUUUCUUCAAAUUCUCUAAAAGUUGAUUCUUUACAACUUUCAUCCAUAUCAGAAACAUUUGUUUGUAGCACAAAUUUUUUCAACUUCUCAAAAGCUUCCUCCAUACCCAUCAAACUUUUUUCUUCAACCUAGUAACAAAUAAAAAUUUCCAAUAUCAUGAAAAAUAAAGUUUGAGAUGAAUAAACUAAUGUAUAUAAAUAUAGUAUAAAAAAGUACCUUAUGCCCUUCUUCUUGUUGUUCAUGAACUUUUGCAUCUUGUUUAUCACCAUCUUCUACAUUUCUCAUAUCAUUAUCUUUAUGAUCACUUGUUCUCUCAUCUUUCUCAACCACCUUCAUUUUUUCAUCAUUUUCAUUUUCCGCACCAUUAUUUUGCUCCAUAUCCACACUUUGCCCAAUUUUUAUAAUCCAUAUCGUGACCUAUAAUUUAUCCAUAAACUUUAUUAUAAUUGCAACAUCACAUAAACAAAUAAGCUUUUCAGUUAGUAAAUGUAUCUUACCUUUGGAUCAUCAUAACCUCCAAGUGUUUUGAUUUUACGUUUCAUCCUAGAGACCUCAUCAUCUCCCCAUUCAUUUAUACGAGGGCUAUAUGCAUUAAAACGUAAGUUCAUACCCUUCUUUGUGGAAAUGUGGUCUAUGUAGAAAAUCUGCAAGAAAUAAAUUCCAAAAUAAUUAUAGAGUUGAAUAUAUCACAAACUCUAUUAUUGUUAAAAAUAUCAUAAUAUAUCAACUUUGUUAAAAAUGUAUUACCAUUAGAAAAAAUAAACAUCCUAAAAUCCCACUGCUUUGUUUCUUGGAUUUAAAGUCGUUUAUGCCUCGUACAAGGAAGAAGAAUACUAUUUGAGCCCAAUUUAUCUUCUUUAUUGAUGCAGUGUCUUGAAGGAGAUGGAGGAAGGAAGGCUUGACACUAACUUUCAUCGUUGGACAUAACAAGGCACCCAAAACAAAUAAUACAAAACGAAUUUUAAAUUCAUCCCCACAUUCCUUUUCUUGCCGUAUUUGGUUUUCUAACAUCAACAAUGGCAAUUUUCUCUUCCCAUCACAAUACAUGUUGUAUAAAUCAUUCCGUUUACUUGUGCAUCUCUCUAUAUCUACCUCCACUCCCUUAGCCUUCAAGCCCAAAAUUAACUCAACAUCCAUUGGGGAUAAUUUAAUGGAAGUGUUAUGCACACUUAAUGUGCAUGAAAGAGUGUCAAAAUUCUCUACCAACCAAUGACAUAAACUAUGAUCAAGUUUAGUACAUUGCAAUCCUAAAAUACCUCCAAACCCUAUUUCUUGUAUGACGGCCUUUUGAAUAGGUUGCAAGUGUUGAAGUAGUUUAUACACCCGAUCAGGCGAACAACGCGUGUGAAGAUACGACUAGAAGUCAUAAAUAUACAUAAGCAUAUAUAUUUUAAAUUGAAAGAAAAUAUUAUCAUAAUUUAAAAACAUAAAUUUCGAAUUUCUUACCUUUGAUGCAUUUUUUGAGUUUUGACCAUUUUGUUUUAUAUAUUCAUGAGGCCAUUUUUUAGACUUCUCUAAGAACUCUUUUUUUUCUCCAUUUGAAAGGGAUUGCCACUUUUUCCCAAUCUCUUUUCGCAACUGUAAUAUUAAAUUAGUUAGGUAUCAUAUAGAGUAUAAAAGUUGACUAAAAAACAUAUUAUGCAAAUAUUCAUGUCUUUUCUUACAUCAUGAUUUAUUAUCAAUUCCUUGUUAUCUUCUUUUCUUGCGAGUACUUGUUCUUGACUGCAAAAAACAUCACAUAAAAAUGAUUAUAUUUUCAACAUGUGAAUAAAUAUCCAAAAUGAAUUAACUAUAUAUGUAUAUAUAUUCUUACAAAUAAUAAAGCCAUGAACCCAUAGGAAGUUUUGGGUUUGAAGGGGGAUCAUUCUCCUCAAAUGAUUGUUUGCUCCUAUUUAAAACACAACAUUAUGAAUGUAAUUUACAACUAAUUAAAACUAUGUACUAUAUUCAAAUAAUUAAGUUACAAAUAUAAAAUCUUACAUAUUUGGCUUUCUAAGUCAAGAUGUAGUAAGACUGCUCAAAAUAAGAUAAACUCCUCUUAUAUUAAGCAACUGUGUAGCCUGCAACAUAGUGAGCAUACCGAUAAGAAUUAAGUUUUGAAUUUGACAACAAGAAUUAAGUUUAAAAAAAAGUCAUUAGUGAGCAUAUGUCCAAAUGUUUUAAGCUCUUUUAUCAUUCUUUUCAUCUCCUUAAGAUCUUGUUUCAUUGUAUGGUUUAGUCGUAUUUUGUAAUUUCCAAAUUACAUUACAAGUCCUCUAAGCUUCGUAGCUGAAAGUACACCAUACUUUUCUUUUAACGCUUCCCACAUUUCAUGAGAAGUUUGAUAUACCUCAUACUCAAUCAUGAGAUCAUCUUGCAUACAACUUAACAACGUUAUGCGAGCUAAAGAAUUUUUUUGUGAGAGAGGCCACAUCAACAAGAUAAAUAUACAUGUCAUGUCUGGCAUAUCAAAUUAUUUACAUGUUAUGUACAAAACAUAAAAGAAAAUGUAAUAAAUAGAAGGAAAACUAAUCUUCUCCCUUGAAACUAAAAGAAACAAUGUUAGGAUUAUACACAGUGUCUUCUAUAACUCUAGAAGUUGUUUUCAAUAACCAUAACCCUCUAAGAUUUUUAUGCCUACUAGAAUUUGAAAAUCUUGCAUUUUGCAAGUUAGGAGAAAUAGAAAGCAUUGUUGUUCGUCUGAUAGCAUUCUUCACGAAGCAUGUUUCCCAGUGUUCCUUGAAAAUAGCUACUAGGUCAUCAAAAGAACUAUUUGUGAAACCAUGAGGCCCUUCUUGAAUGGAUUCCCAUAUAUUUUCAAGAAAUUUUUUCUCAGGUUCUGUUAAUGACAUUUGUAGAAUAUGCAUUUUACGGUUUGACUCUAAGAUAUAUUCCUUUUCGAAACGUUUGAACAUAUUAGCCACAUGAUCCACAUGUUCAUUUGUAGAAUGGCUAGGGUCCCUCUUGUAGUUCAAGAUUGUAUCCAAACACGGCCAAGGUCCACUACCCCUUAGUACUUUCCUAGUUCUCCUCAAUCGUACCAUUUUGCACCUGACCAAAAGAAUUUAAUUUAAUUUUAAUGAGUAACAUAUACUCAUACUUUAAUUAAAUAUUUGAACAAAUGAAAUUUUAAUUAGAAACACACAAUUAUAAAAAAAAAAAAAUGGUUUUUUAUUGUCCCUCAAAUUUUUAUUAUUAUUUUAUACACAAGUCAACAUUCAUAAUUUCAAAUAAACAAUAUAACACUAAUAAAUGGUAUUUUAUAUCAUAUCAAGGUACUUUAUUUGAGAUUUAGGUUCGAAUCCAUGUUGCAUUAUUAUUUCUAACACUAAAAGGUUCAGAAGUCUAGAAUUUUAUUACAUUUUAAAUGAAAAAUAAAAUUAAUUUAUAUAAAAUAUUUUAUUUGAGAUUUAGGUUCAAAUCCAUGUUGCAUUAUUAUUUCUAACACUAAAAGGUUCAAAAGUCUAGAAUUUUAUUACAUUUUAAAUGAAAAAUAAAAUUAAUUUAUAUAAAAUAUUUUAUUUGAGAUUUAAUUUCUAAAAUUUUAUUAAAAAUAUGUGAUAACAAUUUUUUCUAUUAACAUUAAUGUAUUUAAAUAAUUAAAAUUAUAAUAAUUUAUCUUAUCAAAUUAAUAUUAAUUCAUAAAAUAUCGGUAAUAAAAUUCGAAAGUUCAAUUUAUAUAAAAUAUUUUAUUUGAGAUUUAGGUUCAAAUCCAUGUUGCAUUAUUAUUUCUAACACUCAAAAGUCUAGAAUUUUAUUAUAUUUUAAAUGAAAAAUAAAAUUAAUUUAUAUAAAAUAUUUUAUUUGAUAUUUAAUUUCUAAAAUUUUAUUAAAAAUAUGUGAUAACAAUUUUUUCUAUUAACAUUAAUGUAUUGAAAUAAUUAAAAUUAUUAAUAAUUUAUCUUAUCAAAUUAAUUUAAAUUCAUAAAAUAUCGGUAAUAAAAUUCGAAAGUUCAAUGGUAAAUAUUUAAUCAAAAUAUAAAUGGAUAAUUACUAAUGGUAAAGAUUUAAUCAAAAUAAUUACUAAUGGAUAAUUAUUUAUAUACAAAGAGAAAUUCCUAAAAGGCCCUACUACCUCUCACACUCGGGGCUGGGGCAUCAAGAAGCCCUUUUCUCCCUCUAGACCGAGAAUCCCUAAAAAGGCUCCAGCUCCAGUUUACUCUGCCACUCUCAAUCCUCGCAGGUACUAAUCUAAUCAUGUUAUCCUUUUUUUUUCAAUACCCGUUUGAUUCUUAACAAAAUCCAUCCCCCAUUCGAUUUGUUGGAUCUGUUUUAGGGGUCUUUUUGCUUUUGUGCCAUUCGAUUUAAAUUUCAUGAACCCUAAAUCCACGAUUUUUUAGCCAGGUUGAAAUACACAACCUUUGUCUGCAAAUCAUGACCAUAUUACCAAAUAGUAUCUUUUGUUUUUUUAAAAAAAACUGGUCAGAUUUUGCAUCCUUGUGUGUGGCCUGGACUGGUAGGAAAUAUAGGGAAAUUUCCCAAAAAAAAUUCGGUAAAAAUACCAAAAUUUUACUGAUAUUUUUUAAUCGGUCAAAAUAUCAUGUUUGUGCGUGGUCUGGACUGGUAGGAAAGAUCGGGAAAUUUUCCAAAAAAUCAGUAAAAAUAUUGUCUUUCUUAGAAAUAUCGCCGAAAUUUUCGACAUUUCAAUCACUACCAUAUGACAUAAGAUGAGUGAAGUACCUGUUCUGGGAUAGUAGGUAGAGUUGCCUGUAGGGGAGAUUGGUUGCGGAUCCACCAAAGCCCCCUGAUUAUUUUCUUGCUGAUUUCUCCUCUCUCUGAUUUCUCCUUCAAAAUCCCCACUCAGCUCACUCUCUCUGUAAAUAUUCAUUUCACUCGAAAAUUCCAUCUCCACACCCUCAAAUUUCUGAAGCUUAACUCUCUAAAACUCGGGAAAAGUUGUAAUGCCCAUCAAACUAAUAGCUCACCUUUCCGAAAAUAGGCAUCAAGUGUAAUACCCAUCAGACAAAUUUUUGUCUUUGGACAAGAUUAAGCAAGAUAGAAGUGGGAAAUCAGGUGACCAGCAACCUGCUUUUAUUUUUUAUAUAUUUUUAAAUUUUUAAAAAAUAUAUAAACCAAUUGGAUGGUCCGGAUUGAACAUCUUCAUCCAAUGGUCAAAAUUGUUUUUUGGGUAGGUACCGAAGUGGUACUGUAGAAUUUUCCUAAAACAAAUUGAAAAUAAGUAAGUCAUCUGUGAAAUAUAUAUAUAUAGAUUUCAUCUUUUAUACUUGAAUCAUCUCCCCCCUCUUUUUUUUUCCUAGUUUUGGCCUUAUUUUUUUAAAAUAUAAUAUUUAUUUUACUUUUAAUCAAUGGCUCAUAUUUCGAACAAGUGCACCAGAUUUUCUGAAGUUGUAUAUAUAAUAAUCUACAAGUUACAAUAGUGAUUAUAUUUGAAUAAAAAGAGGGACCCGCCCACUUGCAUGGAUUCUAUAUAGGACACAAACAAAUUGUCUUUAGUGGCGACUGAGGAGGCUUUCUAUGACUUGAAAAAAAAAUAAAACAAAAAUAGUCAUUAAGAAAUCAGUGCCAUGUAGUUAGUGUCCGCCACUAUCUACACUUUCUUUAAAAGAACAAAAUUGUCAUUUUCUUUUAUCUCAAAAAUCACUGAAUCGUACAAAAUAAUAUAAGAUAAGAUUCAAUUCAGUCUUUUUUGGCCUCAUAAGAAAACCUUAGCCAACUCAAGGUGACCACUACAGAAUCAAAAUAGGUUUUCUUUUUCUUCAUAGAUAUAUAGCUAACCAUUCAGCUUUGGAUUGCUGGAAUAGAUUCGACUAUUUGUAUCAAUCAGAAGAGAUUCCUCAAGCUUUGGCUGCUAUGGCUCUAAAUGAAGAAGAUAAGGAUCCUAAUUUUUAUGUGGACUCGAGAGCAACAACCCAUAUAACAAAUGACCUAGGUAAGAUUACCCAAGUAAUUCCAUAUAAAUACAAAUGACCUAGGUAAGAUUACCCAAGUAAUUCCAUAUAAAGGGCAUGAUGUAAUUUUUGUUGGAAAUGGAGAAGCUUUAAGAAUCUCACAUAUUGGUGAAGCUAGACUAAAAACUAAACAUAGAGAUCUAAAGCUUAAAAAAUUAUUGGUUAUUCCAAAAAUUAAGAAAAAUUUGUUAUCCAUUGGACAACGUACCUCAGAUAACCCAUGCUCCAUAGAAUUCUCAUCAACUAGUUUUGUCAUUAAGGAUCAACUUCAACAAGUGCUAGCCAGAGGAACUAAGAAGAGAGGUCUCUAUGCAUUGGAGGAAAAUGUGAUUCAAGCCAUGAUAGUUACUAGGUCUAGCAAGGCACCAUAAGAAGUGUGGCAUCAACACAUGAGGCAUCUACAAACAAAAUCUAUAAAGCUUUUGCAAGAUAAGGAUUUCAUUGAAGUAUCUAGUUGGAUGAAAUCAGCAAUAGUAUGUGUUAGAUUUCAAUUAGGAAAAAGUUGUAAAGUUUCUUUUGGCUUAAGAAAUAAAAUUUCCAGCAAUCCUCUUGAAAAAAUUCAUUGUGACUUAUGGGGACUUGCACCAAAUAAUUCGACUCAAGGAUACAAGUAUUAUGUUGUCUUUAUUAAUGAUCAUACUCGCUAUACAUGGCUUUAUCCCUUGAGAAGAAAAUCAAAUUUCUUUGAAUGUUUUUUGAAGUUUCAAAAUCUAGUUGAGAAUCAACUUGAAAGACAAAUAAAAAUCUUCCAAAGUGAUGGUGGAGGUGAGUUUCAAUCAAUUAAAUUUCAAAAUCACCUGAGCAAGUGUGGAAUUUUGCAACAAGUCUCAUGCCCAGGAACUCCAGAACAAAAUGGGGUUGUAGAGAGAAAGCAUAAACACAUUGUUGAAAUGAGUUUAACAAUGAUUUUCAAUGCCAAACUACCAUUGAGUCUAUGGGUAGACGCAUUCCAUACUAUCGUAUACCUCAUUAAUCAGCUGCCUUCCAUGGUGUUGAAAAUGGAGAGUCCAUUCUUUAUGCUCUUCAAACAAUAUCCAGAAUAUAGGAGCUUGAGAAUUUUUGGUUGUCAAUGUUUUCCAUACCUUUGAGACUAUGGGAAGAAUAAAUUCUCACCUAAGACAUCUCCAUGUGUUUUUAUUGGAUAUAGCUCUCUACACAAGGGUUAUAGAUGCUUGCAUCCUUCAACUAAAAGAGUUUACAUAUCUCAUCAUGUCAUCUUCAAUGAAAAUUGCUUUCCUUAUGAUAACUCUCUUGUUAAGAAAAGUCAUUUAUAGUUUCUUAUAGAAAUGGUAUCAUUCUCAACUUCAGAUGUUUCUUGUGAGACAUCAAAAAUAGAUCACCAAACUAAGUCUUGGAAGGAGAACACUGCCAACCAAUCAAGCAACUCCAAGAAGUGCAACCAUUAGCCAUGCACUACUGGGCAAAGAAACCAGUUUAGUGUUGACGGAAGAAUUUCUACUAGUUGCAUUACUAACCAAAAUACAGAAGCAUCAUGUGCAAAACCGAUUGGAACUCCCACUGCUAUCACUGUUGAAAUUUCCACUGUUGCUGCUAGUAAAAAUGACCAUAAUACCGUCAUUACUAUUGAAACUCCCACUGAUGUUGCUCUUGGUUCUAGUGGCCACAAUUUCAACACUGCUACUACUACUGGAACACUCUCCUAGAUUGAGUCUACUAGUAGCUACAAGCUUGCUAAUGUUAGUAAUUUUCCUGAUAUCAGUAAGCACCUAGUAGUUGAUCUCUCUUUUCCUUAAAAAUGGCAGAAAAAUGAGCAUGUUGGUUCAUCUCCGCAAAACAAAUCCACCAGUCACAAUGUUGAUGAUAAAGUUCUUGAUAUUAGCAAGCAAAUUGUUGUUGACAUCUUUUCUCCUCAGGGCCAACACACAGAUAACAAAGAAGCUCAUAUGAUCACCAGAAGUAAACUCAAAAAUGAUCCUAGUUUAAAGUCUUAAAUGGUUACUUUUGCUGCCACAAGAAGUAAUAUUAGUGAGCCAAAAACAUAUCAUACAACAUUGAAAAUUCCCCAUUGGUCCAAACAAUGCAAGAGGAAAUUAAGGUUUUAAUCCAAAAUUGAACAUGGGAUUUGGUUCCUAGGCCUCCAACUACAAAUAUUGUGGGUUUUAAAUGGAUGUUUAAAACAAAGCUAAAGGAAAAUGGAACCAUAGAUAGAUACAAAGCACAAUUAGUUGCUUGAGGUUUUUCUCAAAUAUCAGCUUUGGACUUUGGAGAGACCUUCAGCCUAGUUAUAAAGCAUACUACAAUAAGAUUGAUCCUUUCAUUAGCAGUAACCUUAGGGUGGACAAUGAAGCAAUCGGAUGUUAAGAAUGCCUUCCUACAUGGGUUUCUAAAGGAAAAAGUAUUCAUGGAACAACCUCUAGGAUUUAUAAACAAGGACCUUCCGAAUCAUGUAUGCAAAUUGAAUUGUUCUCUUUAUGGCCUUAAGCAAGCUCCAAGGGCCUGGUUAAAUAAACUAUUUCAAUGUCUUCUUCAUCUGGGGUUUUACUAUGGUAAAAUAGACUCGUCUCUAUUUAUUCUUCCCAAAGGUCAGUCUAUUGUUUUGCUACUUAUCUAUGUUGAUUAUAUUAUAGUCAUAAGCUAUGAUAACAACAUCAUUAGUGACCUCAUCAGCACCCUGAGUAGUGAAUUUUCUCUCAAGGACUUAGGAUCUUUGCAUUAUUUUUUGGGAUUGGAGGUGAAAUAUCUUCUUAAUGGGUUGUUUCUUUCUCAAGAAAAGUACACUAGAGAUCUCUUAGAGCACACAAAAAUAAUGGAGUGUACUCAUAUCAACGCACCCAUAGCUCUUAAGUCCAUCAUCACACCUUCUGAUGAACAACCUAUUGAUCCUACAUGAUAUAGGCAACUUGUUGGAUUCCCCCAAUAUUUAACCUUCACAAGGCUUAAUAUUGUGCAUGUAGUAAACAAGGCCUACCAACAUUUCCAAGCACCCACUAAAGCUGACUUGCAAGCUAUCAAACGCAUCCUUAGAUAUUUGAAGGGAACAAUGGAGCAUGGAAUCAGGUUUUUCAACCAAAGUUCGCUUCGUCUCACUGGUUUUUGUGAUGUUGAUUAGGCGGGAUGCACAAACACAAGAAGAAGCACAUCUAGGUAUUAUAUUUUUCUGGGAGCCAAUUGUAUCUCAUGGUCCUCAAAGCGACAACCUAAUAUUUCUAGAUCAAGCACCAAGGCCAAAUAUCGAUCCCUUGCGUCCAGUGCUGCAGAAAUAACUUGGCUUACUUUCCUUCUCCGUGACAUUGGCAUUCAACUACGUGAACCUUCUCAAUUGCUAUGCGAUAACCUCAGUGCCCUUCACAUGACAGUAAAUCUCGUCUUCCAUGCAUGUUCUAAGCAUAUUUAGUUGGACUAUCAUUUUAUUCGGAAAGAAGUUGCAAGUGGAGUUUUGAUUACUUGUUUCCUUCCAUCGUCUUUACAAGUAGCUGAUAUAUUCACAAAGGCACUCCCUAAGACUUCAUUCCAAGUCUUUCGAUUCAAGCUAGAGUGCACAAGUUACCACUCACUAGCUUGCAGGGGGCUGAUAAAGGAAAGCCAAACUCAGCCAGCAUACAAUCCAUGCCAAAGCAAUCUUUACGUGAGAAGUUAGUAAUGCAAUCUAUCAGGAAGGAAAACUACUCUCAAUAUUUGUAAUGUGGAAAAUCAAGGCUGGAAGGAAAUAUUCACUUACCUGUUCUAUAUAAUAUUCCCUUUUCUAUGCAAAGAAAGUAUGUAUUGUUUAUUUAUUUUUUAGAAAAAAUCAGUAAAGCAUGGUAAAAAUUCAAUCUUUCAAAAAUAGUUUAUGUUCUUCAUGCAUGGAUAAUAAAUCGCAUGGAUAAAUUGUAUUUAGCAGCGGCUGAAGCUUUCUAUAUGACUAAAGAGAAAAAAAGUCAUUAAAAAACUAAUUGCCAUGUGACUACGUCUACCAGUAGAUAGCUGAGAACAAGGUCUAACUUUUAACCUUUUUUACUACCUUUACAAAGGAACACAAAAUUGAGAGAUUCAAAGACAACUAUAGUAUAAAUAUUGUUUCAUAAAUUACUUUUCAAAUUUAAUUUGAUAGCAAAAAUUUAAAAUACAAAAGUAUGAAAAAUUUGUUCCAUUCCCAAAAUUUUUGCAAAUAAAAUUUUAAAGUAAUAAAUUAACACCAUGACUCUUUUCACAUCUUAUUCUCCUUUCUAUCAAAGCAAUGAUAGUAAUAAUCUUAUCUAUAAAUUUUAAAUGAGGGAAGAUCAUUGAAUUUUUAUUUUCUUUUAAUUUCUUGUUAUGUAAUUAUCAAACACAUUUUUUUUUAAGACAAGAAAAAAAUUAGACUGAAGAAAUAUACUUUUGCUUUGAUUUAGUCACUUGGAUUGCAAUUUGAAGGAUGACAAUAAAAGUGUAUUAUUGGAGUUAAAGAUCAAUUGAAAGCUUGAAGUGGCUUGUUCUUGAAUGAAUUUAAUGAAUGGCGAAGAAUACGUGUGUUGUAAUUUUUUGGAUUUGUAGGGGAAUUUUAUGAAGCUCUUUUCUCUUUGUGAAGCUUCUUUUUUUGUGUGAUUUUUUUUCUUCAUCAUUUUUAUUCAAGGAAGUUGCAUAUAUUUAUAGAUGAAAUUAAAAAAUUAAAUUUAGAAUUCCUAAGAUUUGAUUACUUAAUUAAAAAAAAUUGGUUUCUUGAUUUUAGCAACUUGUCUCCUCUAUUAAGAAAGUUUUCUAAUAAGAGAAUAUUUAAUUAUCAUUUUCUUUUGACUUCAAUUAGAAGAUUUGAUUCGUUUGUUCAUAAAAUUUGAAAACAAAAAAAAAUUAUUUCUAUUUUUUUUAUUUCAAUUGUUUAAUUUAAUUUGAUUUUGCAAGACUUUAUUUUAUAGGCUACAUGUCAUUUUUUGAAUUGCAUGUUACAUAUUCAAUAUACAUGACCCAUCACUUAUUAAGCAUAAAUUUCGUUGGCUAAGGAGUUACAAUUUUGAAGACUAAUUUGAUAGUAUUUUGAUCCACUAAAAUUUUUUAUGUCUAGAAAUGCCCCAUCUUCAAGACCAACACACACAUGCAUUGUUAUGUAUAAAAGGUGAGUCUUGAAGUUAGCAUUUUGAAUCUUUAAUAUCCUUCUUUGAUAUUUUUUUUUUCAAAGAAAUAUUUUAAUAGGAAAUUUCCUAUUUCAAAAUACCUUUCUUAAACUGCUUUAUUUUCUUCCUUUUUUUCUACCUGGUAUCAAGGAAAGACUUUGUGUUAAUGGGAAAGUUUCUUAUUUGAACAUGUAUUUGCUUUUCUCAUGGUAUUUUCACUUCCAAUUUAUCAUCCUACAUGAAGUCUUUCACCCUUGGUCGAUUGUAUCUUAGACUUGAUCACAUGCCUUUAACUUGUAAUUCUUGCUCCACUUUAUUUAUUUUAUUUUAUUUUAUUUUUAAAAAAGAAUACAAUAUAUAUGAGCAAGACCUUGAGCAAGAGGAGCAAGGUGGAGGAUGGAGCAUGAGCUAGCCUUAGGGUAAGACCUUGAGGAAGAGAAGUAAUGUGGAGUGUAGAGCACAAACUUCUCUGGAGCAUGGUAGGUAUACCAUCACAGAAUUGUCUUCCACAUGGAGCAUGGUAGGGCUUAUAUAUAUGAUAGGGUGUGCCAUCAUGUAACAAUGAAGAACAACAAUCCAUGGUGUACAAUUGGGAACAACAAUUCAUGCUAUCAAGCUUCAACUUUUUUUUUUACCCCCAUCUCCAUUUUUUCAACUUCUUUUUUUUUUCCUUUUCUUUUUCCUUUUUUUUUUAACCAUUGUUUUUAAGGAAGAAAUAGGUUUUCCAUCCCUUACUACGAGGUCAAUCUCCAUCACUUGCAAAGACAAAUUUGCUUUUUGAUAUUUUUUUCUUCAAUAAUUAACUUAACAUUUUAAUAUAUAUUUUUUUUAACAAACUUAAAUAUUCAUAAUAAAAUAAAUAUUUAAUGUCUUUAUUCAUUCAAAUUAGCUUGACUUGAAUACUUAGUAGAUCCAUACUUAACACCCAUGUAGACGAGUUGUAACCUUGAUGGCAGGUUGUGUUGUAUUUUCGACACUUAAUGUGGCUUAAGAGUUAAAGUCUUCUCUCAUACAAAUUACCUUGGUUUGGAUGCACAAUGGUGUCUAACUUUUUAACACUUUAUUAAACUUGGAACCAUAUUUAACACCCACGUAGACAAGUCAUAAUCAUGACGUGGAUCACUGCUUUAUUUUUAGCUCUUAAUGUGGCUUAAAUAUUAAAUUCUCCACUCAUACAAAUUAACUUGGGUUAGAUGCACAAUGGUGUUCAACUUGUUAAUAGUUAAUUAAAAUUAGAACCAUAUUUAACACCUAUACAAACAAGUCAUAACUUUGACGUGGAGCAGUGUUGUAUCUUCGGCUUAAUGCCGCUUAAGUGUUAAAGUCGUCACUCAUAUGAAUUAGCUUGACUUAGAUGCAUAGUUAUAUUAUACUUUUUAACACUUAAUUUAAAUUUGGACCAUAUUGAAAACCCAUGUGAACAAGAGAUAACCUUGCAGUGAUGUUAUAUUUUUGACACUUAAUGUAGCUUAAAUGCUAAAGUCUUCACUUCAAUGAAUUGGUUCACCUUGGAUGAAUAGUGAUGUCUAAAGUGUAAUAAUUAAAAUUGAAACCAUAUUUAACACUCAUGUAGACAAAUCAUAACUUUGACGUAAUGGCAUUGUAUUUUUUACACUUAAUGCAGCUUAGGUGCUAAAGUUUUCACUCAUGAGAAUUGGUAUGAGUUAGAUGCAUUGUGGUGUCCAACUUUUUAACACUCAAUUAAAAUUGGAACCAUAUUUAAUACCUAUGUAGAUAAGUCAUAACCUUGAUGCAAAGUGAUAUUGUAUUUUUGACACUAAAUGCAACUUAGGUGCUAAGUCUUCACCCACACAAAUUGGUUCAUCUUGGAUGCACAAUGGUGUUGAAUUUUUUUAACAUAUAAUUAAAAUUUGAACCAUAUUUGACACUCAUGUAGACAAGUCAUAACCAUGAUGUAGAGUAGUGUUGUAUUUUUAACACUUAAUAUGACUUUACUGGUAAAUUCUUUACUCAUGUGAAUUGGCUUGAUUUGGAUGCACAACUAACUUUUUAACAUUUUAUUAAAUUGGGUAUCAUAUGUGUUGUUUUUUUAACACUUAAUACGACUUUAGUGGUAAAUUCUUUACUCAUGUGAAUUGUGUUGAUUUGGAUGCACAAUGAUACCUAACUUUUUAACAUUUUAUUAAAUUGGGUAUCAUAUUUAACACCUAUGUAGACAAGUCAUAACUUUAAUGUAGAGGCAGUGUAAUAUUUUUGGCACUUAAUACUGCUUAAGUGCUAGAGUCUUCACUCAUGUGAAUUUUCUUAGUUGGGAUGCACAAUGGUGUCUUAACAUUUUAACAUUUAAUUAAAAUCAGAACCAUAUUUAACACUCGUGUAGAGAAGUCAUAACCUUGACAUGGAGUAUUAUGCAAUGUUUUGAUAUUUAAUAUGACUUAAGUGCUAAAGUUUUCACUCAUGCGAAUUGACUUGACUUGGAUGCAUAGUGAUGUCUAACAUUUUAACACUUAAUUAAAAUUAGAGCUAUAUUUAAUAAUCAUGUAGACAAGAAAUAACUUUGACAUGAAACAGUAUUGUAAUUUUGACACUUAAUGUUGCUUAAAUGCCAAAGUCUUCACUCAUACAUAUUGACUUAGCUUGGAUGAAAAGUGGUAUCCAACUUUUUGACACUUUCUUAAAUUUGGAAUUAUGUUUAACAUCAAUAUAGGCAAGUAAUAACCUUGACGCAAAGUGAUGUUAUAUUUUUAGCACUUAAUAUAGCUUUAGUGCUAAAAUAUUCACUUCUAAGAAUUGACUUGGCUUGGAUGCAUAAUGGUGUCCUACUUUUUAACACUUACUUGAAAGUGAAAUCAUAUUUAACACCCAUUGUAUGCUAGUCGUAAACUUGAUAUAGAGCAUUGUGCAACUUUUUAACACUUAAUGCGAUUUAAGUGCUAAAGUCUUUACUCAUAUGAAUUAACUGAACUUAGAUGCACCUUUGUUUCCAACUUUUUAAUACCUAAUUAAAAUUAAAACCAUAUUUAAAAACCAUGUAGACAAAGACAUAAUCUUAACAUGGAGCUAUGUAUAACUCUUAACACUUAAUUAAAAUUGAGAUUACACUUAACAGCCACAUAUUCCUCCUAUUUUUCAAUUUUUUCUUGUGGUGAUGAUUGGACUUAACUAGUUUGUCCAAGUUGCCUAUAUACCCUUAACAGAGAGGGAAUCAAGUCAAACUUAGUUCAAAGUAUUUCUUUUAAUCUCUAACUUUUGCCAAGGCUAAUGAUUUUAAUCUUACAAGCUUGUCUUAACUUUUGACCAUAUAUGUAGUCUUUUUAGGUUUCAAUUUAGUGGCCUAUGACUUGUAAAAAUUGAAAAUGACUUCAAUCAUGUGUAAAAAAUAAUAAAAGAUAUUCAUUCAUAGUUUUAGGGCAACAAAAAAUAAUUGAUCCUUUUUUAUAUUAUUAUUAUUGUUGUUGUUGUUAUAAUUAUUAUUUCACCUUACAAAAAAACCUUCUGCAAUUAAUAUUAUAUAUAUAUAUAUAUAUUAUCUUUUAUAUAUUUAGUUUUUAUAGUAUUUUUUAAUUUAAUAUAUAUAUUUUUUAAAUAUCGAUACUUUCGGUCAAUGUCUCAAAUUUAAUAAUAUUUUAGAAAGUGUUUAUAAUAUUUUUAACACUUGAAUGAUAAAAAAUUUUAAAUAUUAAAAAUGUUAAAGACACUUUCUUAAAUUACUACCAAACGGGUUCUAACUUCAAAACUAUUUUUCAAAUUCUAAGUUUAGCUUAGUGGUGAAUGCAUUUAGGAUCACCAAGGAGGCCAUCAAGGGACUUCAGAAGAGAAGAUCCCAUAAUUCUAGUUUUGUAUUUGAUUGCAUACAUCCUACCAUAUGGAGAAGGUUCCUUAGGAUGCUUAUUUAUCCGCUUAUGUGAAUUAUGUACAAAAUUGCAUUUAAUAUGCACAUAAAAUUAAUUGAAUUAUGUGGCUUUUUUUUUUUCCUUUUUCUUUUACGCAUAAUAUAACAUAUACAAUUGGAAGAGAUCCCGAGAUUCUGAUUUUAUAUCUGGCUUUAGGGAUCAUAUUGGGGCCUCAAAAUUCAAUAUCACUGUCAGGUUGUGGACAGUCCACCCAGCUGGAGCAGAUCCCCUGGCUUGUGGAUAUGUCAACAAUUGAAAAAGUCUGCACCCAUUUUCAAUGUUCUUAGGUUUCGAAGUUAUCAGCAAACAUUCAUUGUGGACUAGGUACAUGGCUUGUACAAAUUGAAAAUGACUUCAAAUAAUAAAAGAUAUUUAUUCAUAGUUUUAAGGCACGCAACGAAAAUAGAUUUUAUUUGUUUGUAUCUUAGAAUAAUCUUAUUAUAUUUGUAUAUAUAUAUAUAUAUAUAUAUAUAUAUAUAUCUUAUCUUUUAUACAUGCAUAUUUUUUUUUUCAGUUUUGGUCGUAUAUUUUUAAUUUAAUAAUUAUUUUAAGAAAAAAGAUUUAGAGGCCAUUUGGUAGUGUUUUUUAAAAACACUUCUGGACUAAAAAAAAAUGCUUUUGUUAAAAAAUUAAGAGCAUGUUUGAUAGUGAUUUUAGGAAACGUUUUUAAUAUUUCUAAUAUUUGAAAAUUUUUGUCAUGCAAGUGUUAAAGGGCGUUUGGCAAUGCUUUUAGAAAGUGUUUCUAAUAUUUCUAAUACUUGAAAAAUAAAAUUUCUUAAGUAUUAGAAAUGAUAGAAACUCUUUCUAAAAUCACUAUCAAACACAUUCUUACACUUUCCAUCAAUGUCUCAAAUUUCAAAUAUGUACAUGCUCUAGAAAUUCUGAAGGUGUAGGCUUGUAGCCUAGAAUGUGAAGUGAGAGUUUGAUGAAAAACGAAAUAAACAAAGAUAUAAAAUAUAAUUUGUGAAAAAUUAUGAAAAUAUUGAUUUUGAUAGAUAUAUUAAUAACUCAAUUUUACAGAUAUAUCAGGGUAUAUCCAAAAAUAUUGGUGAAUAUUUUGACACCAAAUAUCAGUAGGAAAAAAUUGAUCAAAACUCAUGAAAAUAUUGGGAAAAAAAACUCUUAAACAUGAUAAAAUAAACAAUAAUAUACUUAUUAAAGUUGGUUUUAUUGUAAAACUUAAAAACACAAAAUUAUCAAUAGAUAUCAAUGAAAUUUUUUUUUAAAAAAAUCAAAAUUAAUAAAAACUCGUAAAAUAUUAGUAAAAACUAAAAUAUAUAUAUAUAUAAGAAGCAAUAAUACACAUAACGAAGUUAUUUAUUAAAAAAAAUGAUAUAGAUUUAAUACAAUUAAUGAUAUUUGAUAAUAAUAUACAUAAUUUAAAAUUUUAAAAUAUAUCUACUAGUAACAUCAUGAUUAUUUAAUAUUCAAAAUAUAAAAGAAAUUAUGAUAUGUAAAUAUAUAUAUAAAUUACUAUGAUGAUUUUUAUAAUUUGAACAAUUUUCAAAUAUAAUAUGAAAAUAAAAUAAUUAAAAUUAAUUUAUUUAUUAUUAUUUUAUUUUAUAAGUCUAGGAGUACAAAUAUAUUUUAUUUAUAUGUGUUGCAUAUUUAAAAAUGCUAAACUAGCUUGUGGCCUACAAUGUCAACUUAGAGUUUGAUGAAAAAGUGCAUAAACAAAGACAAAAAAAUUAAUCUACAAGUACUUGGAUUCUAUUUGAAUAAAAAAGAGCCACCCACAUGCAUGGAUUAAAUAUAUAUCCCAUGGAUUAGUUGUAUUUAGCCACGGCUGAAGCUUUCCACUAUGACUUAACACUACUACAAAAAUAAUUUAUGAUGUCACUAUUUAUGGUGUCGCAUUUAAAAUAAUGACACCAUUGAACUUAAAAUUUAUAAAGGUGACACAUCAUAUAAAAAAUCUUCAAUUAGGAUAGUUAGAUGAUGCUAAUUUCAAAUUUACGGUGUCUUUUUUUGGAAGUGACACCAUAUGAAAUAAAAAGUUUUAAAUUUUAUAACUCAAUGGGCCCUUUUUCAAAAUAGUGAGUAGGAACAAUUUAUGAAAAGUCUAUUGUUUCCAUAUAUACAUUAACUAAUAUAAAAGAUCUUAUUGCUUAACCCUAACCAUCGUUUUCUUCUCCUUCUUCUCACACCCAUGGUCGGCACACCCAUAAUUGAUAUUCUUUGCUUCAUAAAAUCUCGGGUAAGUCAAAAUCCCUUAUCUAUCAUCUUCAUUUUUUUUAUUAAUGCAAAAAACUUUGUUAGUAUAAUUGUUUUAUAUCUCUUGAUUUAGUAUAUCUAUGAUGUGGGUUUUGUAAAUGGUGUUUUUUAUCGAGUUCCAUGGAAGUAAAAACUAGGUUUAACAUUCUAACAUAUUUUUUGUUUCAUUGCUAAUAAGCCCCAAAACAAAUGAAAACAAGAAAAAUGAAUUAUUUUUAAAAAUUUUGUCUAAUUGAGAAUGAGAGAUACACUAGUUUGUAGUAAUUUUUCGCAUGAAAUAAUAUUUUAUUGAAGACUUGACUAUAUAGUGUAUUGGUUGUAAUUUUUCACAUGUGAAAAUAUUUUAUUGAAGACUUGACUAUAUUUGAUACUUUUUUCCACCGUGCUAGGAGCUUUUUGGUGAAGUCUAACAAUAGAGAUUGACAUCUACUACAAGAUGAUGCUCAAUUAAUCCAAAAGCACUUAAGUUAUUUAGGGUUUUCUUCAGUUAACCUAAGAAAACAUUCCCACUUUCUUUGUAUUGAGUCACCUAAAUAGAAUAGAAUAUUGGGUAUUAGAGUGGUAAAGGGUAUUAUAAAUAUGACUUUUUUUUUUAGAGUCACCUACAUGGAAUGAAUUAUUGGUAGGUGAACAAAAUAUUGGGGUGAUUGUAAUAGUUGAAUUAGUAAAUGGAAGAUAAGUGUAUGUUGCUUUGUUUAUUCUAUAAAAACAAUAAUUUUAGUAGUUGAAAUUUACAUGCUUUGUUGUUUUAUAAAAACAAUAAUUUUAAUAUUUGAAAUUUUAAAAUGUGAAUGAAAUGCCUGAAAAUAUGUUUUGAAAAAUAGGAUAGUAAUAAAUGUUUAUAGCUCAUUUCCUAAAAAUAUUUUGAUAAAUUAAAAUAAUAUGUGGUUAAAAUAUAUUUUUGUGAAAGUAUUUAAAAAUGAAUCAAAAUAUUAAUAAUUGUUAUUUUGUUUGAAAAUAAUUUAGGAAUAUAAAAUAAUAUUGGGGAUAAUUUUUGAGUUUAAAUUGGGUUAUAAACGGUUAAUUUUUUUAGGAUUGUCUUUUUUGAAAAUAAUCCAAUGAUAAUUUUUUUAAAUAAGAAUGUUGAAAAUAAUUUUAAAAAUAAAAUUUUGUUGGCAAUGAUUUUUCUAAAAGUAUUUUAGGCAUAAAUGGAAAUUUCUUGUAUGAAAAUAAGAGAAUUUAUAUAUAUAUAAUAGACAUAAAAAUAGACUUCUUUGAUAUUUAAUAAACAAGUGAAUUUUUCUCCAAAAAAGGAAUAAAAUAAGAAUUUCUCUAUUUAAUAAAAUAAUUUAUAUAUGAGAUAGUUUUCAAUAAGAAAGUUUUGAAAAUAAAUUUGGGAUAAAAUAUUUUUUAGUAAGUUUUGUUUAGAUAAUUCAAGAAAAAAGUGGUUUAUUAACUUUUCUUAAAAAAUAACAUUCUUCUUUCUUUUUUGAAUUGAUCAUUUUUUUUAGAAAUAAAAUUGUUAGAUUCUAUUUUUUGUAAAUGUUUAAGAAAUUCUAAAAAAUUCUUUAAAAAUAAAAUGACCUUUCUACCACAUUCCUUGUAAUAAAUAACUGUUUUUUUAUACAUAUUGUAAAGUAAAAAAAGAAGUCUUUGUUUAGUUAACCUAAGAAGACAUUCCUACUUUUCUUUGUGUUGAGAGUCACCUAAAUGGAAUAAAAUAUUCAAUAUCAUAGGAGAGUAAAAAGUAUUAUAGAAAUGAUUUUGUUGAGAGAGUUAUCUAAAUGGAAUGAGAUAUUGGUAGGUGAAUAAAAUAUUAUGGUGAUUGUAAUAGUUGACUUAGUGAGGGGAGGAGAAGUGUAUGCUUCUUUGUUUAUUCUAUAAAAACAAUAAUUUUAGUAGUUGAAAACGUGUAUGAAAUGACUGAAAAUAUUUUCUGAAAAAUAAGAAAAUAAUAAAUGGAUAAUAGCUCAUUUCCUAAAAAUCUUUGAUAAAUUAAAAUAACUUGUAGUUAAAAUAUAUUCUUGUGAAAGUAUUUAAAAAUGAACCAAUAUAUUAAUAAUUGUUAUUUUGUUUAAAAAUAAUUUAAGAGUAAAAAAAUAAUACUGAGUUCAAAUAUGACUACUUUGUUAUGAGAUUCAUUAAAUAAAUAAUUGUUGAUUUUACAGUUAUUGCAUCAAAGGUUUUACUCGUUUAAUGAAUUGUACAUAAUUUCAUACUUUCAAUUAUUGUGAUAUUAAUGUUAUUCUCAUUUGAUUUCAGUUUGAUGACAAAUAAAACAUAUUCUCAAGUAGAAUUUGAUGAAAUUAGAGAAGAAUAGAUUACUUUUGUGUUAUAACUAAUCAUGAAUCAUAUUGAUGUAUCGUGAUCAUUCAUGGUAAGUCCCUUAGUUGUUAUAUGAUUGAAUUUUCCAUUGGUAUUGUAUAACAUUACUUAUUCUUUACGGACUAUUUUUAUACCAAAAUGAGAAAAAGGAAAAAGAAAAAAAAACAUUAGUACUUAGAUUUGUUUAUUGUUUAUAACAUCACAUUUUUAUUUUCAAUAAGAACUCUAAAACUCAUUAAACUAUGAAAUGCAGGUAUACACUCUUGGGAGGACAAUAUGAAGAAUAAAAAGAAAGGAGAAAGAGGCAACAAGAUUUAGGUUUUUAGAUAUGACUCUUAUGUCAUACAUUAUAGGACAUAAACAUUACUUUAUUUGGAAUUGAGAAUUUUGGGUUUUUGGAUGCAACUCUUGUGUCAUUUUAUGGUUAGCCGGUUUUAUGCAUAUGAAAUGCAAGUAUACAUGAAUGUUGGGAAGCUUAACAUUUCUAAAUCAUGUUUUAAUGUGUAUUCACUUUUCUUUUUUAGUUUUGGUGGGUUUGAUGUGUUUGAUGUACUAUCAUUUUGUGAACAUUUGAUAUAUAAAUAUUAUUGGAUGAUGUAAUAUGUUACAAAUUAAUUCAUAGGCACUAUGAAAAUAUAAGUUAAAUGUAAUAUGAUUAUCAUAUUUAUGGACAAUUUACACAGGUUGGUCUUAUUUAUUAAUAAGCAUUACAAAAAUCUACAAACUAAUCAACAAAAAACAACCAUAUCUUCCAUAAUCAUUUACAAUGAUGCGACACCAUAAAUUAAAGGUGAUACAUUUAACGUGACACCAUAACUCAAAGAUGAUGCAUUUAAUAUGACAUCUUAUAUAUCUCAUACAACUCUAUAUCAAAUUAAGCAUCACUAAAAAUAUAUGGUGUCUCUUCUGAAUGUGUCACCAUUUAUCUGCUUUGGUGUUGCUUCCAAAUACGUCACCAAUUGAUACCCUCUAUGGUGUCAGUGGAUAAGGUGACGCUAUGUUGUAGUGACACCCUAUGUUUAUAGUGACUUAUUAUAAAUGUCACCAUAUAUCUUUUUCCUUGUAGUGUAAAAAAAGAGAGGAUAAUGUCAUUAAAAAACUGAUUGCUAUGUGGCUAUGCCUGCCAGUAGAUGGCUGAAAACUAAGUUCUAUUCUUUUCGAUAGUUGAGAGAUUCAAUGGCAACUAUCGUCGUAUAAACAAUGUUUCAUAAAUUACUUUUAAAUUUUGACAGCAAAGACUAAAAUUGUAAAACCAUAAAAAAUUUAUUCCAUUCCCAAAUUUUUUAAAAUAAAAUUGAAAAUAAUAAAUUAACGCCCAUGACUGUUUUCACAUCUUAUUCUCAUUUCUAUCAAUGGAAUCAUCGUAAGCAUCUUAUCUGUAAAUAUGGCCUAGAGCCAUAAAGCUGCCUUUUCUUUAGUCCUAGAGCCAUUUCAUGAGCUAAUAGUAGUCUUUCCUUAGCAUUUCCAGCCCAAAGCUCCCAUUUCCUUAGGCCUAGAGACGUUUUCAGCCCAGAGCUGCUGUUUCUUUCGGCCUAUAACCAUUUUCAGCCCAAAGCUUCCUUUCCUUGGCAUAUUAGCCCGAAGCUUCUAUUUCUUUAGGCCUGGAACCAUUUCAACCUAGAACAUUUGUUUCUUUGGGCCUUGAGCCCCUUUCAACCCAGAACUGUCAUUUCUUCUAAAUAACUUCUCUUUUAAAAGACUUCAAUUUGUUUUUCAAGUCACAAAUUUUGAGGCUUUGUUCCAGGUUUGAAGAAGCUGGUAAAAAUCUUCUAUUUAACAUUUCAACAGUGAAUCGAAUUAAAUAAAUAAAUAAAUAAAUCUUGACGACAUAAAGUAGGACAUGGCAUAGUUUGAAACACAUAAUUUUCACCAUUCAAAUGCAAAACAUAUUAACUAAUUUCAAAUGCUAUGUGUUGUUUCCUUCUACAUUUUCUCUUUAUUUUUUUUUCGUAUUUUUCUUCAAAUUUUUUGAAAACCAAACAGAGCCUAAAAGAAAAGAUAAUUUUACUUAUUUUGAAAUUUCCUUAUAUAUAGCUUAUAUGGAAAGUUGUUUCGUGUUAACUUAAUGAAGCAUUUAUAAUAUUAAGAUCGCCCUUUCAUAAUCAUGAGUUAACCUUAGUUUCAACUUCUACAAGAGGCUAAAUGAAAAAAGCUAUCACAGAGAAGGCCUCAGCCAAUGAGUGGAAAAUACAAUUUUAUUAAUACUUGAUACCAAAAAAAAAAAAAAAAGGGAUGAUUUUACAUUCAAACCGAUGAUUUAUUUCUGUUGAAGUGCAGUCUCCAUAUGCACAUGUGACUGCAUUUACAGGAUAAAGAAAGACAAGGAAAUUAACAAUGUUGGACUUACUGGAAAAUCAUACAAAUUAUUGAAGGAGGACCUUAGCUAGGCUGACUGUCUCCUAAAUUGCCCAUCUUUUAUAUAUCUUUGCAAUCAUGCAUCUCAUCAUCAGCUUUGAUUUUAGAUGGUGAGGAUGUGAAAGUAACAGGAAGCAGUGGACGAUUGUUCACAGUGAGGCUUAGCACAUCAGCUCUCGAAUAAUGUCCUACCACAUCGAACUGAAACUUUGCUUUAGGAAUCUCUCCACGAACAUCUGCAUAUCAAGUGAUCAUCAAAAUAUUUGAGCAGCCCGUGAUAAAUAUCAUAGAGUAUCAAGUCUUCC